ACAAAAAUUUGAUAGAUAUAGUUUCCAAAUAUGAUAUUUUGGGGAUGGUUCAGAUCGACGUCAUAUGAUAAAUCGAGUUCAUCUCAACCGCCCAAUAAAAAUAAAUUUUUAAAUAUUUUAAUUCAGUAAAAAUAAUAUUUUUUUUGGACGAUUGAGAUGAAUACAACUUGUCACAUGGCGCCGAUCCGAAUAAUUCCCAAACUAUUAUGUUUGGAGACUAUCUCCACCAAAUUUUUGUCCAACUUAUUGCUUUGUCUACCGAAAUCAUUACCAAAAGCCAACAACAUAAACCACAACACUUCACAAACCCAAUGUCCUAAUUGGUUCUACUAUAAAUACAACAGUAUUUAAAAAAGCACUAUAUAAAUAGUAUAGUGUUGUUCCAGAUAUUAUACAAUAUUAUUUUAUAUAUUAUUAAUAUAUUGACAAAUUUAUAAAAUAUUUUAAAUAGCUUGUAUAGUUUGAUUACAGUUGUCCACAUUAUAGUACUAAAAUAUUAACAAUAUAGUAAAAAAAAAAUUCAAAAUAUUUCCCGAAAAGAGUAUAUAAAGGUUUUGCAUUGUUUAAACUAGCUAGUUUUCUAUCUUCUGAUAUUUAAUUAUAGUAAUACCAAACAAUUAAAAAAAAAAAAGUAUCUGAGUUUGAGCCUCAGAAUUAUUUUUUUUCUUUGCUUAAUAGUAGAAGUUUCGGAUAUUUUUAUCAUAACUGUAGCCAGAGCUCGUACAGUUUUAAAUUUGAACAAGUUAACUGAAGUACCCAAUUGAAAGGAUAAAACUUCAGCGGAAAGCUUCUUAAUAAAGCCUCAUUGUUAUUUCCAUCCAUAGUUUACAAUCCUUUUCUCUAAUUUUAAAAAUUCUUUUUUGGUUUUAGUAUUAAAAAAAUAAUCAACGAAACUUUGGAUGGAGGCAAAACUGACACGUGGCAGUAGAUCGGUCCCCGAGCCGUCGCCAUGUGUUAAUUUUGCUUCCAUCUAAUGGUUCGUUGGAUGUAUUUUAAUACUACAAUUUGAAAAAUAAAAUUAACCUCUAGAGUUAGCUAGCAAAGGGUUACAACCUUUGAAAGAAAAUAAAAAAAUGGUACGUGAUGAUGAAUUAGGAUUCUUUAAUAAAACAUCGUAGGAAGCUCUCCAUUGAAGUUUUUUUUUUUUUUUUUUUUUUUUUUUUUUUUUUUUUCAAUUGGAAGGGAAGGGGUUAUAGUGGAAAACUACUCUUAAAAUUUACCUUAUUAAAGUAAACCUAGUAUUAAGAAGUAAAGAAAACGGUCCCCUAAUAAGAAAUGAGAAGGUUUUAGACUUUCCGUAGAACACAUAAAACUUCCACCCUUUAUUUGCCCUCUUGCCCCGUUUGAAUGGUGAAAAUUUCGCCGUUUCCAACAAAAGAAAAAAAUAAAUAAAGCAAUACUUUUUGAAGUAUUAUAAAUUGAGAAAAUGAAGAACGUCAAGUACAUGCUUUGGAUUCCUCACAAAUAGUCUGUGAUGGGAUGUAUUGUGUGUUGACAAGCAUAGAUUGUAUCUUAGACUUUAAAUAUGAAUUAAUUAGAUCACAUCAUAUUUUAUAUGUCGUUUAACUAAUAUGACCGCAUCAUAUUAUAUGAGGUUAAUUAAUUCGUUUAAUAUCCUGUUCAAAAAGUGCAAUUUCAUAAAUUUUCCUGCAAAGUUGAAAAUAUCAUUUAUGCCUUUUUAUAUAUAAACAAUUUAGCCAUUGUUUGGUUGGGGGUUAAGGGAUGGAAUAACCCCUUAACCCCCAUUUUAUCCCCAAACACUCCAAAAAAUAGGUGGGGUUAGCUAACCCCACCUAACCUCACCUCAAAUAAAUUAUCCUGGAUUAGUUAACCCCACCUAACCCCACCAAACUCCAACCAAACAUUAUUUUUUAUUCAUAAUAACCCACUAUCUUUCUUAUCACACCUACUCCAACCAAUCAUUAUCCUUCUUUAUCAAUCAUUAUCUUUUUAUCCCACCCACCCAACCAAACACUAUUUUUCAUUAUUCUAGUCUAACUCCAACCCCCAACCAAACACAAAACAACUUUAACCCCACUUUAACUCUGAACUUAACUCUAUCCCUGGAAUAGCUACUUUUUCCUUAACCCCGAACCAAACGGAGGCUUAGGGUUUAGACUAAGGAUUUGGAAUUUAGAGAGAUAUUUAUGGUAGUUUUAUAUAGUUAGGGAAUAUCGAUAUUGGUAAAAGUUUUUAUAUUUAAAGAGGUAUCUAUAAUAUUUUAGAGUUUUAUAGAAUUAGAUUUAAAAUUGCCCCUACUAUAUAUUUUGGACUGUAUAAAAGAGCAUCAUUUUAGGAAUUGACUGAAUCUCUUGCGGCUAGUAGAGGUUGUUUAGAUACGGAGAACUUGAAGGGCAAGAAACUUGCGAGUUUCGUGAACUUAAACUUCGUGUCCGAUUGGCAGAAUUUGAAAAAUAAUUUUCAUUAAAUUUUGAUUGAGAAAUCCAAUAAUCUCACGGCUUCCACACCAAAACAAAUGCUAAUAGUUAGCUCAUCAUUUUAGAAAAAAUUAUUUUUACACAUCAAAAGAGAUGCACAUCUUACAUCCCAUUAAUUAAAUGAGUGAAAUAUUUUUAUUAGUCACAUCAAGUCAUUAGUGUAUGACUCUUAUCUAUUAAAUGGGUGGGAUAUAUACCAUGAAUUUUUUUUGGAGUGUACGCAUGGUAUUGCUUUAUAAUUUUAGCAACUCGACAAGAUGACAAAAUUAUUAGGCAGAUAAAUUUAAUGAUGACACAUAAAUUGGCAUCUUCUGCGAGUAUUAAUCACCAUAAUUAUUCUCCAAUGGAAAGUCAAAGAUGGUUGCAUCAAUUAACCAAACACGACCUGCGACUUAUAAGAACUUCGAUUUUUCUUUUUUUUCUUUUUCUUUUUUUUUUUUUUUUUUUUCGCUUUGAGGUCUAUGUAUAUUUUUAGGUUUUUAUCUUCUAGAAAUAAGGUCCUGUUGUGUCUCCAGUCAAAUAUUUUGUUCUCUUACUUUGGCCAUCAAAGAUGACUUCUAAUUCAACAAAUCCACGUGAAAUUAUAUGUUGAGAGACUCCUAUUACUCAGACUACAAAUGCUUCUGCUUGUAAAAAGCUUGAGGUUUAGCACAGCUUUUUUGCAUGUGUUUUUAGCAGUAGUAGUGGCUUUUUAUGCAAUGGAAAAGUGUUUAAUUAAAUAUUAAUUAAAAUUCUCCGUUUAUUUAGGCUUGGUCUGAUAGAAAGUAUAAAUGAUAAUUAAGUUUUCUGUACAACAAUAGUUAAGUAUUGAAAUUAUUCGUACGACAAUUGUUGCGUAUGUUAGUGGUUAAGUGCUCCUAAUUUCUCCUAAAGCAUUGUUUGAAUGGAGGAUUAUGUGGAAAUCAUGUAAGACUAGCGUAGUAAUCCAUACGAUGCGACGGAUAGAUAAUUAGAGAAAAUAUAGAAAACAUUAAUUAAAAAGAAAAGAAAAAAAAAACAACGAUAAAAAAAGCAAGGGAUGGGAUUCAUUUUGCCGUUGAACGAAAAUAACAGCUGAAGGAAGAGGAGGAUCGAGGAAGGACUUUAGCUGGUUCGGGUGGAGCAUACACUCAAAAAUGAAGAAAAAGUUGCCAUAUGACAACUUUAGAAUAAAUAAAUAAAUAAAAUAAAAUUAUAUAUAUAUAUAUAUAUAUAUAUANUAAUGCAAGUUGGCUGAAUAAUAAAUGAUAUGAAUCAAUUGGUCUGGUUUGGUCUAAUAAAGCAGACUGGUUCAAGUAAAGAAAGAGGGCACCGGUUUGGUUCAGGGAAACAAAAAACAGGGAACAUGAGCCGGUUUAGUGUAGAGGCCUCACUCAAUCAUGUUAGGUUCAAGCAAAAAAAGAUAAAAUUAUUUGCAGGACUUGAGCCAGUUCAGGAUGGAACUCAUACUCAACAAUUCGGUUCAGUUCAACUAAAGGAAAAGAACCAGUGGAGCCCACACCCAACAACAUUGAAGCUUGUGUUGCCAUGUGGCAAAUUUUUUGAGAAAUAAUGUUAAGUAAUAGAUAAUAGAUAAUAGAUAAUAGAUAGAUAAUAGAUAAUAGAUAAUAGAUAAUAGAUAAUAGAUAUUCUUAUUACGAAACAUAAGUAAAUUAGGUCCUCUUCCUGAGGGGGAGGGGGGGGAGGGUUAAAAAAUUCACUGAUUUUAUAUUUUUAUAAAAUUGGACCGUACUUUUUAAAUUUGCAUAUUAGAAAUGAAUUUUAAACAAGUGACCAAAAGGUCAAUUUGCAAAUUACAAUUUGUAUGUACUUUUUGUUUAAAAGCCAUGCUUUUAUCCAAUAAAAAAAUUAAAGAGUAAAAGAUAAUAAAUAAAAUUAAAAUAAUACAAUUACCUCUCAAAUAGUGCGAUACAAAUAUAAUAUCGUGCAACACUAAUACAAAACAAAUUUUAACGUUUUAAUGUUUUAACGUUUAGAUGAGCAAAAUUAAAAUAAUAUUGCACCUUUUAAUGUUUGAAAAUUUUAACAUUUCAAAUUUUUAUUAAAAAUGAUCCAAAUAUUGCACCUUUAACCGAAUGUUGUACAAUUUCAGUAUAUGUUGCACAAAUUUGAAAAUAUUGUUGUACAAUUUUAGAAUUAAAAAUGUCAAGUUAUAAUUAUAUAAACUUUUUUUUUCGAGAGACGAGAAUUCUUAUUAAGCACAAAAAUAAAAAAAUAAAUAUAAUCAACAAAGAAGAAUAGUGUAAUAUGGUCUAUACUUUUGCAAUAUAUUCUCAAAUCUCAUUAUUUUUAUUAAUAGUGCAACAUGUUUUUAAAAAUUAUAGUAUGUGAAGGUCUCCAUAAGCACCCGUUUUCUAUACAUGAAGGCAUCGACAAGCGUACCCUACCUACAUUUAUAAGUAGAAGGGUAUUUUGGUUGGGUUAAAAAAAAUAUUGGUCGAAUUAGUAAAAAUAAAAAAAUGGCCUAUUUUUACAAAAUUGCAAAACUAAGAGAUUUUUUGUACAAUAUGGCCAAAAAAGCUUUAAUUUGUCCAGAUAAAUUUGUUUGGGUAUAGAACCCUAAAUUGUCCAUUUGAGAUUGUAGGAUCUGUCACCACAUAGGCACCUGAUCUCACAUCUCAAGAUUUCCUAUUUAAUUAGAACGGAUGUUGAUAUUGGACUCUCUUCAACACUUAGUGGGUCCACACAUUUUUGGACCAAUAAUAAAAAAAAAUUAAUAUAUAUAUUAAGAAGAUUACAAGAAAAACUUGAAAUAGCUUUUUUAUAAUUUUUAGUUUAUGAACUUAAUUUCAAAUUAUUUUUUAAAUUUUUAAUUUUCAAAUAAAAUGGCUUUUUUUGGAUAAACCAAACAAGGGUUUAGACAACCUUGGUGGGUUUUUAGUAUUAAUAUAAAGUAAAUUUGUCCAAAUAAAAUAAUUAAUAAUCUAAAAAAUGAUAAACUUAAAGAGUUUGAAAAUUAAUUUGACAUUAAAUUCAGAAACUAAAAAUUUAUUUAAGAAACUAUUUUAUUUUUUUUUAUUUUUUUCUUGUAUUUUUGUAGUAUGUACUUGAUUUUGCCUUAAGAUGUGGGAUUCGUCACCCUUGCGGCAACAUAUUUUCUAAUCCUCAAAUGGAUAAUUUGGAGUUCCAUCCCCAAACAAUUUUGGUCCAAUUUGUCCCUUUUGUGGUUUACCACACUAUUACUUUGUCGUCUUGUAAUUCAAAAAUUAUAUUUAACUACUCUAUAAUUUUUUUUAAAAAAAAUACUAUUAGAAUCUAUUGUUAAACAUAAUAAUAGUAAAGCAACAAAUUUGGUUAAUCAUAGGACAGUACAAUAUAAAAUGUUAUCAAUUUAUAAUUUAUAUUUUAUCAUCUUGUGCUUUGUAAAAAAAUGUACUUUCUUCUAUUUAAUGAGAGAUGCUUACUAUGUAAUUUUUGAACUAUAGAAUGACAAAAUUUGUUGCUUUACUACGAUAAACUUCAAUAUGCCUCUUUUUAGUCUAUCACGGUUUUAUUUUAUCAUCUUGUGCUUUGUAAAAAAAUGUACUUUCUUCUAUUUAAUGAGAGAUGCUUACUAUGUAAUUUUUGAACUAUAGAAUGACAAAAUAAAACCGUGAUAGACUAAAAAGAGGCAUAUUGAAGUUUAUCAAAAAAAAAAAAAAAUAUUUAGGUGGAGUAGAAUUAAUUAUAAUAUUUGUUGUAUUCAAUACUCAAAACACUCCUGUAAAUAUAAACAUUGUCUUUAAAAAUACAAUAAAAAUACUCAAAUACUAUAAUAUUACAGAGUUUCCAAACAGGCCCUUAUGGUUCAGUUUGGUUUGCUGGUGCAUCAUAAUUUUUGCUCAGCACUAAUUGGGUAUUAAAUGUGUUGGCCCAAAACUGGGCUCAAUUGGCCCAAUUCAACACUUUUUGAAUCUUUUUAUUGUUGUUUAGGCAAAUAUGCAUUGAGACACUCAAGACUAUAUGAAAACUAAAAGAGGUACCUCAACUUUGAACUUUUUUUUUUUCAUUGACACUACUCAAACUUUUUGUUUGUUUAAGUUAAGUUCUUCUAGUGAGUUAAGUUAAAAAAGACUCAUUAAAAUUAAUAGCUCUAUUAAUUCUUGGGUGUUAAACUUUUAACUUGCUAAAAUUUGAUUAAAGCCACUAAAUUUGAUGGAGUUGAUAAAUAUAUUUUAAGAUCAAAAUGUAAUAUGACAGACGUUGUUUAGACCUUGUAACGAUUAAAGAUUAACUUUUGUGUAAAGUAAGCAUAGCAUUUUGAAAAUCUAUUAUUACCUAGGGAUCAAAUAGAAAAUCAACAGUUAAAAAAUAUUCAUUAUUUGAUUUAUAGAAUUCGAUAUUCAAAUUUUAUAAUUUUUCAUUUAUAGGCACUUUGAAUGUCAUCGAAUUUAUGUAAUUAGUUAGAGUUUGAUUCUUAUAUAUCAUUAUAAAGUUUUAAGUAUGUGAUAUAUGAGAUGUACUUCAGUAUCAGAUUUUGGCAAUAAUUUCUCAUAGUAGACGAGGUUUUCUGUGACACCCCCAAGAUUUGGUAUAGAUCUAAAUAUAAAAUAUAAUAUGAUUAAAUCUCUUAAUCAGGUUAUAAUAUUUUGGGCAGUGGUUAAACCCAAGAAGUUGAAAGGGUUAAACGUGCUAAGGUUAGAGUAGUUUUAGGAUGGACUAUUCUCCUGAGAAGCGAGACGUUACUGACUCACUCUUGGUAUUAGAGCCCAAUCAUCAGUCGAAAGUGUGAGAUGAGUCUCGGCUAAGUUAGGGUAAUACAACGGAUAAAUCGUGACUUUCUUGCUGAUGGCUGUUGUGGGUGGAGCACGUAUGACUUCCCACAAAAUUGGGUAAGGCUAGUGAGAUGAGUCUCCUAUCGUCUCACCCUAGAAUUUGGUUUAGUCCUAAAUAUAAAGUAUAAGGAAAAUUGCCUAUACACUUAUGAAAACUUCGAAAAUAUUUCAUUUGCCCUUAUUUUUUUCUUUUCAAUAUACUCCUCAUAUGUUACUCCGUUAUUCCAAAAUACCCCUUCAAUUACCACUCGUUAAGUUAACUUUGAUUAAACAUAAGUUAAACAUCUACCAGAAUUUUAAAAAAUCAAAAUACCUUUUUUGCCCUUAAUUUAAAGGCAAAUAAGAACGGUUGGUGAUGGUAGAAGGGUAUAUUUGAAAAUACCAAAAAUUAAAAUAACUUUUUGUGCCCCUAACUUAAGGACAAAUAAAAAAAACUAGUGAUGAUAGAAGGAUUUAUUUGAAAGGACAAAAUAGUAAUUUUAUAGAAAUAACAGCUAUUGCUAACAGUUCAUUAACAUAAUUUAACUAUAGGGAUAUAUUUAAAAUAUAUUGUAAAACUGGUAUUUUCAAUAUUAGCCUUCUAAGAGUGGUCAAUAAGAAAGUCGAAAACUUUUCAGAAAUAUAUAAGCAAUUGCUCCUAAAGUAUAAUAAGACUAAAUCUUUUAAUUUGACUAUAGUAUUUUGGAUAGUUGCUAUGCUCAAGAGGUUAAGAGGAUUAAACAUGUUUGUGCUAGAGCCGUUUUUAGAAUAUGUGACCUCCUAAAAAGUGAGAUAUCAUAUUUUUAUUCAUUUUUUAGAGGGUGUAUAUCUUGCACUCCAAAAUUUAAGAAUUAAUAGAACUCUCUUAGAUUUUAGUUAAAAAGAUUAAAAAUUGAUCAAAUUAGUGAAAAAAUAUAGGCCCUAAGAACUAUAUAUAUGAGUGUACGUUUAUACCAACCCUACGGUGUAUGGGUAGGAUUGUUCUUUUUGUUUUGUUUUGUUUUGUUUUAUUUUUAUGUGCGUCGAACAUGGAUGUGUUAGGCUUACAUGAUAAGGGCAAGGGAAUACCUACCUAAGGGAAUUUAGUACUGUUUAGUCUAUUAUCGGUCAAACCAACGAAAAUGAUUUAUAUUGAUUUGUUUGCUUGUUUCAUGUAUAAAAAGGAAAAUGCUUUGGGUGCUAAAAUAAUUUUGUUUUGAGAAAGAGAGGUAGCAAGUUAUCCGUUUUAUUUAUUUUUUUAGAAUUAAACUCGGUUAAAAGUAUAAAGCUUAUAUUUCGAAUUUGAGAAGCAGUUACAAAUGUGAAGCAAUUAAAUUUCAACAUUUUGAAAUUUAAAACUCAAAAUUUUGUAAUAUAAAUUUUAGGGUUAAUUGCAUACAGCUCCUUAUAAACAUAUCAAAUAGCAGAUAUAUUCCUAUAAAGUUUAAGUUUUUAUUUUUUGCAGAAGUCCUACCGUUUUCAAAUAUAUCCCUACUGAUAGAAUCCAUUAGAAAAAUAUAGUCAACCAUGAGUAAAAUUACUUAAUCCUGGUUAGUAAAUGAGUUAAACUGACCUUUUAACCCUCUAAUAUUAUUAGGUAAAAUAUUUUUUUGGUAGGACAUUUCUGUACAAUUUUAACAGCUGAAGCUUUUGGAGGGAUAUAUUUGUAAGGGCAAAAAUGUUAUUGCAGUUAACUAUUGUUAAAAAAAAGUAGUGCUCUGACGGUAAUUAAUCGAAUGGAUAAAUAUGAGUAUCACUGAACUUUUACAGGGAUAAAAAUAAAAACUUGAACAUUGUAAAGAUAUAUUUACUAUCUGAUAUAUUUACAGAGAGUUGUAUGCAAUUAACCCUAAAUUUUUAAUCUUGUUUAAAAUUUUAAAUAUAGCGUACUCGACCUUGGAGGCAGGGUUGCAAUGUUAGUAGAUGGUCAGCUCGUUUAGCAAGUGCCGGACGGAGUUGGAGUCGUUUUGGCACGUAGUGGAUAUAAAAAGGACAUGAAAAUCGAGAAUCAACUCAAUUGUAUUUUUAGUACACUUCUAGACUCCCGGAAGUAGUUUAGGGCGCUCACAAGUUACAAGUUGAGGAAUGGAAGUUUAGACCGUACUUGAGGAUGCCCUAUUCUAGUGAGGAUCCAGAGGUGUCAGGCCUUGAUGUGGGCGCCCGAAUUUUGGUAUUGUAGUAGUUUGAAAAGUAAGUGAGAUUGAUUUGACUUGUAUCAAGGUGCAUUUGGGUGUAAGGUGACUCAGCAAGAUUUCGGGUGCAGGUUCUGGGUGCUUGAAUUGGUUCAGGCAUAGAUAUGACGGAAGAGGAGCCGUCGAAUGCAGUAAGAGAGCACUCGAAAGAGGAAGAUUAAGAGGUUUCGAAUGCCUGAAUGAUGGUUCUGGGUGCCCAAAACUCGACAUUUUAGCUGAAGUUAGAUUUAAAGAGCCUUUUUACAUUGUUACAUUAUAUUAGUUGAUAGUGGCCUUCAUGCUUAUCUUUUUCUUCUUUGUACAUUCUAUAGAGAGAGGAAGAGAGGAGAAGAGAGUGUGGGAGAUCUAAGGAAAUGAUUCAGGAUACGCGCGCAUGAUUUUUCUAUCGCCUUUUGAGGUUGGUAUUAAAAUAUAUUAUUACAUUGAUUGGGAUUUUUAAUGUGCAAUUUACAGUACUUUUUAGGAGUAUAAUUUUUUUAUGGGAUUUUUGUGAGAUUUGGAUUUAGUAGUGAAAUUUAUGCAUGGUUUAGGAGCCAAAUUUCCUGGUUCGAUUCCCUACGGCUUAGGUGCCGUACCAUUGAGGACCUACAGCGGAGUUUGUGUCCUCCCAUCUUCCUUUCCCAUUUUCGGUAUUGGCGAUUUAGGUGGGUUCUAUAUUGCCAAAAGCGGCGUACUACUUCCUAUAUUUUUUUGUAUGUAUUAUUAUUAUCCUACCUACGGUGUAGUGAUAUUAGCAGCAUGUGAUAACUACUUCACAUUUAUUUGCAUAUGAGUUGAUGAUUGAGCAUAUAGGGAGUAGAAUCGAAUUACUAUAGACAUAUUAAUCGUGGAUUUUGUAAUAUUAAACUAUCAAAAAUGCUAUGAAGGUUAUCAGACGGUAAAGUAGUGGAUAGGGAGAGGUGUUUGCUAGUUUGACAUGCUAGGCUUUUGUGAUGUCAUAUGAUUGUGCCGAAGGCACUUGGACAGUGCAUAGUGAUCUCUUUGAUCAUCGUAUUUGACUAUAACUUGCAGAGUCACAUUGAGCUUGAUAAUGUCAAUGUGAGCUUGAUAAUGUCAAUGUGCUAUAAUACUCGGUGGGUGUCACUCUUCUCGAGUGCUACUCCAGAGGCUAGCUAAUGAUAUAGUAAAGAUAGUAGCCUCUGUGUUGACGGCGCAUCUGCGAGGAGUAUGGUCUGGAUAGUAGGCAAGUGCUAGCUUGACCGCACUGCUGAGUCGGUUGUCAUAAUUAGGUGAUGCAAUAUUUUUUUAUAUUAGUAUUAUAUUUGAUGCAUGUAUUAGCCAUCUGCAGUAUUGUUUCCUUUUCUAUUUAAGAGGAAUGCUAGGCUUAGUUGUUAUUCAGUGCAGUGCAGUACCUCAUGUUAUUAUGGUUCGAUUAUUUUUCUAUCUUACCUUUAGCAAAUUAUUUGUUAUUCAGUGUAGUACCUGUUAUUAUGGUCCUAUUGUGCUUUGCUUUUUACAGCUCUCAAUGCUGAUAUCGAAUCGAGAUAAGGGGAUCACGCAAUAGUUAGCAUCUCUUAUCCAAUUUUUGAGUGAUAGGAAAAAACCACCGGCUAGUUCGCUUUUGGAUAUAGCACUAUACGUCAGGACUGGCGAGGCCAAGGCCCUUUACUUGUAUUUAUAUUUUGAGAGUUAUAUUCAUAUGGAAUUAUGCACAGUAUUACCCACUUGGUAUAGUUAGCAUGCCCAAGGGCUUUUGCUAUGGACUCGGAGUGUGACAUUAAAUUUUAAAUUAAAAUUAUAAAUUUUAAAUAUUAAAAUUUAAAAUUAAAAUUCUAAAUAUUAAAUAUUAAAAUUUUAAAUUCUAAAUUUUUAAAUUUAAAUCUAAAUUGUAAAUUCAAAUAUUGAGUUUUAAAUUUUGGUUGAGAUUUUAUAUUUUAAAUUUUAAAAUUUUAAAGUAAAAUUUAGAUGUUAAGUUAAAAUUUUAAAAUAAAUUUAGCAAAAAAACUACUAUUUACAAAUAACAAAAAGUUUUGCCCAACAGUUUUUUAAAUCACUUCUUAAAAAAAUCACUUUUCUACUUAACCAUAAACUCUACCACAUUUAAUCAAAAUCAAUUCUCUGAAUCAAAAUUAAUUUUAUGGAAAUUACUUUCUCAGAAUCUAGGCUAAAUAGGAUCUCCCUUUUGGAAUUAUUAUACACUGCUUGAUUCUUUGAAAGUAUGUGGGAAAAAUUUUUUCAAGGAAAAAAAGUUGUUCAUAUUUAGUUUUUUCUCUAUUUAGUUCCAAUAUAAUUAGUUUUUUGGAAAGCUUCUUUCCAAAUUUUAUAAAAAAACUAGCAUUUUUAUUUUUUAAAAAAAUUCAAAAAAUGAAAGUAUAAAUUUGACAUAAAAUUAGAAAAAUAAAUUUUGAAACAAACUUCUUUUUGGAAACCAAAUAAAAAAAAAAGAAAAAAUUCAUAAAAUUUUUUUGCACGAAAAUUUUUUUUCCACACUUUUUGGAUGAACCAAACACUCCUACAAGAAACUCAUGGUUUUUUGCCCUUUUGGAGUAAAAAGUAAUAGACAAAAGUUGAGGGGCUAAUGUUGCAAUUUACCCAAUUGUAAAGCGAACUUUUCCCUUCCGAGUUCCGACACUGUUCGCAAACCCUCGCCCUGGCUUUUCGAAGUCGAGAGAGAGAGCUCCUACUCCCCAACAAUGGAGCUCACCAAAACCCUAACCCUAACUCUCCGCAUCUCCCCCUCUCUUCACUGAGGCCCCCUAUUCCGCUUUUCCCCUCUUCCUAGCACCAGAGUAUAAGGCGACGAGGGGAGAGGAGGAAGGGGGAGGGGGCGCGGAGAUGGAGAACCACAAGAAGUCUCUGCUGAGGGUCCGGGUCCGGGUCACGGCGCGGAAGCGGGCGCGGGAGUCGCCCUCCUCCGGCGAGGGCUCCGGCCGGAAGAUGCGGGCGCGGGUGUGUGCUAACUCGGUGAGGAAGCUCGCGUGCCGCGAGAUCGGCGGCCUCCCUCGCAUGGCCCGCGUCGCCUCCUCCAGCGCCCCCGAGAAGUUCCGCAACAUCCAGCUCCAGGUCCGUGCUCCCUCACCCGUAAUUUGAGUUCCUGUUCCUUCGCUUUCUUGUUGUUUGGUUGGAAUCGUCGAAGAUCGUGCGCUCGGGGCUCGGAAUUCGUUAGGAUUUGGUGACUAUGAUCGUUGUGAAACUCUUAGUUCUGCGAAGUUGGAAGCUUUUUUGUAGAUCAGCGGCCAAAAUGGUUUUUGUGAAGAUUGGUAUCUAGGGUUUACGAUUAUGUUUAAUUUUGACUCUUGGAUUUGGCUUGUUCGUUAGGAGAUGUGGCAGUAAUAGAUGAUUGGAUGAUGUAUAGCGAAAUGAAUGGUUGUUAGGGUUAAGUUUGGUGUUUGAACUGUAUAUUGCUUUGGAGCUGUUGCGAACAAACUACUUUGGUGGAUUGGUGAUAGAAAGUUAGGGAUUGGACAGGAAAAGAAACAUGCUUCUUGUCACGUCAAUCCAGAGGCAAGCAGAGCAACAUGCUUCUCUACAUUUUAAUUUAUCAUCCCUUAAGUUCUAAGAAGUAGCAUUCCUUAUAGAUGAAACAUGUUUAUUUCUGGCAAAUGUUGCUUUUUAAUAAAGUAUUUUCCUUGAUUUUGAAACUCCAGAUUUUGAAGAUGAUGACCAAGAAAAAUUGACCAUGGCAGUAAAAUGAAAAAAAAGAUAUGAUUGUGAUAAUUUCCUGGUAGUGCAACGGAAUUUAUGAAUUACCAUGAUUCAUUCAAAAUACUUCUGGGUAUCCUUCUAUGAUUUGUGAGGCUACCAUGUGAGAUAAGGAAUUGGUGAUGAGGUUUUAUGAUAACAACAAUUUUGGGGAUAAAAAACAGAGCUUAUGUUGAUGAUAGAAAUAUUUCUAAGUUCGCCUUAGAUUGCUUAUAUUGAUCAGCAUUAUUAGACACCCUGUUAAUUUUGAGGAUUAUACUCUUAGUAGUAUUAAAUAAAGAUAGGUUACUUCGAUAAUUGCUUUUAGACAGGUUUUAAUGAAGACUGAUGCCUUGUUUGGUUAAGCAUACAUAUUCCUUGUUUUUUUUUCCCUUUAAACCCAAAUUUUAUGCAAUUGGAUGCUAUGAGCUGAUGCAUUUGCAAGUUGCAAGCAAUAACAAGAAUAGAGAAGUCCUUCCCAAGGCGAAUUAAAUUGCAUAGAAUUUGAGAUUUACAAAAUAGAGAAAAAUGUCAGGGUAGCCAAAGGAAGCCUAAUGGCUAAUGCCUCCAUUAUAAUGAUGUGGAGAGUUGCUCUUCUUAUUUAUCAUCGAUUUAUGCUCAGUAUCUGUGGAUAAGGAUAACUGUCGAACUUAGUAUAUUAUGAUUGGCUGCUUCUAGGCAAACGUCCUUAUUGCCUUUAAAAAAGAAUUGCUUAUUAGAUGGAAUGGAUGUCUAACUUACAUUUCUCUGAGCCACCGUUUGGUUGGGGGUUAAGGGGUGGAAUAACCCCUUAACCCCCAAUUUAUACCCAAACACCACUCUUAAGGGGUGGGGUUUACUAACCCCACCCCAAACCGGGUUAGUGGCGUUUACUAACCCCACUCCCCCUCCCAACUUUAACCCCGCACGCAUUCCGAGCCCUCACCUUUUUCUUCUUUAUCAAUCAUUAACCCCACUCCCCCUCCCAACUUUAACCCCGCACGCAUCCCGAGCCCUCACCUUUUUCUUCUUUAUCAAUCAUUAUCUUCUUAUCCCACCUACUCCAACCAAACACUUUUUUUCACUAUCCUAGACUAACUCCAACCUCCAACCAAACACAAAAAAAUUUUAACACCAUUUUAACCCUGAACUUAACCCUAUCCCUGGAAUAGCUACUUUUUCUUAACCCCGAACCAAACGGUGGCUGAGUGUUUUCUCUGGAAUUGAUGCUGCUAUCCACAUCCCUUGUUUAUCUCAAUUCCUAGUUUCAGUUUGAUUACCUCUAGUUAAAGUUCAAUUUUGAAGUGCUUUAUCCAAAAAAUUAAAUUUUAUUACGGAUGAAUUCAGUUUAUUUUUCUGGGCAGUUACACUUUUCGGAGUAAUUUUAAAUAUAGGUUUGUGGAAGUAAUAUGUGCAUGCAUGUAUAUGUUCAUGCAUUGCAUCUGAAUUACAGCAUGGGCGCAGUCUCUCCUAUAAAAUCGAUUAUGCUUUUGUCAUUCAUAUGUCCUUCAUCAUUAUUGUAACCUAUCUUUUAUGAUACAGUCCUGAUUUCAGUUGUGUUUCAUAAAUGUUUUUAAUAUGAUUUAUGCAUUAUUUAAUGCAGGAGGAAUUCGACACGUAUGAUGAUAAUAUCCAUUGGUUUCUCAAAUUACAAUUUCUGAAAAAGAGGUCCAAGAUCAUUGAGAUUGUUGCAGCAAAGGAUGUUAUAUUUGCUUUAGCACAAUCUGGUCUCUGUGCUGCUUUUAGCCGGAGUAAGUCUGAUGCUUCCCUAGUUUCCUGUUGACUCUUUUGUUUAUUCUAGUUCUAAUUCUGAUUUUUUUCUUUUUGUUGAUAGCAACAAAUAAGCGUAUAUGCUUCUUGAACAUAAGCCCCGAUGAAGUGAUUAGGAGCUUAUUUUAUAAUAAGAACAAUGACUCACUCAUCACAGUUUCUGUUUACGCAUCAGACCAUUUCAGUUCCUUGAAAUGCCGGACCACUCCAAUAGAGUAAGAAACUUACUUUCAUGUGAAUGCUCUAGUUUUCAAAUAACUUCAAUUCUCCUCGUGUAUAGUUCACGCGUUAUGCACAUAUGUGCACAUACAUUGAUGUACACAUUGUGUGUGUUAAGGUUCUGAUAAGUAUUAAAAACUGAAGAUAAAUGCAGAUUUUUUUUCUCAACUUAACUAUUAGCUUAUAGUUGGUGAUUUUAGGAUUAAACCUUUCAUGGUUUUCUUGGUUACUUGUAGAAGAUGUACUGUGACAAAUGUUUCUAUAUUGCUGAUACCAAAAUCUACAAACAAAGGCCUCGUUAGGCAUUGUUGCCAUUUUUGCUUUUUUAAAAGAAUUUCGAUACAAAAUAGAGUGGGAGGGGAUGAUGGCUUGCUUGCAACCAUAACAUUCAAGUAUUUGUUUGGCAACAAAGAGGAAAAAAAAUUGGAAGCAACUUUUUUUUGUUUUCAGUUUCUUUCUUCUUUUUUUUCGAACAAGUCGUCAUUCAUCACUUGGCCGUGGUACAACAACAUAAAUUCCUUCUGCCAGUGUAGCAAAAUUAUAUAAAAUUAGUGUGUAAAAAAACAAAAAAAAAAAGGGUCAGAAAUGCCAAAUGAGACUUGCUAUCUAAUUCUGUUCCAAGCAGUUCUAGUAAUGACUUAUUUUUGGACUCUGGCAGAUACAUCAGAAGAAACCAGCUAGAUGCUGGUUAUCCUCUUUUUGAGACCGAAUCAUUAAAAUGGCCUGGUUUUGUUGAGUUUGAUGAUGUCAAUGGCAAAGUUCUUACAUAUUCAGCCCUGGAUGGGUAAGUGACCCUCUUGAUGCUUUUCUCUUUACAAACCCUAAUCCAUCUGAUUUAUUUUUUUGCUUACAGUACUUACAAAUUGUUUGGCAUGGUUACAGUACUUACAAAGUGUUUGACCUGAAGAACUAUAACUUCUUGUACUCCAUAUCGGAUAAGAAUAUUCAGGAGAUCAAAAUAAGGUUUGGUUCCCUUCUUCAUUAAACAUGCAUGUAGAUUAUUUUAUGCAUCUGAAUCUUUUUGUAAUCUGAUAUUUGAAAAUCAUGCAUUUGAACAGCCCAGGCAUCAUGCUGUUAAUAUAUCAGAGAACUCCUGGUUAUGUUCCACUCACAAUAUUAUCAAUUGAAGAUGGAACAGUGUUGAAAUCUUUCAAUCACUUACUACACCGCAACAAGAAAAUUGAUUUCAUCGAGCAGUUCAACGAGAAGCUACUGGUCAAGCAAGAGAAUGAGAACCUCCAGAUUCUUGACGUAGGCUGUUAAUCUUUAUCUUUCUUGUUUUUGAUUUUUUUUUCCUUUUUAAUUUUAAGAAGCAUAUUAUAAUUCUUGGAGCAGGUGAGGAACUCGGAGCUGAUAGAAGUCAGUAGGACUGAUUUCAUGACCCCUUCUGCAUUCAUUUUCCUAUAUGAGAACCACCUUUUCUUAACAUUCCGGAACAGGACUGUCGCAGUUUGGAAUUUCCGGGGUGAGCCAGUCACCUCCUUUGAAGACCACCUGCUCUGGCAUCCUGAUUGUAACACUAAUAACAUUUACAUCACUAGCGACCAGGACCUGAUAAUCUCGUACUGCAAGGCUGAAAGUGAAGACGAGGGAGAAGGUAUUUAAUUUCCUUCCAUACUGAAAAAUUUUGCUGUUACUCUGCGCCUGUUUGGCUUGGCUUUUGGUGAACUUCCCUACUUUAAAAAAGCAAUCGUUUCGUGUUUGGCAAACAAAAACCAUGGACCAUCUUGUUUUGCCCGAAGCUAAAUUACGUGCUUGAAUACCAAAAGUAGAAGAUCUAAUUUGAAUCUUCUGUUUUUUCAAAUAGCUUUACCAACUGUUCUGCAGAAUCUCAGGACGCGCUAGCAGGCCAUUUUUUAAGCAAAAACAUUUGAUGUUAUGAUCUAAAAAGAAACCUUCACAGCUUCUCCUAUAGGAUCUAUCAACAUGAGCGACAUCCUCAGCGGGAAGUGUGUCGCGAAGAUCUGUCCCCGUGAUCCCUCUCUACAGAUUGCCCCUCGCAAGCGGGGCGACCCGAGCCGUUCUACCAUCAGGAGCACUAUAAGGGAAGCUCUUGAAGAUGUAACUGCACUCUUCUAUGACGAGGAUCGGAACGAAAUCUAUACGGGGAACAAGCAAGGCCUGAUCCAUGUUUGGUCAAAUUAGUAGCUAUACCUAAUAGCCGUCUGUAUAAUGUAUCUCAUUGCCAAACAUCAGCUGCAUCCCACCAUCUCCAUGUAUCAUGCUCUGCUUUAGAGCCUCUUUGUAGCAUGGGUUUCAGUUUCAAAACCUACCAUCCCGUGUUACCCUGCGGUGUUUCUAGGUGUAUUUUGUGUCAUAUCUAUGAUUAUAUCAGUAUGUAGCAACUGCAUCUUUGUUUUAGGAGAAAAGCUCUUUCUUUCCGGUUUUUUCUGUUGAUCUUUUUGUGGCAGUGUGUUUUCUCAUGGAACACAUUAUCUGUGGGAAUGAUUAGCAUCAAUUGCUAAUGUUGUUUUCUGAGUUUGAUUCUGAUUUCAUUUUCGAUCUUUUGGUCUCGACUCUAACAUUUUUGUGAGUAAAGAUUGUUUUGCAUAACAAUUAAAUUAACUUUUGCCUGUAUUUUUUUUUUUUUUUUGGUUGUUUCAGACGUUUCGAAUAGAAGCUAUAGGAAAUAAGCUAGAUUGUUGAAAUUUGAAACACUGAACUACUGGAGACUAAAUUUAAUCACGAUCAAUCUUCUGUGGUCUAAAGAGUAUCACUGCAACCAAAAUUAAUGUUAAACUUCAAAGGUCAAAUUCGGCAACUAAAUGCAAGAUUAUCACAAGAAAUGAUGAUUUCUGCGUUUUGCAUAGUUUCAACUAAGACGUUGCGGUUGAGGACGGUUGUGUUAUUUGAUAAUUUUUUAUCAUUAAAAUUUGAAAAUCUGAGAGGAAAAUUAAAAUUCUGAGUGAAACUUACAGAUAUCAGAUUGUUAAUAUUGGAACACUGGAAACUAAUCUGGAUCAUGAUUCUUCAUUCCUUCAACUAUUAUCGAGACCAAAAUUGCGGAACCGAAGUUGGCAUCAAAACUCUAAUACAGGACGAGAUUUCCAAGCAACUGCAAGAUUAUUUACAAGAAUUGGCCCUGCUCAGUUGAAUGCCCCCGAUUCAGGAGCGGGGUCAGAGGAGAACUCUGAUUUUUUAGGCUCCCUCUCUGCAGUCUGACUCGGCUGUACAGUUUGGCGCCGUGCAGCUCCGUCCGCAGGGCCGUCUUGGUCGCCGGGCCCGCAGUCGGCCCCAAGAUCCUCCUCUGUUUUGCUGCUGUCAUCUUCUGCCGCUGCUGCGUUGGCAACGGAAGCGGCGAACCCAGACCACGCCUGCUCGAGCCUGGCUAGAGCCUGCACCAGCUCGUCCGACCCCCUGCCCGUCAGCUCCUUCAUCUGCGCCUCGAAUCCCCGCAAUUUCCGAGCCAGCUCCGCCACCGGCCCCGCGGUCUCUGUCACGGCCUCGUCCAGCUCCCACAGCUCCCACACAUCUUCCGCAUCAGAAGCCGGGCCGAGGAGUUUGUCGAGCCGUUUGAAGAAGAUCCAAGAAGAUAACCCCGCGGCCUUUUCUCUUUCGUACCUGGUUUUCACCUUUCUGAUCCGAUUCUUGCAGCUUUCGACGGUCCAGCGCCCCUGGUCGCGGCUGUUGACGGCAGCGGCGAUCUCCCACCAAUCUUCCUCGCUGAGAUUGCCACGGUCGCGCUGCUCGUACUUAUCGGCCCACGCUUUGAUCACGGCCCGUGUCGCGCCAACGCUGGCGCUGCGGAAACAGCGCCGGGCUGAGGACAAGGGCUUGUACUUCUUGCCAGAGACCCGAUCAUCCUUCGCCAUGAGAGUGAGGAAGGGGUGUUGGUAAACAGAGAGAGAGAGAGAGAGAGAGAGAGAGAGAGAGACAGAGAGAGAGUGAGUAACUGCUUGAAUUUGAAGCGUUUCGCGGUGGUUUUGUAUGGGGGGAAAUUGCACCGCUAGUCCCUGAACUUUUUAUCUCUGAUGUUGUUUUGGUCCUCAAACUUCUGAGUUAGAUGUUAGUGGUCCCUAAACUUUUUUUAAAGUUUGAUUUUAACGCUUGAAUGUAUUUGUAACUAGAGAAUAAAUUAUUACCUGUGCCUAGUGCAUGCUUAUUUAUGUAUAUUAUAUAUCGUAUAUUACAAUCCCACUGUCUAUUGAGUUUUUUUUUUUUUUUUUGCUAUGUAAAAAUUGGGCAUCUAAAUUUAAAGUAUGAGAUAAAUGAAGAAAAAGAUAAAUUUGUAAUUUAUGAACAAAAAGUUAAGAGCAAUACUAUCAGGACACUCCAAACACCAUACAUCUACUUCAUCCAAGAGUUAUUAUUUCUUACUUAUCACAUCAAUUAAUUUUUUUUUUUUUGAGAGAUAGGUAGUACGCUACCCGCUUCGUUUAUUUCAUUUAGACAUAAACUUAGCUAGAAAUGUGAAUCAACUAGGAUUCGAACUUGGGUCUCGAGCACCAACCACCAAGCACUUUGCCACUUGCUCUAAGGACGGUCGGUAUCACAUCAAUUAUUAUUAUUAAUUAUUAUUAUUAUUAUUAUUAUUUACUAAAUUAUUUGGACUUUUAUGAACUUUAGCCUCUAGGAUAGAAAGUGUAAGAUCUACACCUAUUGUCACGUUCGAGUCCAACCAAAUUGACUUGCUGGGUAUAUGUAACAGACUUGUCAAACGAGCAAGAUUCCUUUACCGGCACGAGACGUAAAUAUAUAACAACCUGUACAAUGCAUAAAUGAUAUGGGUACAAUAGAGUAUUGGAGUAAAUUAAUUACUUCUAAAUUAAAAGCAUUACAGUGACUUCUUUAAAGUUUACAAUAUAUUAUUUUUCAAAAUUAAUUUUGUUUAAACAAAAAGGUACUUUCACUAGACCUAACCGUGGAUGAUCUCGCUAACUCGUAGUGCUCUUGCCGUGAUCCCACAUCUCACGAUUGCUAGAAGGCUCUGAAAAAAAUGUUAGUAACAGUGAGGUGAAUUGAAAUAAAAUUUUAGCGGAUGAAACUGCCGAAAGUGGUGCUCAAUCCAAAGGAGGUACUAGUAGAAUAAUAAUAGUAAAUAAAAAACUAUUUUUAUAAUAAAAAUACAAGUAAAACAAGUGCAAUUACUAUGCCUUAAAUAUAUACAACUAGUUUAGGACCCGCGCUUCGCGGCGGAUCGAUAGUAUUUCAGUCAAUCGGCAGAUAUAAUUAUUAAAAUUUUAAAAUUAAAAAAUUAUAGCCUUCUAUACAUUAUAAAGCUAAUCUUUUUUUAUUAAUAUUUUUUAACUUUCAGUAUUUGUAGAGUUAAAAUAUUCUAAUAACUUCACCUAAAAAUUCAAUUAAACUUAGUAGUUUUAGUAGUUAUUUUAUAAAUUAAUUUUUUAAUUAAAAUUUAAGGAUUUAUUCUAAAUUGCAAAUAUAUAAUGUUAUCCUUAUCUAGUUAACAUUGAUUGGAAAAAGAAGAAAUUAUUAUAUGCACCUAGUGUAUAUUAACACACCAUACACCACAACUUAUAUUAAAAACUAAUUUUUGAUAUCAAAACUUAAUUAAAUAUAUUUGAAUUAUAAAGUCUAAUAAUUUAAAUAUAUUUACUGAAUUAAAUUUUAAAAUCUCUAUUAAAUGUUUUAAGUAUGUGGUGUAUGUUGUAAUAUAUAUCCAGUAUAGAGAAUGCUUGACAGAGUAUAUUUAUAAUUGCAAAAAAAUAGGAGAAAUCUUUAGUUGCACCUGAUAUAUACUAAUAUUUCAUACACCAUAAAAGUAUAUUAAAUGAUUGAUAGAAUAUCUAAUAAUUAGUAUUAAAGAUUUUUAUGAUGUGAUGGAACUGCCAAAUUAUAUAUCUUGUAGAUUAUAUAUUAAAAAAGAGUUUGAUGUAUGCAAUAUUUUAAUAGAUCGGGUGGAUGUAAUAUUGUUGAAGUAGAGGAGGGAGAGGAAAGAAAACACAUGUCGCUCUGAGAGCUUUUAAUAUGACCCAACUAUCAAAUUAUAUAUCUAUAGAAGAUAUGCCAUAAUGAUAUAGUAUGUCAUUGGUUUAUAUGUUUACCCUAAACUAUUUCUUAUCUCUAACCAAUCAUUUGGUUCGGUUUGACUUCUCGUUUAGCAUUUUACGAAGAGUCGAAAAUAAUCAGCAUCUCUCUAAUCGGUAGGCACUUGAAGUCGAACGAAAUCAAUAUCUCCAAGUACAAUAAGGAGUCAAGAGGAAUUAGCAUUUCCCAAUAUGGAGUAGGGCAUCGAAGAUAAUCAGUAUCACCCAUUUUGCAACUUCCAGAAUGUCGUGGCUUGUAUCAUAGCUAAACCCUAAGUUCUCAUUAGGGUUCAUCACAAGGUUCAAUUAUACAUUUUUUUUUUUUUUUCUCUAGCUCAAGUUUAGUUUAGAGUUCAAAUAUUACUAUUUAUCACACCCUAAGUUCAAUAUCACUAUUAUUUCUCCUAUAUUCCAAUCUUCACAUGAUACUCAACAUGCACAUUAGUUAUUGUUUUUAGCAUGGAAAAUAGUUAGAAACCCUAUUUUUCCUAGGCUAAAGGCCCUUGAGCCCUCUUAACCUCCUAAACCUCAUAACAUUGAACUAAAUAUAUCUUUCUUUAUUUUUUACCCAUAAUACAUACAAAGGAAUACAAAAAAUUUUAGACAAAGAAAAGAUCAAAUGCAUCUUACAGUGAUAUUCUCCACCUUUAGUUGAAUCUUCCUUGUAGAUAAUUCUUGAUCUCUUUAAAAUUUUAAAUUUUUUUUUGAAAAAAUUCUAACCAAGUUAGAAUAAUAAAAUCUUCUAUUUGGAAAAAAAAUUCCCUAAAACCAAGCUCUAAAAAUCCCAACUAUAUAGAUGAUAUAACACAUCACUAAACUAGAUCUACUUAAAAUUGAUAACACUAUUUUCAUAAAACAAAAUAAAUAGUAUUAGCUACCAAUCAAAUUAGCACUGUUUUUUCCAAGACUGUUUCUUUCAAACUUCUAUUUUCUGUCUACCCCUCUCGACCAAGCUUUCCUUCUCCAUGCUCCUCCCGCUCUAACCUUUUAUCCUGAAUUUAGCUGGGUAGCUAGCCAAAAUCCAACUAAUAGGUUUGGCUGUUUGUUUACUUUGCUAUCAUUUUCUACAAUAUUAUCAUUACAUUUUCUACGACCUACUCUACAAUCGUCUAGAUUUUCAUCUCCUUACUUCACUCUUCACUUCAAAAUUUUCUUUUCUUUAAUCUACUCGGCAUCACUGAUUAUAUUUUUCUUUCGACCGGGAGCUUGACGGACUUGAUGAGCGGGACAUUUCGCUGUGAGUUGAAGGAUGACAGUUGGACCAGAGAUGCAGUCUGAAUGAUUAAUUUUGUCCAUCUUCUUCUCUCUAUUUUUUUUAUAUUUUGAGCUUAACAUUCAUGAGCUUAAUUGAUAAUUAGGUCGGAGAUUUUUCAAGCUUCGAGGGCUACUAUAUUUAUAUUCUCUUUUUUUUUUUUUAAGUUUUAGAAACACUUGUACUUUUUUUCCUUCUUUCCUGAUAUAAAAAUAUGCUUAUUUUAUUUUUAAAAAUUCUACAAUAAAGUAAUUAAGUCAUACUUUUUUAAUCAAAUGCCAAUGGUCUAAUGUAAAAACAAGUAGUAACACUAAUUUAAUGCAUUGGCAAUGCUCAUCCAUCUCUUCAAAUACAGAUCAUGAAAGGGGAACCCUAAAGCUGGGCUCCUCGGGCUUUGCGGGUCUCAUUCUUGUCCUUGAAAGAAAAAAAAGAAAAAAAGGGGAAACAGAGGGUGACUUUCGGGGAGUCUAAAGAUUGUGCUGUGUGGUGUGUGCUGUAUGCUUUGCCUGUUGUGUUCUAUCCUUGAAAAUGACAAAAGGGGCUUUCGCGUCCCAUCCUUUGUGUCGGUUCGCUUUUUCUUGUCUGGACUCGGUUCAUCGACUUGUUAUCUAUUAAUAAAGGAAUCUGUCUCUUUUUUUCACCCUCUCUCCUUUUCUUCCACCUUACUAAACCAUAAAUCCAAUUAUCAUCCCUGCCUUUUUCUCUCACAAACCCUAAACCUAAUUGUAUAAGUUUUUAGACCACUGGUAAUAAUAAAUUCUAUAUGAUUGAGAGAAGUGCUACUUAUACACCUGAACCUAAAAAAAAGGGGAGUAAAUCCCACACGAUCCCUUCUUCUCUUUGCUCUAAAAUCGCAUGGCCCGUGUCGCCUCCUCGAGCGUGCCCGAGAAGUUCCGCAACUUCCAGCUCCAGGUCCGUGCUCCCGCGCCCUCCAUUUCGCCGUAAUUUGAGUUCCUGUUCAUUCGAUUUCUUGUUGUUUGGUUCGAAUCGUCGAAGAUCGUGUGCUUGGGGCUCCGGAUUCGGUAGGGUUUGGCGUAUGAUGAGUUUUGUAGAUUUGUGGCUAUGGUUUUAUGAAGAUCGGCAUCUAUGGCUUACGAUAUGAUUAUGUUUAAUUUGGACUCUUGCAUUUAGCUUGUUCGUUAGGUGAAAGUCGAAUCUUUCGAUGUAGAGCAAAAUGAAUGGUUUUUAGUUAGGGUUACAGGUUCGUAUUCGAACUGUGUAUCGAUUUGGUGGAUAAGUUAGGGUUUUCAUCUAAUCAUAUUUGCAUGGUAAGAUGGGUUUACAGUCAUUGUAAGAUUUGGUGUGGUACCGAACUCUGUCGGUAGAUUGAUGAUAAAUUUAGGGCAAAGAUACUGGCAAGAUGAGCCCAGUAGAGGCUUCUUAAUAAUUCAUCAGACUGGAUAAUUGAAGGACUUUUUUUUCACAGUAACCCUAUUAAAAUUUCUCAUUUGCCAAAUAAUUCUUUUAAAAUUUUAUUUGGCCAACUAACCUGAGAAACAGUGAAUUAUUCACCUCUUUCAGAAAGUAGUGAAUGAUUCGCCGUUUUCAUAUUGUUAUUUUUUUUUUUUUAUAAGUUGUGAUUGUUAAGAUUGUAUGAGGAUUAUUAAAUUUUAUUUAUAGUUAAAAUUAUAUGGAUAGAUUGUUAGGAUAUUUUAAGUUGUUAGAAUUAUAUGUGAUUUGUGGUUGUUAAUAUUAUAUAUGGGCAUAGAAAAAAAGGAUAAAUCAUUCACGGUGAAUCAUUUACUGGAAUCAUUUACUAUCUCUAAUAGAAAAAAGAAGACGGUGAAUAAUUUACCGCCUUCUAAAUUUCAUUAAAGGCGGUAAAUGAUGGACCGUCUUUCAAUACCCGACAGUGAGUUGUUAAAAUAGGGUUAUUUGAACAAAUAAUUUUUUACAAGGUUAUUUGGCCAAUUAUAAAUUUUUAAAGGGUUAAAAUAAAAAAAAUCCAUAACUGACAGGGACUUCGUAUUGCACAGUGAAGCAUCUUCUUUUUUUUUUUUUUACCUAUGUGGUUGCAAAGACUGAUAAUGAUCUAUCAUCACUUUCGUAUCUUUGGUCAUGAAGGUUUCGUUUUAAUCUGACUGUCAUUAAAAGAUGCUAUCCAGAAUUACCUGUAGGAAUUUUCCUUCAAAAGUAAAUGUUAUUUAAAUAUGCAAACCGGUAAAAGAUCUUGACAACUGCAUUGGUUCUAGCAUUUGUUCUUGCAAUGCAUGAUUCAUCUCUGUAAGGCACCCUCAAAAGUUGUGAAACAUAGCUGUCGAGAACGUCAAGAUAUGGCAUUGACCUGUUCCUUUUGCUAUUCCAGCCGGCUUUGGAAGAUGAUGACCGAGAAAAAUUGGUAUAAAAUGGAAAAAAAGAAGGAAGUUUAUGAUUGUGAUAAUUUUCUGGUGGUUCAGCAAUUGCCAUGAUUCAUAAAAGUAUUUAUAAGUAUCCUUUUAUGAUUUGCAAAGCUGCUGUGUGAGAUAAAGAAUUGAUGCAGAGUUAUUAUGAGAACCACAAUUUUAUAGGGAAUAAAAACAAAGCUGCCUAUGAGAUGGCAAUACCUGGAUAUAACCAUGUGCUAACUUUCUUGGUUCAAAAUGGUAUGACAGUUCAAUCUUCAGGAAGUUCUGUAUAUUCAUAGUUAUUAUAUUUUAUUAAUCAAUGCAUAUCUGACAAUGUAGACUUAUUAGACUGUCAUGAUACAUUAAUUUCUAGAUCAACUAGGUCCAGGAAAUUCUGAAACUUUUUUUUUUUUUCCUUAGUUCAAAAGCUGUCAACCUUUUUGAAAUCAUCCUAAACUUUUAAUUUUGAUAUUUCAAAAUUCCGUCAUUUAUUAUAUCUUGCUGCUCUAGGAUGUGAGCUUCACAAUUCGUUCAUUGGGUUCACUUUAAAUCCAGAAUUACAGUCUUUUAGUUUGAAUAUACGAUUUUGAAACUUUUUCUUCUGUACCUUAGAAAACUUAGGUUUAACUACUCGUGUUUGUCAGGUUGAACUAUUGGAUCGUUAAGUUUUUGUAUUCUUCACUUUCUUUUGUCUUAGAUUGUCAAGCUUCAUCUCCUUAUCAUCACCCCGUUUGAGCUUUCUUCAUUCACGGUUAGCAUGUCAUGUCAUCUUACAUUGUUUUGACAUUAUGGAUACGUAACAGAGAUUAUGUUUCUUUUCACUUUAUGUUUAAAUUAGAUAGCAUGAAAAUUCCCAAGUUCACCAUAGAUUGCAUAUAUUGGUCAGUGUUAUUAUACCCUGUUAAUUUCGAGGAUUAUACUGUAGUAGUAUUAAACAAAGAAUAGUUUCUCCGUUAAUUGCUUUAGAGAGAUGUUUUAAUGAAGACUGACCUUGUUUGCUUUAGAGUUGGUGUAUUUAUUUCUCAAUGCUCUAUAUUCAAUAUCUCUGGAUUAGGAUAACUAUCGAGUCUGUGUAUUAUGAUUGGCUGCUCGGCAGCCUCCUGGCUGUCUCUUUUUUUUUUUCAAAAAAAAAACUCUCACUAGAUGGAAUAAAUUUUAACAUAAGCAUGCAUUCCUGUCAGUGUUAUUGCUGCAAUUUGUGCUACUAUCUUAUGCAAACCGAAAGGUUGCCAAAAUUGAAUUUUCAAGUUUGCUUUUGUUUAAAAGUAUUUCUUGAAAUAAAUAAGGUUUAAUUUAUCGAUUCCGACGAACUUUACUAUAAUUAAAGCAAUGAAGCAAAAAUUUCAACCAGACAAAAAUUAAAUUCGAAUUGAAGAAAUACUAAGAUGAUGAUGAACUUCAAUAUAUGAGAUAAUAACAAUCAACUGAAAGCAUAUAUAAUAGUUCCAAAAGGUAAAUUCAGCUUUAUCAAACUUAAAGCUUUUAGAUUUGGUUGUUUGACAAAUAUGGUUGGUAAUGGUGGAAGGCUAGAUUGAAAGGGAAUAAUAGGAUAUUAGGAGAUGAGAGAUACAAAAAGUGCACUGUUCACAUGAUUGCGGGGGAUCCACGAUCGACGAGGAGAGCGGUACACUAAAGGUAGAACUUUGGUCACGGGAAAGAAGAAGAUGAGGUAGUGACUCGAAAGAAGAGGAGGGGUAGAAGUAGAAGUUGAUCUUGUCAUGAGGAAAAAGCGACAACGAACAAAUUGAGGAAAAAGACGAUCUCAGCACGAGGAAGAAGCGUUGAUGAUCUCAUCGGGAAGUAGAACACCAAGGAUAAAUAGUAAAAGUAUAAUUUUCUAUUCAUCAAAAUAUAUUCCUUAAGGCUUCAAAAACCAAGUAUUUAUAGUGUUGAGAGCCCUCCUAUAAUAAAUUACUGUCCUUUCGUUUUCAACAUAACGGUCACUCAAGGGUCAUGUAUAGAAGACGAAGCAAUUUUGGGAAUUCAAAGGUCUUUUUUGGAAUAGUUUUUUUGUUUAUUGGAGAAAAGGGUUUGGAUUAGCUAAACCAACUAAAACUAAAUGAGUUAAGUCCAAAUCAAACAUAAACCUACAAAAUAAAAGAAAAUUGCAUUCGAAAAUAAACUGUGAUUUAUAUGCUGCAUCACUAUCUACAUCACUUUUUAUCUCAGUUCUUGGUUUGAGAUUGAGUUAUUUCUAGUUAAAGUUCAAUUAUGAAGUGUCUUAUCCAUAUAGUUAAAUUUUGUUAAGGAUGAAUUCAGUGCAGUUCAUAUUUGGGUAAUUUUUAAAUUUAGGGUUGUGGAAGUCAUAUUUGCUCAUAUAGUUAUAUUUAUACGUUAAUGCAUUGCUCCUCUUAGAAAUGCUGAAAUUAAAGCAUGGUCUGAUUCUCUUCUACAAAAUGGAUCAUGCUUUUGUCAUUCAUGUACCUUCAUCAUAAUUUUACAUAUCUUCUAUGAUACAGUUCUGAUUACAACAAUGUUUAGUAAAUUCUUUUAAUAUGAUUUUGUGUUGUUUAAUGCAGGAGGAAUUUGACAUUUAUGAUGACAAUUUCAAUUGGUUUCUCAAAUUACAAUUUCUGAAAAAGAGGUCCAAGAUCAUUGAGAUUGUUGCAGCAAAGGAUGUUAUAUUUGCUUUAGCACAAUCUGGUCUCUGUGCUGCUUUUAGCCGGAGUAAGUCUGAUGCUUUUCUAGUUUCCUGUUGACUCUUUUGUUUAUUCUAGUUCUAAUUCGGAUUUUUUUCUUUUUGUUGAUAGCAACAAAUAAGCGUAUAUGCUUCUUGAACAUAAGCCCCGAUGAAGUGAUCAGGAGCUUAUUUUAUAAUAAGAAUAAUGACUCUCUCAUCACGGUUUCCGUUUAUGCGUCAGACAGUUUCAGUUCCUUGAAAUGCCGGACCACUCCAAUAGAGUAAGAAAUGUACUUCCAUGUGAACGCUGAAGUUUUCAAGCAAACUUAAUUCUUCUUGUGUAUAGUUCACACAAUAAUGUACAUAUGUGCACAUACAUUUAUCUACACAAUGUGUGUGUAAAGGUUCUGAUAAGUCCUAAACAACUGAAGAUACAUGUUGACUUUCUUACCUUAAUUAUUAGCUUGUAGUGUGUGAUUUUAGGGUCAACCUUUGCAUGGUUUUCUUGGUAACUAUGGAAAUUGUACCAUGACAAACGUUUCUAUGUUGCUAAUACCUAAAUCCAUAAACUUAAGUUUUUCCUUUCUAAUUCAGUUCCGUGCAGUUCUUACUAUGACUAAUUUUUUGGACUCUGCCAGAUAUAUCAGAAGAAACCAGCUAGAUGCUGGUUAUUCUCUCUUUGAGACCGAAUCAUUAAAAUGGCCUGGUUUUGUUGAGUUUGAUGAUGUCAAUGGCAAAGUUCUUACAUAUUCAGCACAGGAUGGGUAAGUCACCCUCUUGAUGCUUUUCUCUUUACAAACCCUAAUCCAUCUGAUUUAUUUUUUUGCUUACAGUGCUUACAAAUUGUUUGGCAUGCUUACAGUAGUUACAAAGUGUUUGACCUGAAGAACUAUAACUUCUUGUACUCCAUGUCGGAGAAGAAUAUUCAGGACAUCAAAAUAAGGUUUGGUUCCCUUCUUCAUUAAACAUGCAUGUAGAUUAUUUUAUGCAUCUGAAUCUUUUCUUUUCAUAAUCUGAUAUUCGAAAAUCAUGCAUUUGAACAGCCCAGGCAUCAUGCUGUUAGUAUACUCGAGAACUCCUGGCUAUGUUCCACUCAAAAUAUUAUCAAUUGAAGAUGGAACAGUGCUGAAAUCUUUCAAUCACUUACUUCACCGCAACAAGAAAAUUGAUUUCAUCGAGCAGUUCAACGAGAAACUAUUGGUCAAGCAAGAGAAUGAGAACCUCCAGAUUCUCGACGUGGGCUGUUAAUCUUUAUCUUUCUUGUUCUUGAUUUUUUUUCUUUUUAAAUUUAAGAAGCAUAUUAUAAUUCUUGGAGCAGGUGAGGAACUCAGAGCUGGUAGAAGUCAGUAGGACUGAUUUCAUGACCCCCUCUGCGUUCAUUUUCCUCUAUGAGAACGACCUUUUCUUAACAGUCCGGAACGGGGCUGCCGCAGUUUGGAAUUUGCAGGGAGAGCUUGUCACCUCCUUUGAAGACCAUGUGCUUGGGCAACCUGAUUGCAUUGCUAGUAACAUUUACAUCACUAGCAACCAGGACCUGAUAAUCUCAUACUGCAAGGCUGAAAGCGAAGACGAGAGGGAAGGUAUUUAAUUUCUUGAUUAACUGAAAAAUCAUUGCUAUUACUUUCUGCCUUUUUAGCUUGGGCUUCUGAUAAACAGCUGCUCUACUUUAAAAUGCAAUUGCUGCUUGUUUUGGCAAACAAGAAGCCAUGGACCAUUUGUUUUGGCCCGAAGUUAAAUUAAGCUCUCGAAUAUCAAAUGUAGAAGCUCUAAAUUGAAACUUCUGUUUCUGGUGUUGCGAGAUGUUGGGGAACGACAGCAAGGAAAAAGCUGCAUGUGCUUUUUAAAUAGCUUUACUCAACGGUUCUGCGGAAGUUCAGAACAUGCCAGCAGGCCAUUUUAAACUAAAACAUUUGAUUUUAUGAUCUACAAAGAAACCCUCACAGCUUCUCCUAUAGGAUCUAUCAACAUGAGUCACAUCCUCAGCGGGAAGUGUGUUGCCAAGAUCUGUCCCCGUGAUCCAUCUCUACAGAUCGCGCCUCUCAACCAGGGCAACCCCGGCCGGUCUACCAUCAGGAGCACUAUAAGGGAAGCUCUUGAAGAUGUGACUGUGGUCUUCUACAACGAGGAUCGGAACGAAAUAUAUACUGGAAACAAGAAAGGCCUGAUCCAUGUUUGGUCACUUUCCUUUAGAGCCUCUUUAUAAUAUGCGUUUAACCUACCAACCCACGUUUCCCUGUGCUGUUCCUAAAAGUGUACCAGUUUUUUUUUUUUUUUUCCUGUUGAUCUUUUGAUGGCUCCAGGUUUUCUUAUAGAACACAUCAUCUAAUGAAAACAUCAACAUCGAUCACUAAUGUAUAAAGCACUCAAGUUUGAUUCUGAUUUUAAUUUCGUUCUUAUAGAUUCAACAUCUAGCAUUUUAGUCAGUAAAGAUUGAUUUGCGUAACAAUUAACUCCGCAUUGUUAGCAUUAUAGUUAGAUGUUCUUUUUUUAUUCUAGUUUUUCGGUUUCCAAGUCGGACUCCUAAAGAAAUUUGAAACACUGAAGUUCUGUAGACUUAAGGGAAUCAUGGUCAAUCUUCUUCUGUGUUUAGACUGUUACUGCAACCAAAAUUCGUCUUGAACUUCAGAGAUCAAAUUCUGCAAUUAAAUGUUAGCUUAUCGCAAGUGAUAACUUCUGGUGUUCGCUUGGAACGCAUUACCUAUGGAAAGAUUUAGAUUAAUUGCAGUUGAUUGUGUUGAACUUUAAGUUUGAUUACAAUUUUUUGUUCUCAUGGUUUCGACUAUAACAGUGCUAUUAAAGAAGAACAUUUUUUUAACCAUUAAGAAUUGAGGANGGGGGGGGGGGGGGGGGGGGGGGUGGUGUGUGGUGUGGUGGUGGUGGUGGUGGUGGUGUUCUUGGUGCGGAGGAGAUGAGAGUUUCUUGGCUUGUACUGUAGCUCUUUAAAAUUUGAAGUGUUUUCAGAAGGAAUUAUAUGUGGGUAAAUUGCAGCACUAGUUCCUCAACUUUAUAUCGGGUGUCGUUUCAACCCUUUAAAUUUGAAGUAUUUUUAGAAGAAAUUUUAUGUGGGUAAAUGUAACACCCUGGACGACCCGCAACCCGUCGAUACGAGAUGUUGCUGAGACGUGGACGGCGGGGAGGAUGAGGGGCGCCCGAGCUGGAUUGCUUCUACUGGAUUCGGGUAAAAAAGGGGAANCGAUGAUGGCGGGGAGGAUGAUGGCGUUACAAUGGCAUAAUUGCCUCCGAUAAUGCUAGUCAGCUGAGUUGAGAGCGAGAAGGGAAGAAAGGAUUAAAGAGGGAAAAGAGAGGUGAAGGUAGGAGAAGAAGAUGAGACAAGGGAAGGAAGAAAGAGAAUUGGGAAGAAGAAGCUUUACUAUAUUCCAUAUGUUUUUGUUUACAUCAUAAUUUGGCACUUAUACUACUUAGUGAUUCGUACUGAAAUGAAAAUAGCUAUUCUAUGAGGGCUAUAUCGCAAAAGUGAUAAAAAGAGGUGUCGACUGGUUGGGCUACAAUUCAGUGGGGGCUUGGGCCUUAGUUGGAUUCGACCGGACCAAAGCAUCCUCGUAGUCGAACGCGGGUUUGGGGGCACUUCUUCCUCUCAACAUUUCCCCCCAAUCUAGAGUUUUGGUCUUCCGACCCGCCAGUCUCCGAAGAAUUACUACUUCGCCCAGACUCCAGAUUUUGUGUAUCUACUUCUCCGCUCUGAUCUUCUUCUCCUUCCCUGUUUCGGAGGAUGCCCUAGCUUCCUCAUGUCUCCUCCUCCUUCUCCUCCGACGGCUGGCUGGAGGUCUCCCUAAGCACCUUCGACCUGAUUAGCCUCCAAGCUCACCCUUUUCCAUCUUGCGGCUGCCACUUAUCUCGCCUCUAUUAAGUAAAGUUGCUCCCCCCCCCCUUUUUUUACUAAUUACUUCUACUGUUUAUUCUAUAGGUCUUACAACUCCUCCCCGCUUCAGAAGACUUGUGGCCUCACGGAUCGUGCUCCGAAUCAAAGUUCGGGAACUGGGACUUCGGGAACUGGGACUUAAGAAACUAGUAAUCCUCCCAAGUGGCUGCUCCUUCGUCCAAGUUUUCCCACUUCACCAGCACUUGGCUAGCUAUUCUGUUCCCUUGCUUCAUCAUGCGCCUCUCCAAUAUUCACUCCGGCUAUGCGAGCAGCUGACCAUCUCCCCCGACCAAGGGCACCGUUAGGGUUACUGGUGAGUUCGUUGGGGGGGCUUCUUUUCAACAAUGAUACAUGGAACACCGAGUGGAUCUUGGAUUCUUCUGGUAGCUGCAGUCGAUACACCAUCUUUCCAAUCUUCUCCAUGAUUUUAAAAAGUCCGGAGUAUCGCACGAAGAGCUUCAGGUUUCGCCUAACUGCGACGCUCACUUACCGAUAAAGUUGCAGCUUUAGGUAUACAUACUCUCCUACUCUCCUACUUGUCGGUAUUCUACUUUAUGCGGUUUUGGGGUUCUAGCAGUCUUUCCCUGAGUAGUCGGGUCAUCCUUUCUUGUUCCCUUCCCCACUCUUAUAUUGUAUGUGAUGUUUCCAUUCCUAAAUUCACAACCAAACCAUUGGGCGGCAGAUGUCCGUAGAGAGCCUGGUAGGGUGUUGUUCCCAGCGAGUUGUGGUAAUUGGUGUUAUACCACUAUUCCACCAUACUAAGCCAUUUAUGCCAUGUAUGUGGCUGAUGAGAGCACAUGCAACGGAGGUAAGUCUCGAGGCACUGGUUUAGCCUCUUGGAUUGGUCGUCGGUUUAUGGGUGGUAGGUUGUGCUCAUUAACAAUUUAACUCCCAACAGUUUAAAUAUUUCUUGCCAUAUCUGACUUGUGAACACCUUGUCUCGGUCUGUCAGUAUCGUUCUGGGCAACCCGUGCAGUUUAUAGACUGUGUCGAGGAAGGCUCUCGCGACGCUUGAGGCUGUGAAGGGGUGGGUCAAGGAGAGGAACUUGGCAUACUUGGUGAGUAGGUCUAUCACCACUAACACUGUGUCUUUGCCUUCCAAUUUUGGUAGGGCUUCAAUAAAAUCCAUAGUAAUUUCUCGCCAUGCCCUUGUAGGAACCGACAAGGGUGGAAGUAAACCAGCGUAGGGUUGACCGUUCACUUUAUUUUGUAUGCAAACCGUGCAGUUCUUGGUGUAGUUUUCUACAUCUUGUUUGAGACCUGGCCAGCAAAAGUAUUGUUUGUCUUUUGUAGGUGUGCCACGCCCCCGAGUGGCCUCCCAGGGCCGACGAGUGCAACUGGCUCGAUAUUCUCUCCUUGAUGUCACCUUGGUCCUCCAUGUAAAUCCUUUCCUUGUAUCGUAACAAGCCUUGGGUGUAGGUGUAUUGCGAGUGUGGUGUGGGCUGUAACCGCAAUUUGGCAAUUAUCUGCUUGCACUUCUCGUCAUCCUUGUAGCUGGCAGUCACUUCUGUUACCCAACUAGGGAUCGCCGCCGUGACAGCAGCUGUGGCUCCUUCAAUCCCCCUUCUAAAUAACGAAUCCGCAGCUCUAUUCUUCUUACCUGCUUUGUAAUGUAUCACGUAGUCGAGGCCCAUAAGCUUAACCAUCCCUUUCUAUUGAAAAGCCGUGGUAAUCUUCUGCUCUAAUAAGUGGUUGAGACUUUGGUGGUCCGUCUUGAUUAUGAACUGUCGUGGGCGGAGGUAGUGCUUCCAUUUAUUCAUCGCCAACAAUAUUGCUAGGAACUCCUUCUCGUAGGUCGAUAGCCCUAUAUUCCGUGGGUUGAUGGCCUUGCUAAUGUAAGCGAUCGGUCGCCCUCCUUACGAUAGCACCGUUCCCAGUCCCUGUCCACAUGCGUUCAUCUCUAUAGUGAAAGGUUUGGUAUAAUCGGGCAUCGCUAGUACAAGCGCUUAAGUGAUGGUCCUCUUCAGUUUCUCAAAAGUGGUUGUACUUCCGGACUCCACUUGAAUUGGUCAUUCCUUAACAAUUUUGUUAGUGGUUUGGUCAUUUUGCCGUAGUCCUAGAUAAAUCUCCUAUAGCACCCGGUGAUACCCAAGAACCCCUUGACCCUUAAGGAAAGUUGGUGUCGGCCAAUUCACCAUCCUCUAUCUUUUUCGGGUCCGUAGCCAUUCUCUCCGGGGUGAUAAUAUAGCCUAAAUAUUCCAUGUUCCUUUGGCCAAAGUAACAUUUUGAUCUCUUGGCGUAGAGUCGAUGCUCGCGCAAGGUCUCCAGCACUUUGCCCAAAUGUUCCUUAUGCUCCUCGAGACUCUUGCUAUAGAUCAAUAUGUUGUCAAAAAAACCAACACAUACUUUCUAAGGUACUCCGCAAAAACAUUGUUCAUUAUUGAUUGAAAGAUCGCUGGUGCGUUGGUCAGUCCAAAUGGCAUUACCAAGAAUUCAUAGUGGCCCGAAUGGGUCCGAAAGGCGGUUUUAUAAAUAUCCUCCGGUUUCAUUCUAAUUUGUUGAUAUCCGGCUCUUAAAUCGAUCUUAGAAAAAUAGGAAGCACCACCCAAUUCGUCUAAUAGGUCAUCAAUUAAAGGGAUAGGAUAUUUAUCCUUCACAGUGGCCUUAUUUAAUUGCUGGUAGUCCACACAAAACCUCCAUGAAUUAUCUUUCUUCUUAACUAACAAUACCGGGGGGCGCAUAAGGACUCGUGCUAGGUUGAAUGAUAGCCGACUCCAACAUCUUCUUGAUUUGCCUUUCGAUUUUGUUUUUCUGCUUGUACGAUUAGCGAUAUGGUCAAAUGUUGACUGGGUGGGUGUCCCGUUGUAAUGAAAUUCUAUGGUCUUACCUCUUUCUUGGAGGUAACUCCCUUGGUUCCUUGAACACAUCGUCGUAUCGCUGUAGCACUCUUUGGAUCUUCUCGGGUACCAUCGGCUCUUGUCUUUUGUUGACUUGCAUAAUUCUCACUAUGGCGCAGAAGACCCCUUCCUAGCAGUCCUUGUACCAUUCCUUGGCAGUGAGCAUCUUUAAUUUAUUUCCUUCUGCCAGUCCUUUGAGUAUUAGUUGCUGUCCGUCCUUAUCGAACGACACCGUAUUGUUGGUGUAGUCGAAAGUAACCUUGCCACACAUCCGUAACCAGUCUAUCCUAAGCACCACACUAGAGCCUUCGAGUCGGAUUAUUCUCAAGUCAGCCUUAUAGGGUUGACUAUUCAUCUUCCAAGUGAAUCCCGGGCAUCUCAGCUUGCUCAUUAUUUUGUGGCUGUUAGCAACAGUGAACAGCAAUGGUGCUGCUGACUCAACCUUUCCUUCACCUCCUUAGCCACUCUAAAAUCCAGGACGCUAUGCAUGCUUCCAAUGUCUACCAGUAUCUUCAAGAUCUUGUUUCCUACUUCUCUUUGGAUUUGGAGGGUCUGUUGUUGGUUUUCUCUACUAAGAGCAUUAAAAGAUAAGCCCACUUCCUCAGUCUCCUCUGGUGGGGAGUCCUCUGCCUCCUUCCCAUGUUCGAUUUCUUCUUCUUCAAUCAGACACUCCUCAUCAUACACCUUCAGUACAUUGUCCUCGGCUGGCAUACUGAAUAGGGACUUGUUCUUGCAUUGAUGCCCCGGGUGAUAUCUUUCGCUGCACUUAAAACAUUGGUUUGCUGCCCUUCGUUGUUCCAUCAACCUCCUGCGCUCCUAGUGCAAGUGGUUUGAAUCCCAGGAUAUACCUUGAGUUGGCACCUUGUUAGAUUCCUUGGGUUUGAUCGGACUUGCUCCUGCAGGAGCUCUGGCUCCACAGAAUGUCGUGUAGUUUUUUCCUGGUACCUUGCUAGUUGGCUUAUGCUUCCUAUGCAUUACUAUGAGGGCCCUGUCAUGUAAUUUAGCAGCCCAAAAGCAUCCUCCAGCGUGGUUGGAUGCGAUAUAUUCAUAAAGGGCAUUAGUUCCUCCUUCAAUCUAUUGAUAUAGCAUGCUGUGAAGAACUCUUCGUCAAGAUAUGGGUUGUAUUGUAAUAUCUGUGAUCUCAACUCCUCAAACCUUUCUUGGUAUUUUUCAAUAGACCUGAGUUGUUUAUGGUUGCCAAAUUCACAAAUCAAAUAGCGCUCCCUGACAUUCGCAAAUCGCUUACAGAUGGCUUCUGAAAACUCCUCCGAACUCACCCCAGGUCGAUUGAUAAAGUAUCCUUGCUUCCAAGUGGGCGCCUUCCCUAUAAUGUGCUUAGUAGCCACCCUUAGCCAUUGAGGUCGAGGAAUCUGAUAAAGGUCAAAAUAUUAUUCGCAAUUCUACAACCACCCUUUAGGAUCCUUGCCGUUGAAUUAAGAAAAUUCUAACUUGGGAUAAGAAAGGUACUGUUGAUGAGGCCCUUGAGUUCUUGUCGGCCAAGGUGGUAUCUAUUCUUCCUUGAUCACCUACAUUGGCAGUGGCGUCGGUAGAAUUCCUUUACCCUUGUUAUCUCGGAUAUAAACAGGUGUGUUGCUACUUACCGCUCUGAUAUUCUCUUGACUUCUUCCUGCAGGAUUGCUCCCUAUGGAGCUAUGGGCGGCCUUGAGUUGAGACGGCAGAGCGGAUAUCAUCCUCAACAACUCCGCGUGCAGCCUUUGCUCUUCUUCUCUCGACUCCGCUAACUGAUGAGGCAACCUAUUGAUCCUUGUCUCAUGGUCCGUGCUCAGGUGCUCUAGGCGCUCUUCGAGGGAACUAACUUGGUCGCUUAGAUCCUUCAUUCUUUUGGCCCCUACCAUCUCUAUAUCUCUGGAUGUGAAUUUAAAUUUGUUCUGUCUUUUCUUCCCAAUGGUUGGUUGGCUAGUAAUAUUAUCGAACACUUGAUGCACUCUGUUGGUGUGCGGUUCCCUUGAAUGCUAGAUGCCCGCAGUAUGACUCCGUCCAUAAUAAGUUGGCUACCCUAAGAUCUAGCCGCUCUAAUAUCAGUUUGUAACAUCCCGGACAACCUGCAACCCGACGAUGACGAGAUUUUGCCGAGACAAGGAUAGCGGGGAGGAUAAUGGCGUUACAAUGGCAAAAUUGCCUCCGAUAAUGCUAGUCGGCUGAGUUGAGAGCGAGAAGGGAAGAGAGGGUUAAAGAGGAGAAAGAGAGGUGAAGGUACGAGAAAAAGAUGAGACAGGGGAUGGAAGGAAGAGAAUUGCGAAGAAGAAACUUUACUAUAUUCUAUAUGUUUUUGUUUACAGCAUAAUUUGGCACUUAUAUUGCCUAGUGAUUCGUACUGAAAUAAAAAUAGCUAUUCUAUGAGGGUUGUAUCGCAAAAGUGAUAAAAAGAGGUGUGGACUUGUUGGGCUGCAAUUCAGUGGGGGCUUGGGCCUUAGUUGGGUUCAGCCGGUCCAAAGCAUCCUAGUAGUCGGACGCGGGUUAGCGGACCCCUCCUCUUCUCAACUCUCCGAAUAGCGGGUUUUGGGUCCGCCAUUUCCCCUCGAUCCAGAGUUUUGGUCCUCCAACUCGCAAGUCUCCGAAGUAUUACUACUUCGCCCAGACUCCAGAUUUUGUGUAUCUACUUCUCCGCUCUGAUCUUCUCCUCCUUCCCUAUUUCGGAGGAUGCCCUAACUUUCUCAUGCCUCCUCUUCCGACGGCUGGCUGGAGAUCUCCCUAAGCACCUCCGGCCUGAUCAGCUCCCGAGCUCACUCUUUUCGACCUUGCGGUUGUCGCUUAUCUCGCCUCUACUAAGUAAAGUUGCUACUUUUCUCCCCAUUUUUUUACUAAUUACUUCUACUGUUUAUUCUAUAGGUCUUACAGUAAAUUGCAGCACUAGUCUCUCAACUUUAUAUCGGGUAUCUUUUCAACCCUUUAAAUUUGAAGUAUUUUCAGAAGGAAUUAUAUGUGGAUAAAUUGCAGCACUAGUCCCUCAACUUUAUAUUGGGUAUUGUUUCAGCCUUCAAUCUUUUGAGUUUGGUAUAAGUGGUCCCUAAAUUUUUAGAAGUAAUUUUUUCUUAACCCUUAUGCAUUGGUCAAUUAAUAUAUAUGUAUUUAUCAACAACUUUUUCUAUCAUAUUUUUCAAUCCUACAAUCUAUUAAAAAUUGGACAUCUAAAUUUAAAUUAUGAGACGAAUGAAUAAAAAAUAAAUUCAUGGUGUAGUAAAAAAUAGUUGAACUAGAUAUAAAUGAUAAUUUUUUAAUUUAAGAUAGAAAUUAUGUAGUGUAUUGAAUUCCAGUAUACUUUUCUGAACUUUGGCUAAAUUGAAUAAAGUACGGAGAAAAUGGUGUAUGAGAUUAUUGGAGAAAGUUUAGAAGCAAAAGUUAUGGGUUGAGUGAAAAUUUUAUUGAAUAAGAGGGGUUAAGUUGUAACUAUGUUGGGGCUUAAGGAUAAGAUCUAGCUCUUCUACUCUCUCUUUUGUCUUCUACCCAUACAAGAGAAAAAAAAAAAACCCGUUCUUUUUAUCUAAACCCUUUUUCCUUACUCUUUAACAGCUCUCUCUCUCUUUCUCUUGUAACCCCUCCAUCAAAAGAGGAAAUAUUGGAGAUUUUGGUAGCUUCAAAUUGGAGAAGUUUGGAAGAACUCUCUAAUGGUGGAUCAAGCUUCUUGACUAUUGUGACUAAGGUGAGAUUUAUGAAUUAGAAUUAGAGUUUUAGUUAAAUCUUUUGUAAAUGAGAUAUUUGAGAUCCCUAGGUGUUUCUAAACUAGUUUAAUCAAAGGGUUCACCAUGAUUUUGGGUGUUCUUGAGGAUUUGGAAACCUAAGGUAUGGAAUUGGGGUUUUUGUCCCUAAGAGUGCUGAAAUCAAAUUGAUCUUGUAAAUCCCUAAUUGUAAGAUAGUUUGACGCAGGAGACAACUCCGAUUUGGAUUACGACAAGAUUACAACGUCCGAUUAGAGGAAUUUGAGAAAUUUCAUUCAUUAGGCUUGAAGCGUGCCGAAUCGACAUCAGAGAGCCAAUUGCUUUAACAUCCUAGCAAUUGGUAAUUAACUAAAGUGGAUGGUGCUCUUUGAAAUGGUUUGAUUUAUCCCUAUGUCUAACUCUAUUCAUUGAACAUAAAUGCAUGAAUAUGUGAUUAUGUAUCAUAGGACUUAAGUUAUCCUUUUCCAUAUGAAUUGUAUGCUUCCCAAGGUAAUGAAUAAACAAUUGCAAUUGAGAACUUUAUACUUAUGAUGCAUGAUUUUUGAACCCUAGAGAUACAAGAACUAGUAGGUUGUCUGGACGUAGAAAACAUAGUGAAAUACUAGGUGUCAUUGUGCUACGUGUCGAUCAUGAACCUAGUGAUAGAACUAUGGUUUGGGUGUAACCUGUUGUACAUGUAGAGAACUAUAACACCGUGUUGAGAUUAUACAUGUAGUAUGUACUAGAUGUUCUGUGAUAGUCACAUAUACUGUGAGCUAUUACAUGCUUAGCCAUUGUUGGAUAAAAUUAAUUAAAUACCCAAAAAUCAAUCGUCGCAAAAAUCACAUAGAUUUUUACAUACCUCUUUAUGGUGCGGAAUUAAUGUUGUAAUUACCAGGAUCUGAUCUCGUCUUGUUUUACGAACUCGUUGAUCCGCCAACGUCCUGUCUCAAUUUGUUGCACGUUGUUCUUACUCGUUGCAAUCCGGCUACUAGAGUCGAUCGCCGCCCACCGCCCAAAUCCCUAGGGUUUAUGAUGGUGCCCUAUAGCGAACCCAAAAGAGAGAAUUUUUGUGGAGAGAUGAUUCUUCUUUUUUUUUUAUUGUCUUUUUUCUGUCGUAUAUGGUCAAUACCUCAUGUAUUUAUAGGCCAUAAGGGAGACGUUAAUCCUAAUCAUAUUCUAACUAAAUCUUACAUAGAUAAAGAUUUAAACAGAUUAGGAUUUAUCUGUUAGAUUUAUUCUUUAUCCCAAGUGGACUAGGAAUAUAACAGAUAAUUAUAAAUAUUUAUUUCUUAUCCCAUAUGGAUUAGAAAUAUUUUAGAUAAGUCCCAAUGUGGACGAAUCCUAACAUCUCCCACUCGUACACACUUGAUACUUCUUCAUACUUUCUCAUACCAAAUAUAUUCUCAUCUCGUUCUGCUCUUCGGAUGGGAAAUGAUUGGUGCGAUCAAUAACGAGAAGAAUCAUAAGUGAGGAGUGUUAUAUUAAGCCACCAUCCGAACUAACAUAACACCACAACUCCAAAUCUCGUCUAUACCCCAAAUCAAUGAACUACACCAGAUCAUAGCAUCUCUAAUCCCAUAGAGCAAGCUAGAUCUCUCUCAUUAAUGUAUUUGUUCUCAUGAUUAUAUUGACAACAAAUAUCAACAUAAUCGCCCGGGCAAUGAGUAACAAAUCAUAGGUGUAUUAUCAAAUAAUUUUUCCUUAGAUGCCUCAUGUCAAUCCAUUUCAACUUGACUGCUUUCCUAGACAUGUUCCGCUGGACCGAAUCAAUCAUGGCCCUUGGAUAUCAUGCUAAAGUAGCAUCAUCAAGUAUCCACUUCAUAACAUGGUUCUAAGUCUCAAAGGGUACGAAAGCUCACACAGUGACGAAACGGGAAUCAAUUUCGUCACUCUCUAAAAUAUAGUGAUCGAUCUUGCACAUACGGUAUGAACGUAUACUAUAGUGGAGCUACCUCUAAGGACAUGUCACGCUCAAAACACCAUACAAAUAUCGAUUUUGUUGUAACUCAAGAGAACAAACCUCAAGACAGUCACCUACAUGGUGUCUUCUUUACAUUCGGCUUCAUACAGGCCGAGUAGAGUCGUGGAUCAUCUCUACUGUCCACUUUGUACAGUCCCAUCUUAACUCAUCUAAGGCGACAUUCAAGAUUUAAAUACUCGCUAGCUCUUAUAGCGCAAAGUGGAUCACCUGCAUUACUAAUUGCAUUUAUGUGAUGUUAUUUGUCUCAUCCUGCUCGCUCUCCUCGCGACAAGGUGAUCACCCGUGUGAGAGGGCUGAUCAAGGGCCUGGUGACAUUCAUUCUCACAAAGAUAUUGUGCACUAAUUUAAAAUUUAAUAAACAUGUAUAUGAUUGAAAAAGAUAUCAAAAACAUUUAUUAGCAAAAUUAUUAAUACAAGAUAUAUAAGAGUCAAGUCCUACACAAACCCAAUCCUUUAACAUGUUUAUGAAAAACAUUUCUAACAAGGGGUUUGGUAAAAGGAUCUACUAUCAUAUCAUCAGUAUAUGCAAAUUUAAUUACAAUCUGUCCCUGUGCAAUUAUAUCUCUAAUGAAGUGAUAUCUAGUCUCAAUGUGUUUAGAUCUUCCAUGAUAUUUUGGAUCCUUGGCAUAAGCUAUUGCUGCUUUAUUGUCACAAUAGAUAAUAACAGCAUCAUCAGCAUGAGCUGUUACACUCAAAUUUAUCAUAAAUCUCCUUAGCCAAACAGCCUCUUGUACUGCUGCUGUACAUGCAAUGUACUCCGAUUCUAUAGUCGAUAAGGAGACAUAUGGUUGCUUCUUGCUACACCAUGAAAUAGCAGCUCCUCCAAAUAUAAACGCAUAUCCCGAGGUAGAUUUGCGUUCAUCUUUAUCUGUGGAUCCAUCAGCGUCUGUGUAUCCCGUCAAUCUAAGCUCUCCUCCAUGAUAGCAUAGAGCAAGGUUCGCAGUACCUCGCAGAUAUCUGAAAAUUCUUUUAACUGCUUGCCAAUGUGCUGCACCAGGAUUACUCUGAUAUCGACUAACCAUGCCAACAGCGAAACAUAUGUCUGGUCGAGUACACAUCAUUGCAUACAUCAAGCUGCCGACUACACUCGUAUAUGGGACUUUUUUCAUUUGCUUUCUCUCUUCUUCUGUUUUAGGGCACUGUUCAAGGCUAAGAUAAUGACCCAUUUCCAUUGGAGUGUCAAUAGGCUUCGAAUUAUGCAUUCGGAAUCGCUCCAAAAUUCUUUUGAUGUAAGUCUCUUGAGACAAACUUAAGAAUUUUCGAGAUCGAUCCCUAUGGAUCUUGACUCCCAAUACAUAAUCCGCUUGUCCCAUGUCCUUCAUCUCAAAAGUAGAGGACAACCACUCCUGUGUGGUGAUUAUUAACUCCAUAUUAUUUCCGGCCAACAAGAUAUCGUCUACAUAUAGUGAAAGGAUAAGAAAACUUUUUUCUUCCCUUUUAACAUACACGCAAUGGUCUUCUUCGAUCAUCACAAAGCCUAUUGAAAUAAUUGCUCUAUGAAAACGUUGAUACCAUUGCCUAGAUGAUUAUUUCAAACCGUAAAUAGAACGUUUUAAGCGGCACACUGUGCGCUCUUGUCCUUCGGCUAUAAAACCAGGAGGUUGAUUCAUAUAAAUCUCCUCGUCUAGUUCUCCAUUGAGAAAUGCAGUCUUCACAUCCAUUUGGAAUAGUUCCAAAUCUAAAUGUGCGACGAUAGCCAGAAUCAGGCGAAUUGAAGCAAACCUCACCACUAGGGAGAAUGUCUCUUCAUAGUCUACUCCCUCCUUUUGGGUGUAUCCUUUCGCCACUAGUCGGGCCUUAUAUUUAUCAAUUGAUCCAUCUGCCUUCCGUUUUAUUUUAAAAAUUCAUUUAUUUCCAAUAGUUUUUCGUCCAAAUGGAAGAUCAACUAACUCCCACACAUUAUUCUUAGUUAUGGAACUCAUCUCAUCCUCCAUAGCAGCUAGCCAUUUAUCACAAACUGGUGAACUCAUAGCUUCAGCAUAAGAAGCCGGCUCAUCAACAUCCGUAGAAGCACACAUGAACGAUUUCCCUUCAAUCUCAAAUCGACGACGAGGAACACCUCCACGUUUACUUCUUCGUAAUGAUGGACUUUGUGAGCCAUGGUCAAUCGGCACACUCCCACUGACCAUAGGAUCACUCCCAUUGUUUUGGGCUAUUUCUUCAUGUGGCCUCAGUGCCUCAUUCUCGUCUAACAAUGGGACAUUUCCAUUAGGUUCUUGCAACUCGUAUAGUGCAAGAUCCUUUUUAAUCUCACCAAUGUCUGGAAAAUCAUUCUCAAGAAAAUCCACAUUGCGCGACUCUAUCUUAGUCAUUCCUCCAUCAGGAUGCUUGCCAUACAUCACAUAGCUUUUCGAGCAAUCAGAAUAUCUAAUAAAUAUUUGUUUAUUUGCUCUAGGGCCUAACUUUCCAUAUUUAUGAAAAGUAUUAUGCACAUAUCCUGCCGAUCUCCAUGGUCGUAAGCCUUCCAAAUUUGGCUUUAUUCCAUGCCAUAACUCAUAGGGAGUUGAAGGAACUGACUUAGAGGGCACUCGGUUAAGUAUAUAGGCAGCAGUCAACAACGCAUCACCCCAAAAAUUAAUUGGGAGGUUGGCUUGCGCCAUCAUUGACCUAACCAUUUCCAAAAGUGUCCUAUUCCUCCUCUCUGCAACACCAUUUUGUUGCGGAGUACCGGGAAUAGUUAACUAUUUGCGUAUUCCCUUUUCCUCACAUAGUUCCCUGAACUGGUCUGAUAAAUACUCUCGUCCUCUAUCAGUACGUAGAACUUUUAGAGUUCUUUCUGUUUGGUUCUCAACCUCCACUAAGAAGCGUUUAAAAUAAUCUAAAGCUUCUGAACGGUGAGACAACAAAUAUACCGAACAAUAACGGGAGUAGUCAUCAAUGAAAGUGAGGAAAUAGUACGCGCCAUGGCGUGCUCUCACAUCAUAGGUCUGCAUAUGUCUGAAGGAACUAGCUCCAAUGGAUGAGUUACGUGCCUUACCAAAAGGCUUUCUGCAGGUUUUUCUUGCUAAACAUGGUUCACAAUGAGGUAGGCUAAGCUUAGCGAGUGACCCCAACAGGCCUUCUCUAGCUAGUCGAGCCAUUCUUUCUUGUCCAAUGUGACCCAAUCUCACAUGCCAUUUGAUAGAAUCAGAUACAAUAUCAGAAGAAACUAAUAAAGCAGAAUUAUUGUUAUGAUUAAUAAAAUCCAAGUCCAAAUCUAAGACAAAGAAAUCAUUCUUUAAACAACCAUUACCAUAAAAGUCCUUGCCCAAAUAAAUAUCUAAUUGAGUAUCCGUAAAUUGAAAAGAAAAACCUAAUCUAAGUAAAGCUGAAACUGACAGUAGAUUACAUCGGAUGUUCGAUGCAUACAGCACAUCAUGUAAUAUCAAAUAAUGACCAUUGCACAAUCUAAGUUGGUAUGCGCCAAUUCCAAAGACUUCUUCCUCAGUGCCGUUUCCCAUCAUGACAUAAUGGCUGCUAGCAGACACCUGACGAUAAUCCACAUAUCCUGCUCGAUCUCUCGUUACAUGCUUUGUUGCUCCUGUGUCUACAAUCCAAUCGAAGAGAGCGUGAGCAACAAAAGCGUGCGAGCAUACAUAAAUAAGAUAGUCAGAAUUGGAAUUUACCUUCUUCGGCUCAGUGCAAUCACAAGCGAAGUGUCCCAUAUUUCUACAGUUAUAGCAUUUCACUUUAUUUAAAUUUUUCUUUCCACGCCUGCCUUUGCGGCGCUUCUCAAUUCCGCCCUCAUUCGGCGCGCGAUUCCCAGUCUUUGCAUAUUUAUUUUCUCCAUUUCGGCACUUGUGCUUAGGCCACUUGCCUCUGCGCUGUCCACCGUGGGCAACGAGUGCAUUGGCACGGUUCGCCUCUCUACGCUCCGCUUUCAACUCAAGAUGUCGAGCUAUAUCGUUGAAGGUCUUGAUACUUUUAUUAUGAGUCAGCACAAUCUUGAUUUGAUCCCAAGAUGAAUCUGGUAAGGACCUUAUAAUUGAUUGAACCUGUUGUCCACCAGUGAGCUCACAAUCGGCUGCUUUAAAUGUCGGAUCGUUGGCGCUAACCAUUAAUCCCAAAAGCUCGAGCUGUUAAAAAUACGCAACCAAUUCAAUUAAAGCGUACAGAAACAGUGCCCACGGGUCUCGAUUGUGACUCGGCCCACCUGGCCUCACACCACUUCGAACAUGACUCGGCCCAACCCAGCCUCACGCCAUUUCGAACAUGACUNNNNNNNNNNNNNNNNNNNNNNNNNNNNNNNNNNNNNNNNNNNNNNNNNNNNNNNNNNNNNNNNNNNNNNNNNNNNNNNNNNNNNNNNNNNNNNNNNNNNNNNNNNNNNNNNNNNNNNNNNNNNNNNNNNNNNNNNNNNNNNNNNNNNNNNNNNNNNNNNNNNNNNNNNNNNNNNNNNNNNNNNNNNNNNNNNNNNNNNNNNNNNNNNNNNNNNNNNNNNNNNNNNNNNNNNNNNNNNNNNNNNNNNNNNNNNNNNNNNNNNNNNNNNNNNNNNNNNNNNNNNNNNNNNNNNNNNNNNNNNNNNNNNNNNNNNNNNNNNNNNNNNNNNNNNNNNNNNNNNNNNNNNNNNNNNNNNNNNNNNNNNNNNNNNNNNNNNNNNNNNNNNNNNNNNNNNNNNNNNNNNNNNNNNNNNNNNNNNNNNNNNNNNNNNNNNNNNNNNNNNNNNNNNNNNNNNNNNNNNNNNNNNNNNNNNNNNNNNNNNNNNNNNNNNNNNNNNNNNNNNNNNNNNNNNNNNNNNNNNNNNNNNNNNNNNNNNNNNNNNNNNNNNNNNNNNNNNNNNNNNNNNNNNNNNNNNNNNNNNNNNNNNNNNNNNNNNNNNNNNNNNNNNNNNNNNNNNNNNNNNNNNNNNNNNNNNNNNNNNNNNNNNNNNNNNNNNNNNNNNNNNNNNNNNNNNNNNNNNNNNNNNNNNNNNNNNNNNNNNNNNNNNNNNNNNNNNNNNNNNNNNNNNNNNNNNNNNNNNNNNNNNNNNNNNNNNNNNNNNNNNNNNNNNNNNNNNNNNNNNNNNNNNNNNNNNNNNNNNNNNNNNNNNNNNNNNNNNNNNNNNNNNNNNNNNNNNNNNNNNNNNNNNNNNNNNNNNNNNNNNNNNNNNNNNNNNNNNNNNNNNNNNNNNNNNNNNNNNNNNNNNNNNNNNNNNNNNNNNNNNNNNNNNNNNNNNNNNNNNNNNNNNNNNNNNNNNNNNNNNNNNNNNNNNNNNNNNNNNNNNNNNNNNNNNNNNNNNNNNNNNNNNNNNNNNNNNNNNNNNNNNNNNNNNNNNNNNNNNNNNNNNNNNNNNNNNNNNNNNNNNNNNNNNNNNNNNNNNNNNNNNNNNNNNNNNNNNNNNNNNNNNNNNNNNNNNNNNNNNNNNNNNNNNNNNNNNNNNNNNNNNNNNNNNNNNNNNNNNNNNNNNNNNNNNNNNNNNNNNNNNNNNNNNNNNNNNNNNNNNNNNNNNNNNNNNNNNNNNNNNNNNNNNNNNNNNNNNNNNNNNNNNNNNNNNNNNNNNNNNNNNNNNNNNNNNNNNNNNNNNNNNNNNNNNNNNNNNNNNNNNNNNNNNNNNNNNNNNNNNNNNNNNNNNNNNNNNNNNNNNNNNNNNNNNNNNNNNNNNNNNNNNNNNNNNNNNNNNNNNNNNNNNNNNNNNNNNNNNNNNNNNNNNNNNNNNNNNNNNNNNNNNNNNNNNNNNNNNNNNNNNNNNNNNNNNNNNNNNNNNNCCUCAGCCCCUGCCAGGGCGUACAAUUUGUGCGUACGUACCUCCACGUCCGAUCUCACGCGAUUCGAUACAUAAAAUGUCGCGCCUUUUGCGAAUUUUCCGAAUUGCCACCUUUGACCUCUUAACGAAAACUUCGCAAUUACCAGAGAUCCGUCAGUCGGAUUUUCGAUCCGACAGCACCAUUGCGUUCAGCACGUCGGGGGCAUCAAAACUACGAUCUUAUUUCGUCAGAUAUGGUCACGGAUUCGCAACGGAACCCAUCCGCUCUCUAAUUAAUCCAUAUAUCGCACAUAUACCAAUGUGUAAACCCAUUAAACCAACUUUCGCAUAAGAAAUUGACUUCCCUACCACUAGUAGGGACUCGAAACAUUCUUCACCCUACUCCAUGUCACAAGCACGGAGUACGAGAAGCUUUAGAAUGCACAGAAAAGCAAAGAGCGGAAACCCUCUUUCGGUAAAAAUCCUUUUUCUCGAAAAUCGUGCAUCAGAUCAGAAAUCCGUCAGUGCCAUUGGUUCCAGAAUAGCUGAACCGAUCGAAACGAGCUAUUGGAUCGCUAUGAACGGAGUCCGAUACGCGCCGAAAGCCAACUCUACUCCGUGGCUUCUCCGAAAAACCGGAGUUACUAUUCAUUUAAGUGGAAACUAAUAAUCGCGUAACUUCUCCAUUCUAGCUCAUAUUCUCCUGAAACUUGACGAGUGCUUAUGUAAUUAAAUUACACACAUAAACAUCAUCAACAGAGAGUUUAGUUGCAUUGUCAAAAUCUCAGUCCCUACACUCCCACUGACCAUAGGAUCACUCCCAUUGUUUUGGGCUAUUUCUUCAUGUGGCCUCAGUGCCUCAUUCUCGCCUAACAAUAGGACAUUUCCAUUAGGUUCUUGCAACUCGUAUAGUGCAAGAUCCUUUUUAAUCUCACUAAUGUCUGGAAAAUCAUUCUGAAGAAAAUCCACAUCGCGCGACUCUAUCUCAGUCAUUCCUCCAUCAGGAUGCUUGCCAUACAUCACAUAGCCUUUCGAGCAAUCAGAAUAUCUAAUAAAAAUUUGUUUAUUUGCUCUAGGGCCUAACUUUCCAUAUUUAUGGAAAGUAUUAUGCACAUACCCUGCCGAUCCCCAUGGUUGUAAGCCUUCCAAAUUUGGCUUUAUUCCAUGCCAUAACUCAUAGGGAGUUGAAGGAACUGACUUAGAGGGAACUCGGUUAAGUAUAUAGGCAGCAGUCAACAACGCAUCACUCCAAAAACUAAUUGGGAGGUUGGCUUGUGCCAUCAUUGACCUAACCAUUUCCAAAAUUGUCCUAUUUCUCUUCUCUGCAACACUAUUUUGUUGCGGAGUACCGGGAAUAGUUAACUAUUUGUGUAUUCCCUUUUCCUCACAUAGUUCCCUGAACUGGUCUGAUAAAUACUCUCGUCCUCUAUCAGUACGUAGAACUUUUAGAGUUCUUUCUGUUUGGUUCUCAACCUCCACUAAGAAGCGUUUAAAAUAAUCUAAAGCUUCUGAACGGUGAGACAACAGAUAUACCGAACUAUAACGGGAGUAGUCAUCAAUGAAAGUGAGGAAAUAGUACGCGCCAUGACGUGCUCUCAAAUUCAUAGGUCCGCAUAUGUCUGAAUGAACUAGCUCCAAUGGAUGAGUUGCUCUACGUGCCUUACCAAAAGGCUUUCUGCAGGCUUUUCCUGCUAAACAUGGUUCACAAGGAGGUAGGCUAAGCUUAGCGAGUGACCCCAAUAGGCCUUCUCUAGCUAGUCGAGCCAUUCUUUCUUGUCCAAUGUGACCCAAUCUCGCAUGCCCUUUGAUAGAAUCAGAUACAAUAUCAGAAGAAACUAAUAAAGCAGAAUUAUUGUUAUGAUUAAUAAAAUCCAAGUCCAAAUCUAAGAGAAAGAAAUCAAUUUUUAAACAACCAUUACCAUAAAAGUUCUUGCCCAAAUAAAUAUCUAACUGAGUAUCCGUAAAUUGGAAAGAAAAACCUAAUCUAAGUAAAGCUAAAACUGUGAGUAGAUUACAUCGGAUGUUCGGUGAAUACAGCACAUCAUGUAAUAUCAAAUAACGACCAUUGCGCAAUCUAUGUUGGUAUGCGCCAAUUCCAAGGACUUCUUCCUCAGUGCCGUUUCCCAUCAUGACAUAAUGGCUGCUAACAAACACCCGACGAUAAUCCACAUAUCCUGCUCGAUCUCUCGUUACAUGCUUUGUUGCUCCUGUGUCUACAAUCCAAUCAGAGAGAGCGUGAGCAACAAAAAUGUGCGAGCAUACAUAAAUAANACCAAUUCACUUAAAGCGUAUAGAAACAGCGUCCACGGGUCUCGAUUGUGACUCGGCCCACCUGGCCUCACGCCACUUCGAACAUGACUCGGCCCAACCCAGCCUCACGCCAUUUUGAACAUGACUCGGCCCACAUGGCCUCCCGCCACAGGGCAGGAUGCUGGCCCAUUUAAGCCAACAUUAAGUUCUCUUAUUAUAGCAGACAUCACCCUUAAGUGCUCUACCAUAGAAUGCUUCGGGUCCAACAAGUAUUGAUUGAAUUUGAGAUUCAAUGCACGAAGUCUUGUGGUCGAUGUGGCCCCAUAUUUCACUUUUAGCUGCUCCCACAUAUUUUUAGCAGUCUCAUAAUUCUGAAAUUCUUUAAUCAAAUCAUCGUGCAUACAGCUCAACAUUGUAUAGCGUGCACUUCGAUCUUUCUCAAGCCACUCGUUGUAGGCUUGCAAAUCGCGACGGUGUUGAGCCGUCGUGUACUGUUGGUUAAAUGACUAAGUAUUCCUUUCUCAUUAAGGAGAUAUUGAAUUUUCCUAUGCCACAUGUCAUAAUUCGUUCCAUCGAGCCGAUUUUGAUUUAACGAAUCCACGAUGGAACAAUUUUUGGAAGCUAUUUAUCACUACAAUAAUGCACAUAAUUUUAAAUUAGGCACAAAUAUCCACAAUAUUAUUCUCAAUCCAAUUUGAUUAUAAAAUUUCUCACUGCAUCUUUAAAUCGAAAAUUUCGCCUUUGAAAAGACUAAUAAUCAUCUCAUCCAAUGCAAAAAAAAUAAUAAAUCAAAUUAAUUAAGAAUAAAUCCACGUCACAAAUUAAAUGAUGAACAUUAUGCAAUCAUUAUGCAAUUUAAUCAAAAUAACACAUUGCAAUUUAUGAAGCAAUCAUAACUUAUAUAAGACAGCAAGAAAUAAUAUAUAAAAGUUAACAUGUAAAUUUUAAAGAAGCAAUAUUGAUCCUAGUGGUUUGAUGAAGUAGGCCUAAAGCUUAGGGUUGAGGUAGGGGUGUAAAACGGGCCGGGCGGCACGUGGCCCGCCCGGCCCGGCACGGCUGCGGGCCGGGCCGGCAGCACUCGGGCGAUGCUUGGCUAUUUUGAAGACGACGGCCGGCACGGGCGGCCGAAAGGGCUUGGGCCGUGCGCUGGGCGUAGGAGAAGGCCGUGGUCAGGCACGGCACGCCGCUUGGGCCGUGCAGCCGGCCCACGGCCCGAGAACCAGGCCAAGGCAAGUUGCUUGGCCUGGGGUUUUGCUCUCCUUGGGUGGAGUGCCUUGACUGUCCAAGGAUGAGCUCCUUCCCAAGGUCUGCCUAGGACCUUGGGGGUGAUUUUGGCAAUGGACAAGCAAUUUUGGUCAUUGGCCAAAACCUUCUCAACUUUUUUUUUUUUUCAAAAAAGAAGUCAAAUAUUUAAUAAAUUUAAAAUUAUUUUUUAUUAUUUUUAUAAUUUUAUUUUUUAAUCAAAAAUCUCGCUUUAUAUAAAUAUAUUUUUGUUUAUUUUUUUUAUAUUUAUGUAUAUUUUAAAAAAUAAAAGGGCGGCCGGAGCACAGGGCCGGCCUCGACGUGCCCUGUGCUUCGGCCAGGUGGCCGUGCUGGCCGGUGUAGGGUUCGGGCUGCCGGCCGCCCGGAUUAGCACGGGCCGGAGCACGGCAUCUAUCCGCCGUCGGCCGUGAAUGUGGGUCGUGACGGCCGGCAGGCACCACAUUACAGCCUAGGUUGAUGAGGUAGUUUCACAGCCUAUAGAACAUGGUUUUACCUGUUUUUAUUUUAGUUUGCGCCAUAAGAUUCCAUCGCGGUUGGACUUGGCCCUGUUGAUGCUAUAGACUAAUAAAACUCAUGGAUUUUAAUUCUUCAUGGGUUUUGUCUAAUAUGAAAUCUGCGAAUCCAGUAAUACAAAAAAAUUCAAGCUUAUUUUAAGCUGUUGGUAAAGAUAGAUUCCACCAGAUUUAUGUAUAAUAAUUAAUGGGGUCUAAGAUUGUUACAAUUUUCAAAUUCAAAGUUCAAAAUGUAAAAUAAAUUUUAAAAAUUUAAAUUAAAAUUCAAAUAUAAGAUUAAAAUUUAAAUUUAAAAUUAAAUAAUCUAAUUUAUUUUAUGUUUUAAAUUUGAAAUUUAAUUUGGAUUGUGAAAUUUAAAAUUUAAAUUUGAACUUUAAUUUUAAUUUAAGUUAUCAUUAACUUUAAAUUAAUUAAUAAUCUUAAUUAAAUUUAAUUUUAAAUUUAAUUUUUAAAUUUCCUAUUUAAAUUUAAAUUUAAUUUAGUUUAAUUUUAAUUUUUGGAAAAUUGAAAUUAACAAUUAAAAUUAAAUUAAUUUGUAACUUUUGAAUUUGAAAUUGAUUGACUUUUUGAAAUCGUUGAAUUUCAGUUCGAAAUUCAACUUUUUGAAUUUGAAAUUUCAGAGUUGAAUUUGAAUUUCAUAAGAUUGAAAUUUGAAAUUUAAUGUUGAACUUUUGAAUUCUGGAAUUUGAAUUUGAAAUUUGAAAUUUGAAAUUUGAGCAUGAAUUUAAAAUUUGAAAUUUGAAUUUGAAUAUUGAAUUUUGAAGGGAAAUUUCAAUUCAUUUAAAUCAAAAUGAAUUGAAUUUUAAUUUUAAUUUGAAUUUAAUUAAUGUUGAAAUUUUAAAUAGAAUUUAUAAUCUUUGGGAGCCCAAAUGUGGAAUUUUUUUUUUUGGUUAAGUGGUUAUAAGUUUACUCUAUUUUUUUGGAGUAUAGUUUAUAAACUAUACUCAAUUAGUUAUUUUUUUUUUUUCGUCCAAACACUUCAUAGGUAUUUUCCUAUCGGGCCGUAGCAUAGAUUAACUUGCUACGUUUUUGAGGGUAUCAAGUGUGUCCUUAAUUUGGUCUCGCGAAGAAAAGGUGUCUUUGCUUGCAUGCACGCCCAUCGCGGACGGGCUCCCGCAUGCCCGUAGGCCCAACUCGAGCGGGUCUUCCGCGAUGGGCUCCCGCAUUCCCGCAGGCCCAACAAGGGUGGGCCACCUAGUAAGCCCAGCGCGGGCGGCCUCGCAAGGCCGCCGGUCUUGCGCAUGCAGGCCGCUGCAGGCCUUGUGCAUGCGGGCUGCCGCAGGCCCUACACGGGCAGGUGCUGGAGGCCCAGCGCAGGUGGCCUCUCAAGCCUACAGGCAGGACGUAGAUCCUGCGCAUGCGACCCUCCGCAAGCCUGGCACGGGUUAGCCUCCAAAACCCAAAGCGGGCAGCAUGUCGGUUAAUUUGCAAAGAUCAAGGAAGCAAUCAUAUGUGAUGUUGACUUGCCAAUUGCGAAUCAAAACUUCACCAACAAUAAUUUUUAUAUUUUUUAACAACAUAAAAAUAUAUUCGAUGUUAAAAAAAACGAAUCAUCGAGUUAAAACAAGAACUACAUGGCUCUGAUACCACUGUUGGAUAAAAUUAAUUAAAUACCCAAAAAUCAAUCGUCGCAAAAAUCACAUAGAUUUUUACAUGCCUCUUUAUGGUGCGGAAUUAAUGUUGUGAUUAUCAGGAUCUGAUCUCGUCUUGUUUUACGAACUCGUUGAUCCGUCAACGUCCUGUCUCAAUUUGUUGCACGUUGUUCUUACUCGUUGCAAUCCGGCUACUAGAGUCGAUCGCCGCCCACCGCCCAAAUCCCUAGGGUUUAUGAUGGUGCCCUAGAGCGAACCCAAGAGAGAGAAUUUUUGUGGAGAGAUGAUUCUUCUUUUUUUUUUUGUUGUCUUUCUUCUGUCGUAUAUGGUCAAUACCUCAUGUAUUUAUAGGCCAUAAGGGAGACGUUAAUCUUAAUCAUAUUCUAACUAAAUCUCACAUAGUUAAAGAUUUAAACAGAUUAGGAUUUAUCUGUUAGAUUUAUUCUUUAUCCCAAAUGGACUAUAAAUAUAACAAAUAAUUAUAAAUAUUUAUUUCUUAUCCCAUAUAGAUUAGAAAUAUUUUAGAUAAGUCCCAAUGUGGACGAAUCCUAACACAAAUAAACAUAUCUAAAGUUGUAGAUCUAUUUUUAAGUUGCAAUAACAAAAAAAAAAAAAAAAUCAUACCUCGUUUGAGUGCGCGCGGGGUGUGGGUAGUUCGGGGCUAUUCGUACAGAGUGAGAAGGGCGGCGCAAGGGAGCGACGGGGGUGUGCGGUGAGGUUCGUGUUGGGGAGUAUAACAAAGAGAGAGAGCUCCGUCUAGACCAAGGUGUAGAGAGAGAGAGAGAGGGAGAGGAAGAAAAAUCUGAGCCUAGCUUGGUCUGGACCAAGGCGUAAAGAGAGAGAGAGAGAGGGAGAGGGAGAAAAAUCUCAGAGAUAGAGNUUCAUAGGAUUAUUUUCCUACCGGCGUAGCAUAGUUUAACUAUGCUACGUUUUUAGAGGUAUCCAAACGGGUCCUUAAUCUUGGUCCAAAAAACGGGUUGCUGGCAUGUGCUUGCAUGCAGGCCCAUCGCGGACGGGCUCCCGCAUGCCCGCAGGCCCAACUCGAGCGGGUCUUCCGCGAUGGGCUCCCGCAUUCCCGCAGGCCCAACAAGGGCGGGCCACCUAGUAAGCCCAGCGCGGGCGGCCUCGCAAGGCCGCUGGUCUUGCGCAUGCAGGCCGCCGCAGGCCUUGUGCAUGCGGGCUGCCGCAGGCCCUACACGGGCAGGUGCUGGAGGCCCAGCUCAGGCGGCCUCUCAAGCCUACAGGCAGGACGUAGAUCGUGUGCAUGCAACCCUCCGCAAGCCUGGCACGGGUUAGCCUCCAAAACCCAAAGCGGGCAGCAUGCGGGUUAAUUUGCAAAGAUGAAGGAAGCAAUCAUAUGUGAUGUUGAUUUGCCAAUUGCGAAUCAAAACUUCACCAACAAUAAUUUUUAUAUUUUUUAACAACAUAAAAAUAUAUUCGAUGUUAAAAAAAUGAAUCAUCGAGCGAAAACAAGAACUACAUGGCUCUGAUACCACUGUUGGAUAAAAUUAAUUAAAUACCCAAAAAUCAAUCGUCGCAAAAAUCACAUAGAUUUUUACAUACCUCUUUAUGAUGCGGAAUUAAUGUUGUAUAUAAUUAUCAGGAUCUAAUCUCGUCUUGUUUUACGAACUCGUUGAUCCACCAACGUCCUGUCUCAAUUUGUUGCACGUUGUUCUUACUCGUUGCAAUCCGGCUACUAGAGUCGAUCGCCGCCUACCGCCCAAAUCCCUAGGGUUUAUGAUGGUGCCCUAAAGCGAACCCAAGAGAGAGAAUUUUUGUGGAGAGAUGAUUCUUCUUUUUUUUUGUUGUCUUUCUUCUGUCGUAUAUGGUCAAUACCUCAUGUAUUUAUAGGCCAUAAGGGAGACGCUAAUCCUAAUCAUAUUCUAACUAAAUCUUACAUAGAUAAAGAUUUAAACAGAUUAUGAUUUAUCUGUUAGAUUUAUUCUUUAUCCCAAGUGGACUAGGAAUAUAACAGAUAAUUAUAAAUAUUUAUUUCUUAUCCCAUAUGGAUUAGAAAUGUUUUAGAUAAGUCCCAAUGUGGACGAAUCCUAACAGCCAUGAUCAUAUAACAUAUAGGGUGCGUUUGGUUCGAGUUAUCCUGGCAGGAUUACAGGCAAUCCUGCCAGGAUAACUGUGUUUGGUUAAUCCGCUAUGUAAUCUAGUCGUUAAUGUAGCAUUACAAAUCGAGCAGGAUUACAUCGAAAAUAUUAACGGGAGUGGGGUCGUGUAUCUUGCAUUACUGAAACCCGUUAAUACUACAUAUUAUAUAAAAUGACAAUUUCACCCUCCAACAACCCCAAAUCUAAUUAACAGCAUUAUUUUCAUCUCUCUCUCGUCUUCCCCCCUCUCUCUCGUAUGCCGCUUUCUCUCGCUCUCUCUCUCUCUCGACGUCUCUCUCUCUCUCUCUCUCUCUUUCUCUCUCUCUCUCUCGCAUGAACACCUAUCAUCUUCUAUUGCGUCGUCCUCCCAGGUAAUCAUCACGAUCUCCUUCCCUCCAUUCGUCAUUUCUGCAAAAAAUAAUAUUCAAAUGACCACAACAAGGGUAAUUUUGAAAAAAACUAUACUUUUAUGUCAGGAUUACUAAAUUUUAUUAACUGAACCAAACGUAUUAAUGCUAUAAGCACUGUAAUCUAGUAUUACAUUACUGCAUUAAACCAAACGCACUAAUACAGCAUCAGUAGUAAUCUGAUGCUAAAAUCUAAGAUACCUGGAUAUGUCGAGAUACUUUGUAAUAUUACAUAACUCGAACCAAACGGGCCCAUAGAGUUAUAUUGCCGUAGUUGUACAUGAUUUGAGAUGAGCAUGUUAGGGAUGGGUAGAUUCUCGGAUAUUGUCAUUCUUUUGUUGUAUAUUAUGAUGCAUGAGAGUUGCAUAAUGUCGGAUUCUAUGUUAUCUUGGGAUGAGUAAAUUGCAUGCUCUUGAAUGUGGAAUAGAACUUAAUAUUGCAAGUCAUAACAUUUCAUGUAUAAAAUUGGAUAUUGGUCGUUAAGAACCCUAGAUAUACAUGUGAACUAGUGGUGAGGCUAGAGUAUGGAUUUAGACAAACCUUGUGUAGCACUAGGUGUAUUGAUAGUUGUAGAACUUGAACCUAGUGACAAGAAUUGAGUGAAAUUUCAAGUGCGAAUGACGGUUUGAGUCAUUUGCAUGUAUAGCAUGACAACUAGCACCUUGUCAUUGGGAUUGAAAUAGAUCCCCAAAGGUUGCUAUUGGGAUUGAAAUAAAUCCCCAAAUAUUGUCACAAGGGUCAGUAGUGAGUUCUUUUGGUUGAGAGAACUAGAUCAUACUCGUAUAGUCUGUUACAGCUUGUGGAGGCCACGACUCCACAAGUAGUGAGUUCUAGAGUGUCACACGAAAAAAGCGGGCGAGGAUCACAGUAGAACCUCCCCAGCAAACAACCAUGGUGGUGGCUCGGGUGUGAAAGAUCUCCUCCCCACAUCGCCAGCCAAGGUGGUGGCUCGGGAGUGAAAGACCUCCCUACUUGGCGGUGUGAGUUGGGUUCGACCUUAGGAUGAGCUGGUAUGAUUGGAUCAUGAGGUAACAGAGGAAGAUAUCUGAGUAUAGUAAGUCUUGUUUUUGGCUACCUUGUGUAGUAUUGUUGUAGUGUCACAUGGUUGGUGACGGGUCGAUUAUGCCUCCUCAACAAACAGGCAAAGGUGGGUGAUUGGGUCGCGUAGCGCCUCCCCACAUGGCUGAGAGGGGUGAGUUGGGCUUGACCUUAUAGCAAGCUUCCUGAUUGGGUCAAGAAUAAGUAAAGGGUCAAGUUGAGCAUAUUGAGCCUUGGAACAUAUCUUUACUCGUAAAGGUAUAGUAGUGUUUAUUCCAAUUUAUGUAUAGUGUAGUUAUUUACUGCUUCUUGAUUUUUGUAUCUACUUAUACUUGAUUAGACAUAGUAGGAAAGUCGGUGAGGUUGGCAGCCGAACACAUUGGAAACUUCUUUUAAUUCUCACCCCUAUUUUGCAGAGCCAACUAUAAGCGAAGUGGCAUCAAACCGAGGCGUGGGUGUUGCGUCUUAGAUUGCAAGGUCACCAAGUGUAGGUUACCCAUGUUCAAGUAAAAGAAAAGAUUGUAAAGGUAUUUGGAACGAAAAUGUAAUUGCAAACAAAUAUUGUAUUUUAAGGAAAUGACAUGUACCAAAUGUUAUAUAUCUAAGUUGGAAAAUAUAUGUAUAAAUGUGAUUGUUCCAAUAUUGUAAUAGUUAGAUUUACAAACUCGCUCUUGUGAUAUGCCCUCAUACAGAACUGUGUUAUGUUGUUUUUUUGUGUGAAAUUCAAUAUAUUUAGUUUUGUUUACGCCUUGGACAGAUAAAAAGAAUUUUGUCUGUUCGGCGAGUUUGUGCACGUGCCUAUGUAGCCUCCACUGUGAAACAGGCAAGGCGUGACAAACUAAAAUAAAACACUGAAAAAUUUACACCCUGUUUGAUUGGGGGUUAAAAGGGGGAAUAAGGGGGUUAUCCUCUCCUUUAACCCCAAACAAAAAAUUUUGGGGGUGGGGUUAGCAACCCAGGAAUAGGGGUGGGAUUAAGUUAAACCCCUAUUCAAUUUUUUAAUAUAAAUAUAAAAUUUAAUUUUAAAAUUUAAAAUUUUAAAAAUUUAUAUAUUUAAAUUUUAGAAUUAAUAUUUUUUUUAAAUUUAAAAUUUAAAAUUAUUAUUUUUAAUUAUUUAAAUUUUAAAAUUGAUAUUUUAUAUUUGUAACUUUAAAUUUUUUAAUUUGAGAUUUAAAAAUAUAGAUAUUAAUUUUGAAUUUUAAAUUUUAAUUUUUAAAUUUUAAAUUAUUAUUUUUAAUUCUUUAAAUUUUAAAUUUGACAUUUUANUUGGAUAAGCAUAAAUUUCUUUUCUAUUUUAGAGAUAAAAAAAUUAAAUAAAUUUUUAAUUAAAAUAUAGAUUCACAGUAGGUAUCUUUCAGUUGGUAAAAAUUUGGAUAAGUAUAUUAUUUUUUCUAUUUUAGAGAUAAAUAGAAAUUAAAAGCUUAUUUCAUUACGUUAUUUAUUUUACGUAAGAAAAGAGAAUCAAUAUUUUUUUCCCGCCAAAAAAUGGGUCUGUCGACAGACCCAAAUUUGUAAUACGUGCUUUUAUAUAUAGUAUAGAUAGUCCGGUUACUAUACUAUCGAUAAUACAAGGCAUUUGGUGGUAUCGAGUUUUCCACCGUUAGAUCUACCCUUUUGACCAUUUUCACCUGUUAGAUCAUACUAUUCAACUAAACACCCACUCAACUCUAGAGGUCCACUAUCAUUCCAACCGGGGAUCAUUAUAAUCCUAACCACAUCACUACAACAGAAUUAGGUUAUAGCGACACAUUUCUGGGACACUUUUUUUGUAAGUGUCUCAUUUAUGCCAAAAUCUUUAAAAAAUUCUACUAAAGCAUAUAUAUAAAGCUCAAUCCAAAAAAAAGUAAAAUAUUACUUUACUCAACCCACCCCACCCAGCCCGUUUGUCCUGAUUACAAACAGAAAAGGAAAAAAAAGAAAAAAAGAAAAAUAGAUCACCAUCUUUCCUUCUCCCCUCACUCAAUCUAUUGAAACCCUAGAUGAUGAGCCCCUCGUUCUCCUCCUCCUCCGUGCCGCAGCCGACGAGGUAGGGUUCCGGCGGUUGCUAAAUUCUUUAAUAAGUGUUGAUAAAUUAGCAGUAUUCUUUUUAAGUUAUACCGUCACUCUUCAAGUGUCACUAUAUACCUAGCGACCCCAGAUAUAACAACACUUUAAAAAAUGUCGGUAAUUUAGCCAGCAACAUUUUUUAUGACUUAUGCUGACUUUUAAAAGUGUCGCUAUAAACCGUUUUUGUUGUAGUGACACUUCCCUUCAUCCAAGGGCCGAAACCUAAUAACACUAAGCGUUUGGUACUAUUAAUAGUAUAGUAGCCUAAUCUAUUUAUAUGUAAAUAAAUAAUAGCACCAAGAAUUUGGAAGUGUUGGUGCUACCAAGUUUUCCACCAUUAGAUGCACUUUGAUCAUUUUCACCUGUUAGAUUAUGCUAUUCCACCAACCACCCACUAAACUAUACUAGGAAACCACUAUCAUCCUAACAACACAAAUCUUAAUCUAAGGGCCGAAAACUUAAUAGCACUAAUGAUGUGGUGCUAUUGGAAACAUUCUAGCCUUAUAUAUAUAUAUAUAUAGCUAGGUUACUAUGUUUUCAAAAGUACAAAUUCUUGCAUACUUAAGUUGUUUUGUAUGAUGGGACAUUCGAUUUGACGAUCAGUUCAUUAGACAUGAUCUAUAGUGUUUGAACUAUCUAUAAACCAAAUUUAUAAUUUUUUUUAUGCUUUGUUUGCCUACAGAACAAGCAGUCUCAAAAUGAACGGUUGAAAAUAAAAAUGUCAUAAAAAACAGCGAUAAAAGAUAAAUUUCAAAUUGAAAGUAUUGAUCUUACUCUUGAUAGUGUGUAAAAUUUUUAAAAAAAGAUUUGGUCUCUAGAUCUUGAAUUUGAUAAUCGUAUGAUCAUUUUUUAAUAGAUUUUUAUUUUCAGACAUUCAUUUUUGGCUAAAUUACAAAAAAUCCCCUGUCAAAACCCGCUUUUUCACUUCCCCCCCCAUCAUUUAAAAACCUACACUUUGCCCCCUUGUAAAAUAAAAAAUGUGCACUUCACCCCCUACCGUUAGGGUUCCGUUAUAAUAUUUUUUUUAUACAAAAAAUAUCCCAUCGCUGUUGCUUCGAUGGCUUCCGGGACGGCGCCCUCGCCGGCCUCGCUCUCCUCCACGAGCUCAACCUCCUCUUUGACCGCCCCCUCGAUGCCAUCUUCCUCAACUCCAACCGCCUCCGCCGCCGCCACCCCAUCCCCGCCAACCUCGGCGACUCCCCGGCCCCAUCGUCGUCCUCGCCCACAACAAACUCGGCGGCUGCAUCCCGCCCUCCAUCGGCCGCAUGGCCUGUUAGUUAUAUGCCCUAUAAGCCAAUCUUGUCAUAACUUAAAGGGUUAAUAUCAGUGUACUUUUCUUUUAUGAUUAAAUCUGGCAUUCUUCAUUUAUAUUACUGCCAAAUGCAUAUUUAUGAAUCGUCCAUAGAAUUAAUAGUAGAAGAAUUAAAUUUCUAAGAAGUUAGAAAUUUGACACNUAAAUUUGAGAUUUAAAAAUAUAGAUUUUAAUUUAAAUUUUAAAUUUUAAAUUAUUAUUUUUAAUUAUUUAAAUUUUAAAUUUAAAUUUAAAUAUAAUAAUUGGGGCAAAAUUAUUAUUUUCUAUUUAUAAUAACCCACUAUUUUUCUUAUAUAUCCCACCUACUCCAACCAAACACUAUUUUAUUUAUAUCUGGACUAAACUCAAUUCUCAAUCAAACACAAAAUUACUCUAACCACACCUUAACCCUGAACUUAACUCUAUUCCCGGAAUAACUAGUUAUUACUUAACCCCGAACCAAACGAAGUCAUAGGGACUUAAAAAAAAUCCUUAUUUAAAGGGAUGGGUCUUGAAUGUUGGAAUCACAAGUUUGAGGACCAAUGAAACUUGACUCAAAAAUGUUCGGAGACUAAUAGGGCAUCUUUCUCGAUGUAUUAAAGUUGAAAUAUAUGAAGACCCCUCAUCUAUAGGACAUUCUGAAAUUGCGCCCUCAACUUUAAUAUUUUUGAUUGGGACCCACUCGACUUCUAUUUUUUUGGAGUUAUUAUCUCAUACACCAGCAAAAGUACAUUUCAUGAAGUUAAUUUAAGAAAAUAGAGUACAGGAGCCUCAUAUAAACCAGUAAGUUCUAAAACCACAUAAUAAAAAAUCAUGUGAUAUAACCAAAUUGGAUGCUAUCCUAAAAUCUAUACAUAGUCUAAUAACUUGUUAAGAUUUUAGAACCAUCUUUUAAGUACACAUUUGGCUGCGCAUUUUGCGCGCAGUUUAGUGUGCAAACCUAUGUGUGGAACUCUUUAAUUAUGAAGAUGCAAACUAAACCCAAUGUUAAGUUCCUGGGAACUAUGUAGAUCUGAGAUGGGCCUGCAUUAAUUGGAUUUUGGACCCAAUAUAUAGAAGCAGUUUCCUCAGUUAGCUAUACAAGGUAGAUGCAUUGUUGCGCGUUAUUAACAAACAGUAUUUUUUCGCUCAUUCAAUUUUUUUGCUCAGUAAUAUCGUGAAUUUGAUUCUCACCUUCAAUUAGUGGGAAAGAGUAAGAUGCCGUCCAAAUAUAGUCCUGAAAUGUCUUUAUUGUUUCAACUUCAAAGAUACAAUGCAUGUGGAAUGAUUAGAGAUUCACGAGCAAUUUUGAUACGAAGAGCCACACCAUAUCCAAUGAUUAGACCUUCGCAAAUGAAGCCAUUAAGUAUUAUUGUGUGUUGCAGAAUUAUUUGGCCUAGCUAGGAUGGUCGGAGCAUUUAAAAAAAAUUGUUUUUUUUUGCAAAACUACUAGUAAAUUUUUAUGAAAUAACAUUUAUAACAGUAAUUGUCUAAUAGUAAUGAAUAUUUUCAGGUUACCUCGUAAAUAAUUAAUUAUUUUUCAGCACGGAGUAGCAGCUCAAAAAACCAAAAGAUAUUUACUAGCUUAGUUUUGCGUGAGAAAUAUUAUACACACUACAUAGUAUCGUCACAAUCAUUUUUCUUCAUUUUUUUUCGGUUUAUUAUUAUGUUUUUUUAUCUUACCCGCAUAUGUAUUAAACCGAAGAUUAAGAAUACAAACCUUAAAUUUAGGCCCAUAUAGUGACUUGAAUCCCUAAAAGUGCUUAAUUUCGUGAAAAAUAUUUUGUUUCGUAAUAAUUAUACAGUAUGAAAUGUACCUUAAACCAAUUAAUUCCAUUCUAUCCCAUGGAUAGCAAGGUAUCUAAUUAAGAACAAUCUAAUUUUUUAUAUUAAAUUAAUGUGUAAAAUUUUUUGCUUUUUUACUUUAAAAUAACUUGAAAAUCUUUGAUUGAUUAUUGUUAUUUCUAUAUAAAAUAAUUGUGUUAGACUGAUCGUUUCUAACACAAGCGGUAAAAGACUUAAUGAUUGGUAUUCGAGAAUCCAGAUUCGAAAAUAUCUCGAUUCGAAACUUAAUUAGCAGCUUUAUAUUUUCAGCUAAGUUUAUUUAUUUUAAAAAAAUUUAAUAGAUAUCCAAAUAGGCUCUUACUAUCGUGCAACUUUAGAUUCUUGGCUCUAGUAUAAAAUUUUCAAUGCAAACGGGGGCUCAAACUUCCGAUCUGAAAGUCGGCACUGAGUUAUGUGAUUACCAAUGGUGUGGUGGGUCCGCUGCAUCUGGGGAAGGAAAUUUGUUUGGACUUGCAGUCGUCAGUCAUCACCCACCCUUUUCUUUUUGGGACGUCGGCAGGUGUGUCCUUAUCCAAGAACAGGCAGAGAGGACAGACAUAGAUCAGAGCCAGAAGACCCAACACAUACAUGCUAGCUACCCUGGGCCCCAUUUAGGCCCGAUUACCCAAUUAAAUCAAUCUAUCUACAGUUUAGGGGCCCACAUCAUGCCUGACCCAUGCAUUUGGUGGGCCAGGUAUUUUCACUUGCACGGUCAACGCCAACUUCUGCGCACCUUACACAUUCUGCGGCCUAAUUCGCAAUGCUGUAGAGUACAGUAUUGUUUAAUUUUUUAUAAAAGUGCAAGUAUACUUUGACCUUAUUGUCAUUUUUUUAAAAUUUUUUAAAGUAAUUUUUCUUUUAUUUAUUGAAAUAUUAUGGAAGUGGAUGGGAGAUUGAUCGCAAUACUUGCAUUUAAGGUGUUGUUUUACUUUUAUUAUUUUGUUUUCUUAAAAGAAGUUGCCAACAAACCAUGACAAAAUGUAGGUGGAGAAAUCACAGAUUGACGCGUGAUGUAGUUCGAUGUCCCGCGAUGUGCCGACGGAAUCUGACUUUGUCUAAAGUGCGGACCGGAGAGGGAACGACUCGGACGGGUUUAAUUCCCGAGAGAUGGUCUCGAGAUCUUCACAUACGAGUCAAAGGCCUAAUGAGGUUUCGGUUUUCAAGCUUCGGUUGCUGCUAGUCCGGGCCGAAAUUUGAUGGAAGAGGACUAUCGUACAAUGGCGAUCCUCAAAAAGAAGAAAACCACACGGUUGGAGAUAUGCGCGUGAAAAUGGGUUCAUCGGUGAGGAUGAUGUGGUCCGGCAAGGUACAAGAUGGUUGUCGUAGGUGGUCACCGUCGAGCGAGAUGGUGGACAAAAGUGGUGGCGGCACAGUUAAUGGUACUUCUAUAUUUAGAUUACAACUACUUCUAGUGUGAAGAAGUAAAAUUUAAUUAGGGUUUCUUGUAAUGAGUUUUGGAUCUUUUCCUUGUAAAUGUCCUUUUUCUUUUUAUUGGAGUACAUCAUCACAAUUACUGGAGUGGUUCCCACAAUUUGUUUUCAAUGAUGCGGCUUCCAAAUCGACAAUCGACUUUGUUAGACUUGAUCUACACUAUUGCAAAUAUUUGGAAACUAAAUUUCAGAAUUUUUCGACAUCAUUUGGCUAGUGAUCAAAAGGUCUCAAAAUUGACAAUUUUAAUGAUAGAUGUGAUGUAUUUGUAAAUUUAACGAUGUAAAACAAUCCAAAUCAGAUAAAAUUUUUAUAGAAAAUUCUUUUUACUAUUUAGAGUAAGAUCAAUACCUCUGANAUAAAAAAAAAAAAAAUUUCGCUGCAUUAAAUGCACAUGUAGAUGCAUACAUUUCCUUAUAUGGCCGACACCCUCAACGAGAUCGUCAUCCUCGACGACGGCCUCGCCGCUUGCGUCCCGCCCGAGGUCGGCCUCCUCUGCCGCGGAUGAGGAGGAUGAAGGAGAAGACAAAAAUGGCGAAGGGCAAAAUGGUCAUUUUGUUAUACCGUUACCCCCUGUGAACAGUUUUAUUUUACAUGGGGGCAAAGUGUAGGUUUUUAAAUGACAGGGGGGAAAGUGAAAAAGCGGGUUUUGACAGGGAGGUUUUCCGUAAUUUAGCCUUCAUUUUUAUAUCCAUUUAAUGCAUAAGAGAAAAAUAUUAAAAAUAUAUGAAAUUUGAUUUCUAGAUAAUAUAAAUAGCCUAAAUUAUGUUCAACAAUAUAAUCAUUUAUUUGCAAACUUUAUAAUUAAAAAUAAAUUAGUAAUAAAUUGAACUGUUUGCUACGAAUAGUAGCCCUGCAAAGCUCUUGAUAUAUGGACAUUUUCUUAUGUUUGUUUCACAUGAUCACGUUGCUUUUGAAUGGAGACUCAGACGUGGCAAUAGCUAAAUUAGGGAUGCAAACGGGGCGGAUCCGGGGGCGGGAGAGUUCCCCCACCUCCCGCUCCAUUUCUUAUCGGGGCGGGGCGGAUUCGGGGUGGGUUACUUNUUUUCGAUGUUGCUACUUUCGAAUCGUCGAUCGGCUCCGUUAAAUUUGAUCUAGAGUAUUUGAAGUACCUAGAAAAUAAAUUUUAUGAUUUUACGAUAUCAUUUGCCUAGUGAACGAAGGGGCUCAAAAUCAACGGCUGAAAAUAAAAAUCUUACAAAUUGUAAUAAUAUGACAUUAAAAUUUUAAAUCUAAGAUAUUGAUCUUGUUUUAUAUAGUAUAAAGAAUUUUCUAUCAAAAUUUCAUAUGAUUUGGAUAUUUCUACACUGUUAAACUUGUAAACGACUCACUACGGCCAUUGAAAUUUGUUGAUUUUGAGCCCAUUCGAUUACUAGGCAAAUAAUAUCGAAAAAUAAUAAAAUUUAUUUUCUAGAUACUCCAAAUACUCUAGAUCAAGUUUAAUAGAGCCGAUCGACGAUUCGAAAGUCGCAACAUCGAAAACGAGCUGGAAACACGGAAGGCUCCGUGCUUCCAAUAGCAUAGUAGCCUCACUCAUAUAUAUAUAUAGGGUCCGGCUACUAUACUAUUAUGAGUACGAUCGCUCUCGUACUCAUAAGUUGUUUUCGAUGAUAGAGUUUCUGAAUCGACGAUCCACACCGUUAAACAUUAUUUACAGCAUUUAAAACUUCUAGAAAUCAAAUUUUAUAAUUUUUCGACAUCAUUUACCUUACGAUCAAGAGGUCACAAAUUUGACAAAUUUUAACGGCCGGUAUGGGAUACUUGCUAGUUUAACGGUGUAAAAGAAUCGGAAUUUGUUGAAUUUUUGAUAGAAAAUUCUAUUCACUACAUAUAUAAAGAUCAAUAACUCCGAUCUUGAAUUGAAGGAUCCGAUCAUCCUUUUUUAGGAUGUCGUUCGAUUUUGACCGGUCAUUUUAUGCCGACUUGAUGAACUUUAUUAUGAUUUCGAAAAUUUACAAAAUAUAUUUUCUAGAAGUUUCAAAUACUCUAUAUCAUAUUUAACGAAGUGGAUCGUCAAUUUGGAAGCUCCAUCAUUGAAAACAACUUAUGAGUACGAGGGCUUCAAUACUCAUAAUAGUAUAGUAGCCACGGCCUAUAUAUAUAUAUAUAUAUAUAUAUAUAUAUAUAAGAGAUAGCUAGGCUGGAAUACUAUUUAUAGCAAAAGAUUCUUUUUGCUACCAAGUUUUUAACUCUUACAUGAGAAAUUGUAGGUUUAAGAUGAUAUUAGUCCCUUAGGGUUGAGUGGUCCUUACUGAGUUAUAAUAUUUAAUCCAAUGGUUAGAAAUGAUGAAAAUAAUUAAUCCNCUAUACUCUCUUAAGUAUAGAGUCCUUCGUACUUAUAAAUUCUUUUUUGACGAUAAAUUUUCUGAAUCAACGAUCAUAUCGUUAAAAAUGAUCUAAAAUAUUUGAAACUUUUAGAAACCAAAUUUCACAAUUUUUUAAAAGGCUAAACUACAUAAAACUCUCCUGUCAAUACCCACUUUUUCACUUUUCCUUUCUGUCAUUUAAAAACCUACAUUUUGCCUCCUUGUAAAAUAAAAAAUGUUCACAGGAGGGUAUGGUGUGAACUGUGAUGACAAAAUAACCAAUUUGUCCCUCAUCAUUUUUAUCUCCUCCCUCUUUUUACUGAUCCGCGGCCUCUUCUCUUCCAUUUUUUGCUCAUCGAUUGGCCGUAGUUCGUCUUCAUUUUCUUCUCCACCUGCUCCCCUUCUUUCCUUCUGCACCCUCGUCCCCCAUCCAUUUCAGCGACAGUGGAGAGGAAAUCGAGGUGGGCGUAGAUGGAGAGGUGGGUAGGGCAAAGGCAAGGGUGAGGGCAAAGGUGAGGUGGCGGAGGAGGGCAAGGGGGUAUUUAUGGGCGCGGACGGAGAUGUGGGCGAGGAGGAGGCAACGGAGGAGGGCGAGGUGGCGGAAGAGAAGGGUGAGGGUAUUUUUGGUAUAAAAAAUAUAUAAUAAUAUUUUAUAAACGAAACCCUAGCGGAGCACAAACGACAGAGGGUGAAGUGAACAUUUUUUAUUUUAUAAGGGGGCAAAGUGCAUGUUUUUAAAUGACAGGGGGGAAGUAAAAAAGUGGAUAUUGACAGAGGGGUUUUCUGUAAUUUGGUCUUUUUAAAAUUAUAAAAAAGUCCAUCAAGCGGGCAUAUAAUGAACGGUCAAACUUGAACAAUCUCCUAAAAUAGAGAAUCAAAUUCUUCAAUAUAAGAUCGAAAUUAUUGAUCAUUAUCUAGAUAGUGAGUAGAAUAUUUUAUCAAAAAUUCAACCGAUUUCGUUACACCGUUAAACCAGCUACUAUUUCAUACCAACCGUUAAAAAUUGUCAACUUUGAGAUCUUUUGAUCAUAAAGUAAAAUGAUGUUGAAAAGUUAUAAAAUUUGAUUUUUAAAAUUUUUAAACGCUCUAAAUAAUGUUUAACGGUAUGAAUCAUUGAUUUGGAAGCUUAUCAUCGAAAACAACUUAUAAGUACGAAAACGAUCAUCCUCAUAAGAAUAUAGUAGUCGGACUCCCUUUCUCUCUCUCUCUCUUUCUCUCUCUCUGUAUAAAUAUAUAUAGAGCUAGGCUGGUAUACUAUCGGUAGCACGGAGGCCUCCGUGCUACCAAGUUGUUUUCGAUGAUGCGGCUUCCAAAUCNAAGAUGGGUUAACUUUUAAAAUGACUUAUUUACCCUCAAGUUAAGUUUCUCUUAAGUAAAAAUGUAUGGAGACCCCCUCAACUGUAUGCCAUUUUGAAACACUUUCAUUUUUUUCGUUGAUAUCCCAUUAACUUCUAGUUUUUUAAAAAAUUAAAAAAUUUCAGUGUAUAAAAAAAUGAAAAAUUUUUAGUUUUUUUUUAUUUUAUAUAAUAAAUAAUUAUAUAUAAAAAUUUAAAUGAAAAUAAUGUUAAGGAAUUAUCCGAUCUUUAUCUUUAAUCAUGAAAGCUUAAAAUUUUUUUAAUCAAAAUUAUUCUCAAUAAUUUUAUCUAAAAAAAACUAAAAUAUAAUAUAUUUUAGCUUUCGAACAAAACUCAUCAAUUGCAUGCAUAUAGUUAUGUGAUUUACUUUUGCUUAAAUAGGAAAAAAAAUAAAAUCUAUAAUUUAUUUAUGUUACUAAAUAGGAAUAUAAAUUGAUAAUGAUACGCAAUUUUUUCUGAACUCGAUUUAAAAUGGGAUAAGCUUAAUCAAUGCUGAAUAGGAAUAGUUUCAGUUAUAGGUAUCAAAAAAUAAAAUUCCAUCGUAUGUAAAUUCAGUUAUGGGUUUGGUCUAUAUUUAAACUGAACCGAAAUCCAAAACCAAAAACAAAACCAGAAUCAGAUAAAAACAUACUAUAUAUAAAAUAUAAUUUUUAUAUAUUUUUAAUAAUUAAUAUAUAUUAAUGAUUUAAUUUAAUAUGUAUAUAUUAAAUACUCAAAUUUAGAUUUACAAAAAUUGUCUUGAAAUACCUAUUAGUAUUUNNNNNNNNNNNNNNNNNNNNNNNNNNNNNNNNNNNNNNNNNNNNNNNNNNNNNNNNNNNNNNNNNNNNNNNNNNNNNNNNNNNNNNNNNNNNNNNNNNNNNNNNNNNNNNNNNNNNNNNNNNNNNNNNNNNNNNNNNNNNNNNNNNNNNNNNNNNNNNNNNNNNNNNNNNNNNNNNNNNNNNNNNNNNNNNNNNNNNNNNNNNNNNNNNNNNNNNNNNNNNNNNNNNNNNNNNNNNNNNNNNNNNNNNNNNNNNNNNNNNNNNNNNNNNNNNNNNNNNNNNNNNNNNNNNNNNNNNNNNNNNNNNNNNNNNNNNNNNNNNNNNNNNNNNNNNNNNNNNNNNNNNNNNNNNNNNNNNNNNNNNNNNNNNNNNNNNNNNNNNNNNNNNNNNNNNNNNNNNNNNNNNNNNNNNNNNNNNNNNNNNNNNNNNNNNNNNNNNNNNNNNNNNNNNNNNNNNNNNNNNNNNNNNNNNNNNNNNNNNNNNNNNNNNNNNNNNNNNNNNNNNNNNNNNNNNNNNNNNNNNNNNNNNNNNNNNNNNNNNNNNNNNNNNNNNNNNNNNNNNNNNNNNNNNNNNNNNNNNNNNNNNNNNNNNNNNNNNNNNNNNNNNNNNNNNNNNNNNNNNNNNNNNNNNNNNNNNNNNNNNNNNNNNNNNNNNNNNNNNNNNNNNNNNNNNNNNNNNNNNNNNNNNNNNNUAUAUACAUAUAUAUAUAUAGAUAUAUAUAUAUAUAUAUAUCUAUAGAUAUAUAUAUAUAUAUAUAUCUAUAUAUAUAUAUAUAUAUAUAUAUAUAUCUAUAUAUAUAUAUAUAUAUAUAUAUAUAUAUAUAUAUAUAUAUAUAUAUAUAUAUAUAUAUAUAUAUAGUGUAGAGCUACUAUACUAUCGUAAGCAUAAAAUAUUUGGUGUUUUCGAUUUUUAACCCUUGGAUCAAAAAUUCUACGGUUGGGAUGAUAGCGGUCCCCUUAGGGUUCAGUGGUCCCCCUAGAAAUAUCAACUACUUUAUGCUUCCGAUAGUAUAGUAGCUCUACUCUAUAUAUAUAUAUAGUAGAGCUGGAAUGCUAUCGGUAUGUAACAAACGGGUUCCGUUGCCACCUAUUUGUUUUCGAUAAUGGAGCCUCCAAAUCGACCAUCGGCACUGUUGAAUAUAAUCUAAACUACUUGAACUAUCUAGAAACUAAAUUUUAAAUCGUUUUGACAGCAUUAACCUAAUGAUCAAAGGGUUUCAAAAUUUAUAAUUUUAAUGGUCGAUAUGAAGCGUUUUCUCGUUUAACGAUGUAAAGAUAUCCAAAUUAAUUGAAUUUUGGUUAGAAAAUUCUUUAAACUAUUUAGAACAAGAUCUAUACUCUCGAUCUUGAGUUUAAGAUUCCUAUCAUUACUUUUUAAAGAAUAUUCAUUUUCAACCGUUCAUUUUGUGUCCAUUUGAUGGACAAGAGAACAAUAUCGGAAAAAUAUGAAAUUUGGUUUCUAGAUACUUCAAGUGGUAUAGAUUAUGUUUAAGGAUGCCGAUCAUCGAUUUGGAGGCUCGAUCAUCAAAAAUAAAUGGGUGGCAAUGAAGCCCGUUUGCUAUUGAUAUAUAUAGUCGAGCUAUUAUGUUAUCAAUAGCACAAAACGUUUUGUGCUAUCAAAUUUUCCACCAUUAGAUCUAUCAUUUGACCAUUUCGACCCAUUUAAUCAUACGAUUCAACCAACUACCACUUAACCCUAAGAGACCACUAUCAUUCUAACCGUAUAUCCCUUCAUCCAAGGGCCGAAAACCUAAUAGUACUAAUGAUUUUGUGCUAUUAAUAGAAUAUAUAUAUAUACAUAUAUAUAUAUAUAUAUAUAUAUNNNNNNNNNNNNNNNNNNNNNNNNNCCAAAUUUUAUAAUUUUGUUGUGUUGACAUCAUUUACUAUUAGCGAUCAAAGGUCCCAAAAAUGACUAUUUAACGGCCAAUGCAACAUGUUUUUAAGUUCAACUGUGUAGAAGUAUCCAAAUUCAUUGAAAAUUUAAUAGAAAAUUCUUACUGUAACGGUCAUAUAGUAAGAUCAAUAUUUCGAUUUGAAAUUUGAGUCCUUUAUUAUUCAUUUUUGUAUGGAGAUUUGUAUUUUCAGCGUUCAUUUUGAGGAUACUCGUUCACUAGGCGAAACAAAGGUCAAACAAUAUUGAAAUUUGGUUUCCUGGGAUAUUUCCCACAAAGCGGUAGAUCAUCGUCCUAACAAAACGAUCGUCCGAACGGGGGCGUCCAUUCAUGAAAACAACUUAUAGAUUACGUGGCAGCGCUCCGUGUACUUUGGGGCGAAAGCCAGUAGGAGCACUAGCUCGUCUUCUCUCUCUCUCUCUCUCGGUCUCUCUCUCUCUCUCUCUCUCUCUCUCUGUUUCUCUUGUCUCAUCGUAUAUAUAUAUUUAUAUAUAUAAUAUAUAUAUAUAUAUAUAUAGUCCGGCUAUGGUGCGCUUUACAACACACAAGUACUGGUACUGUGCUUGUAAAUUUUUUACCGUAAAUCUAUAUCUCUUUGGAUUAUUUUUUACUGUGUUAGAUUUACGUAUUCAACCAACCUAUCACUCCACUCAACCAUCAGGGUCGACAUCAUGCCUAACUACACAUUCCUUAAUAUCCUAUGAGCCGAAAUACUUAAGAGCACUCUAAUACCUUGUAACUUCUAAAAGCAAGUGCAGCUCAUAUUAUGAUAUAUUAUAUAUAUUAUAUAUAUAUAUUAUAUUAUAUAAUAUAUAUAUAUAUAUAUAUAUAUAUAUAUAUAUAUAUAUAUAUAAUAUUAAUGAUAUAUGAGUUGAGCCUAUUGAUACUUGGUACAAGUAUCACCAUCAUAUGCCCGAUUAGGUUUUAAGCCAUUGGAUCUACUUUUUGAUAUUAAUAGCCCUUUGGAUUAAACACUAUUCCACUAUCACCACCUACCACCAUCAUCUCAAAACCUGCAAUUUCUCCAUCAAGCGCUAAAACAACACAAGUAUCACAUCCCAUGAAUCUUUAUACAAGUUCUGUUCAUUUUUUUUUCUUAGCGUACUAUAUAGUAUACUAUAUAUUAUUAUAUAUAUAUAGUUAGAAGGAGCGGAGAGGAGAGGAGAGGAGGAGGAGGAGAGGAGAGACGAAGAGAAAGGAACGAGGCUUCGAGGAGAGAGCACGGUGAGCUGAGGCUACCUAUUGCUAUUGGAAGUACGAGCUUCCGUGCUUCCAGCUUCCGUUGUUCGAUGUUUGCGCCUUUCGACAUCGUUCGAUUAGGCUCCGUUAAACUGAUCGGAGAGUAUUUGGAUCCAGUACCUAGAAAAUUAAAUUUUAUUAUUUUUUGAAUCAUUUGGCUCUAGUGAUCGACAUGGAUGCUCAAAAAUCAACAAUUUUCAAUGCCGUAGUGAGCGUUUGCAAGUUUAACGGGUGUUAGAAAUAUUCCAAAUCACGUGGAAAUUAUUGAUAGCAAAUUCUUAUAUAACUAUAUUAAAACAAGAUCCCAAAUAUUUUUGAUUUAAAAUUUUUAAUGUCAUAUUAUUACAGUUUUGUAAGAUUUUUAUUUUAGCCGGUUGAUGUUUGCAGCCACCCUUCGUAUCACUAGGCAUGAUAUUUCGUAAAAUCAUAAAUUUAUUUUCUAGGUACUUCAAAUACGUCUAUAUCAAGUUUUAUGGAGAGCGCAUCGACGAUUCCGAAAGUCGCGCAACAUCGAAAGACAGACGCCGUCGGCCAAGACGGAAGGCUCCGCUACUUCGGAUAGCAUAGUAGCUUCUCCUCGCUCUUGUGCUUCUCUCUCUCCUCUCUCUCCUUAUAAUAUAUACUAUAUAUAUAUAUAUAUAUAUACUAUAUAUAUAUAUAUAUAUGUAUUAGUAGAGUAGGCUAUUAUGCUUUUGGAAGCCACGGCGCAGCCCUUCGAUGCGUUCCUAGGUUUGAUUUUCGAUGUUGCGACUUUCGAAUCGUCGAUCGACUCCGUUAAACUUGAUCUAGAGUAUUUGAAAUACGUAGAAAAUAAAUUAUGCGAUUUUUCGAUAUUAUUUGUCUAGUGAACGAAGCGGCUCAAAAUCAACGGCUGAAAAUAAAAAUCUUACAAAACGUGAUAAUAUGACAUUAAAAUUUUAGAUCAAAGAUAUUGAUCUUAUUUUAUAUAGUAUAAAGAAUUUUCUAUCAAAAUUUCACAUGAUUUGAAUAUUUCUAUACCAUUAAACUUCCAAACGGCUCACUACGGUCAUUAAAAUUAUUGAUUUUGAGCCCCUUUGAUCACUAGGCAAAUGAUAUCGAAAAAUCAUAAAAUUUAUUUUCUAGAUACUUCAAGUACUCUAGAUCAAGUUUAACGGAGCUGAUCGAUGAUUGAAAACUCGCAACAUCGAAAAUGAUCUGGAAGCACGGAAGCAUAGUAGCCUCACACUAUAUAUAUAUAUAUAUAUAAUGAAAAGGAAUUUUCUCUUUCUUUUAAAUUUUUGACUUUUUAUCUAUUUUUAUAUGAUAUAAUAUAAUUUAAUAAUAUGCAUCAAUAUUUAUAAAUAUAGGUAAAAAUUUAUGCAAACCCCUUAAAUAAAUUCCAUUUGUAACUAAGUCCUCUAAAUUUUAAAUUUCUUUUAUUGACAUAAAUUAUACUAUAUAUAAAAGAAAAAAAUGAUACAAAAAUUUGUGAUUUAUUUCUUACAUAGAAUAAUAACUAAAGGAGCAAAAAGUUGACGUAUCUAUUAGGUCCAAACCUACAAGAUCAAAAUCAUGGGCUACUUAAUUUUGUAAGUGUUAGUUGCCGAAAAUCCCGACCCUCGACUGUGGUCAAAGAUCCUCCUCGAGAAGCGCGUCGGGGUUGAAAUAGUUCCGAAAAAUGACCCUCGAAGUGUGCGCCUUUUGACUGAACAAGCGAUUCGGUUGAUGAGGGAUCCAAUCAGCCGAGUCCGAAAGCUCUAAUCUCACUUCGGUUCAACCGGAUGAGCCGAAUGUACGGAGGAGACCGAAAGCUCGACUAGGAAAUAAGCCGAACGGCUAACACAACACACGAUCUGGUCGGCCUGAAGAGCCGAAAAUGACUUUCUAUUGACUGAACCAGCAAAAAGUACAGGAAGAGGGAUUUUAGUCUACAAAAUGCCCAAAGGGCAGACAGACUCCAAGAUUCUACGUUACUAAGACUACUCCUAGAAAAAACAGUAAAUGCAGGAAAGAAAAAUACAGUAAAAUAACGGUGGUCUUUUGUUCAAAGGGGCAAAGACCCUUUUUUAUUAAGGUAUCACAAGCCUAUUUAUAGAAUCGCCCCUGGGUCGGUUAUAGCCCCUUGCAUGAUCGGCCACUAUCUCCUGAGAUUUCGGACCACCUCUAACCGAUCGAAACCGCUUGCAACUGCAUGCGGUUGCUAUAACUUCUCUAGUUCAUGUUUCUCCUGGUGCUUCUGAUGUACUCCUGGUGCAUUACUGAAACAACUGCCCUAUGGUUGCUUUUGAUGAUAAGGGGGAGAUUGUUGGCCCAGUGGCCCUAAUCGUCUAUUAGAUUUUGAUGAUAACAAAUAAUCACGAUUAUUGGACUAAUCUUUUAUGUUGAGUCUUAUGUUUUAGAUCUCUCUAUCUUCAAAAAGGAUUCAAGAUGGGCAAUAUUCUAGCACCAAGCUUCACCACUUGAAGCCGUGUUUGCUUCUUUUGUCAAAUAGACAAACUCACUCUCUCUAUUCUUAAUUUGAUUAAUAUUAUGCUUUAUGAUUAGAGUGAGAAACUUUGAGCUAAGUUUUAUCACCUUAUAGAUCACUUAAACAAAAUUCUAAAUUUAUGAUUAGGUGAAAAGGACUUUUAAAUAUUCNUGACUCCUUUGUACUCAUAAGUUUUCAACCUUUAGAUUUAUUCCAUUGAUCAUUUCCACCCGUUAGAUUAUACUAUUCAACCAACUACCCACUCAAUCCUAGGGGACCACUAUCAUUCUAAGUGGGGACCACCAUCAUCCUAACCACACGUCCCAUCAAUCAACGGUUAAAAAUUUAUGAGUAUAAAGGGGUCUAUAAUCAUAAGGGUGCGUUUGGUUCGAGUUAUCCUGGCAGGAUUAUAAGCAAUCCUUCCAGAAUUACUGUGUUUGGUUCACCCGCUAUGCAAUCUAGUCGUUAAUGUAGCAUUAUAAAUCGAGCAGGAUUACACCGAAAAUAUUAACGGGAUGGGGUCGUCUAUCUUGCAUUACUGAAAACCAGUAAAACUAUAUAUUAUGUAAAAUUACAAUUUUACUCUUCUAACUCUCGAAACCCUUUCAAUAUAUCAUUUAAAAAAAUUUAAUUUUAAAUUUUAAAUUUUAAAUUUCAAAUUCUAAAUUUAAAAUUUAAAAUUUAAAAUUUAAAAUUUUUUAAAUUUUAAAAUAUAAAUUUAAAAUUUAAAAUUGAAAUAUAAUAACAUAAGUAAUAUUAUUAUUUUUUAUUUAUAACUACCUACAAUCCUUCUUAUUCCAUCUUAUCUAUACAAACACUAUUUUUCUUAUUCUCCAAAAACAACACAAUUUUCAUCUAAAUAUAAAAUUGGUCUAAUUUUUUACUUAUAUCUAAUCUUAUAACUAUCCCUAAAACAGUCCGUUCUUAUUUAUAUCCGAACCAAAUGAUACCCUAAUGUUUUUAUUAUUUUAAUUUUUAAAACUUUUUUUUAGUAUCCUAGUGGUUUUGAAACUGACACAUCAUAACGCAACCAAUUGCAGUUUCUGUUCAAAAUUUGCAGAUAAAUAACAUUUCAGAGCAGUCUGUCCAGAUAAACGCCCCCCUCAAUCUUGUUAAUAAAAAGCAUAUUACAUAAUUAAGCAAUUCAGCAUUUCUAUUACCNUUAAAAUAAAAUUUAGUAAAAAAAUAUUAUUUGUAAACAGUAAAAAAUAAAGUUUACAAAAUAUGUUUAAGGGCAAUUUUGGAAUAGAUUAUAUUUUAUUGUCUAGGUUACUGAAUUUUAUAUAUAGAACCAAACAUAUUAAUGGUAUAACCACUGCAAUCCAGCAUUAAAUUACUGUAUUAAACCAAACGCGCUAAUGCAGCAUAAGUACUAAUCUCUUUUAGAAAUUCAAGAUAUUUGGAUAUAUCGAAAUACUCUGUAAUAUUAUAUAACUUGAACCAAAUGCGCCGUAAGAGUAUAGUAGCCCUACUCGCAAUUAGAGUGCAAUAGUGCAACAUAUUGUUUUUCCUUCUUUUUCUUAAAUUAUGAACACCGAAACAGUCUCAGGUGAGCGCACGGGUUGGCAACCGUGGUUGGUAGCGAGGGAUAGAAGAAGUAUGAAGAAACAUAAGGAAAAAAAAAGUAGAAGAUAAAGAAGAGGAAAGAAAGAAAAAGAUAAAAAAUAUUGCACAAAUUAAAACUAUUUAUAUAAAUAUCGUACUAUUUGCGUCACAAUAUUUUUAUAAAAUUGCAUGUAUGUUGAAUAAUUAAUAUUUUUAUUAUACAGGAUACAUCUUUUAGAAUAUAACUUUACAAAAUAUUGUGCUACAAAGAAUCAAGUUUGUGAUCUUUGACGCUGGGUAGAUGCUACUUGGGAUGCACGUAAAUAUGGCAUUAGCAUUGCCUUUGAAAGAAAGGUACAGUUUUUUCUCGGUGAUGUUGUAAAGGUUAUUUGGAUAAGUUUUAUUGCUAAGAGAAAGACAUGCGCAAUUUUACCUGCAACAAAUAUUGUCAAUUCUCUUCCUUAUUCUCAAACCAUCAUUCACAGUGAUACUAAAGAAGUUAUUAAUGCAUUAGUGUGAUUACCUCUAAUGACAGUGCGACGAGUUGAACUAUCGCUGUGCUAGUGGUAGCUGGUUGCAAGGUCCUUCUGCCAUUCUACAUCAGUAUAAUAACAUUUAUCUUUAUUAGAUUACCAAUUGAAUCUCAUUUCGUAGGCUUAUUUUAGAUGGUUUUAUUUCUUUAUUUCAUUUUUUCAAUUGUAUUCUGAUUCAAGAAGAGGAGGGAAAGGAAGAGAGUGAUGACGGUGUCCGUAACUACGGCUCCAUAAUGAAGAAUAUGAUAGGGAUGAGAGAGAGAGGAAGGAAAGAGAGAGAAAUAUGAGCAUUUUANGGUUUAAAACAAGCUCCUAGAGCCUGGUAUGAAAGACUUAGCACUUUUCUUACUUCAAAUAAUUUUUCAAGAGGAAAAGUUGACACCACAUUAUUUAUCAAAAUUAAGGGUAAAGAUUUUCUCAUUAUACAAAUUUAUGUGGAUGAUAUUAUAUUUGGUGCUACUAAUGAAUCUCUCUGUAAAGAAUUCUCUAAGCUAAUGCAAAAUGAGUUUGAAAUGAGCAUGAUGGGCGAGCUCUCAUUCUUCCUUGGACUCCAAGUUAAACAAAUGAAAGAUGGAAUAUUCAUCAAUCAAGCCAAGUAUGCAAAAGACCUAAUCAAAAGAUUUGGCUUGAAAAGCUCAAAAGAGACGAACACUCCAAUGAGUGUCUCAACUAAACUUGACAAGGAUGAAAAAGGCAAGGAUGUUGAUAUCAAACUCUACCGAGGUAUGAUUGGCAGUUUACUUUAUCUUACCGCGAGUCGGCCGGACAUUAUGUUUAGUGUUUGCUUGUGUGCUCAGUUUCAAGCUCAACCUAAGGAGUCACACUUAGUGGCUGUAAAGAGAAUUCUUAGAUAUGUUAAAGGGACUCUCAACUUAGGAUUAUGGUAUCCCGAGGGCACUAAUUUUAAUCUCAUUGGCUUUUCAGAUGCCGACUUUGCCGGAUGCAAAGUUGAUCGGAAAAGUACGAGUGGGACUUGUCAAUUUCUUGGUCACUCCUUAGUCUCAUGGUCUUCGAAAAAGCAAAAUUCGGUUGCUCUUUCAACCGCCGAAGCCGAGUACAUCGCGGCAGGUUGUUGUUGUGCACAAGUUUUAUGGAUGAAACAAACCCUUGAGGACUUUGGAGUACAUCAAAAACAAGUUCCAAUCAAAUGUGAUAAUACUAGUGCCAUCAACAUAUCUAAAAAUCCUAUUCAACAUUCUAGAACUAAACACAUUGAAAUUAGACAUCAUUUUAUUAGAGAUCAUAUUCAAAAAGAAGAUGUCACUAUAGAAUUCGUGGACACUUGUAAUCAAUUAGCGGACAUUUUUACUAAACCUCUUAGUGAGGAUAGGUUCACUCAACUUAGAAGAGAAUUAGGAAUGAUUGAUUUAUCUGCUUGAUUUUCUCCUUUUUCACUGUUAUAUUUGCCUUGCAAUUUUAUUAUUUUUUUUUACACCUUUUUGUUUUGCACAUUUUACGGACGAAAAUUUCCGGUCGCCCGAAAAUUUUCGGGCGCCCGAAACAUGUGUUGACCACACAGUGCACCGUCUGACCGACCUAACGGGUUAACGGGCUUCGGAUCCGGGCGACCACUCGGUUCGCACCCGCACCCGAAAACCCGCUUUGACCGCCUCGCCGGUUUGACCGUGCUGGCGGGUUACCGGGUUCCGGAUCCGGGCGACCGAUCCGACCCGCACUCGCGCCCGCUUUGACCGUCGCGCCGUUUUGACCGCCGUGGCGGGUUCCGGGUUGCGGAUCCGGGCGACCUCGCCGACCCGCAUGAGCGCCCGAAACCCGCUAGCGGGCCCCCUUGUCGUCCCCAGCAGCCCGACAAGCCCUAUCUUCCAUUUUUUUUUCCUUCUUCUUCCUCCUCUCCGUCCGGUCGCCCAGAUCUUGCGCCCAGCCCUCAUCAGAACCGCCCAAAUCUUCUCCAGCACUCAGAUCUCCUCUCUCCUUCUCCUCAAUCAGUGGUAUUUCCUCUCCAUUUUUUUUCUUUUCCUUUUUUUUUUUCUUCCAACUGUUAACCCUAAGCUUGCAAUUUUUUAUUUUAUUUUUUUUUUGCAGAUCUCUUGUACUUUUUGCACCAUAAUCUUUACCAUUGCAUCCUAGAUCUUCCUUUUUGAUUUUUUUUUAAAUCCUAGCUCUCAGUUUAAUUAACACAAAAAAAAAAUGCCUAGAACUAAAAAUGCAUCUAGAAGAGGAUCUCCCUCACAUAGAUAUGAUCAAAAUGAAGAUUUUGAUGCAUUUAACUUUGUAUCUAGAGAGGCUCAAGAUAAAUAUCUUUUAGGUCGUCCCGUUCAACCUUGCCGUAAUAUUCAUCAUCUCAAUUUUGAUUGCUAUGAACUUUUGGAUAAACUCACACAAGUUGGAUGGGAUUUCUUUGUUCAAAAUUCGCGACCAUUUUAUCCGGAUCUAAUUAGGACUUUUUAUGCCAAUGCCACUUUUAAUUCCGAAUAUACUACUAUUACUUUCCACUUCCGGGGACGUGUUUUUGCCAUCACUCCUAUCCUUCUUCACACGGUUUUGAACAUUCCUAAUGACGGGGUUUGCUAUUAUCAAACCAACACUUGAAACUUUCCUGCAUUUUCUGAGGCGCAACUCCGCAAUCAUUUUCUUUGUGAAGAAUCUACUUCACGAGAAGAUUGCUCUCAUCUUUUCUUUCCUCACCGCCUCGCCCACUUUUUACUAACUAAAGUAGUUCUUCCUCGCGACGGUCACCACACCGCUGUUCAAAAAAUGGAUCUUUUUCUUCUUCAUCAUCUAUUUGCGGGGAUCCGGGUAAAUUUGGGGUAUAUCAUCAUUCGCCACAUGGCCGUCGCCAUUUCUCAUCCCUCGCGCUCAUUUCCAUAUGGCUCUUUGCUCACCGCUGUUCUCGAGUUUAUGUCAUUUGAUCUUUCUGACGUAAGGCCGAUGAAGUACCCCACUGUCAUUUCUACUGCCACUUUCUCCACUCUCGGCUUCAAGAAAAAUCGUCAUGGCAUUUGGGUAAGGAAACAUGUGAUUGAUUCGCCUAGCGAGCAUGGUGAUGACAUUGACGACGCCGAGGAUGAUCCUAUGCCUUAUGAGCCACCCCCUCGAGCACCUUCUCCACCGGUUGAGCCGCCGCCACGAGCAUCUCCUCCACCAUUUGAGCCAACCCCUGCUGUGCCUCCGCCCUAUGUUCCUCCACCUAUGGAUUUUCAAACCCAAGUUUUUGAUCGACUUGAUAGGAUGGAAGGCCAUAUGCAUGCCCUCCAGACGGAUGUUUCCAGCAUCAAGGCAUACAUGGACUCUAUCUUUGGACCUUCUAGUGCCUUCUAUGCGGCGUAUGGACCCCACGUUGAUCGACCAUCAUCCUCCUCUAUGCCUCCACCAGUUUCGCCUACGGAUAAUGAGGACGAUGAAGAGGAUGACGAUGAUGAUGAUUAGCUUAUGUUUCUACCACUUUUUGCUAGUCUCCUUUUAUGCUUUUUUUUGUAAUGACAAAGAGGGAGAAACUUGCUAUGUGAUAUACUAUGCUUGUGGUUUAUUAUGUUAUGAUGCUCCUUUUAUGCUUGUGGUUUAUUAUGUUGCUGCUUAUGUUUUAUUAUGUUAGGCCAUGUGAAUCUCGCUUAUAUUUUGACAUUUGCUUACAUGAUUGCUUACUUCUUUUAUUGUGAUAUAUGCUAUGCCUAUGAUUGUGUUUUAUACUUGUUAAAUAUAUGCAUAUAUUUAGGGGGAGUAUUCUACUCUUUUGCUCUCUACUCAUUUGAAUAUUAUAUCACAUUAUUUGUCAUCAUCAAAAAGGGGGAGAUUGUUGGCCCAGUGGCCCUAAUCGUCUAUUAGAUUUUGAUGAUAACAAAUAAUCACGAUUAUUGGACUAAUCUUUUAUCUUGAGUCUUGUGUUUUAGAUCUCUCUAUCUUCAAAAAGGAUUCAAGAUGGGCAAUAUUCUAGCACCAAGCUUCACCACUUGAAGCUGUGUUUGCUUCUUUUGUCAAAUAGACAAACUCACUCUCUCUAUUCUUAAUUUGAUUAAUAUUAUGCUUUAUGAUUAGAGUGAGAAACUUUGAGCUAAGUUUUAUCACUUUAUAGAUCACUUAAACAAAUUUCUAAAUUUAUGAUUAAGUGAAAAGGACUUUUAAAUAUUCAAAAAUUGCUCAAAUUCUGUGUUCUGUAAAGUUGCAAUUUCUGGACCCUGUUCUGGGCGCCCUAAAGUGGAUCCGAAUCUUUUGAGACCUUUUGGAUCCUGCCUGUUUGCUGUUCGGGUGAUCCAGAAACACCAAGACUAUUUGACUUGACAGGUUGCGACAACAGGCGGCGCAAAAUCUGGGCGCCCAGAUUUUAUGGAAGCAGCGGCGCACGCAAUCUGGGCUGUCUGGCAAGAAAGUCAGCACGACUUUCUGGGCGCCCACAACUUUUGACGACUCGAAUCCAGAAAAACGGCGCAUGUCAGAAAAGUUGUCCCUCGAGAUCUGGGCGCCCACAACUUUCUGACGGCCCAAAUCCAGAGGAAGCGGCGCCUGUCAGAAAAGCUGUUCCUCGUGUUCUGUGCGCCCACAACUUUUGACGGCCCAGAACUUACGAAGUCAAGAAAAGCUGCGCGUGUCAGAAAAGCUGUUCCUCGAGAUCUGGGCGCCCACAAAUUUUUGACGGCCCAAACAUACAAAGUCAAGAAAAGCGGCGCACGUGGUCCGACAGGCAGCUGGCGUGCACAAACUUCUGGGCGCCCGGAAACAGUUUUAGGGCGCCCGAAAGUACAACUGACAGAUCUGUCCGAGGCUAUAAAUAGAUGGUAUUGAGGCCUCACUUUGCAACAACUUGAUAGUUCAUUUGAGCUUAAAAACUUCAGUGAUCUUAAUACUCUUAGCUCUCAAUUCUCUCUCUAAACUUGAGUGAAACUUGUAGUGAGAUUUAAUCUUGUAAAAAGAGAGAGAAGCAAAUUCUUGAAGCUUGAAAGAAGAAGGAGUUGAUGUGAAGGCUUGGUGCUUGCCCGCAAAAGCAUCAUCUAGUGGAGAUCCAACAUUCUCGAGUGUUGAGAAGUUGGCGGGGACGUAGGCAAAGUGCCGAACCUCGAAACAAAUUGAUCGUGUACUUUUCGAGUUUGCAUUUCUUUUAUUUGCAUCGGUUUUUUAAUUUGCUUGAUUAUUUGGAUUUUUAUUUUAGAAACCUAAUUCACCCCCCCUCUUAGGUUGCCAUUUUGAUCCUCAAUCCACUGUCUGUCAUUCUUCACUCUCUCUUAGUUUCGAGUCCAAAUUCUAAUGAGGGAGAUGAUUCAACUAUCAUUGUGAUGUCAUCAUGCACUCGACAGCAAUUUGAUGAGUGUCUGAGAUUAUAUAAUCAAGGUCUCCUAUAUUUGGCUCAAAAUCGAGAGCAAUUUGAUCGGCUAUGCGCUCUUUCACUUGAUCUAGCCAAUCGGUCAGACAUCUCUUCUUCCUGUAAAUGUUUUGUGGAACUUCUGUCAUCUCAACUUUCUUCUUUUUUAUCUCGGCAACAAUCUUUGGGUGCCAAGUUUUUAUCUUUGGAUCAAUAUUUUCAUCGUGUUGAUCAUUUUAAGAGAAACAUUCCCAAGGUAGCAGCUCCCAUUACAAAAGUGAGCCCAGAGUUUCGUGUCCUCUCAGAUCAAGAAUCGGCUCUACAUCAACGUAUUUCAACUCUUGAAGAAGAAUUGGCAGCAGCUAAAUCAACUGUAGCUCACAUUUUCGAGCGUCGGCUUCAAUUACAACAACAAUUAGAGUCCAAGAAAGAAAAGGGAAUAAAACUGCAAGAAGAACUAUCUCAACUUUACAAGGUUCAUCUCAUAAUGAAACGCCGAAGAAAAGUUGCUGAAAUUGCCCAAGCUAAUCUGACAGCCGAAUGGAAUCAACUCAAAAAUUUACUAUCUUGAUUCGGCUUGUAAUACUCUAACUCUGAUUUUGGUUAUCUUCCCACAUGGAUGGGUAAUAUUUUUUCAAGUAUUUCUCAUUGAUUGGUUUUUCAUUUUCUGCUCCAUUUACAUUCUUGAUGUAGUAUGCAUUCCCUUUUGCAAUUCGAUUGACUUGAAAUGGUCCUUCCCAAUUUGGAGACCACUUUCCAUAUGCUCGGUCUGUUUGACCGAUUGGAAAAACCAGUCUAAGGACUAGGUCACCGACUGCAAAUGACUUGUGCCUAACUUUUUUAUUAUAUGCACCACACACUCGGCUCUGAUAUGUUUGUAAAUUAUUCAAAGCCAUUAAUCGAGUUUCAUGUAUUUCUUCCAUCUCUUCUUUCAUUAAAUUACUAUGUUCAUCAGCCGACAGUUCUCUCUGUUUUAUUAUCCUCAAAGAAGGAACUGUUAUUUCGGCUGGGAUCACGGCCUCAUGGCCGUAUACUAAUUAGAAUGGCAUCAUCCCCGUUGCCGUUUUUACUGAAGUUUGGCAUGCCCACAAUACUUCAGAAAGCUUUUCAUUCUACUUCCUUGAAUGUUUUCCGAUAUGCCGUUUCAUGAGAUUAAUAAUUACUUUAUUUGCUGCCUCUACUUGUCGAUUCGCUUGAGCAUAAUAAGGAGACGAAUGAAGUAACCUUAUUUUCCGUGACUCGAUGAACCGAAUGAACUGUCCUCCUGUGAACAUCGUUCCUUGAUCGAUUGUAAUCGUCUCGGGAAUCCCAAAGCGAUGAAUUAUAUAAUCUUCAAUAGGGAUGCAAAUGGAUCCGGGUUGGUGGAGCUCCGCCCCGAUCCGCCCCGAAUAGGGUGGUAAGUAGGAACAAAAAAUAUAAAAAAAUAUAACCCGCCCCGAAUCCGCCCCGAUCCGCCAAGUAAAUGGAGCGGGAGGUGGGAGACUCUUUUCUUCCUUCAAUCCGCCCCGAUCCGUCAAAAAUCCGGCUCCCGCCCCGAUCCGCCCCGAAUGGAGCGGUAAGUGGGAGCCAAAAAUAAAAUGAAAAGUAACCAGCCCCGAAUCCGCCCCGCCCCGAUAAGAAAUGGAGCGGGAGGUGGGGGAACUCUCCCGCCCCCGGAUCCGCCCCGUUUGCAUCCCUAAUCUUCAACAAAAUCAAUAAUCUCCUUUUGAGUGACUAAUCGAGUAGGUUUCACUUCUACCCACUUAGUGAAGUAAUCGACAGCUACUAUUAAAAACUUAUGUCCAGCCGAGGAGUUCGAUUGGAUUUCUUCAAUUAAAUCCAUGGUCCAACCUCGAAAAGGCCAUGGUUUAAUUAUGGCAUACAUUUCAGAGGCAGAAACUCUCUGUAUUGAGCCAUGAAAUUGACAAUCCUGACAACCCUUGGCAUAUUUUAUGCAAUCUUGAUGCAUAGUCAGCCAAUAAUAUCCUAAAUGUCGAAUUGUCCAUCUUAACGUUUUUCCUGCCAAAUGCGCUCCACACAAACCCUCAUGUGUUUCUCCCAUCACUAAUAGGGCUUCUUCAGGUCCCAAGCACUUUAAUAACACUUCUUCGGCUAUUCUUUUGUAGAGCUGUCCAUCUAACAGACAGUAGCCGAGUGUUCUUCUUCGAAUGUUAUAGUCGACCCUUUUGUUGGGGUCUUCUAAUUAUUCGAUUAAAGGCUUUCUCCAAUCUUCUUCUACCUCUAUGGGGGCAACCAUUGAUUUUCUAAUAUGAACUGAAGGUAAUAAUCUCUUCUCUAUCAUUAUUAAAUCAUGCUUUGUCUCUCUAUAUCCUGAAGCUGAUUGAGCUAACUUGUUCGCUUGUUCAUUUUUCUCUCUUGUCAAAUGCUCAAAUUCAACCUCUCCAAAGCUACACAGUAAUUCUACUAUUUUUCUCAAAUAUUUUUGUAAAUGCUGACUCUCACAUCGAUAUUCUCCACUAACUUGUUUGAUCACUAACUGUGAAUCACCGAUAACUUUGAGCGAUUUAACUUUCAAUUCUCGUAAAAUUUCAAGGCCUAUUAUUAAGGCCUCAUAUUCGGCUUGAUUAUUAGAGCAGCCGAAAUCUAACUCAAAAGCAAAUUGACACGAAUAUCCCUCCGGAGAUUGAAUAACUAUUCCAGCUCCUGCAGACUCGGCCGUUCUCGAGCCGUCAAAAUAAAGUGUCCAGUGUUGACAGCCAACCAAAUUUUGUUUCAGCUCUUCAAUUUCAACACACGGGUGAUCAGCCAAAAAAUCGGCUAUUGCUUGUCCUUUAACAGCUUUCGCUAGGAUAUAAUUAAGAGAAAAUUCGGAUAAAACCAAUAUCUGCUUUCCAAGUCGACCCCUUAAAAUGGGUCUAGUUAACAUAUAUUUCACCAAGUCAGUUUUGCAUAUUACUGACACCUCGGUUGACAAAAUAUAGUAUCUUAGCUUCGUACAAGCAUAAUACAACGCUAGGCACAAUUUCUCAACAGCCGAAUAUUGCUUCUCAGUAUCUAAUAACCGUCGGCUUAAGUAAUAAAUGGCCUGCUCUUCUUUUUCUUCAUUUUUUUGGGCUAAUAAACACCCAAAAUUUUCUUCUGCAACCGAAAUGUAUAAUUUCAUCGGCUGCCCUUGCUUAGGAGGCAUAAGAAUCGGAGGAUUUGAUAAGUAUUUCUUUAUGCUCUCAAAUACUCUUUGUUGUUCUUCUGUCCAAACAAAUUCUUCCUUACCCUUAAGUCGAAAUAAUGGAGUAAAAACUCAUAUUCUACCGGCUAAAUUAGAUAUGAAUCGUCGUAGAUAAUUUAUUUUCCCCAGUAAACUUUGCAACUCUUUUUUGUUCUUCGGAGGCGGCAAUUCCGAUAUAGCUUUUACCUUAUUCUUAUCAAUUUCUAUUCCCUUCUUAUGUACCAAAAAUACUAAAAAAUUUUUCGCUGAAACUCCAAAAGCACAUUUCAAGGGAUUCAUUUUUAACUUGUAUUUUCUCAUUCUCUCAAAAGCAAGCUUUAAAUCAACCCAAUGUUCGGCUUGUGAUUUGGAUUUUAAACUAUAUCAUUGAUGUAAACUUCCAACAUUUUGCCGAUUAAAUCAUGGAAUAUAAAAUUCAUUGCCCUUUGAUAAGUAGCUCCGGCAUUUUUCAAACCGAACGGUAUAACCACCCAUUCAAAGGUUCCAAUAGAACCCGGGCAUCUAAAAGCCAUUUUAGCUACAUCAUCCUUGGCAAUAUAAAUUUGAUUUUAGCCAGCAUGUCCGUCCAUAAAGGAUAAAAUUUUAUUACCGGCAGCCGAAUCUACUAACAUAUCGGCUAUGGGCAUUGGAUAUUCAUCUUUUGGUGUAGCUAUGUUCAAGUUCCUAAAAUCGAUACAAACUCUAAGUUUGCCAUUCUUUUUACGCACUGGAACUAUAUUAGACACCCAAUCGACAAAACGGGCCGCUCUAAUAAAUCCGGCCUUCAAAAGAUUUUCUAUGUCACUUUUAAUUUGGAGUACAAUACUCAGCUCAAACCUACGAGCCGGUUGUUUAAAAGACUUAAACCCUUUUUUAAUGGGUAGCCUAUGCUCUACAAUUUCUCGACUUAAACCUGGCAUUUCUUCAUAACUCCAGGCGAAACAGUCCUUGUACUCCUUCAAUAGUUCUUUCAACUCCUGCUGUCGUGCCGAAAGCUUUGCACUUAUAUACGUCGGUCUCUUAUCUUUGUCGGAUCCCAAAUUUACUUCGAUCAGCGGGUCUUGGAUCUCCAACUUUUUCUCACCGAUUUUAAUAGGCGACUCCUCUAGAUUUAAUUCACUUGUUUGCCUAUUCCAUUCAUGUGGUUUAUCGGUCUCAAUGACCGAUUUCAUUUGAUUUUCUUCUUCAGCUUUGGGAGCCGAAUCUAUUAUAACUUAUUCAGCUUUAUUAGCUGGAUUGUCAAGCAUUAACACAUCGGCUAAGGCAGCCGAAUCAUCCUCAUAGCUGAUCUUGUUGAUCGACUUAUUUUGUUGAGGCUCUUGACAAGCCCCUAUUCUCAAUCUUUGUAUUCCAUUUUAACCACUUCAGUGGCUCUUCUUCUGCCACCAUGCCACCUACAUCUUUGGAGAAGAUUAACUGAACCCCCUCCUCCGUAACUCUGACAAAAGCAAUCUGAUCUGGAUCUGCGUCGGCCCAAUCGGUGUGGCCGAUUUUCUUCCAAUUGACAUCUAUCAUUUGGGGCCGUUCUUCGGCCCGGAUUUCUUCUGCUUUGUCCCCAACCCACUGGAAUAGCUUUCCGUGGAGCGUACUGGGUACGCACUCAUUCGCGUGUAUCCAAUCGCGUCCAAUUAGUAGGUUGUAAUGGCUAUCUACAUCCACCACAAAACACGCAGUUUUUAAAGUUUUGGAGCCUACCGUGACCUCGGUGGUGAGCACUCCUCGGGCUUGCUAACCGCUACCAGUGAAGUCGGUCAUGAUUGAAUCGGUGGGCUUCAACUCGUCUUGAUCUUUGCCCAACUUUUUGAAGAAAGAAGUGGGUAUUGAUCAUGGCUCCACCAUCUACCAUAAUUCGGCCUACUGGCUGACCUUCGAUUAAGGCCCUAAUGAACAAAGGCCUUAUGAAUCUUGUCUGUAUGGCCGAUGGUUUCUCAAAAAUCACUGCAUUGGCCGGUUGAAAAUCUUCCAAUUGUAACUGGGCCACUUUAAGCCGAACUUCUUCCUCCUCUCUGAAUUCUUCAUAUUCGACAAGCUCCGCCCUGAAGGAUUGAAGCAGGGCAUAUACCAUAUUCACCUCGGCCUGUGACUCAUCAGCCGAUUUACCUUUAAUUUUUUUAUAUUUUCUCCUCUGACUCUUUGGUCGUUCCGGCUGAAGAGUCGCUUUCCAUGCAGACCUCCCUUUCCUUGGAGGGCCAUCUUUCUCUCUUGAUAAUCGUCUCGAGGGAGGCUAUUUUAUCUUCUAACUCCCUCCUGGUCAUUUUUUCUUCCGACUCGACCUCGGUUGGCCGUUCUAACUUUGACUUCAUCCAAGGGACAGGCGAUGAGCCGCCUGUCUCGUGAUCGUUUCGCAUUGGGCGAAAGGGGUGUGACUGCUCAUUAGGACGUCUCCAUACGUUGAGCCUUAUCCCUUUUGCUUCUUCGUAGUGUUGCCUUGCCUCAACUUGCAUCCUCUGCUGCCGACGCUUUUGGAUUUUUGUUAACAUCGGCCCCUACCACUUGGCCGAUGGUUUGACUUCAACUUCGUGCCAUUCAUCCACUGGCACGUUUGCCGGUACCUUUACCAUUCUCAAAUAAUUUUUUAAAAUUUCUCUUCUCUCCCAAGGCCUCGGCCAAGGCUGAAUGCCGAGCUCAUUCACUAGUCUUCGACCCAAGAACUCAAUGUCUCCUUCGGUUAUUCCAUCAAAUUCGGGUUCUCGUCUCGGCCUGGCUUGAUGUUGCCAGUGCGGCCAAUAUCCAGGGAACCUUUGCUUGGAGCCGAAUGGUCUAUCCUGAUAGCCCUAUCGACCUUGACGUUCACCACGCCUAUUGUUGUAAUAAUCAUGCAGAAUUUUCUACAUCAACAAAUCCUUCUUGUGUUGAACCGAAUCGACUUCCGGUUCCGUUUCAUUGGAGGCUCCAUCUAAGCCCUCCUCUUCUUGAUCCUCACCAUCAGGAAUGUCAUCCCACUCCUCGGGGAAUGCCAUCAACUUAUUCCACUCAUUGUCUUUUUUCUUGGCAUUGAUGAUAGCUUUCCAAUCCUUCUUCGUCAUUUCGGCCUUACAUCUUAUGCACAGCCAAAGAUUUCUCUUGGCGUGAGCCACUUUCUAUGUGGUCGCCGGGUCCGCUAUCUCUUUCCCUUUAAUAUUCACCAUAUUGACCUGAAAAGGAAAUGAACUUUUGUCAAUUACAUUAUUUUUAUUUUCUUGGUCGGCUAAAAUGAGCCGACCCUCGUCUAUUUCUUCUUGGAUCUGCCUUUUUGCAGUCGCUUUUCCUUCUCCUUUCAUGUUCACCACGUUGACCUGUGAUGGAAAAGGGUUCUUAUCAAUUUCCAUAUCUUUAUUUUCUUGAUCGGCAAAGAUGAGCCGACCAUCGUUUAUUUCUUUUUGUAUCUGCCUCUUAAAGGCAGUACAUUCAUUUGUUUUAUGGCUCAAUGAAUGGUGCCAUUUACAAUAUCUUCUGCGUUUCAAUUCCUCUACAGGGGGUAUUACUUGACCCUCCUGCAAUUUGAUUCGACCAUCCUUUAGCAGCUGAUCGAAAAUCAGAUCGGUUUUCGUCACAUCAAACGAGUAAGUAUAUGCCGAAACCUGCGCUUUUUUUCACACGAUUUGGCAGGUUUUAACAGAGCACACUUAUAUGGUUGGCGAUUUUUUACCAACUCUGCUGCACAUAUUUCGGCUUCAUCAGCCGAAUCUUCAUUCUCUUCAGACGAAUUCGGCUCCUCAUGAGCCGAAGACUCCUUAAGAAAGGAAAUAUUUCUCUCCUUCCCUUUAUUCCAUUCUUUGUUUCGGCUCCAUCUGGGCCGAUCUUUAUUAUUACCCUUUCAAAAUUGCUCAUAUUGAGCAACUCGAACUUCCAAAUCGAAAAGAUUUGAAAAAAAUUUAUUCUCAAAAUGAUCUUUAAUUUUAAAAUGCAUGCCGUUGAAUGCCAUUUUGGCAAAUUCCGAUUUCGACAUUCUUACGAAACAACGGCUUCGAGAUGUUUUGAAUCGGUUCAAAUAUUCAUCAAUCGAUUCUCCUGUUUUUUGUCUGAAUUGAGCCAAAUCCGCAACUGAUAAUUCUGGCUCUAUUCUAUAAAUUGUUCAUGGAAUUUAUCCUCUAAUUCGUCCCAGUCUCGAACGGAAUUAGCAGGUAAACUCGUGUACCAAGUGAAAGCCGUCUUGGUUAAUGAGGUAUUAAAUAACCUCAACUUUAAAAAUGGAUCUACUGCGGCCUCACGGCACUGAGCUGUAAACCGCGCGACGUGUUUGACCGUAUUUUCGGUCUCGUCGCCGAAAAACUCGUCAAUCUUCGGCAUCUUCCAAUUUGCCGGAUAUGAGUGUUCUGCGUCUAUAUUUGCAAGAUAAGGUGAUCUGAAUACAGGCCGCAUUGCUGGCCUUGCGCCAACUCCGAAGGUAUUCCGGAUGGCUUCCUCUAUUUGCGCAUAAAUCUCAUUAUUAAUUCCCUGUAAAGGAAUUUGCGCCGGUGCUGGGUUCGGUGGUUGUGGCACACCAAGAUUUUGUACCAAGGGAUUAACCCCUUGUAUAUUUGGAGCUUGCCCCCUAGUCCCUACAUUUUGAGGCUGGUAUGCUACUGGUGGGGGUGGAGGUAACCCCCACGCUAUCUCCGGUUGUUGACCGGUAUUAACGAUAGCCAGUCUAUAAGCCGCUUGAUAUGGUGCCCCCUGGUAUUGGGGUUGGCUAUUUACCUGGGUUACGGGAUUUUGUAACACCGGAGCCAUCAUGGGCGUUUGUAAGCCCACUGCUGGCUGUUCAUUCCGAGUCAACAAUUGUCCUAUUCGGGUUAUGUUCUCGUUAGAGGCUGUAACUGCAGCCAAUACGGCAUCCAGCCGUGCAGUACUCGCAUGACUAUUUUGGUCCAAAACUUGCAGGACCCGAGUCAUUUGUCCAAGCGCCUGAGCUAAACUAGGCUCCUGUUGGCCAGGAUGACCACUGGUCUCACCCUCGGCAAGUAAGACUGCUUGGCGCUUUAAGGCAUUCUCCAAAUUACUAGGCUAUUCGCUCCCAGAAUUUUUAGGAACGACCCUAUUACGGAGAUUCAUGGCGUUAUCAUCAGCCAUAAUUUACAAAAAAUAUAAAUUUACCUUAAAAACGGGUCCCACCAGGAGUGCCAAAAUUGUUAGUUGCCGAAAAUUCCGACCCUCGACUCUGGUCAAAGAUCCUCUUCGGGAAGCGCGUCAGGGCUGAAAUGGUUCUGAAAAAUAACCCUCGAAGUGUGCGCCCUUUGACUAAACAAGUAAUUCGGCUGAUGAGGGAUCCAAUCAACCGAGUCCGAAAGCUCUAAUCUCACUUCGGUUCAAUCGGAUGAGCCGAAUGUACGGGGGAGACCGAAAGCUCGACCAGGAAAUGAGCCAAACGAUUAACACAACACAAGAUCUAGUCGGCCUGAAGAGCCGAAAAUGACUUUCUAUUGACUGAACCAGCAAAAAGUACAGGAAGAGGGGUUUUAGUCUACAACAGAGCGAUGCCCAAAGGGCAGACAGACUCCAAGAUUCUACGUUACUAAGACUACUCCUAGAAAAAGCGGUAAAUGCAGGAAAGAAAAAUACAGUAAAAUAAGAGUGGUCUUUUGUUCACAGGGGUAAAAACCCUUUUUUUUUAAGGUAUCACAAGCCUAUUUAUAGAAUCGCCCCUAGGUCGGUUAUAGCCCCUUGCAUGAUCGGCCACUAUCUUCUGAGAUUUCGGACCACCUCUAGCCGAUCGGAACUGCUUGCAACUGCAUGCGGUUGCUAUAACUUCUCUGGUUCAUGUUUCUCCUGGUGCUCCCGAUGUACUCCUGGUGCAUUACUGAAACAGCUGCCCUAUGAAUCCGGCGUGUGAAACCCGGCGUACCAGUUUUACGCCUAAUUGGCUCAACAAUAAGCAAUAAGGUAUAACUCAUUUUGUGACAUUUACGAAUGUGGGAUAUAUACAAGAGAUCAUGAAAAUGCAAUAUGACGAUUUGUUAUAUUCAAAAUAGUGAAGUUUCAAGAGUAUAUGCUGGAUGGAGAAGAGUUUCAAAAUUAUACUUUAGAAUUUAGAUAAGAGGAGAAACUCCCUAGUAUUCAUUACAUAUUAUUUUUAUAUAUAAAUUCGUUUAAAAUUAGUUAUUGAAAAUCGAUUCGAAGUAACAAUAAUUAUUUAAUCAAUCAACUCCGUUCUCUCAUAUUCAUCUUGCACGUGAAAUAUAUUUCAUAAAAUACAUAUAUUUAAUUUCAAAUUUUUCCAUGGGGAUGGUCUUUAACAUAUAUAAAUGUAUAUAUAGCAUCAUGACCACAAAAUUUGUCGAAAAGGAUUAUACAUGGGAACAAAAUUAAUGCCCAACAACUUAAUUAAUUGGCCCCCAAAUAAUUCUUGCAUAUCUUAUUUGUCUAAAUAAAAUAUAUAUAUAUAAUGUGUUUGAGAGCCAACUCUCAUUGACUAAAUUGCUCAUUCUCUCACAUGCAUUGCUGAUGCAUGUGAUCCUUUUAAUUCUAUAUAUACUCAAAAUUUUUUUCCAGUAUAUAAGAAGUACAUGUCAGAAGAGCCUAGCCAGUUAAUUUUUAUCUUAUUUUUUAGGCUAGAAAACUUUUUCGUCAAAAUCCAUUUUUUCAUUUUUCUCCUUUAUUAUUUAAAAACCUACACUUUACCGCUUUGUAAAAUAAAAAAUAUGCACUCACCUCCUACCGUUAGUAAUCUGUUAGAGUUCCGUUAUAAAAUAUUUUUUUAUGCCAAAAAUACCCCUCCACCCUUUUCCCUGUUGCUUCGCCUUCCUCCGCCUCGCCGCCGCCUCGCCCACAUCUCCGUCCACGCCCAGAAACACUCCUUUGCCCUCCUCUGCCGACUCGCCUUCUCCCUCGUUGCCCUUACCUACCUCUCCAUCCACGCCCACCUCUAUUUCCUCCAUACUGUCGCCGAAAUCGAGGGGCGGCGAGGGCGCAGGAGGAGAAGGGCAGCAGGUGGAGAAGAAAAUUGAGAGAAACUGUGGCCGAUCGAGGCGUGAAUCGCGGCCGAUCGAGGCGGCGGUUCAGGGAGAUGAAGGAGGAGAUGAAAAUGGUGAGAGGCAAAAUGGUCAUUUUAUCAUCACAGUACACGCCGUACCCUCCUUGUGAAUAUUUUUUAUUUUAUAAGGGAGCAAAGUGUAAGUUUUUAAAUGAUAGGGGGUAAAAUAAAAAAUCGGGUUUUAAUAGGAGGGUUUUAUAUAAUUUAACCAUAGUUUUUAUGAAAUGCGGCGUAAUUGAGAACCUAAUUCAUGCAAUAAACAUUUGUGGAUUAAUUUGUGAUUAAGCAACUUCUCAUUGUUGGCUUUUUCAGUGGCAUUGUUGUCCUUAUAUUAGAGAUUAAAGUAAAUGUUUCUCCCUACACUAACUUUAACUGGAGCAUAUAGGCUCCAGAGAUUAGGAGACAUGUUUUUAUCUUCAUAGAGAGAGAGAGAGAGAGAGAGAGAGAGAGAUAAGAAAAUUACAUGUUAAGAAGAAUCUUUGCAUGUCUAAUGGUUUGUAGAACAAUUGAUAGUGUAACUGUUCCCCAUACAUGAUCAAGUCACAAUGCAAAUAAUAGACUGUUCCUAGCGCAAGUGGCAAAAAAUUUUGUGGUUGAUAUCCGAGGUCCCAAGUUCGAAUCUUAGUUGAUUUACAGUUCUAGCUAAGUUUAUUUCUAAAUGAAAUAAACGAAGCGGGUAGCAUGCUAUCCAUCUCUCAAAAAAAAAAAAAAAUCACAAUGCAAAUAUAUAAGAGUAAAAUGCAUGGCUAGUCCCUCUAUUAUCCCACUAUUGGAACAUAUUUUAAGUUGGUUUUAAUACUUUUUGUUGGCUUAAAGGCCAGCAUUCUACUUUAUGAGGGGAGGUCAGGUUGGACCGAAUCACGUUCAAAAUGAUAGAAGAUCAGAUUGGGCUGAGUCAUAUUCAAAGUAGCGUCAGACUAGUUGGACUGAUCAAGUCACAAUCGAGACUUGUGAUGUUGUGUCUGUACGCUGUAAGCUAGAAAAUUGAUUGUAUAUUUCUAACAAUUUGAGUUUUUAGAUUCGAUACUUUUCAGUUAAAUAUCUCGCACUAUCUAAACUUUCACAUUAUUACACUUUGAGCUCUAAUCGUCAAAAAUGUUUACUUUUUUCAAUAUAUUUUAUCCGGUACUUUACAUUGUAUGAACUACUCUAGUUUAAUCCGAACAUGAUAUGGUAAGGCUGUUUUAUAGUAAAAUAAAAAAAACUCGAGGACUAAAAGUGUACGCAAUGAAAAGUAAUGGGACCACUUUGUAAUACUGGAAUAGUUCAUUAUUUACUCAUACUUGUUGUUGUGGGAAACAGCUAAAAUUCCUUUUGAGUUGAUUGAGAGACAAAUUAUGACUAGUCAUUAUCCUAACAAUUACUAUUAAACUCAUUUCUAAUUUUAUAUAUAUAUAUAUAUAUAUAUAUAUAUAUAUAUCUUAAAAUAGAGUAUAAACUUUCAAUAUCAUUUAUGCGGUUUCGUAUUUUCUCACUUUAGUGUCUUAUGAUUUAAACGUGUAUCAAUUUAGUACCUUAUGAUUUUAUUUUUUUCUUUUCAUCAGCUUCUGCGUUAACAUUUUGUUAAAUUAUGCACAAAAAAUUUCAAAUACUCCACUUAAAUUUAUUAGGUAUUCACUUUAGUACCUUUUAGUUUUAAUUUUGUCACUCAUUAAAUGAAAAAAAUUAAUGAAGGGUAUAAUAAAAAGAGAAAAAUAAAAUCAUGGGAUACUAAAUUAAUACGCUUUAAAUCACAAGAUACUAAAAUAAAAAAAAAAGUAUAAAACCAUAUUGAUGGUAUUUGAAAUUUUUCCUAAAUAAAGUUAUAGUAAAGAGUAACUGCAGUAUAAAUAAACAAAUAAUAAUUGUAUAAAUAUUUAAGUCUAAGAUAUAUAGCUACAACCUUAGUUAGUUAAUUCGCGUUUAAUUCGCGAAUUAUUCGCGACUUUUUCGAAACCCGAAUUAAACGCCGGCAUCCGAAUUUUUCCAAAACAUGCGUAAACAAACGCAUUUUUUUCAGCAAAAAUAAUCAUCCGCGAAUCAUUCGCGAUUCGCGAAUGAUUCGCCCAAAGAAACGGCGGUCGCGGACUCGCUGCCGCGUCGUCGCCGCCAUCGUCGGCGUCCUCCUCCUCCAUCGCUUUCGUCGCGGAACUUUGGAUCACUGUAAAAUUUCUCGAAAAAAAAAAUUUCCGCUAAAAUUUUUUUUUCCAAACAAUAGUUGUCCCUCAAAUUUUUUUUGAAAAAAUUAUUUUAUAAAUUUUGGAAAAAAAAUCGAAUUUGUGACUUGAGAGUUGAGACUUGAGAGCAAGAGGUAGAAAUGGCGCUGGGUUUGGGAAGAAGAAGNUAAUUAUUAAUUAAUUAUUAAUAAAUAAUAAUAUUAAUUAUUAAUUAUUAAUUAUAAAUAAUAUAUUAAUAAUAAUAUCGAUUAUCAUUAAGAAUAAUAAUUAUUAAUAAUUAUUAAUAAAAAAUUAAUAAAUAUUAUUAAUUAUUAAUAAUUAAUUAUAAAUAAUAAAUUAAUAAUAAUUAUUAUCUAAUUAUUAAUAAGUAAUUAUAAAUAAUAAAUUAUUUAAUUAUUUAAUUAUUAAACCAAUAAAUAAUAAUGUAAAUAUAUUAAUUAGAUUAAUUAAUAAUUUACUGCUAUUAAAAUUAAAUUUAGAUUUUAAUUAAUCUUGUUCUCAUCAAGGAACAAGCUUGUUCCAGGAAACGGGUGGAACAGCAGUUCCAGCCUUAUUCCAGCUAGUUCCAGAUUUCCGGAAACUACUGUUCCCGGGAGCCAAACAUAGCGUUUGGGAACAAAGGGGGGAACAAGGGCUUAUUCCCCCCCUUGUUCCCCAACCAAACGCUACCUCAAAGUUUUUUUUCUGGUAUAUAAGAAGUACAUGUCAGAAGAGCCUAGCCAGUUAAUUUUUAUCUUAUUUUUUAGGCUAAAUUACAGAAAACUUUUCCGUCAAAAUCCGAUUUUUUCAUUUUUCUCCCCUGUCAUUUAAAAACCUACACUUUACCGCUUUGUAAAAUAAAAAAUGUGCACUCACCUCCAACCGUUAGUAAUCUAUUAGGGUUCCGUUAUAAAAUAUUUUUUUAUGCCAAAAAUACCCCUCCACCCUCUUCCCUGUUCCUUCGCCUUCCUCCGCCUCGCCGCCACCUCGCCCACAUCUCCGUCCACGCCCAGAAACACUCCUUCGCCCUCCUCCGCCGACUCGCCUUCUCCCUCGUUGCCCUUACCUACCUCUCCAUCCACGCCCACCUCUAUUUCCUCCAUACUGUCACCGAAAUCGAGGGGCGGCGAGGGUGCAGGAGAAGAAGGGGAGCAAGUGGAGAAGAAAAUUGAAAGAAACCGUGGCCGAUCGAGGCUUGAACCGCGGCCGAUCGAGGCGGCGGUUCAGAAAGAUGAAGAAGGAGACGAAAAUGGUGAGAGGCAAAAUGGUCAUUUUAUCAUCACAGUACACGUCGUACCCUCCUUGUGAGUAUUUUUUAUUUUAUAGGGGAGCAAAGUGUAAGUUUUUAAAUGAUAGGGGGGUAAAAUAAAAAAUCGGGUUUUGAUAGGAGUGUUUUAUAUAAUUUAACCAUAGUUUUUAUGAAAUGCAGCGUAAUUGAGAACCUAAUUCAUGCAAUAAACAUUUGUGGAUUAAUUUGUGAUUAAGCAACUUCUCAUUGUUGGCUUUUUGAGUGGCAUUGUUGUCCUCAUAUUAGAGAUUAAAGUAAAUGUUUCUCCCUACACUAACUUUAACUGGAGCAUAUAGGCUCCAGAGAUUAGGAGACAUGUUUUUAUCUUCAUAGAGAGAGAGAGAGAGAGAAGAAAAUUACAUGUUAAGAAGAAUCUUUGCAUGUGUAAUGGUUUGUAGAACAAUUGAUAGUGUAACCGUUCCCCAUACACGAUCAAAGUCACAAUGCAAAUAACCGACUAUCCCUAGCGCAAGUGGCAAAGAAUUUUAUGGUUGAUAUCCGAGAUUCCAAGUUCGAAUCUUAGUUGAUUUACAUUUCUAGCUAAUUUUAUUUCUAAAUGAAAUAAACGAAACGAGUAGCAUGCUAUCCAUCUCUCAAAAAAAAAAAAAAAUUCACAAUGCAAAUAUAUAAGAGUAAAAUGCAUGGCUAGUCCCUCUAUUAUCCCACUAUUGGAACAUAUUUUAAGUUGGUUUUAAUACUUUUUGUUGGCUUAAAGGCCAGCAUUCUACUUUAUGGCGGGAGGUCAGGUUGGAUCGAAUCACGUUCAAAAUGAUAGAAGAUCAGGUUGGGCUGAGUCGUAUUCAAAGUAGCGUCAGACUAGUUGGACUGAUCAAGUCACAAUCGAGACUUGUGAUGUUGUGUCUGCACGCUGUAAGCUAGGAAAUUGAUUGUAUAUUUCUAACAAUUUGAGUUUUUAGAUUCGAUACUUUUUAGUUAAAUAUCUCGCACUAUCUAAACUUUCACAUUAUUACACUUUGAGCUCUAAUCGUCAAAAAUGUUUACUUUUUUCAAUAUAUUUUAUCCGGUACUUUACAAUGUAUGAACUACUCUAGUUUAAUCCGAACAUGAUAUGGUAAGGCUGUUUUAUAGUAAAAUAAAAAAAACUCAAGGACUAGAAGUGUACGCAUUGAAAAGUAAUGGGACCACUUUGUAAUACUGGAAUAGUUCAUUAUUUACUCAUACUUGUUGUUGUGGGAAACAGCUAAAAUUCCUUUUGAGUUGAUUGAGAGACAAAUUAUGACNUUAUAUUCUUAAGAAAUAUGAGUAUUUAUACUAAUAGAAUAAAUCUUGAGAAAAAAUAAUUUUAAUUUAAUAGCCGAAUUUUUUAUCCCGAAUUUUUAAUUGAAGAACGUAUAAUAUCCGUAUAAAUCAUGUAUCCGAAUAAUUACUGAAUCCGUUUUUUAGCCGUAUUUUUUAACGAAUUUAAAAAUUAGAAAACGAAUUUUAUCCGAAUUAUAUCCGUACCGAAUUUUUGCCGAAUCCGAAUUAACUAACUAUGGCUACAACCGCUCCUCUCUCAAUACCUAGGUCCAAUAAACAAAUUUGUCCAGGUUGUAGCCCACCGACCACCAUGCCACAGUUGAUUUAUUAUUAAUCCCACCAUUGAUAGAAUUAUUUUUUUUUGUCUAAAUUAUAUAUAUAUAUAUAUAUAUAUAUAUAUAUAUAGAUAUAUAUAUAUAUAUAUAUAUAUAUAUAUAAGACUUAAAUAUUAGACGUGCCUCAAAAUUUGGUAAUCAAGUUUGAUUUUGUGCACCUGAUUGAUUCACCAACAGUUUUGCAGUGCGACAAGUUUUAAAAAAAUGAUUUGUAAUGAAAAAAAAAUAUAUCUGUAGUGGAAGCGGAAAGCUUGGGCCGUUGCCUUAGAGGCGAUAAAGCGGAUUGUACUUCCACAAUAUUAUACUUUUUUUUUCGUAUAAUAAAAUUCUCUCUUCCUUCACCUUUACUUAUUUUUUUAUUGCAAAACAAAUUCUACGUAAAUUCUAAUGUUCUAUAUAUAUAUUUUUUUUUACUGUUUUAUGAUUUAUUUCCAUUGCGAUCGUCAUUUUUGUUUCUGUUUAUGCGCUCGUUGUUACAAUAAAUAAAUUAUAAAGCAACGAAAUCGAAAUAUCAUGACUUUGUUUCUUACCAAACAUUAAAAAACAGAAACAACAAAAACAAAAAAGGAAAAGAGCCAUCUCUGUGCCCAUCAUUUCCGGGGUUACGAUCUUUUUCUUUCUCUGAGAUAAAGCAGGUAGAAGCUUGAUGCUUUCUUAAUUAUUCAUUAAGAUCAAUUAUGAAAGGUUCUUAAUUAUUCAUUAAGAUCAAUUAUGAAAGGUGGAUAUAAUUAAUACUACUUCUAUUAAUAAAAAAAAAUUAUAUAUAAGUGUAUACUAAAGAAAAGGGGAGUAUAAUUUCUACAACCCAUGUGCAAGAAUUUUUUUUUUUUUUUAUUUGUUAAUGGACAACUUGAAUUAUUGAUUCCACUCUGAAUGGGCGACAUAACCAAUGUACAAAACUAUCGAGAAUUCAAACCUUGAAAAGAGAGGAUGAUGAAUGUAAACAACGAAAAGAUUUGUAAUGUGAUAAUUAAUAACCCAAUUAAAAUUAAAAUUAAAAUUCAGAGAAAUUAAAAAGUCUAUAAUGAAAGUUUUAAAAGGCAUAUGUAGUAUACUAGUAUGCGAUUGCAUAUGUAGAUGUACAUCUGAUUUAGCUAUUAAAAUAAUAAAAAAUAUAUAUAUUUUAGCUAAAACGAAUAUUUAGCAAUACAUUUUUACAGUUAAGUAUAUAUAAAUGUAUUAUAAUUUAGUUAACAUAUAAUGCACAACUAGUGAAGUUAUCCGUGCAUUCCGACGAGCUAAUGUUAUAGAAGAUAAAAGAUUAACAAAAUUAAAAUUUUAAAAUUUUUUAAGUUGUAAUGAAACAUCAAUAAAUACAAAUAAAAAAUAUAAAACAAAUAUAUACAAAUGUGGCAAAAGUUACAACAGCAAAUAAAUUAUACAUAAUAAUAAUAAAAUUUACAACAGCAAAUAGAUAUUCUUUUUUUUAAAACGAUUUGUUUAGAUAAAAAUAAAUCAUAUGAAUACAUUAAUUAGAAAGUGGGCGGGUAGGAAAACGAAGCAUUGAGUAGAGAUGAGGUGGGAAGGCGAAGCAUCAAAGAGUGUGGAGAGGGGGUGAAGGAGGAAUUACCACGUGACAAAUUCUAUGAGAAAUAAUGUAUAGGAAUAGAAUAGAUGCUACAAAGUAUAUAUAAACCAGAGAAUAGAAUCACAAAAUAGUCGAAGAGAAGCAAAGAAGGUGAUAGUUAACAUUAUUAUACUAGUUACAUUGUGUUAAAAAAAAAAAAAGUGUAUAUAAUAAAUAAUAGCCAAAUAUGCGGCCGUAUAGAUCAUUGUUUAAAACUAUGCUAUUAAUACGUUACAAAUUUUAAAUUUUAAAUUUGUAUAUGCCCUUGAAGUGAUCUUUUAAAACAUCUAUGGCAAUAAGUGACAGAUCAGUUGCCAACUACACAAAAAAUUUUAUAUCUCAUAAGAAAGAUUCAUCUCACCUUCCCCUUUGUGAUUGCUUGAUUACUUAGCAUUGAUAGGAUUAUUUUAGUCCUAUUUGAUCUUUGAAAAGGCACUUCCCCUUGUGGUUGCUUGAUUACUUAUACUUUUGAUUGAAUUAUUUUAGGCCCCUUUUCUCGGAUCAUUGGUACUAUCUAACCAUUAAUAUCAAAAUUCAAACUGUUAGAAAUAUACAAUCAAUUUACUUAAAGCAUACAGACACAAUCCUCACGAGUGUCGAUUGUGACCCGGCUCAACCAGCCUCACGCCACUUCGAAUACGACCUCCCGCUAUUUCGAACGUGACCCAUCCUUACCUCCCUCUACAAAGUAGGAUGCUGGUCCCUUUAAGUCAACACUUUUGAUCUAACUGAAAUUUUCUCAUAAGUAUAAUUAGUACUGAUUGAAGAAGCACGACCAGUUUUUUAAUUAAUUUUUUUUUAACAAUAGUUUGCUGCAACAAAACCGGAAAUUUAACACUAAAAAUAUAACUUUAAUUUAUGAAAUAACUUUAAAGCUUACUUUUGGGACUUAGAACCAAAGUUUAUUUUAUGAAAUAUAAAAAGUAACUUUAAAAUAUAUAUAUAUAGCCAGUAUUUUUAUUAUUAGAUAUAGUUUGGAGGAUUUGGUUGCCUAAAUUAAACAUUUGGACAUCGUUUGUUCCUGUUGCCCUUUUUAUUUCUUUGAAUAAUAAUUUUAUAUAUUAAACUUUCUUUUUAUUGUCAUUAUUACUUAGUUUGAUAUUUCGACCAUUAAAAGAGUUUAAAAAUAAAAAAGGCUUCUUCUAAGUUUUUUUUAAAUUUUUUGUUAACAGAUAAAUAUCUAAUAUCUAAGAAUUAUAAACAAUCCCUUAUCCUAAUCUACACUAUUUUUUCGGUGCACUUUUAUUUUAAAAAGUAAAAACACUUUUAUUUUAAUAAGUUAAAAAAUGGUAAUUAAUGAUGCCAAAAAAGACUUUUGAGAAAUCUGUUUAUUAAAGCAGUGCUAAAGUUCAAAAAUUUCUAUAUAUUUUUUCCUAUUUAGGGAAUAUUUGGUUUCACUUAAAACUGUGAGCAAUAAGUUUUCGAGGAAAAAAAGGUUUUCUGAGAAAAAAGUUGUUCUACGGCCUUUCAUGUUUGGUUCAGUACUGUAGAAUGGAAUUACUUUUGGAUAAAAGAAAAAAAAAAAAGGAAAAACCGUUUACUAUUUUCUUUAAAAUAGCACCAUUUAUAAUUAAAUUUGAUAGUGCAAUUCUCAAAUUAAAAGGUGACAACAUAUAAACAGGCUAAUAUAUAUAGCAAUGGGAUUAAAAGAUGUGCGGUUAGAAUGAUGUAGACUCUUUAGGGUUGAGUGGGUGGUUGGUUGAAUAGUAUGAUCUACCGGAUGUAAAUGAUCAAAAGGGUAGAUCUAACGGUGGAAAACUUGGUAGUACCAAGUGCUUCGUACUAUUAAUAGCAUAGUAGCCGGACACUCUCUCUCUCUCUAUAUAUAUAUAUAUAAAUUAUUUUUUAUUAAUAAGUAAUAUGUUAUGUUGCAUGGUUGUCAUUUAACAAAAUGUUGACACCAAAAUUGAGCACUGAAAGACGACGAAUCGGAGGAACAUACGUACGUGGUGGCUACUUAAUUCGGUCAGGAGUCCAAGCUUCAAUGGCUGAUUACACUGAAGAAAUACAGCAAAUUUGGCCUCGGUACCACUAGAAAGAAAGGGGGUUUGGCAUCUCCACCUUGGCUAGGAGAAGGUAGGAUCAGGUCUUAAUUCGAAUUGAAAAUUUCAAAUUCAUACGAGACGAAGGCGGGAAGUGACGAAACGAUAAAUUAAGGAAAGUGCGGUAGCUGGUCACUCUGUAGUUACUCCGACAAUUGCGACAGCGCUACUAUAAAAAGAAGAGAAUGACUGUAGAAAAAGGAAUCUGAACUUUAGCACCAGAAAACUACAUCUUUUAUUCUUGGAGUAGACAUAGCGUAAGCGCGUGUAAGAGUUGGUAUAACGUUACUUAAGAAAAGCUUAGUACUACUCGCCGCCCUACAACUACCAUUUAGCUCGUUGACGGUUUCGCCCACAACAACCACUCUGACCGUUGCCGGACCACCUUAUCCUUACCGGAGAGCGCAUUUCCGCUCCUCGUGCCAGUUUAACCCAUUGAGGAUCGUGUUGCACGUACGGCGGUUCCGUCCUAUUCACUCCGGUCAGAUUAGCAGCCAAACCUCAAAGCGAAGUCUCGGGCCUUUGCCUCAUGCGAAGGCCUCAAGACCUUCCCUCGAGAUUGAACCUGACCGGAUCGUUCUCCCUCUGCUCCACACUUGAGACCACAUCAGAUCCCGCCUACACACUGAGGGACGCCGUGUUUGUGGACGAGCCAGAUCGCACCACAUGUUGCGUUGCAAUCUCUCCGCCAACAUAUUUUAAAUAAUAAAGAAGAUACGGAGCAAACUCAAAUGCGGUCCACAAAUUGUUGUGGAAUCUCAAGGACCGUAUCCAUUAGGACUCUCGUCUACGUGUAUUGAUGACUGCGCGCGUUAGGUGUAUUCUGAGUUUUUUUUUUUUGCUCUUUUCGAGUGAAAAACGAAAAUACUGAUUUACUUUACAAAUUUGCUUAAAUUUUUCACGCAAAUAUUUUUAUUUUAACCCAGAUGAGUCAAAAUUUUAUUUUUAACCCGGAAAAAAAAAAUUGGAGUCCACCUUUACAAAAGUGCCCCUUAGUUGAACAAAUAUGUUGCAUCGUACGCAUUGAACUUUUGAAGGCAAUUAUUACUGCUCAAGCAUGCAACCAAUUUGGUCGGAACAUGCACACCAAAAAUGUUUUUUAGGGUGCAGGUCCGUUUAGCUCAUGGUCAUAUGUUUACCCUAAAAAGCGCGUACUAUGCUAGGGCUAUAAAAACCUACGACGAGUACGUACGUAGAGCAACCUCAGAAUCUUGCACUCGACAAAAGUGCUUUUUUUGCCCACAGGUGUAGGCGCUUUUAACGACAGUUCUUUUUUUAUUUAUUUAUUUAUUUUUAUAUAACUAGAAUACUAGUCAUACACUUAAUAUAUAUAUAUAUAUAUAUAUAUAUAUAUAUAUAGAGAGAGAGAGAGAGAGAGAGAGAGAGAGAGAGAGAGAGAGAGAGAGAGAGUGAGGCUACNNNNNNNNNNNNNNNNNNNNNNNNNNNNNNNNNNNNNNNNNNNNNNNNNNNNNNNNNNNNNNNNNNNNNNNNNNNNNNNNNNNNNNNNNNNNNNNNNNNNNNNNNNNNNNNNNNNNNNNNNNNNNNNNNNNNNNNNNNNNNNNNNNNNNNNNNNNNNNNNNNNNNNNNNNNNNNNNNNNNNNNNNNNNNNNNNNNNNNNNNNNNNNNNNNNNNNNNNNNNNNNNNNNNNNNNNNNNNNNNNNNNNNNNNNNNNNNNNNNNNNNNNNNNNNNNNNNNNNNNNNNNNNNNNNNNNNNNNNNNNNNNNNNNNNNNNNNNNNNNNNNNNNNNNNNNNNNNNNNNNNNNNNNNNNNNNNNNNNNNNNNNNNNNNNNNNNNNNNNNNNNNNNNNNNNNNNNNNNNNNNNNNNNNNNNNNNNNNNNNNNNNNNNNNNNNNNNNNNNNNNNNNNNNNNNNNNNNNNNNNNNNNNNNNNNNNNNNNNNNNNNNNNNNNNNNNNNNNNNNNNNNNNNNNNNNNNNNNNNNNNNNNNNNNNNNNNNNNNNNNNNNNNNNNNNNNNNNNNNNNNNNNNNNNNNNNNNNNNNNNNNNNNNNNNNNNNNNNNNNNNNNNNNNNNNNNNNNNNNNNNNNNNNNNNNNNNNNNNNNNNNNNNNNNNNNNNNNNNNNNNNNNNNNNNNNNNNNNNNNNNNNNNNNNNNNNNNNNNNNNNNNNNNNNNNNNNNNNNNNNNNNNNNNNNNNNNNNNNNNNNNNNNNNNNNNNNNNNNNNNNNNNNNNNNNNNNNNNNNNNNNNNNNNNNNNNNNNNNNNNNNNNNNNNNNNNNNNNNNNNNNNNNNNNNNNNNNNNNNNNNNNNNNNNNNNNNNNNNNNNNNNNNNNNNNNNNNNNNNNNNNNNNNNNNNNNNNNNNNNNNNNNNNNNNNNNNNNNNNNNNNNNNNNNNNNNNNNNNNNNNNNNNNNNNNNNNNNNNNNNNNNNNNNNNNNNNNNNNNNNNNNNNNNNNNNNNNNNNNNNNNNNNNNNNNNNNNNNNNNNNNNNNNNNNNNNNNNNNNNNNNNNNNNNNNNNNNNNNNNNNNNNNNNNNNNNNNNNNNNNNNNNNNNNNNNNNNNNNNNNNNNNNNNNNNNNNNNNNNNNNNNNNNNNNNNNNNNNNNNNNNNNNNNNNNNNNNNNNNNNNNNNNNNNNNNNNNNNNNNNNNNNNNNNNNNNNNNNNNNNNNNNNNNNNNNNNNNNNNNNNNNNNNNNNNNNNNNNNNNNNNNNNNNNNNNNNNNNNNNNNNNNNNNNNNNNNNNNNNNNNNNNNNNNNNNNNNNNNNNNNNNNNNNNNNNNNNNNNNNNNNNNNNNNNNNNNNNNNNNNNNNNNNNNNNNNNNNNNNNNNNNNNNNNNNNNNNNNNNNNNNNNNNNNNNNNNNNNNNNNNNNNNNNNNNNNNNNNNNNNNNNNNNNNNNNNNNNNNNNNNNNNNNNNNNNNNNNNNNNNNNNNNNNNNNNNNNNNNNNNNNNNNNNNNNNNNNNNNNNNNNNNNNNNNNNNNNNNNNNNNNNNNNNNNNNNNNNNNNNNAUCAUCGAAAACGGCUUAGGAGCACGGAGGCCUCCGUGCUCCUAAUAGCACACAAGACUUAAUAUAUAUAUAUAGAGUUGGAUUGGGCUACUAUUAGUAGUAAAAUUCCAUUGUUGCUACUAGUUUUUUAGCCUUUGGAUCAACUCUUUUCAUUAUUUCUAACCAUUGGAUUAAAUACUAUAACCCAGUGGGGACCACUCAACUCUAACCGACUAAUAUCAUCCUGACCCUACAAUUUUUCAUCCAAGGGUUAAAAACUUGAUAGCAAAAAAGAGUGUUUUACUAUUAAUAGUAUUUUAGCCUAAUUCUAUAUAUAUAUAUAUAGUAAGUCUUGUGUGUUAUUAGGAGCACGGAGACCUCCGUGCUCCUAAGCUGUUUUCGAAGAUGGAGUUUUUGAAUCGACGAUCGGUUCCAUUAGACUUGAUCUAGCAUAUUUGAAGUAUCUAGAAAAUAAAUUUUUCGAUUUUUCGAUAUCAUUUACCUAGAGAUUGAAAGGGUUUAAAAUCAACAGUUUUUAAUGGUUGAUAUAUACCGUUUGCAAGUUUAACGGUGUAGAAGUAUUCAAAUUAGAUGAAAUUUCGCUAGAAAAUUCUUUAUACUAUUUACAGUGAGAUUAAUAUCUCUGAUCGAAAAUUUUAGUGUUAUAUCAUCACUUUUUGUGAGAUUUUUAUAUUCAGCCGUUGAUUUUGAAACAUUUCGAUCGCUAGGCAAAUAAUAUCGAAAAAUUGCAAAAUUUAUUUUCUAGAUACUUCAAACACACUAGAUCAAGUUUAACGGAACCGAUCGUCGAUUCGGAAGCUCCAUCAUCGAAAACGGCUUAGGAGCACAGAGGCCUCAGUGCUCCUAAUAGCACACAAGGCCUACUAUAUAUAUAUAUAUAUAUAUAUAUANGCUCAAAAUCAACAAAUUUCAAUGGCCGUAGUGAGCCGUUUGCAAGUUUAACGGUGUAGAAAUAUCCAAAUCACGUGAAAUUUUGAUAGAAAAUUCUUUAUACUAUAUAAAACAAGAUCAAUAUUUUUGAUUUAAAAUUUUAAUGUCAUAUUAUUAUAUUUUUUAAGAUUUUUACUUUCAGCCGUUGAUUUUGAGCCCCUUCGUUCAUUAGGCAAAUGAUAUCGUAAAAUCAUAAAAUUUAUUUUCUAUAUACUUCAAAUACUCUAGAUCAUGUUUAACGGAGCCGAUCGACGAUUCGAAAGUCGCAACAUCGAAAACUAGCUGGAAGCACGGAAGGCUCCGUGCUUCCGAUAGUAUAGUAGCCUCACUCUAUAUAUAUAUAUAUAUAUGAGCCCGGCUACUAUACUAUCGGUAGCACGGAGGGCUCCGUGCUAUCAAGUUAUUUUCGAUGAUGCGGCUUCCAAAUCGGCGAUCGGCUCAGUUAAACUUGAUCUACACUAUUGAAAGUAUUUGAAAAUUAAAUUUCAGAUUUUUUCGACAUCAUUUGACUAGUGAUCAAAAGAUUUCAAAAUUGACAAUUUUAAUGGCCGAUGUGGUAUGUUUGUAAGUUUAAUGGUAUAAAACAAUCCAUAUCCGAUGAAAAUUUUAUAGAAAAUUCUUUUCACUAUUUAGAGUAAGAUCAGUAUAUAUGAUCUUGAAUUUAAAUCUUUUAUCAUCAUUUUUUAUAAGAUUUUUAUUUUCAGCCGUUCAAUUUUAGACUAUUUGUUUGAUAGGUAAAUGAUAUCGAAAAAUUAUGAAAUUUAGUUUCUACAUACUUUUAAUAGUAUAGAUCAAGUCUAAUGGAGCCAAUCGUCGAUUCAGAAGCCGCAUCAUCGAAAACAACUUGGUAGCACGGAGCCCUCCGUGCUACCGAUAGUAUAGUAGCCUAGUUAUAUAUAUAUAUAUAUAUAGUCCGGCUACUAUACUCUUAUAAGUACGAUCGCCUUCGUACUCAUUAGUUGUUUUCAAUGAUAGAGCUUCUGAAUCGACGAUCCACACCGUUAAACGUUAUCUAGAGCAUUUAAAACGUUUAGAAAUCAAAUUUUAUAAUUUUUCAACAUCAUUUACCUUACGAUCAAAAGGUCACAAAAUUGACAAUUUUUAACGGCUGGUAUGAAAUAUUUGCUAGUUUAACGGUAUAAAAAAAUCAAAUCAGUUAAAGUUUUGAUAGAAAAUUCUAUUCAGUACAUAGAUAAAGAUCAAUAACUCUGAUCUUAAAUUGAAGGAUCCGAUCAUCCAUUUUUAAGAUGUCGUUCGAUUUUGACCGUUCAUUUUAUACCUGCUUGAUAAAUUUUUUUAUGAUUUCGAAAAAUUACGAAAUUUAUUUUCUAGAAGUUUUAGAUACUAUAGAUCAUAUUUAAUGGAGUGGAUCGUCGAUUCGGAAGCUCUGUCAUUGAAAACAACUUAUGAGUACGAAGUGCUCUAUACUCAUAAGGGUAUAAUAGUCCUAGCUUAUAUAUAUAUAUAUAUAGAGAGAGAGAGAGAGAGAGAGCUAGGCUUGUAUACUAUCGUUAGCAUGAAAGUCUCCAUGCUACCAAGUUAUUUUCAAUGAUGCAGCUUCCAAAUCGACGAUUGGCUUCGAUUGAAAGUAUUUGGAAACUAAAUUUCAUAAUUUUUCGGCAUCAUUUACCUAUCAAACGAGUAGUCUAAAAAUGAACAGCUGAAAAUAAAAAUUUCAUAAAAAAUAAUGAUAAAAUACUUGAAUUUAAGAUUAGAGAUACUGAUCUUACUCUAAAUAGUGAAAAAAAAAUUUAUAAAAAGAUGUGUUUUCGACAUGAUCUUACUCUAUAUAUUUGGAUUAUUUUACACCGUUAAAUUCACAAACGCAUCACAUCUACUAUUAAAAUUGUCAAUUUUGAGACCUUUUGAUCACUAGUCAAAUGAUGCUGAAAAAUACUUAACUCUAGUUAAGUAUAUCUCUGUCUUCAAAUAUAUCUCUGUCUUUAGGAUCGGUUAGAAAAAAUUAGUUAACCAUAGAUAAAAUACUUAACUCUAGUUAGUUAAUGAGAUGAAUUGACCAAUUUAUCCCUCUUUAAUUAAUAGUUGGAGUUUUUGAAGAGACAUAUUUGUGAUGGCAAAAAGAUUAUUUCACUUAUAAAACAAACAGAGGGAUAUAUUUGAAAACAUUAAGACUUUUACGGAAACAACAUAUGAAAGUUGAAUUUUGUAGAAAUAUAUAUGUAAUUCACUAUGUUUGCAGGAAUCAAUAUGAAAUUAAUUUUUUUUAGAGAAAAAUAACAUGCUAUCCGUGUCGUUUAUUUUUUUAAAAAAAAAUAAAAUAUCAACUAUUAAAUUUUUUGUCAUUUGUGCCGAUCGUUUCCUAGAUAUUUUUAUUAAGCUUUAAUAAAGACUUUUCCACAUGUUCGUACCGCCUCUUGGUGAGGAAAAAUUCUAGAAUGCAACGGGUAUAUUAGUGACGUGGCGUAACAAACCAAUCAAAUUAAUCCUUUUAAGAAUAUAUGUCCCAUCAUGAUUGUAAAAAAGUAUUUUUAUUGUACUUUUGUUUAAAAAGAAGGAAUGUAAUUGACUUGUUAUUGAUGACGUGGUGCAAGUGUGACAGUGUAGAAUUCCUCCUUGGUGAGCAGCGUGGGAAAAAAAAAAAAAAAAAUAAGGCCACAAAAAGAGCAACACGUGGACACAGGAAGCGCGCUCGUGCGGCGAUGUGCACACGUGUGCGAUCCUUUUGCUUCCAUCGGACUCCAACAUUGCUUCUCCAAGUUGGAUAAACGAAGGGAAUAAUUAAUGCCACCAUUGGUCCUCAUCUAUUGCGUACUUUUUCCACUUUGCUUCGAAAUUAUUUUCUUUUUCGCCGUUCGGUCCAUAUUGCCAUCCAAUAUUUUUAUGUAGUGUCUAAAUUUUUAUUAAUUUUGACGGAAUAAAUUAUUUUGAAUAAAACAAAUUUCUAUCAAUUUCGGCAAUAUUUUUUUAAGAUUUGGAAAGAAAAAACUUGUUGUGCGUAAGGUUGAGACGGUGAAAUUGGAUUUGCCGUAAUAAAAAUAACGAUCCAAUCGGAUAAAAAAAUAAAUAAUUAAGGACCAAAGUUAAAAAUAGGGUAAAAGGUGUGGGACCAGCGGUGCAAUUAACUCAUAAAUAAGAGAAGCCUAGUUCGUCGUUUCCCGAGGUGGCGCUACUCACGGUAAUGUUAUUACUUAUCUUAUAAACGAUCAGAUCAUCAUUUUUCAAAAAGAAGAAGUCUCAAAUGAACGAACUGUACAAUGUCGCACUUAUACCAUAUCGUGGUAUGUAAUAAGCCAAUCAUAUCUCUUUUUUUGAGACAAAAGUAUAAUAAGAAUAGAUGAAUUCGAGAAGAAUAAUUCUAUUGAUUCGGAAUGCUACGUCAGCAAUAUCACCUGUGAAAAUAAAAAGUUGGGGACCAAAAUUGAAAAUGGGGUAAAGGGUGGGGGGACCAGCGGUGCAGUUAAUACAGAAAUAAAGCUUAGAUCGUCGUUUUCCGAGGUGGCGCAACUCGCGGUGACGGUACCGCUUGUGUUACAACGUCCACGUCAUCAUUCCCGAGAAAGUAGCAGCCAGAAGCGCGCGAGUUACGAGGUGCGGAGGAGAACUGCCGCGCGCCGCAACGACCCCCUGCCCGACAAGUACGGUGAAAGUUUGCCCUCGUGGUUGCAUUGAUAUUACGAGUUUGCCACUCCCCCCCUCCACUCCGCUACGGAGACAAGGUGUACGGACUCCGAUAAAGCUGGGUUGAGUCGGGGGGCGUGCGGAGUCGGGUUUCUCCUCCUCCGACAAAAGCUGCUGCUCUACAGAUGCAAAUGGAUCCGGGUGGGUGGAGCUUUCGCUCUAAUUAGUUAUAAAUAGAAAGAUAAGUAAAAAAAAUAUAUAUAUAGUAAAAAUAUAAUCAAUUCCAAUCCGCCGAGUUAAUAGAACGGGAGGCGCGAAACUUUUUUUUUUCUUUUUUCGAUCCGUCUCGAUCUGUUAAAAAUUGAUUCUCGUCUCGAUUUGAAUCUAAUGGAGUGGUAAAUGGAGGCUAAAAAUAGAAUUAAAAUUAACCACGCUCGAAUCCGUCCCGAUCCGAGAAUAAAUGGAGCGGGAUAUGGGGGACCUCUCCCACCUCCCGAUCCGCUCCGUUUGCAUCCCUAAGCAUGUAUUGACUAUUUACUAUCAGCUAAAAAAGGUUUAACUUUCUAUUUUGUUAUAAUAGGUCCAAAAGUUUAAUAAGUUGAGUGAAACUGUGAUACACAAUAAAUCUAAUGUAAGAGACUCAAUAAUAGACCUAGAUGGAUUAAAUCAGGUCGAAAUCUGUGAAACAUUGUAGUUGAGCAGUAAGUGCUUUUGGGAUAAUUGGUUGGCGGUUACCGUCCACACUGUGGAUCAUUUUGAAUCGGCUACUCAAUCUUUUAAAUUUUAUUUAAUUUGAGUUAAUCAACAGUUUUUGACUUCAAAAUUUAAACUAAUUAUUUACUUACAUGAGUUAUACUUGCAGAAAUUAAAUAAAAUAUAUUAAAUAAAUAUGUAAAGUUAAACGACUUAUUUAAAUUUUGAAGUCAAAAUGUGAUUGACUAACUCAAAUCAAACAAGAUGAAAGACUAGAUAGUAAAACCAAAUCUUUAAAAAGUUGGGUAGCUAACUUAAAAUAGUUUAUAGUUCACGUAACUCCUAUAUGUUUUUGCCUUCUUUUUUUUUUUAAUCUAAAGACACCACUCAACAAUAAACUUAUAAUUUUAUAUGAAAGAAGUUAAAAAAUAGCAAUUAAAAAUGGCAAAUCAUAUAGUUACUUAACUCAUUUUAGUAUGGAAAAUAACAAAGAUAUAUAAAAACAAUAAGAAAAUUAUAUUAAAAAUAAUUUGAUUGAACCAUUUAAUGAGUAUAUCAUGAAGAUUUAUUUUAUAUUUUGUCUGCUAUUUAACUAGUAUUUCUUAAUAAAAUUUAAUAAUUUUAUCUAAAUUAAUAAUAGAUUUGUUAAUAGUAAUAUAGAAUUUGAUAAGAAAAAAAAUAGUUUAGCGAUAUGUAUAACAAAAGAAAAUAGUAUAAGAUAGAAAGAUAAAAAUAAAUGCAAAAUACAGCAUAUCAAUUGAAAAAAAUAUAAUAACACAGUGGUGUCUUUGAAAAAAAAAUUAGUACAGUACAUCAAAUACAAAUAACACUAAAGUAUAGUACAGUACAGUAUAAUUAAGCCUAAAAUUUAUAAAAAUCAUUUACAUAUUUCUACAUUAUAAUUUUUUAAAACUAUGUUUCUUUAUUCAUUUAGCAUAAUAUAGCUGAUUUAGGAAGCAUCCUAUAUGCUGUAACUAUUAGAAAGACCACUUUUUCUACUUGAUUGAGGUUUCGUAUAUGUUUAGCUACAUUUUCCUUUUCUUUUAUAAGUGUAGUUAUUUCAUUUAUAUAAGAUAAUCUCUAAUUAAAAAUUCUCAAUAUGAUGAUAAAUGUAUACAUCAUUAAUUUUUUGACACUCUAAGAAAAGUGUUUAGCUUAAAAUGGGAAUGGGAAUCAAUGAAAUAGGAGUGAAAAUGGAUUGAAAUCUAAAGCGAAAUAAUAAAAAUUAUAAUUUGCUUGGUUCAGAAAAAAUGUAUCAAAUUUGUAUUUAGGAUUUAAACUUGAACUUAAAAAGUUAAAAAUUAUAUUUUGAAUUCAUAAUUCAAAUAUAAAAUUAUAAUUUAAAAUUACAUAUAAAUUAGUAUUUAAAUUUAACUAAUUAUUAGUUAAAAAAAGUAUAUUUUUUCAAUUCAUUUUGGAAUCAAAGUUGAUCCCCACGUCCAUGGGGGGCCAUCAUUUUAAGCAGAUUCGAUUUCUCCCCAAAUUAGAAUCGAAAUGUCAAUCGUUGAAAUCAAACACCAAUAGUAGAAAGGAUUAAUAGUCUCAUAUUUUAUUAUUCUUUAUAUAGUGAUCGAAAAGGCUUAAAAUCAACAGCUGAAAAUAAAAUUUUCACAAAAAGUGAUGAUAUGAUAUUUAAAUUUUAGAUCAAAAGUAGUGAUCUUUGUUUUAUAGUAUAAAAAUUUUUCUAUCAAAAUUUUACAUAAUUUGGAUGUUUCCAUAUUAUUUAAUUUGCAGACGGCUCACCAUAAUCAUUAAAAUUAUUGACUUUGGGCUUCAUCAAUCACUAGGUAAAUAAUAUCGAAAAAACAUGAAAUUUUUUUUCUAUAUACUUCCAAUAAUCUAAAUCAAGUUUAACAGAAACUAUCAUCGAUUCAGAAGUCCUAGUAUUAAAAAUAACUUGAUAGUACGGAAGCCACAUGCUUCUCAAAGUAUAUAAGUCUAGCUCUAAUUAACAAGCUGUGUUAAUUGUUAGACUUUUAAUUUUGUAUACAUGAAUUAAUAAGUGAUGUGUUUAUAUUAUUACAUAAGAACAUUGAGGAACCUAAACUUAUAGAAUUGCUAUUCCUUCACCUUCAACAACUAAAAAAAUAUAAAAAAGGAGCUUACAAAUUCAGCGACGAAUCAGAAAUUUUUCUAGAGANGUUUUUAUUUUGGUAUCUCAUGAUUGAACUACGUGAAAUUUGGUGUCCCAUGACUUCACUCUUUCACACUUUGGUGUCCUAUGAUUGAACUAUGUGAAAUUUGGUGUUCUGUAAUUUUACUUUUUCACGCUUUGGUGUUCCCCCCAAAAACUUCGAAAGGUAAAAAAAAUAAAUAAGAAUUCAAUCCUCAUUUUUUACAUUUACUUUUUUACAUUUACUUUAUAUAUAUAUAUAUAUAUAUAUAAAUACAUACCAUAUGAUAGCCAUCGUGCCUCCAGAAGCACGAUGGUUCAACAAAAGUCACUACGCCGAAAGUUUAGCUACUAGCCAAGGCAAUCUGAACUAAAUAUAAUAACUUUUAUAUACCUUUGAUUUAAAGUAUUAAAAAGCUAUAGUAAACCGAACACUAGUUUUCCAGAAUUUUAAUUAUUAAAAUUACCAUCUACAGUACGCAAACACUUAAAUUGUCAUAUUUUGUUAAGUUUAGACUACUUUAAAAAUAUUUUUUAAGCAAAGUGAUAAAUCUCAUUCUAGUCAUGGAGACUAGAAUUUAAGUUCAUAAAAUAGUAGUAAAAAAUAUUUAAAAAAUAAACGUCGGCAAGUAAAAAUUUGAUGAGCAAACUAUCUAUUUACUACGGUUUUUUAAUACUUUAAAUCAAAGGUUGAUGAAAGUUAUGACAUCUAGUUCAGAUUGCCUCAGCUAUCAGAGAAAUUUUUCGGCGUAGUAACUUUUGUUGAAUCAUCGUGCUUCCGGAGGCACGAUAGCUAUCGUAUGGUCGGAUCGAGAGAGAGAGAGAGAGAGAACGAGAUAUAUAUAUAUAUAUAUAUAUAUAUAUAUAUCUCGUUCUCUCUCAAUAUAUAUAUAUAUAUCUCUCGUUCUCUCUCUCUCUCUCUUAACUCGAUCUUAUGAAAAUCUUCGUGAUUAGAGAACCACGAAGAUUCAAAGAUAGGAACCUAUAUGAGGAACUAAUGAUUAUUGAGAAUAUAGUUUGUGAUAAGGUGGACGGUGGUAAAUGGUGGUAGUAGGGUUGAGAUGUAAAAAGGUAGGUUUCCGAUUUUUGAGUUUUUGUGGUGAGGAACCACGAAAACUCUCAUAAGAUCGAGUUAAUAUAUAUAUAUAUAUAUAUAUCAAGCCGAUCCUAUGAUAGUUAUCGUGGUACGUAAACCACGAUAGUUCAAAAGGCGGUAAUCUAAAUUGGGAAACUGAUUAAAGUGGAUAAUCUAAUAUGAUAAUUUGGUUGUUGAGUGAGUUGGGAUCGCCCGGGUGUAAUAGGAUUGGCAUGUAAAAAAUUAGGUUCUCGGCUUUUGGAUUAUCGUAUUUUACGAACCACGAUAACUAUCAUCAGGUCAAAUUCAGAUAUAUAUAUAUCUAUAUAUAUAUAUAUAUAUCUCUCUCUCUCUCUCUCUCCGACCAUAUGAUAGCCAUCGUGCCUCCGGAGGCACGAUGGUUCAACAAAAGUUACUACGCCGAAGGUUUAGCUGCUAAUCAAGGCAAUCUGAACUAGAUAUGAUAAUUCUUAUAAACCUUUGAUUUCAAGUCUUAAAAAGCUGUAAUAAACCGAUCACUAGUUUUCCAGAGUUUUAACUGUUAAAAUUACCAUCUACAUUUCGGAAACAUUGAAAUUGCCACAUUUUGUUAAGUUUAAACUACUUUAAAAAUAAUUUUAAAAAAAAAGUGAUAAAUCUCAUUCUGGUCAUUAAGACUAGAAUUUAAGUUCAGAAAAAAGUAGUAAAAUACUCUAAAAUUAAAAGUUGACAAAUAAAAAUCUAAUGAACAAACUAUCCAUUUAUUAUGGCUUUUUAAUAACUUAAAUCAAAAGUUUAUAAAAAUUAUCACAUCUAGUUCAGAAUGCCUUGACUAGCAGCUAAACCUUUGGCGUAAUAACUUUUAUUGAAUCAUCAUGCCUCUGGAGACACAAUGGCUAUUAUAUGAUUGGAUCGAUAUAUAUAUAUAUAUAUAUAUAUAUAUAUACAAGACCCAUUGAAGACUCAACCGAAUAACUUUGUUGCAUGGUCAAAAAUCGAGUUGUAAAGAUUGAGACUCAACAGUAUAGAAGUUCUCUGGCACCACGUCAAUGUCCAGUAAGUAAUCUAUGCUUUUUUAGUAUUAUAAGCUUACCACAUGUAUACAUCUAUAACCACAGGUUUUAUAGAUAUUAAUUAUACCCAUAUUUAAAAAGAAAUUACGCUAAAAAAAAUUUUCUUUUAUAGGAUCCUAAUAAGCCACGUUCUACAUUUGUAGUAUUAUGUCAUUUCAAAGGUUCGUCAUAGCAUUAGGAAACCUAAUAUACGUCUAAGGAUGUUUAUAUUAUUUAAUAUUUAUAUAAAUAAUUUUCAAAUUAAAAAUAUAUAAUAAAAAUAUUUUUUAAAUUAUAAAAAUUUAUAUAAAGAUGUUAAUCUUAAGCAAUCUUUUAAAAAUCAAUUAGUAUAUAAUUUAUGAAUUGAGACCAAUUAAAUAUUCUAUUGAAAUAUAAAAAUAGAAAAAAUAUAAUAUAAUAACGCUGUAAAUCUCUCUGCAUAAACACUACUGUUUUAACUUUUGUAUUUGUCAGCAAUUGACAAGAGACUGUCAUUAUUUAGUCUUACUGUUUAAAUUUUUAUCAUCUUAAAACCUUUUUGAAGUUUUGGGGAGGGCACCAAAGUGUGAAAAAAUAAAAUCAUGGGACACCAAAUUUCACAUAGUUCAAUCAUGGUACACCAAAGAGUGAAAUAUUGAAAUCAUGGGAUACCAAAACGUGAAAUAGUGAAAUCAUGGAACACCAAAGUGUGAAAUAGUGAAAUCAUGGGACACUAAAUUUUUUGGUGUCCCAUAAUUGAACUAUGUUUUAAUUUUGGCGUCCUAUGAUUUCACUAUUUCACGUUUUGGUGUCUCAUGAUUGAACUAUGUGAAAUUUGGUGUCCCGUGAUUUCACUAUUUCACUCUUUGGUGUACCAUGAUUGAACUAUGUAAAUUUGGUGUCCCAUGCUUUCACAUUUUUUAACUUUGGUGUUCCUCCCAAAAACUUCAAAAAAGAUUUUAAAAACAUCUUUAUUAUAUAUUUUCAACUUGAAAUAUAUCUUUAUAUAAACAUUAAAUGAAAUAAACAUUCUUAGAUAUACGUAUAUUGGAAAAAAUAUCUCGAUCUGACCUAACUAAAGUCUUCUUACUUUUGGAAGUAAGAUUUCCACAUGUUACUAGUUGAUGAAACGCUUCCCUGGGUUCAAGCUUAGGAUCAACUAAGUGUAGAAGUCGAUUCAAAUAAAGAUUUACUUUAUUUGCUUCGUCGAUCGCACGAUAGAUAGAGAGAGAGAGAGAGAGAGUUUUUUUUUUUUUUUUUUUUGAUGAAACGCUUGGUUGGUUGAUUUCGACGUUAGAAAAAGCUAUAAAGAUAAAAUGGCUCGAUGUACAAGAACCUACAGCGGUUAAAUACAUCCUAGCUACUAGGCAUCUAUUUAAAAAGUAGUAGGUUUAACACAUAAACGUGAUGCGAAUGUUUAUUUAAAUUUUUAUCAAAUGGUGGUAUGUUAAUACAUACAGAUACAGAAGUACUCAAUGUAAAAGACUGUUUAAUUUAUUUUCAUGUGUUGAUACAAUCAUCUUAUGGUGAAAAAAAAAAAAAGAAACGCCCCUCUGCAUUUAGUGCUUCUCUAUUUAUAAGUAACGAAUACUCGAAUACUAAACGCUUAAUAAUAUGAUAAAAAAAACCAAUCGUAUCUCGUAAUAAACGCAUGAAAUAAUAUACUUUAAAGGUACUCCCUCUUUCGAUCUCUCCAAAUACCCGCCUUGUUUAUAAUUAAGAGACAACUAUUUGACGAAUCAAAGCAGUAUAAUUAAUCGUUUAAUUCUUCACUAGGUGGUGAAUUCUUACAUGGGGGAAAAGGAUAUUGUAUUCGGUUGUAACACAGGGUGGAAAAGAUUUGGUGUAAUUCCUGAAACAAAUCCUGAUAUUUAUUAAUUAGAUCCGGGGUAUUACGGAGGUACACUAGUGUAUGAAACAAUUAAUAAGAUAUUUUCUAUUAUACUUAACAUAUGUAAAAUCUAAUGUACUCUGGUAUACUCGAGUACUAUUCAAACACAGAACCUAGAUUGUGUCGUGAUGUCGUCAACUUGAUUGGUUUAAAGCUCUUCUUAUGCUUACCUGAUCCUAUUUUGAAUUUAUUCAUGAAGUUUUCCUUUUCUUGUGCUUACGCAUAACACUUACUUACGGUUCAAUUCAUAAUAGGUAAUAAUCCACGAAUCCAAACACCCGGUUACGUAUACAGAAUCCGCUUCUACAUACCUCCUAAAAUUAACCUACUGUUCAUGUUAAGUGCUCUUCUCAUAAUAUUAAGUUAAGCACGUAUCUAUUUCUAUUUCUAUUGAUUAUCUUUUGAUAGUGCAUUUGCAUUAAUUUUUCAACAUUUUGAUCAUUCACCUGUUUCGUAUAAGGUAACGUAAAAUCGACUAACCUAAACUUCUUAAUUGUGAAACCAGUUAACCUUUCAACAAUCACGACACUUCAAAUUGUUUUAAUCAUUAAUUAAGUUAAUUUGUCUACGAAACUUAUUUUUUUAUAAUUGUUAAAUUAAAUAGUAAAAUCAAGUCAAGCUUAUUCGAACUUUACAGUUAAAAGUUUUAUUUACGUCAAAAAAAAACAACAAGUUUCUAGUUCUUAUGUCCCUGGAUGAACGUUAUACCCCUAUCAUGAUCUUGAUGGGGAUGUAAAAUGGGUUCUUUGACAAUUCCGUUUUCUCAAAUACUUGACAAUAGAAUUUUUACAGUGUGCGGUUCACUCUUUAAUGUACAAAAUUCACAAGUAUACACCUGUUUAAUAUAAUUCUUUAAGGUAUCCAUAACGAUGUUAAAAUGAAACUUAUCUCAAAUAGAUAUGUGUGAGUGGUAAUGAUCUAUCUCAAGGACUGUAAGUCCUUUCAUAUGUAUUAAUGAUCUAAAACGGCCGUAGUCUCCAAAAGACCUUUAUUUCACGUUUCUUCGAGGACUUUUGCCUAGCUUAUUCGGAACCCUAAACUAGGACUCUAGCUACCACAUAGUAUGACGUCUCUAAACUUAUGUACGAGGUGUGCGAACUCGUGCGGCAUAGGAACUUCCUAUAGCCGUUAGGGGUAUUUCUCCUAUUGUAACAAGAAAAGAAGGAAUACACUAGAAGCCAUGUUAGGAGGCGGCGGCAGGUUAGAGGCUUACAGGUGACGUGCUCGGCCGUAGGAAUUUGGCUCAAAUGGUUCAAAUAGUAGUCCGGACGUUGUUUAGUCUUACUUGUUAUUACCUCGCUACUAAUCCGUAACAAAUACAAAAAGUAAGAACAAAACGAAGAUCAGGACACCCUAAUCCCCCGUCAGAAGACAUUAUAAAACGAUAACGCUCUAAAUAAAGACUUUAAUUACACAAACAAGCUGUUUUUUUUCUUUUUUGACUUAAAAAUGUCAUGUAACUAUUUAAAAAAACAAAAUUAAUUCUGACUACUUAAGUGUCGUUUUGUUACUGUCUUUUUCAUUUCUUCAAGUUACGACUUCCGUAUGAGAUAGACUCUCCUACCGACGCUUAGUGGUAGUGUGCAAUUUAGAACUAGACUUAAUGAAAGCAACCUUGAGAGUGGUAGACUCCCGAAGAAGAACUGUAGUAAACUAGGACGUUGUACUUAAACCACUAGCCGAAUGUCUAUUAAUCCACUUUUUUUUCUAGAUUUUGUAAUAGAAGGAUAAGUUUCAAGAAGUUGUUUCUUUAGGUCGGACUAGUUAGUUUAUUACAAGAUGAAACAGCUAAGUAGAAAAGUGUUGGGAUUAAGUUACAAGAUUCGAUUUAAGUUAGACCUUUAGUGUGAAAAGUGUAUUUUGAAUUAUAUAACACAUAUCGGAUUCGUUUUAGUAGCUCAUGUAGAGAAAACCGAGUGGUGUAUAUUAGUAAUCUAGAGAGGAUAUGUUAAUUAUUAUUAUAAAGACUUGUAUGUAUAAGUGAAAUUUGAUACACGUUUACCUACAAGUUUUUUACAGAGCUCCUGUGAGUUAGUCGUCUGCCAAUUAGGGUCAGUACUGAUAAAUUGAUAGUCGUACUCUGACUCCUUCGAACAAAUUGUUGUGUUUACGUCCAUACUAUACACGAAAUCAGUAAAAUAAGUGAUAAGUCUUUUAAAAACUAGGUUUAUACCGUUAAGUCCACAAGAAAAUGAACGUGGUUUGUCUGGAAACUGUUGUCGUAGCUUCCCACACCCCGUGUGUACGUAAGGCUAAUUCUCUGGUAUUAGAUAUUAUGGAAGGAGAAGGUCUUUGAGUGUCAGUCGGAACUAAACGGACACCGUUCUUUUUAAGGACUAGUUAGUAUGAAUUAAGCUAAUUAGUGCUUCGUAUAAAUAAUUAUUCUUAACCACGUCUCAGGAAUUUACCAAUCCAACGUUUUUUUGGGAAAACUCAUUAGAAGGAUUCCAUACGACUUUUAAACUCAUGUGUGAUGAACUUUAUUCGUGAAUUUUAACCUAACACUCAUAAAUUCCUUUUUUUAUGGAUGUCAAUCAGUCUUUAUAUGAGUAUUUUAGGUGGUUAAUCCUAAACCUAUUACAGAUCGGUUCGAAAAAUCCUUCAGUACCGUAUGCUAGUCCAUAGAGUACUACUUGGUCAAAAUUGACCGAUUUGUCACCAAUUUCCCCCAAGAGUUUAUAAACAGGCAUCUUGUCUUCAUCUACAACCUUAUGUUAUUUAAUGAGUCUUAUACUUUGAAGUAUCAAUAUGAAAAAAUUUCAAGACUAAUUUCUAAGGGACGCGUAAUGCAUAAGAAUUAAAGAAUAUGGAUCUCUGGGUCACUAUUUAUAGUCUGCUCUAGUAUUCCUCAUACAUGUAAAACAUUUUGAAUAAUAUGUACUACUUCUUUGACUCAAUUGGUUUCGUUGUUGUUGACUGUUCUUGAUAUCAACUCAUAUUACAACUCCAGGAGAAAGUAAUCGAUUUAUUUAUUAGUGUGAAGGGAGCAACGAAGGAAUAGUAAUCGUAAAUUGUUAAUGGACUUUUCUGAUUUGAGUUUAUCACUUCUAUCUCUAAAGAUUUUUGUCUUCUAGAGUUUAUUGAAGGUAGAAUAUACAAAAGGAUUUUCUCAUUGUUAGUUGGUCGUCUGCUUCUUCUUUUAAUUUCUUGAAAUAUUGAGUUCGUCAGUCUAUCGAUGGGAUCUUCGACUGAGGAACGAUUACACACGUCUACUUUCGGAUACGAGUCUAGAAGGAGGGUGGGUCGAGACCUAUAUACCGCUGGCACUACGUUGCAAAACGUUAACUUAACGAAUACUUACGGAUCUAGACUAACUUCAAACACAAGGUACUAUUGUUUAGCUUAGACGUCUCACAUUUUUUUUGGGUGGCUCUUAAUAACUACUUUUCCAUGUUUUGGAAACACAACAUGUAGUAUUUCAUGUAGAUUUUUUGGAUAAUUAGUACUUAAAUUAAUAAAAGAUAAUGACUUAAUGAUUUCAAUCGGAGAGGUUAUAUCGGGUACGUAAUUUUUAUAUAAAGAUCUUCGUUAAGUAUACGCAUUCAUAUUUUUAAUAGUUUGUCUAAUAGAAAACUUACUAAAAGAUGAACCUUUUUUAAUCUAUAAAUUUCUUCUAAUUCCUUGUCCGUUCAUUAAAUGUCUUGGUAAUUUGAAGGCGACUUUAACACUUUGAGUCUUAACUGAAAAUAGUUUACGUAUCUAGAUUGUUUAUACUUUUUCAAGUAUAAACAAUUUUACCUCAAGUAUGCUUUCCCCAAAUAUAAUUUAAAUUCCCCUUUGAAGUUUAUGGGGGGGCACCAAAGCGUGAAAGAGUGAAAUCAUGGGACACCAAAUUUCACAUAGUUCAAUCAUGGGACACCAAAGCGUUAAAGAGUGAAAUCAUGGUACACCAAAGUUCACAUAGUUCAAUCAUGGGACACCAAAAUAAAAACAUAGUUCAAUCAUGGGACACCAAAGUUAAAAGAGAAAAAUAAUAGGUAAAGCCUCAUAUAUUAAAUUGCUUUAUAAUUUAAUGUCCCAUGAUUUCACUCUUUCACGCUUUUGGUGUCCCAUGAUUGAACUAUGUGAACUUUGGUGUCCCAUGAUUUCACUCUUUCACGCUUUGGUGUCCCAUGAUUGAACUAUGUGAAAUUUGGUGUCCCAUGAUUUCACUCUUUCACGCUUUGGUGUCCCAUGAUUGAACUAUGUGAAAUUUGGUGUCCCAUGAUUUCACUCUUUCAUGCUUUGGUGCCCCCCGAUAAAUUUCAAAGGGGAUUUAAAUUUAUUCAAAGACAACAUUAAACAAGAUAUAAAAUUUUGACAAAAAGAUUCUUUUUUGUAGUUUUUCACUGAUGUUCUACUGUGUCUUAUGAUUUUUCCCGUAGAUUUUUAGUCCUAUGUAGUUCUUCUAUUACUAUUUGACGAUUUGAAAACUCCUUUUUAUUGACCUAUUGAGUAGUGUUUCACAAAAUUUAUUUUCUACCGUUGUCAUAAUACGUAACAUAUCUCUGGUUGGAAAACCGGUGGAUCACCGAAGUGGUAUACUUCAGGGUUUUUCAAUCCUUCAUUUCAUAAGGACAUACAGACGUUUACUGCUAUCAUGAAGCCAUCUUAUACGUUAUCAUGGAUGUAUUCGUCCUUAUCAUUUGAGUCACUAACACGAUUUACAAGACAGAUUUAAGAAAUAAUUAUCAUAGAUCUCUCGUGAAUCAUCGGUAGACCCAAACUGUUGGUACUAUCGGAUUACUAUCUCUCAGUUUCUUGACGUUAUUUUGCUUUAGAACUUACUUUUACACUGUUCAGAACUUCGUGGAAGUAUAGUAAGAACCGUUACUAGAAAUGCUGCUUGAAGAAUAGUACCCUGUUGACUUCUACUCACGGCAAGAAAAAUCUACGUUAUUCAACAGAAUUCCAAAGUACUGAUGCUUAACUUUGGUGCAUUAGUAGAAGUAAAUAGAGAACUUCAAGGGCUUCCAGGGAUGUUUAAGUUCAUCCUUUUAUUUUCAAUUAAAAGUUGGUUUCGUUAUCUAAAGUAGUUCAAUCGUUGUUCGGAAUUUAUUGUUUCUUCGAAGAUUUACCUUUAUCUAAUCAUUUCGGUUGUACUAUCUACGCCUGAAGAGUCUCAUUUUAAAUACAUCUUCAAGGGGUUUGGAACCCACUUGUGUUUUAAACCAGACAUUUCAAGUUUCAAGGCAGUUGAGAGUAUCUGAUUUGAAACUUCUGCUCGGAACUUAUUUUAACUAAAUCAAAUCGGUAACUGGUUCUCUUUAACUUCAAAUCCCCGGUUUUAAUCAAAUCGUCGGUUUGACUUCAAACUAGGUGGUAUCCUUGAAGGAUAAACUAAGUGGGUUUGAAGAAUGUCAGUGUUGUUUCGGUUUCCUUUUCGUUUUGAUUAGUAUAAGGAACGAAUCAUGUCAUUCUUGGCCUUUAUUGUCUAUUGCAAGGAACUGGUGGAGAGAAAUUUAUCUUUCCCUUAUUUACUCUAAAAUUUCUUUGGACUUUUGAAGUCCCGUUAUUAGUGAGGUGAGUUGUAGUCAUUUACACUGAGCUCUUAGACACCUUUAUACACGUCCCUUAACAUACGUCAUUGAGCUUCACCUUGGUUUUAGAUCUUCCCUGUUUAGGAAGAGACUUUGCCGGUACACAGAGAGGUUUAUUUGGACGUAUAUAUGUGUCUUAGUCUUGUAUUACGUGAUUGGUUCUUUCCGUCUGCUCGAAUUAAUUUUAUAAUUUUAGUUUACCUGGUUGCUAUAGUAUCGUUAUCGUAAUUGCAAACCUAAUGAAAUACUACACUAUUAACAAGUGUUGUACCUGUUUACUCCAUAUUGGAAGUUCUUGUGAAAAAACAUCUAUAAGAUUUGUCAUGAACUUUUGUCAACCGGUAGGUUUAAUAAAAUGCUAAGUGAAAGUUGAGAACCGCAAGUCCCUUAGCGGGUAAGUGACUUGUGGACUUGUGUACUGACAAGAAUGUAUAUACUCUUAUGAAUGAUUGGUAAAAAAAAAAUUUUUUUUAUCGAGGAUGCUUUUAGACUUAAGGAGCUCGGAAUUUUAGCAGGAAUCUUACUAUUUAGAGAAUUGUCUAGAAGCGUCUUUCCUGGAUUUUAAUAAUCCGGUUUUCGUUUAUUCCGGUUUAGAUAAGGAUCCUAAAUUUAUGUUAAGUACACUUCUUAUUAUAUAAAGUUCGGCUUGGUAUUCUAUUACGUAUCUCUAAAUAAUCCCGAUAUAUUAAAGUAAAGAGAAUGUAUACCUAUAGUCAGGUUAUUUGAUCUAGGUCGUACUCUAGAGAUAUGAGGUAAGUUAAUCUAGUUUAGUCAAUAAAAUAUUUAGGGUCUUAUGUGUAGAUGUUAUUCUAGUUAGAGAUAGGGGUUUUAACCUUUUUCUUUUGUGAAUUACGUAUUGUUAUUUACAUUCUUCCUUCGUUGACCGUUAUGUCGUAUGAAACCGUUUUAGUAUGAUUUUAACCAUCAUCCGGGAUGGUAGUGAGAGUCUCGUAUGGAAAGUUGAUGGAUUUUGGUAGUGGUAUCACGUUAAUCAAGAUAUUGUUAUACGUAUCGACAAUGGAAUUUUCACAUGGUCCCUGUAAAUAAUACAGUGUUGUUUAUAAAAAAGGGGGUCUCUUAAAUUUAUUAUAGGAUGUCUAAAACUGAGCUCUCUUACGUAAAUACUGAGCUGUUCGUUAUUGACCUUUGGAGAACGUCUUUUCACAUUUAAAUCCAGGUCAUCGGGAUUUUUUUCCCUUCCUUCCCUCUUCGGUUGUCCAUGACUCUUCCCGGUAUUUAUUGAUGGUCUUUGUCUUUCUUAUUUACUAUGUUAGGUCGUGGUUCUGUCAUUGAUAUUUUGUGGGUUGACUAGAAAUGAAAAUUUGAAACCCAUUUUACAUAUCCGUGAAAAAAUCGGGAUUUUGUUGGGAUUAUAACGUUAUACCAGGGGCAUGAAAAUUAAAUAUGAAAUAACAUUAGAUCAAGGACUAGUACUUUUUUUUAUGUUUGAAAGUUGGACCAAAUUAUGUCCUUCUUUCAAUAAAAUGUCCACUUCCUCAUUUUAACGGUAAGACGUUCUUUUUAAUCUAAAAACUACUACCAGUUUCUGAUUUCCUGCUUUAGAUUUCACAAACCAAUUUUCAAGCCCCUGGUUUAACGUAAUAAUCCUAUUAUGUCCCUGAUAGGUACAUAAACUGGGAUUUGUAAAAGGAAGAAACAAAAGUGGAUGAUCCCAAAACCUCCUAGGGAGUAGGGAUGGUUCAAGAGGAGGUCGUCGACGCUUGUCGAUGUCGACAUUGGGAAGUUAGGUAGUGUAGAAAGGGUAGUUUUUUGCUGUCUUAGAUGCCGAUGUAGUCUGGUUCCGUCUAGAAAUAGCCUGAUCCCAAAGCGGGUUCUAGAUUCGCUUUUCGCUUUAGAGGUGGUUAUCCUCAUCUCCUGGUGUGCGGGAUUAUCCAUUAGCUAAGUUAAGCUUACGCUUGUCCCAUUUUUCCUAGUUUAGCUCCCGAAACUUUCCCCCUCGCAUGGAAAGCUCCUGCAGCGAAGGCCCUCGCCGCUCUCGGUGGUGGAGGUAGCGUCCCCCUCCCGGUAAAUUCCGUGGAGCCUAGCUCCUCGCUCACUCUCUCUCUACCACUUUCCCGCCUCUGUCCCACCUUUGUGACGCCUUUUAAUCCCAAAGCCCCACGGUUUUUAUCGGCAACCUCGAGAGCAAAACGCUACCACUAACCCCCUUUCUCAAUAAUACUCUUUGAUUUGCGCAAAAUAUUGUUUUGCGGAGAUCUUAUAAUGUUAAAAUCUAUUCUUCACCUAUUACUCCAUUAAAACGGGCCAAUUUUAACGCCUCCCUAGGGAAAUGAUAAUGAAUAAAACUCUAUCUUUUGAAUUAAUUAAAAGAAAAUUAAUUAUGAGAAAAUUAAAAAUUUAAACAUCUAAAUUUAGUUAAGAUAUUUAGCUGCAUAAACCUUAAUCAAUUUAAAUUAUCAUUGAAGAUAAAUUCAAAUUAACAGCUUUAGAUAAGUUUUUUUUAAUAUCGAUUUUUUUUUAGUACACGAUUCAAAAGAACAUAAGACGUAACGUAUUCUUUCAUCUCCUUAAUUUCAUAAAUUCAUUUUUUUUAAGUUUGUAAUUCAACGUCAUAACCCUACAAUGUCAGUGAAAAGAUACAGAAAAUUGAAAACUCUCAUACGUAACAUUAAAUGCCUAAACAUUAAUAUUAGUAAAAAUAACAACUUUAAUUGGCGACAUUUUAUAUAUAGAGACAAAAAGUUCUACCAUUUAUAUUAAGAUUUGUACCAUUACUUAACAAGACCUCGUGUAACGUAAUCCUUUUGAUUACCCAACCAAUGAUAACUUACGUAAAUUUAAUUAAAUUAUGUAUGCUAGACGUGAGUCAUUUUUGUUUUUGUAUCCUGACGACUUAGACUUUUUUCCACAGUCGUUGAUGAUGGGUUAAGACUUUUGCUGUGUCUUGGGUUUAAUAACCCAUGGGUUGAAAUCCAUGUAUUUGAUACGUAAAUCAGAGUUUAAAAAUUAGUUAUAGUUUUAUAAUAUUCGGUAGUUGAAGUUAACAUACAUAAGUUACGUUUUUUAAACCAGUCUCAAUCUAGGUUGACACCGAACAAUUAAUCGUUCCACACCAGUUUUAGUUUUCUCGGGCAUGUCUCUACAGAGUCUUAUCUCAUUAUCAUAUCAUACACCUCGGUUGUUGUGAUGGUUUCGAAUCGACACACUUUCACUCUCCCUGUUAUAUUCUGUUUUGAGUGGAGUGGGAUCUGUUUCACCUUAUAUAUAACGUUUAUUAGGGUGUACUAAUCGAGUACCAUGAAUCUUUUUAAUGUUUACUUUACUGGUAGUGAAAUUUUGUUGAAACCGGUUAUUACUAAUAGACGUGUCGUUGAUAAUCAAUGAAAAGCUACGUCUAAUACAGCACUCUACUUACUUGCCAGACAUUUAGUCACGCACAAUCUCUAACUUAAUCCUCUACUCUAUCUACGUUACGUACCUAAUUUAAGUGACUUGGAUCAUUUUAUAUCAAUCAUCUAUCACUCGUCGGGGUCAAUUAACGGGAUCCCUAGAGAGAGAGAUUAGACAACCGUGACGUAACCUUCGUCUGUGGAAACCACCAGGUUGAUCUCUCUGUCAUAUCGGACCCGACUGUAGAAGAGACGUCACCUACACCCCUCUCGACAUCUCUGAUCUCUCGCUGUUAAGUUAUUCUUAUUAUACGACCUAUGAUACAUGUCAAAAAAUAUGCUUAGACUUUCACAACAACUAUGCAAUCGUUACUUAACUCGUAAUAUGACUCUACUAGUUAUGAGCAGCACGUAUUUAUAUUUGUGAGCAGCAUGUAUUAACUGUCGCGUAUUCUUCGAAUGACUCAACCCCAGUGGAGAUUCAGGGAUCAUCGUCAGUAACUUUGAACAGGUCUAAAAACCGUGAUAAGCGCGGUAAUUCAGUAUUUCAAGACGUCGACUACUGUCACUCCUGGUAAUUAAGCUGAAGAUCCCUCUUUGAGAUUCGAGACCACUUGACGGAUGAAAUUGUCUGCCUGUUUUCGUUUCUUUGUUGCUUUCGUAAAAUUUACUCGUGCCGUGUGUCCUGUACGUAGUUCUGUAAGUCUAAAUGUAUGUGUUAUUGUGGUAAUCGUGUAAUUGUAAAAUACUUUAAUCCCACUUAACUUGUUAAUCGAGGGAUAUAAAAUCAGUUCAAACUAAACUGGAGCUUCUUUUCAAAUGACGGACGUGGACUACGUAAACAACCUGAUUAAUCAAGGGGAGCGGUUAAAAAUUAAAAAGGAAACCGACGAAUCUUUAACUUAACGAUCUAACUUGCGUACUAGGUACCACGUCCGUUGUCGAUGUUUAGAUUGUUAUUUCUAUACAUACUCUUUCGUGCUUCUAUGCUGACUGUUUGUUGAAUAGACACUCCCUUAAGGGGAAGGUUAAAAAGUCAGUCCACCAACUGAUAAAUUUUCUCGGUCGUCGUUAGUUGUUCACGUCUUCCUUUUUCUUAACGAAAUUACCAUAUGUUCACUUCAGAAUGAAGUACACCAUUCUCUUUGUUUAGUAACAGUAGUACUUUGUCUCUCAUAUUCCCGUAACGGAAGAGUCCUUACAAUCCAUAGUAGAAAACGAAAGAUGUCGAGUUUAUUGAUAGUUCUUUGUUGAGUAUAAUAUCUGGGUCGUUAUAUUUCUUUUGUUUUUGUUUUUUUCGGUUAAAUCUUGACUUUCUUUACUUUUACUAAGAGAUAUCAAUUUUGUAGAAGCAAAACCAUAGGUAAUUCAAAGCAUCUGAAGAAGUUGUCGAGGUUUUCAAACGUUUUACAGUAUAGAACAUUUUUGGUUCAAAGUUUCGUUGUCUUUGUCUAUGUUGAUGCUUCGUUAAAGAUCGGCACCGAGCUUUGUUUUAGGUCACUUCUCGACAUCGCCCUUGGAGAAACUUUGCCCUGAGGAGUGGCAGGUGAAGGUAUCGAAGACCGAGUGCAGCUUUCAUUCGUUUCGGCCGCUGGGUAUCGAGACAUAUAUUUAGUUUAGUAGCGUUGGUGACGAACGCUUAUGAAGUAGUUCGAGAGGUUUAGGAACCUUUUUGAAGACUCCGUACGCGCGUUGGAGCGUGGUAAGGAAGAAUAGAGCUUCGAGGGUUUAGGGUUAGGGGAACUAUUGAGGGCCGGAUAGGACGAAGGGAUAAGGAGGUUGGUCUUAUUGAGAUAGGGAAUCCAAGUAUUCGGACGGUGUACACUCACAUGUACCGCGUCCAUAUCGACAUAAGUAAUUUCUUUUUACUGGGCCGGACCAACUCUCCAGUAUGUAUCGGUUUGUUACCGCGCUACGCUAUACGGGUUGUAUUGGUCUUCUCAUUUCGUUUAUUAUGUUUUGAGGUAGUGUUUACUGUGUUAGUAGUGUUGGAGAGGUUGGAUGAUUUCAAAGUAACUUCCCUAGCUUGGUGAGCAGUGAAAGGCUUUUUAUUUAUACCUAACUAUAUAAGGUGUCUACUACGAGGAGGCCGUGAACGGGUGUGAAACGCUGGUGAUACCACAUUAAUACUGUGAGAAAUAGCUGGCUAUAUCGUUCGCGCGAUAUCAGCCCCCUCAAAGGUGGGCCUCGUAUCCCUUCGAAGGCGGAUACGAAUCACUAUCCCAACGUGUGUUUCUGUGCUGAAAAUAAAAGUGAUAGGUAAUUCGUAUGAUUAGGUAUCCUUUUACUCUAUCUGGUUAACGAGAAGAGUUACGUUCCCUUUAACUUUAACAUGGUGAAAAAGUCUGAACCCAGCAUUCUCAUGGGACGGUGUCGAAGGAGCGGCGUGCACUUGUACUUUAUGGUACCGAAAACCCCAUGGUAAAAGCAUACAAAUAUGGAAACGUGCCGUAGUAAGGUAGAGAACGUGUGCCUCGGACUAGAUUAAUAUGGUUGUUACCUGUUCUUUCUCUCAUAAAAGAGGUUCUCCAGUAGUCCCUCUUACCAUAGGUUCCUUUGAUUACGCGGAAAUAGGACCAGCCAUACUAUGAGCCUUAAUUCCAGAAAGAAAUCUAGGAACGGAAGUUACUUCCGACUUCCUAUCCUAAGGGUAAGGAGUGAGAGGUAAUGCCUGGACUUUAUUACCGUCCUUAUAUUUGUCUUACGUUUGUUUUUAUCCUUUGUCUUCUUGUCUUCAUACGUCGAUUUUUUUGUUUUAACGUAUACGUUGAUCUUCAUACUAUAGAAUUACCAUUAAUGGUCUUAGUCGUUAACUCGUAUUACUUUGAAAGUUGUUGAAAAAAAUAGUAGUUAGUUGUUUUUACGAGAGGUUUCGUGUAUUUUUUUCUUUUUAUCUUAAGAAUAUGGAUGUUCCAAUAGGGUGAAUAUAUUAUAACGUUUUGUGUCUUUGACGUUAAUUCAUGAGGUUUCUCCUGGUCUACACUUCUUUGGAAUAGACUUUUAGUGAUGUUGGUUUUGGGUAAAUAGUUUGUCACCCUUUUUCUUUACUUUUUCUCCGCCUGUGGACAAUUAUCCUGUAAAUGUGAUCUUCUUUUCUUUAGGUUUGCGGUUUCGUUUCAUCGAUUACUCUUGUUAACGGUCAUUUGUAAUUGCCAUAGAAGUACUAGUGUAGGUGAUAGUUCUUUGAGAAUGAAAAUUUAACUUGUAGUUUUUGCUCGUGUUUUCUACGAGAGUGUUCGUAUUCUAGUUUGUAGAAGUUAUGUAAGGCCCUACAGGGUCUUUUGUCUUGAGCUCGAAUCUUUGUUUUUUGAGUAGUUUAGUGGUGUAUUAACGAGUUUACGGCUGUGUAGAGAUUAAUAUCAACGUACCGGGUAAUUAUUGAAAUCUUUAAUCUUAUAAAAAAUUUUUUUGUGUGUGUUUUUCUUCAUCGUGCGGCUCGUAGCGGUUCCUUCGUUUUAUAUCUUUUGUUAAUUUUAAUGUUUUAAUACGUUUAUGUAUUGUUUGUCCCGUAGUGAUGUCCGUCUAUGCUUUCUGCUCCGUGGCUUUAGGUUAGAAACUAGGAACAAGGAGAAAAAAAACCUAAUUUUUAGAGAGAAAACGAACUGUAUUUCUCAACCCAUGAGCAGAUAAUUGACUUUUUGUCACUAAUUCAUUUCUUUUCCUCCGGUAAAUGUGUUUAGAGUGGUCUCUUACCCUUUUUCCCCCCUUGUUUAUGUUUUUACCCAUGGAAGCACAAAUGUAUAGAGGUUUAAACCUCGUCAUCUUACCCUUUUUUUUUUUUUUUUUUUUUGGCAUACUGGGAAAAGAGUCUCUAGGUUGUUACCAAUUCUCUCCCCUUUCUUAGUUUUUCUCUACUUUGUCAUCCGGAUCACGCCUCUACUUCAUAUCAGGUGUCUUCAUGGAGAGGAACCCGAGAAAACCCUUCUCCUCUCUCUCUCUCUCUCUCUCUCUCUCUCUCUCUCUCUCUCUCUCUCCAUUACCUCUUCUCUCUCUUUCUCUCUCUCUCUCUCUCUCCACCCCUCGUAUUUCGGCACAACUCCGCACCCGCUCUGGAUGAUAAUAUAUCCUCCACUAGCUAUGCCCCGAGUAAAUAAUUCCUGUCCAUGUUAAAGUGCCUCUGGGGAGCGAAUAUCCUAUCCGGGUAGUUGAAAGAGGAAAAUUAAAUUUAUUAAAAAUUAACUUCUAAAUCGGUCAUGUUAAAAUACCGUAGAAGUAUUGGAAGAAAGUUGAAGCGAGACAAAGUUUUUUAACUACGAAGCAUUGACAGUUUUUUAAGUGCUAGCUCAAAAGUCUUUUUAAAAAGUUAAAAGUAUUAUUAAUUCACAAAUUUAAAUUGAAAGAUGUCAAUCACAAAAAUUAAUAAAAAUUAUGUGGGUGAUAGUUAUUCUCUAAAUCCACAAUGUUCUGUAUAUAUAUCUAUUAAUUGAAUUUUUUCGCUCUAAUCUCGAUACUAAUUUUGUUCUCCUCCAUCAACGUCCACAUAAUUCUAGUAUUUGGAUCAACAAGUUGUUUGAUCAGUAGAACCAACCAAACGUUAAUUUCUGAAAUUGAUAAUUAAAGAGAGUUCCUGUGAGAAUGGCAAAACAACCAACUCUAAUUUACUGGGUAGGUUAAUAAAUGAACAGCUGAAUGUUUAAAACUUUUUUUUUUUUAAUUAAGGUUGUUUUAACCCUUUAAUUAGACUUCUUACUACCUCCUUAUAUCCCAAUUAAAGUAUAUCCAUGGAUGUUUAUAUCACUUACUAUUUAUAUAAAGAUAUUUCAAGUUGAAAAUAUAUAACAGGGAUGUUUUCAAGACUACAAAAAUUUAUAUAGGUACGACAAUCUUAGGCAAUCUUUUUAAAUUAAUUAGUAUUUAAUUUAUGAAUUAAAACUAAUUAAAAACUAUAAAAUGAGUAGAAUAUAAUAUAAUAAAACCGAAAACCUCCCUGUAUAAACACUACUGUUUUAAAUUUUUUAUUUGUCAAGAGAUUGCCAAAAGAUUGCCAUUGUUUGGUCUCACUGUAUAAACUUUUGUAGUCUUAAAAACAUCCUUGUUAUAUACUUUCAACUUAAAACAUCCCUAUAUAAAUAGUAAGUGACAUAAACUUCUUUGUACAUAUUUUAAUUAGGAUCUUAUAUUAUCAGGAAGAGUUAUUUCAUUAUAUAUUUUUCAUGAUAAUUUUUUAUUUCAAUUAACGUAUAUCGAUGGACGUUUAUAUAGCUUAUUGUUUAUAUAGACUAAGUGUAAAGGAUCAACUAAGUGUAAUGGUCGAUUCAAAUAAAGACUUACUUUAUUUGCUUCGCCCAUCGCACGAUGGAUAGAGAGAGUUUUUAUUUAUUUAUUUAUUUAUUUAUAUAGACAUAUUUCAAGUUGAAAAUUGAAAAUAGGGAUAUUUUUCAGGUCACUAUAAGUAUAAUAAGAAAACCAAACAAUGGUAAUCUCUUGACAAAUAAAAAAUUAUCGUCUAUUCACUUUACAGUUAAAACGGUAUUUUUUAUACAGAGAAGUUUUCGGAGUUGACAAUAUAAACACGUCUUUAUAAGAAGAUUUUUAAAAAGUUGCUAGUAAAAGAAGGAGUAAAAGAAAGAGAAUUUUGAAUUGAGUUAAGUGGUAACAACGUUGGAGAAAAGGGUGAGGAAAACAAGAUUUAGAAAAAGAAAACUUGUUUUAUUCUUUUUAGUAUCUUUUUUAACUUAUCUUUUUAUUGUGCGUAAACUGUACCCGCUUCGUUGUGCGCAGCACUUACUUAUCCCUGUUUCUUAAAUCUCCUCCUUCUUCUUCUUAUUCCCAAAAGUAACGAUCUUAAAAUUAACUCUCUUCUUUCAUGAUAUAUUCUCCCUAUUUUUAUAGUUAUAUAGAAUAACCGAUUGGUCUCGAUUCAUUAAAUGAAUACCCGUUAAUUUUAAAAUAUUGCUUAAGAUUGCCGUACCCAUAUAAAUUUUUAUAAUUCAGAAAACGUCUUUAUUAUAUCUUUAAACUUGAAACAUCCCUAUAUAAACAUUAAGCAGUAUAAAUGUUCUUCAACAUAUUUUAAUUGCGAUCUUUUAUAUAUCAAUAUAAUAAUAAAAAAAGUUGUUUAAAGAAAUUGCGUUAAUUUUUAAGGGUUAAUUGAGCUCUAAUAAAAUAAAAAAACCGAUUUACACUCGGGAACGUUUUCUUGUUUCUUGUAAAAUAGUAGGGUUUUUUAAGUUACGGUUGUUUGCGUACGUGAUAGCUAACAUAGAUUACGUCAACCGAUUUUUAGAUUAUUAAUCACAGGUUAUAAAAUUUAAGUUUCGAGUUAAUAAAAUGUAAAACAUUGUAUCAAGUAAAGAAUUUUUUGUGUUUACUUUGUUUAACUACGAUGGAAAGAAUUUUCUUUUUUUUUUUUUCGUGCGUGGAACUACUACUUCAACCAGAAGAUACAUCGUCAUCGUUUCCAUAGUGUAAUAGAUACAGAAUUAGAUAAUUAAAAAAAAUAAAAUUUAUUUUUAUAUUAUAAAAAAUUUUUUUAUAAUAUUAUCCUACCUACUUGAAGUAUUUAUAUUAAAUUAAGUAACCUUUGUACUUACUACAUUACGGUGCCGGAAUAAAAUCUAUAUAUAUAAAAAAAUGCCCCUCAUACUGUACCAUAUUAUUACAUUACAUUACAUUACAUUUUUCUUUUUUUUUUUUUUUUGGGUUAUCUUACGGUUUUCAUCUUCGAACACUUUUCACGUAUCGAAACAACGGUCUUCUCCGUUCUAUACAUCUAUAGUUUAGUUACAGCUGAUCAGUAAUACUUGCUCUAACCAUUUCUCUACUUCCAGUUUGUCUUUUAUUCUUUUACAGAGUCCAGAGUACUUCUUCUACUGCUCUCCUCUUAUUAAUAACUAGUGAAAUUAGAGGACCAUUUUUUUUUUUUUUUAACCAAUUGUAAAGAGUUUAAAUACGAUUUUUCUUUCUUACCCGUUUUCUUACGAUACUUACACUUAGUAGUCCAGGGGUGAAAUUGGUCUUCGGAAAUGAGAGAUUGUGAAAAAUAAAAAACUAGAAUCCUCAAAUAAUAUUGAAGAACAGUAUACAGUAUUAUUUCCGAGAAAAUCGUUUCAUCAAUCCGGUUUAUUCAUGAAUCAAUAAAGAUUAAACUAAUAAAUUUUUUUUACUUGUUUACAUUUAUUAUAAUGUAAUUUAAAGUAGGCCGACUAACCUAGAAAAAAGAAACCAAAGACGUUACCUUAAUCUUCUAAAACAAAAGCACUAAACUUUGGCGUAAAAAUGAAAACCAGUGUCGUACUCCAUAUUUCAACCUCUAACGGUUUACUGAAAAACACGUAUUGGUUCUUGUCCUACUCUUGAUUUGAUCUGGAAAAAUUUUUAUCAAACUAACACGUCACUGCUUUAAUCUGACCCAUACCCACCUUAUGUCCAACCUAGAUCUAGCCUAUGCUCAUGAGCAUACGUAUAUAAAAAAUAUUUAAAAUAAUUUGCCAAAUAUCUGUUUGGUAUUUGGAUAGUAAUAUUUUUUUAAGUGCAAGAUUAAUCAACGUGGGUCACGUUAUUUUAAGCAAGUUUUUUUCUCUAAGUUCAUCAUUUAUCGAUCUUAACUUUUUUUUUCCUCAUUUUAUUUUAAUUUUUUUUCUCGUUUGUUUCUCUGAUCCUAAAAGUAAUCUUACUUUUAUAUGUCUCUGGAAAGUAAAUAUUCAAUAUAACUUUAACGAAGGAGUUGAAGUUUAAAAAAAAUAAAUGAUAGCCCAUUAAGUGACUCAGGUUCAGGUUCAAGCCAAAGCCCAAAUCUAAACUUUUGAGAAAGUCUAGGAUGGGUAAUUUUCCAGCCCAAGAUCAGACUAGGUUCAGCCUAUACCCAUACUUCAUAGACCUGGGUAUGAGCUUUGAAAUCUAAAAAAAAAAAAAAAUGAAUAUAUGAUAGAAAAAAUAGCCCAGGUUUUAUCCAUGCCAUAUGACCCAUAAAACCUGUCGAAAUUGGUGAUGUAAAUGCUUUGAUCCGGUAUCAUCCGUAAUCAUCAACCUGAUAGGAGUUAAAUGCGGGUUCCAAGUUUGUCGUCCAAACUCUAAGUAUUCUAAUCCGGGUUGAUUCAAUGAUUCCAAAGGUGGUGGGGGGUUUCUUUUUUUUAGAUCGAACAUAUAUGAUGACUAACCCGAUCCAGGUCGGGUUUAGACCAGGCCGGAUAAAUGACCAAAACCUGGCUGGGUGAUUAGGCCGGGCUAUGCCUGGGCUGGGCAAAAACAUGGGUCUAGGUUAAGAGCUGAGAGAGAUGUGAGAGGCUGCAGAGGCAGGAGAAUAGGUAAAUAGGACGCGGUAAGAGUGUUCGAAGUUUAGGAAGCGGGUACCGAAGCCGAGAGCCGGGGCGGCGGAGGCGAGGCAGGGCGUAGAGGCAGGGGUCGGCACGGGUUUGGGAUUGGGAUCGGAGAGGGGGGAAGCAGAGAGAGGGGUUUGGUGCUAACAAGAGCACAGAGUGUCUGAGGAGAGGGGCGCGAAGAUAAGAGAGCGCUUUUACCUUCGAGAAACGAAGAAGGCUCCUCAGAUGCGGCCGGGGAUGCCUCCAAGUUUACGGCCUCGGGCAACUUCGGGUCUAGCUCCGGAGGUGGCGGCCUCUCCGCCGCUUCCCGCUCCUGCACAAACGCCACCAAUACCACUCGAUUCUCAACCUAACAAAUGUACUAAAAAAAAAAAAGAAAAAGUCAAUUAACGGAGUAUAUAUAACCCUCGUAAGCGUAUGUAUAAGGAACGUUGUAAAAAAAAAGCGCGUAAAUAGAUAUUUCAACAAUUAAACCUAAACAUAGGGAAAUUUAAGAUUUUGAAACGUUUAAAAAGACGGUAAGUCAAACUGACAAUUUAAAAGUGACAAACCUUACAAUGCGGGAACUGUUAAUUAUAUAAAAAAGUCCCAACUCCUAAACCUCAGUGUAUUUUACUGUGAUCUAUAUCUUAUCCCUCCAAUCUCUAACUUUUACUGGUUUUAAGUGAAAAUUAUUUAGUUUAAAAAACUAUAGAUAUUUCAAACUCCCUAUUUACGAGUUAAGGUGAUAAAAUGUCCAUAUACAACUGUUAAAAGGAAAAAAAAAAAAAAACGAUAACUGUUUAUUCUCAAACGACUAAACAUUAUUAUUAUUAAUAGGAAGUAAUAAUGUCUAACCCAGCGCCGUUAUGUAGCACAAAGGACCCGCCAUAUAAAUAUGGGUCUCCAACUUCCCGCGGUUACAAUUACUAUUCCAGUCUUCUUUAGACAGUUAGAAAGGACCAAAACAAAAGCACAUGAAGAAAAGCAACAGUCAAACUUAAAGAAGUAAAUACAAUCAAGACCUAAUGACAAUUCCCAACUACGUUAGAAAAUAAGUAACUUCUAAGUAAUCUUCUCAUGUGUAAACUAACGGACAUAUUAUACCGACGAACCGAUACACUAAAGAUGUACUUUCCAAUACUCUACAGUAGCGUUUUAUAUAAAGAGUCGCGUUUUACUUUUCUUAUGUCACAUCAUUUUUCCUAAAAGACUGUUGUUAUAUCUUAUAAUGUACUAUUUUACUUGAGUCUUCAUUAAUGCUUUGAAUUCAUUUAUUAACAGUCGAUCUAAAUAAUAAAAGAUAGAAGUAAGCUGGACAUUCCUUAGAUAUAGACACCCAUGUAAACCAACCCUUUUUUAAGGAGUGGGAGGUUCAACGGGACGAUACCGGCGUAGGACACUAUGUCUCUAGUUAGAAAAAAAAAAAACAAAUGGAAAAGUAGUAUUCCUCUUGACAUUACUAACGUCCCCAUUGACAUUACUAUUGAUUACUAACACUAUGAAUUCCCCUGAUGACGAAUGACCCCUAUUAAACUCCCUAUCAUUUAAAACUACAAAGAAGAAUGGAAAUAGUCUUUUUCCCCCUCAUAAGUGACAUAACGGAAAAGUUUCCCACAGAUUUCAGACCUUUACAUCGAGCAAGUCUUAAGAGUUGAACACGUGAAUGAUGUCGGUUAAACCGACUAAAAUUACACAACACUGCUAACGAUGUAAUGAUACAUGAAACACCUACUCCGCUUCUUGAUUUGAUUUGUGGUUGAGUUCUUAAAUCCUCGAGACGUUGACAAAAUAUAGGAUUCCACACCUGAUACAAACCCAACUCUACUACCGAUGACCCCUACCCCGUUUCUUGUUCGGGUUCAAUGCGUAUGACUACUUGGACACAAAUAUAUGGGUACGUAUGAGGUAAGAGAUAGGUUAUACCUUGAUAACCUCGCAGUGUUAGACAAUGUCAUAGCCACCUGUUAAACUUUAGACUAUACAUGAAAACCGAGGAGAAUUACUUUGAGUUUAUAGAAACUCCUCGAACAGAGUUAGUCAUCUACAUAAAAACACGAAUCUUUACUUUCAUCAGUGACAAAACCGGGAUAUUAUUGUGACUUACACGUCUAAUAUAACUUGUUUCAUAAUGAGCAACCUUGAGCUUGUUUCCGAAUAUAACCGGUUGGUCAACAAUGGUUACGACGGCAUGUACGCCACCAACUUCUUGUCCAUGAAAAGAAAGAUCGACGACCUCUUUUGGAAUGUACACAAAAUUGACGAACUGUAACAAAGAUUAAGAGCUUUAAAAGAAAGAGUCCCUGAACUAGGAUUUCACUAUUAUAAGUUUAUGUUCUUCUUCUUCUUGAUAGCUUCCUGUUAACCGGUAGCUGUCCAUAAGUUAUUCUGGAUAUACACUUCGAUUCAUUGAGCCAGACUCAGAAAUAUUUUACACGACGUUAAGACUCCCUACGAUAGAAAGAAAAACCGAACGUGAGAGAAACACCAGAAAAGUGACAGAAGAAGGACUACUCUUGCGUGUUUGCAUUUUAAAGAUAUACGUAGUUGAAAAAUACUAAUAAUUGUUAUGAAAUUUGAAAAGUUAAAACCACAACACGUAAAGUAUUAUAAUUACGAACAGAAGUAUUCUAAUUUCGAACAAAGAUAAUACGAAAAGAAGUGAAAGGAUGAGAAUUAAACUGAAACAAGGAGCAGUAAGAGAAAAGUUCUAUAAAAGGACAAGGAAGACUUACAUGAAGGUAUUUAAAAGAUUUAAAUAGUUAGAAGAUACGAAUUAAACAAAAAUUUUAAAAAAACAAGGACUGUUAUUAAACAGUUAUAGAAUCAGAAUGUUUUCUCUCGUCUAUGUUUGCUCGUAUUUAUCAUGGGUAAAUCAACGCAUAGGACACUUUAAUAAAAUGUUGAUUAUUUUAUUGUUUUAUUGUAAACGUCGGUUUGUGUUCCUAUUUCUAGUGUCCCUAUUGUCCUAUAGUUCUAAAGGGUCGACUCUGCUACGGGCUCUGUUAAGGGCGAAUCUACUUAACGUUUCAAAAAAGAAAAUACUCGACUACGGGAAACUUCGUUAUAGUGGAUGACAAUCAAAUGUUUACAAAAAGUUCAAAAUAAGUAAAUAGUAAACGGAAGGACAAGAAAACAUCUGUUUUAGCUGUAGGAAAUUCGUUACUCUUAAAGGUCAAAGUAAGGAUACGAUAAGAAUAAGUGACUCUACAGGAGAACUUCAAGAAAAGCCCGUGAGAUGACUCUAAGAUAAGCGCACGAAAAAAACAUCGGUUUUCCAAAACCAAGAUGAACAUAAAGGACAAUCUAAAAGCGUUUUAAGUUUAGAUAACUUCCUUAUCAAUUAGACCUACUUCAAACAAAAGUCCCGUCUUUCACUUGGACCUCAACCCCUACUUCAGGGGUAUUAAACCAAAACAAAGUUUGUUCCGUCACAAAACAAAAAAGGUCUUCAAAUAAUUUAGAAACGAACUAACGAAACCUAAAAAAAUAUAUAUAUAUAAUCUACACUAUUAACCACAAGGUGGUAGGGAGCAAUUUUAUAAUUCUAACACAGAAGUAUCUAUUGAGUGUAUACUUAUCGUGUUUAUACAUCGUGUUUAUACCGAAGAAGUUCUAUCACUAUAAAAGACGUUAUUAGAUAGAAAAAAUUUCAUUCUAAAAACUUUCAUUUGAAGUUAUUAAUUAGAAUCAAAUAACAACUUAGGAGCAUGUCACAAACGAACAGAUGGAACGAAGGAUUUCGUUAAUUUUAACGUGGAAAAAUCGACAUCCACAAACAACAGACACCAUUCAUUAACGAACCCGAAGAAAUUAGAAAAGGUUCCUCAUGUUCCAACCGUGCAAGGCUGCAAGGUUUUCUCUAAGUGCAAUUUUUUUAUUUUAUUUUUAAAACCUCCUUAACAGAGUCAUGCUCCGUUUUUUCUUUUUUUUCUCCAGAGAUUUCGUAAAUACUUGACAGUUUAUUUCAUGUCCUUUUAAAGAGAGGAUUUUCAUCCCUACAUUUUGUCGGCUCGCCGUGCACCCGGCGGUCCGGGCCGUGCCGGAGCCCGGCCCGGUGUCGUGCCGUGCCUAUGAGAUUGUAGGCACGGCCUAGCCCGGCCGGGCUUCAGGACCCGGCACAACCCGGUGUUAAAACCUCGGGCUGCCAGGCCGUGCCGUGCCGUGCCGGGCUUAGCCUGGACCCGGCACGGCCCGGCUCCCAUCCGCCCGUCGGACCGUGCCGUGCCGGGCGAACCCGGCACGGUCGGCCCGGUCGGGCCGGGCGUAGGGUACCGGGUUCCGUUACCGGGUUCCGUUAACGGAACCCGGUACCCAAGAUUCGAGGACCCCUCCUCCCGAGCCGGGAGGAGAGGGCCGGGAGGAGGUCGACAGGAGGGUUCCAGACGACUCCUCCUGAAAACCAGGUUACCUGGUUUCUCAGAAAUCAGGUAACCUGGUUUUCAGAUAUUGUAAAAAAAAAAAUUUAUUUAUUAUGUUUAAAUAAAAAAAUUUUUUUAUUUAUGAAACAUCCGGCUGGGCUUCGUGCCGGGCCGGGCCGUGCCGGGCACGGAAGGCCCGGUUUCCCGGCACGGCCCGGUCUCCUAUUUUUUAAUCCGGGCCGUGCCGAGUCGGGCUUUAAUUUAGGCCCGACCCGGCCCGGACUGGGAUCGGGCUAAACCGGACUUUUUACACCCGGCACGGGCGGGCCGUGACGGGUGUAAUGUGGGGAUGGAUUUUCCGAUAAACCAACGUAUAUUAAGUUGAUGGGAUGUCAAUAUUGAUAUACAUAUAUAUUUAAGCCAUAAACCAAACUACAUAAAUUAAAAUUGACGACGCUGACUUUGAUGUCCUCCUCCAGACUGACGACGUCAACCUUGAUGCGAGUUUAACUGGCAUUAAGAUUGACGCUGUCAACAUUUCUUAUUAAAAAUUUGUUUUUAUACAAAUAGACUAAUUAAUAAACAAUUUGUUAUAUAUAUAUAUAUAUAUAUAUAUAUAUAUAUAUAUAUAUCUCAACUCGACCUUACGAUAGCCAUCGUUUAACCGAGGCAACGGUGGAUAAACAAAAGCUACUACCUUGGAAAUUUAACUGCUAGUCGUGGCAACUUGUACUAGAUAUGGUGAACUUCAUAGAUCUUCGGUUUAAAGUUUAGUAAAGCUGUAGUAAUUGGAUUACUAGUUUCCUAAAGUUUUAAACAUUAAAAUUACCAUCUAUACUCCGCAAAAGAGCAAAUUGCCACAUUUCGAUAGGUUUAGUUAACUUAAAACCAAUCUUUUAAGAAAUUUGAUAAAUCUUAUUCUAGAUAUGAGAGCUAGAACUAAUGUUUUAAGGAUAGUAGUAAAAAAUCUCCUAUAAGUAAAAGUCGGCAAGUAAAAAUGCGGGUGAACUAUCUGUUCUUUUGUUAUAGUCUUUUCGUAUUUUAAACUAAAGAUCUAUGAAGUUCACCAUAUCUAGUAUAAGUUGCCACGGCUAGCAGCUAAACUUCUGAGGUAGUAGUUUUUGUUUACCCACCGUUGCCUCAGCCAAACGAUGAAUAUCGUAAGGUGGAGUUGAGAGAGAGAGAGAGAGAGAGAUAUAUAUAUAUAUAUCUUGACUGACCUUACGAUAGUUAUCAUGGUUCAACAACCACGAUAAUCCAAAAGCCAAUAACCUAUUUUUUUAUAUACCAAUCCUACUAUACUGGGAGGAUCCCAACUCCCUCAACAACCAACUUAUUAUAUUAGAGAUUGCUUACUUUUAUCACUUUCUUAAUUUAGAUUGCCGCCUUUUGAACUAUCAUGGUUUGAUAGUUUUCAUAGGGUUGACCUGAGAGAGAGAGAGAGAGAGAGAGAGAUAUAUAUAUAUAUAUAUAUAUCUUAAUACGAUGAUAUGAUAGUUAUCAUGGUUCGGGGUAUCAAAUUAGUACCCUGUGGUUUUAUUUUUGUAGCAAGUUAGUACUCUGUGGUUUUAUUUUUCUCUUAAUAAAAUAUUAAACCACAGAGUACUAAAGUGAGAAAGUGCGAAACCACAGGGUACUAACUUGAUACACUUUAAACCAUAGGAUACUAAAAUGAGAAAGUGCAAAACAACAGGGUACUAACUUGAUACACUUUAAACCACAGGGUACUGAAAUGAGAAAGAGUGGAACCACAAUGGGGGUAUUUGAAGUUUUUCCUAAAAAAAUUGUGCAGUAGAAAAGUAUAUUUGAAAGAGCAAAAUAAUAAUUUUAUAGAGAUAACGGUCGUUUCUAAUAGUUCACUAACAGAAUUAAACUCUAAAAAUAUAUUUAAAAUAAUUUAAAAUAUUAAAAACUAUUUCUAUUUUUAAUUUUUUAAGAAAAAUAAAUAAAAAAGUCAAAAAAUUUCAUGGAUAAUAUAUAUAUAUAUAUAUAUAUAUAUGGCUAAAUUAUAAAAAACCUCCUCUAAUAACCCGCUUUUUCACUUUCUCCCCCCUGACAUUUAAAAAGUUACACUUUGCUCCUUGUAAAAUAAAAAUAUUCACAGGAGGGUUACGGUGUGUAAAAUGAUCAUUUUACCCCUCGCCAUUUUCGUCUUCUUCUUCAUCUUCCUCAGCCGCCCUUUCGAUCGGCCGCGAUUCCCACCCCAAUCGGCCGCGAUUUUUUUCCAUUUUCUUCUCCAUCUGCUCCCAUUCUCCUCCUGCACCCUCGCGGCCCCUCGAUUUCGACGAUAGUAGGAAGGAAAUCGAGGUGGGUGUUGAUGGAGAGGUAGGCAAGGGCAACGAGGGCGAAGGCGAGGCGGCGGAGGAGGGUGAAGGGGAUAUGGGCGAGGGCGAGACAGUGGAGGACGGCUAGGCGGCGAUGCGGCGACGAGGCGGCGAGUCGGAGGGUGGCGAAGCAACAAAGAAGAGGGCAGAAGGGUAUUUUCGGUAUAAAAAAAUAUUUUACAACAGAACCCUAACGGUAGGGGGUGAAGUGCACAUUUUUUAUUUUACAAAGGGGCAAAGUAUAGGUUUUUAAAUGUCAGGAGGGAAAAGUAAAAAAAGGGGUUAUUACAGGAGGAUUUUCUGUAAUUUAGCCUAUAUAUAUAUAUAUAUAUAUAUAUAUAUAUAUAUAUAUAUAUAUAACUAGGCUACUAUACUAUUAAUAGCACAAAGUCAUUAGUGCUACCAAGUUUUUGGCCAAUGGAUUCAGAGAUGUGUGGUUAGGAUGAUGUGGGCCCUCUAAGAUUGAGUGGGUGGUUGGUUAAAUAGUAUUAUCUAACGGAUGAAAAUGAUCAAAAAGGUAGAUCUAACAGCGGAAAACUUGGUAGCACCAAAGUGCUUCGUGCUAUUAAUAACAUAAUAGCCGGACUCUAUAUAUAUAUAUAUAUAUUAAUUUAAGAGCUGAAGCGGUUAGUGUCUAACUAAAUAAGUCAAUUAUAAUAUUAAUUAGCAAUAUUAUACAUUUAUCAGAAACUAAUUAAUAAAAAAUUAGAAAAAAUUUUGAUUUGUUAAGAAUAUAAUUAUGAAAACCAAGGAAAUAACCUUGAUGAAUGGAGUUGGAAAUAAUUUACAAAGUGAUUUGCGCAGUGCAAAUUUAAAAUCGAACAAAGUAUGAAGUAGCCUUAUAUAGUAGUUACCACCUUGGGGGAGGGAAAAAAACUCACAGAAGAAGCUAAAUAAAUAGGCUCAGAUGAAUGGCAUAUUUAAUCAGGAGGGGGGGGAGAAAAAACUCACAGAAGAAGCUAAAUAAAUAUGAACCAAUUGAAUUUUUUUGUUUGAGGCUAAGAUGAAAGACAUAUUUGAGUGUGCACUCCUAUCGACCAAGAGGACAUUCGAAGUGAGAUUUCUUUCAUCUAUCAGCAUCGCCUAGUAAAUACAUUAGAGAAAUUAGUAUUAACCACAAAUAUAUUCUGCUAUUCUUCUUAAUUCUAACAUAAUGUCUCGGAAAAAAAAAAAAAUUUUAAGUAGUCUUCACGAAAAAACAAAAAGGAAGGCUCAAAAAAUGCUCAUAAGCAUAGGAAAGUAAUAGGAGGAAUACAUUACCGUAGGAGGAACAUGUGUGCAAAGACCAAGUAUAAGAACAUUAGAAAGUGGUUGCCUAUGAAUAGACCGUCCAAACUUCCGCUUGUUCGAAGCCAUCAUUUUCCACGUUUUCCUCUACUUAUCAUCAUCGCCUCAAAAAAGAGAUAGGAAAUAGCAAGAAACAAAAAGGAAUAAAGGGAACAAAGUAGUAUUAGUAAAACAGCAAUGUAUCGAAGCAGCAUUAGUAAAACAACAAUGUAUCGAAGCAGUCGAGUCCAUGCAAAGCUACCACAUUCAAUCCCAAACAAAGACAGGAAUAGCAUAUUUGAGUACAAUCAAUUAUCUCUAAAACUAACUCUAUCCAAAGCUACUACAUUUAAUCCCAAACAAAGGUACGAAUACCAGAUUUGGAUACAAAGAAAGCAUCUGUAAAAUGCUUUUCGCACAAGAUAAUCCAACAACCGUCAGGUAAAGAAUGCAAAAAGAGAAUUGGUUGGCAAAUUUUGAAUCAGUAGGUUAGCAUCACAUGUGUACACCAAAAUUUGAACAAACAUCAGAACACUAAAUCACAGUUGAUUGCCCAAGGGUUAUUUUGCCCGAAAGGUUAGAAAUCGCAAUUUUCAGUACAACUAAAUAUCAGCACAUUGUUGUACCAACUACUAUCGGCAAAUCCGAACCACCUCAUGCAUUGAGUAUUAUAGAAGGUUCUUAAUUUAAACAAAGGCAUCAACUUAAAUUUCAAAUAAAUGAAGUAGCAAUCGGUUGCCUUAUGAUGCAGGCCAUCCAAAGUGCUUAUCUACCACCAGCCAAGAAGCCCGGCCCUCUCCAUUAUCGCAAUUAUUUCACAUUCAAGGGAAGGUCGCGUAGUAUGGGACAACAACAGGCGAAAGCUGCAAUGUCCCAGCCAUCUAACAUUCAAGGAAGAUAAUCAUAGUAUGCGGGCAAAAAGAGGCGAAAGAAAAGUACCCCCCGCAAAGGACAAAACAUUAUUAUAAACUACACAGGACCAGCUAUGAAGAACAACCAAAGAGCCGACAGCCAGCAGGAAGACAUUGGAACCUGCAGAAACCAAAAAAGGGACUUGCGGAUUCCACAGCAUAUAACCAUUAAUUAUAUUCUUAACAAAUCAAAAAUUUUUCUAAUUUUUUUUUAAUUAGUUUCUAAUAAAUGUAUAAUAUUGCUAAUUAAUAUAAAAAUACAAAAAAGUGUAGAAAGUGUAAAUGUAAACUACAACAGCAUCGAAAGAGGACAAUUAGUUUCACCAUGGCAACAAACAAAGAAGCAACAUAUUCUUUUCCUCUCAAUAUGUAAGCGUAAAGGAAAAAAGUAUAAAAUGUGUAGUGUAGAGAGACUUUCUUUAACUCAGUCGAACUCAGAGUAAACAAAUAAAAUGAAAUUAUCAAGGUACCACUCUUUGCAAGAGCAUAAACAAAACCUUUUUUAAAAAAGAACAACUGCCAGCCGAUAAUAAAAACUUUACUAAUCUAUAUACUACAAUGAUUUCCACACAAUGCAAGAGCAAAAAGCAGAAAAUAUAAUAGAAUAUAUAAAAAAUAGUCUCAUAAUAGAGCUCUUUGUAAUAUCGAAGCCUUACAUUUGAGUAAGCAAAAAUCGGUAAAAACUCAUAAAACUACUAUCAAUCAUCGAAAUAGGAAAAAAAGUAUAGAGAGUGUAAAUGUAAACCACAUAGAGCCAAAACAGGCAAUUAAUUCCAGCAUGGUAACAGGACAAAGAAGCAACAUAAUUUUUUUUCUUCAAUCGUAGGUAAAGCGAAAAUAUGUAAAAUGUCUAGCGUAAAGAGACUUCCUGCAUCUCACUGGUAAUUAGAGUAAGCAAAUGAAAUGAAUAUAAAGGUACAUCGCAGAGAUUGAAAACAAAACAUUUUAAAAAAAACACGACUGGAACCGAUUAAUAAGUUCUACUAAUCUAUAUAGUACAAUUAUUUCAAAACAUAUGCAGACAUAAAAGUAAAACCCAAGGAACGUCAUCACAUGCAAAACCAUCAUGCAAGCGGAGUGCUACAUCAUAAAUCACAACAUUAAGGGCCACAAAUGAUAAGUAUAAAGUUUAGGAUUUGGAAAUCUGAAUUUGGAAUCUGAAUUUGGAAUUUAAAUUGCCGACAAACUAUUUGAUGCAUAUAAAAGUUUAGAAUUUCCGCAAUCUGAUCUGAAUUCCAUAACCUGCAAUAAGCUCCAGGGUUUUCGAGGGGUAGGCCAUCAUAGUGCGAAACCUAAGAGGCAGAGGCGAAGUUCUUGGGAAAAAGAAAGUUCAUAUAAAUACACCCAAAAUCCAAUAUAAAAAAGUAAAUGCAAAAAUGAAGAACAGAUUGCAAACUAAGAUCGAUAUAAUGUUGCUCAGACUCCAGGCCAUAGGAUAUUUAUCCGCUUGGGCACAAAAGAAUGCCGGAUUAGAACUGCUCGGUUAGAACCCGCAUGCCACUCAAAAUAUCCUCAAGAGUAAAUAAGUGCAACCGGUUGCCUACGAAGUAGGCAUCCAAAGUGCCCUAUCACCAGCCAAGAAAACCCGAGGCCCCUUUUUUUGGCAACAGUUCAACUCUUAAUUAUCCCUUAAUUGUCGCAACCAUCCGACAUUGAAAAGGGCAAGUCAAUCAUAGCAUGGAACAAAGAGGCAAGCCAAAGCCGCAGAUGAUAAAAAGGCACCAAUAAGCAACAUGAAAACUCAAGGUAUAAGUAAGAUAACACUUUUGGGGGGGAAAAAAAAACUUUGUGGUGGGGGGGGGGGGGAGGGGGAGGACGAAAAAAUGCGCAAACUUAUGACAAAACCCCGACUUUUAGAAAUUUAGAGCAAAAAGCAUAGAACAACCACCUAAUACACGAAUGAGCCUAUGGAAGACGGGAAAAACAUUAUAUAUAUAUUAUAUAUUAGAAGCGAGGUAAAAUAUAAGUAAGUAUAUAUAUAUAUAUUUUGCUCAGACUCCCCCGAUCAUCAAACAUUAUUAGAUUUGGCGCCAAAACUGUUCACUUAGCACCGGAGAUUGUCACAACCGACAGUAUCGAAUACAUCUUAUUCCAUGAGUAUCGUUGCCUAUGGGAAAAGGCUAUUCAGUUUUUCUCAACUCCCCCUUUCUACCAAGCAGCAGAAGUGGAUAAAAAAUGACACUCUCAUAUCCAUAGGAAGGCCCGGCGCGUUCCUCUUUUUAGUCAAUGCUAUUAACAUUUCAAGGUUAAGGUGCUUUUCAUAGCAUAGGACAAAUUUUUAGUUAUAUCUUCUUCGGUAUAUUUAUAAUAUAUUAUCUCUGGAUCUGAAAGGCAAGGAAAUUGAUUAUUGUUUAUUCGAAUUUUGUUUUAUUUUAGUCCUAUCAGAAAAUAAAGUUACUAUGGUCUGAAUUAAUACAUAUCUAAAGUGUAAAUGAGUGCUUGAUAGUUAUAUGUUAGGCGAUGGAUUUUCCGAACUUUUUGGAUGGUAUUCUGCUAUCACAUGAAUAUAUUGUAUAUUUAUCUCAUUAGUAUCAUCCUCUCUUUGAAAGCGGAACUUUAUCAGAAGGCUCCAUAUGAUAUGUAGGUCUAGCUUUAUUAAACAUUCAAAUAUUAAAAUAUAGCGAGCAUAAACUAUUCAAGGAAUAAGGGAGUUACAAAGUUAUUAUACCUUGAAUUUUGUGCCGGUGAUGUUUCUCCAAAUAAUCCGCUCGAGAAUGAGUGAACUUGAUCCUCAUACUUAAUAAGUAAAUUAUUUGCAACUGGACCUUUAUAUUUUACAUUAGAGUUUACGGCAAAUUUUUUUGUAACUUUGAAAGAGGGGCCACUCGUAGUGAUUUUUUGGGAGUCUGGAGUUAUUUGGAAAAUAUGUUUCCGAUCCCCAAAGAGGCUUAGGUAGAUAAGUGCAUAGUAAAAGACACGAAUUUUAUUAGGAAAAAUUUAGAAUUUGUAGCAGCAAAUAAAUCAUGGUAACCUCAAAAAUUAAAUGCACCAGAAACCAGGGUUGAGAACAGGCAAUAAACCAAACCUAAAAAAACAAUGGAAAAAAAAAAAAGGGAAAAAGAGAGGAAGCGUUUAAAAAAAGAAAAAACGAGAGGAAAAAAUAAAGCUCUUUCGUAGGACCCCCAAAGAGGCUCAGGUAGAUACACUACAACAAAAACGGUCUAUAGCGACACUUUUAAAUAUAGGUACAUGUCAAAAAAGUGCUGCUAGCUAAAAUUACCGACACUUUUAAAAAGUGUUGCUAUAUGUAGGGUCGCUAGGUAUAUAGUGACAAUUAAAGAGUGUCGCUAUAACCUAAAAGAGUGCUGCUAAUUUACCAACAACUUAUUUAAGCAUUUAGCAACCGCCGAAACUCUAUCUCGUUGGCUGCGGUGGCGGAGGAGGACGACAGGAAUGGCUCUUCGUCUAGAAUUUCAGUAGAUUGAGUAAAGAGAGAAGAAAAUAUGGUAAUUGAUUUUUCUUUUUUUUUCUUUUCUGUUUGUAAUCGGACCAAAUGGACUGGGUGUGGUGGGUUGAGUAGAGUAAUCUUUUAUUUUUGGUUGGAUUGGGCUUUAUAUUUAGGCAUUAGUAGAUGUUUUUUUAAGUUUUAGCAUAAAUGGGACACUUACUCAAAAGUGUCCCAAACAUGUGUCCCUAUAACCUGAUUCUGUUGUAGUGAUAAGAGCAUAGCAAAACACGUAAUUCCUUUGGAAAAAUUCAGAAUUUACAGCAGCAAACAAAUCAUGCUCAUUUAAAAAUUUAGUGGAUCAGGAACCAGCAUGAAAAAUCGACAGUGAACCAAAUCUGGAAAAACAAUGUAAAAAAGAGGAAAAAGAAAGGGAAAAACUGAGGGAAAUUGUGCAAUAUUAUUUUACAAAGCUCCCAAAGAAGCUUAGGUAGAUGACUGCUUAGGUAAAAGCAUGCAGUUUUUUUCAGUAGAGAAUAAGAAAAUCUGCUACACUUUGUAAGUAGGAAGCAAAAGAAAAACUCCAAGGAAAAGAGUUAAAUAAAAGUAAAAGAUUUAAUCAGAAACAAUAAUACCUUUUUCACUUCAAACCAACCCGAUCCCUGAUCAUCCCCUGCUUCAUCUGCAUUCUCCAUCAUCAAAUCUUUCUCAAUCUCCCACACAUUGCUGCAACUGCUACAACAUUAAAUAAAACACAUAUAAACUCCCCAUCUUUACCAGCAACGCGUACUGCACAAAACCCCUAGAGCAAAACCCAACAAGCUUUCCCUAAAUUAAGAAGCAAAGUAUGCAACUCCCACAAGAAAAAAUGCCAUUAAACCCAAAAUUUACAGAACAAAAACGAAACAGCAAAGGAAAACCUCCUUUCUCUCUCCUCGUGCGAUUUCAUUCUUCUCCAACACGACCUCUCCGUAUAUGAGCAAACGCUUCUACGUGUGAAGCUCCCUUCGAGGCCCCAAAUGAAUGCGGAGAAGAGAUCGAAGGAAGUGCUCGAUCCCCGAUCGAUCCAUUUACGUAGUAAUUUCGAGGUUUUUGAUAACCCAGCUUCUGAAUUUCUCCAAAUUUAGGAGGAUUUUCCUACAUGCCGCCAGCCGCCGGGCACGCCUCGAUGAUCGCUGACGCCACCGAUUCAGCUAUGAAAGAUAAAGCAUUAAUCCUCCAGAUAAUAAGCUCAGACCACAGCUACUUCACCACUGCAGAGGCAAUUCACAAACACUUGGAGUGCAAGAGAUAGAGACUGAGGAAAGGAUUACACUAAAAACAAUCACUCUCAGUUGUUUGUUAACUUAUGUUUCUCCGGAGAGGGGUGGGGGAAGGGGGGAAGGGAGAGUUGCCCGCCCGUGCCGCGCUCGCACGUGCUGCCCUCUGCGUCCGACCCGCGCCCGGGGCCCGGGCGCGCUCGCACGUGCUGCCCCCUGCGACCGACCCGCGCCGGGCACCCGCUCGCGCCCCGGCUCCCUCCCGCGCGCCGCCCGUGCCCGCGUCCGAGCCCGCUCGCCCGCACCCGCUCGCACCUGCGCCCGCGCCCGCGAACAGGACACGAGCACUAGGGAGAGGGCGCGGGGGCCUGCGAGCCCUGUGGGGCGACAGGAGAAGGAGGCGGGGAGAGGGGCGCGGGAGUAAGAGAGAGAAGAAAAAGAGAGAGGGAGAGAGAGGCAGGGGAGGGGACAGGGAGAGGGGGAGGUCAGGGUAGGGUCCGACAAACACCCGAAAGGGGCGGAUCGAAGAGAGAAGGGAUCAGAGGAAGGACCACAGUAGAGGAGGAGGGAGCCGGGGAGGGGGGAGGAGAGGGAGGGAGAGAGCCGGGGGGGGCCUGCCAUGUGCGCGGGUCCCCUCUCGCGGGGGCACGCGGGCAGAGAGAGAGAGAGCCGGGGGGCUGCCAUGUGCGCGGUCCCCUCUCGCGGGGGCACGCGAGCAGAGAGAGAGAGAGAGAGGGGGGAAGUAGGGAUGCAAAUGGAUCCGGGUUGCUGGAGCUCCGCCCCGAUCCGCCCCGAAUGGGGUGAUAAGUGGGAACAAAAAAUAUAAAAAAAUAUAACUCGUCCCGAAUCCGCCCCGAUCCGCCAAGUAAACGGAGCGGGAGGUGGGAGACUCUUUUCUUCCUUCAAUCCGCCCCGAUCCGUCAAAAAUCCGGCUCCCGUCCCGAUCCGCCCCGAAUGGAGCGGUAAGUGGGAGCCAAAAAUAAAAUGAAAAGUAACUCGCCCCGAAUCCGCCCCGCCCCGAUAAGAAAUGGAGCGGGAGGUGGGGGAACUCUCCCGCCCCCGGAUCCGCCCCGUUUGCAUCCCUACGGGGAAGACAGAAAGAGAGAGAGUGAGAGAACCGAGAAGGAGAGGGUGUCGCUGAGAAGACGACGCGUGGCCAGUUUAGGAUUCGCCUUUUAUUAUAUGUAUUGAUGCCGGAAUUCAUAUUUUUACAUAUGGAAUAUGGGACUAUUUACUCCUAUAAUAAGUUGCUCAUUGUUACAAACCGCGUGGAAUUGACAAGUGAGCUGAAAGAUAAGAAUUAACCAACUAUAUAAUAAAAAAAUUUAAUCCGUUAAAUUUGGAAAAUAAGAAUUGAAUUUAGGGCCUCACAAAACAAAAAAGAGUACAGGAUAAAAGGGUUAAAAAUUAGGUUCCAUAUUUUAUUACCUAAAAAAUCAAUCUAGUAAAAAAUAGCCCAAAAUAAAUAAAUAAAUAAAUAUAUAUAUAUAUAUAUAUAUAUAUANNNNNNNNNNNNNNNNNNNNNNNNNNNNNNNNNNNNNNNNNNNNNNNNNNNNNNNNNNNNNNNNNNNNNNNNNNNNNNNNNNNNNNNNNNNNNNNNNNNNGAGAGAGGAAGGUGGGAGAUGGUGGCUGAGGCGGUGGCUGCCGGCCAGGGCUCGGUCGGCGGCGGCCGGGAGAGGCGCGGCGCACGAGGAGAAGGGGGUAGGGCGGCUAGGUUGGCUGGAGCUAGGUUUAGGGUUAGGGUUUCAUGGAAAACCCUAGAAGCCUAUAGAUACUUAAGGCGAUAAAUCGCGCAAAAGUCCCUCCAAACUCCAUAUAUAGUUUCGAGUCCCUCAUAGCUUGAAUAAAAUGCACGAAUACCCCUCCACGUGCAAUCUCGCGUAAAGCGGUACAUAAAAUGUCGCGACUUUUGCGAAAUUACCGUUUUGCCAUCGCCGACCUCUCCUCGAUCAACGUGCGAUCUCCGCAGAUCCGUCCGUCAGAUUUGCGAACGGAUUGCAUCAAUGCGGUCAGCACCACGGAGACAAUAAAGCUACCAUUUUGGUUCACCUCGAACGAUCACGGAUUCGCGACGAAAUCCGCUUUCUCUCCAAAAGGCCAAAAUGACGCACAAAUACAUAUAAAACACGUAUUUUAGGAUUUUCUCGAAAUCCGUGCGUCAAACUGAAAAUCCGUCAGCGCCAUUAGUCCCAGAACAGCUGAACCGGUCGAAACGAGCUAUAGGAUCGCUAUGAACGGAAUUCGAUACGCGCCGAAAGCCAACUCUACUCCAUGGCUUCUCCGAAAAACCGGAAUUACUAUUCACUUAAGUGAAAACUAAAAAUCGCGUAUCUUCUCCAUUUUAGCUCAUUUUCUCCUGAAACUUGAUGAGUGCUUAUGUAAUUAGGUUACACACAAAAACAUCGUCAACAGAGAGUUUAGUUGCACUGUAAAAAUCUCAGUCCCUACAUUAUCUCCCCCUUAAAAGAAGUUUCGUCCCCGAAACUUGACCACAUACCCACCGAAAUCGAAUUCGGAUAUUACUCCACCACUGUAAUAUCACCCUUGAGUACUGGUCAAUUACAUCCGGAUAUAUCAACUUCCGUAGAAAGGGGAAAAAAAAAUAGGACUGCGGUUCCACCUGGACAAAACGAGGGAAAACGUACUAACCCAAAAUCUACGGACCAUAACUCACCGGGAUCAACACUAUCCUAUAACCUGCGAACAAAGACAGUUCCGCGACUAGGAUUAUUCGAUCCCAAUUUGCCAAUUCUGAGAUAAUUAAUCAACAUUCUGAAAUUUAGGUCCGUUUUACCUUGGUCCGCAUAGCCGUAACCGACUCGACUACGUCGUAAGUUCACGUAGAAAAGUCACGAGACAACCAUUUAAUCUGGAGUCGAUUUACGUAGACUGAAACGAAAAACUCCGACUAUCCAACAACGUCAACCUGCUCAUCAUGAGCGAAAACGAAACGUUGUUCUAAGACCUGAGUCAAAACUCUCACCUUGGAGACCACAGUCUCCAGCAGUAACCACACAAACUGCCAAAAUCUCAUCAACUAAAGGUCACCUGCCACAAUCUAUAGCCCUAAGUUCAAGACCUCACUUUCCACCUGACCAAAAGGUCCAACUGACAAUACCAAUUGAGCUAGACAAUUUUGUCUCCUCAAACUUAAUCCGGUACCAACAGACCACUAAAUGCUCUUUGCAAGUCCAUCACUUGAUGCACAGGUUGCCAAUUGCAAAUGCGAUACUAACCAUCGGUGAUGCUCAUCACUGGUCUCCACAAGACCCUGUCGCUGUCGUCCUACCAUGGACCCUAGCGAUCGAUGUUCCCAGCAACACCCGAUUACAUGUCUCAUUGAGACCCAGGCGCCCCUGUCAUCAAAUGACUGGACAAGCAUGCUAACCCAAGGUUUGCACGAUAAGUCGAGCCGCAAACCUUAUACGUUAUCACAUACGGUGACAAUCAAAGCCGACAACCAUGCUCAAGUCACUCCACAAUUGUGAUUCUGAACCUCGCGACAACAAACCGAGACUACUACCCAAGAAACUCUUUUAGUCGCGGAAGGCACAACUAAAGAACUAACGAAUACUCAGACUCGAACUAGAGUCAAAACUAUCUAUAGAGAAAGGAAAUACCGACCCAAUCCCAGAGUCCCUAAAAGGGAAAAGGUAUUUCGUUCCACUUUCGACAGUACAUUGUCUGCAGCCAAUGUACUUAUAAAAAAAAAAGCGAAAUAUCCGAAAAUUCACUACCAACAACUAGUUGGAAGUGUGAGACACGUCGAAGUAUCAAGCCACUUGAUACCCCUUUACUGAACCCAUAAGUUCACCACUAAAAUCGUCGAAACUGCGACUUGCAAGUCGACAAUUGAAAACAGACCGACCACAAACCGACUCACUGGGAGUCGUAAAGCUUUCAACAUUCGAAAGCUACUAGCGACACUAAGCUGCACACCAUACCAACUGAGGCUCUAGAAAACGGUUUCUCUAACCGUUUUUCGCACCUCAACCGAGCUAUAGUCAAAGCUCCGAGAAUUCCUACAACAACCUGGAGUCUCUCGAAUCAAGACGAAAUCUAUCACCAACUACAAGUUAACCCACAACACACCAACUUGGGUGUUAGAAUAACUGCAUACGAUGUAUGCCUCAACGAAACAUGACAUCAAAACUGUGUCAAUCCGACUCUGGUAGGAAGGAUGAACGAGGUGAAGGUCGAAAGAUCCGAACCGCUAAUUCCAAUCAGCAAUCAAGGAGAAUAGGUAGGCAUCACAACCCUACCCAAAGAUCUGUGGAAGCAACACUAACAAUGCAGUCGCCUAAACGACCGCUAUCCAAACCCUGGGCUACACCCUAGUAGCUCCCACUGAAGUCGCGACCCUAACAGGUCAUAUUGCCGUCUCCGUAGAGACACUCGCAAUAGCUCUCGCGUCCUAAGAAGGAAGAGUGGCCCGGGCGUCGGCAGUUAAGAUACAUGCCUAGGCCCGAAGAUCACCUGGCCCUUCAAGGCCCAUCUGACAGGGGUGGCAACACCUGGGGAACAUCGCCCCACCACUCGAUGUCCGAAAAAGUACACCGCCACUACUUCCGACUUAGACACCAGUUGUGCGAACCGUAACACAUACAGAACCACCAUGCACUUCGAGUUUACCAAACUCGAAUGCACACUAGGACACAAGCCCAAACCCCGCACUCACGUGCCUAUACACCGUAGUCUUCCUAUUGGUCAACCUAACCAAUGGUUCAGUUUAUUUGGUUCAGUUUAUUUACUUUUCAAAACAACCUGUGAAUGGUGUUGUGGUUGUAACCUCGCUCUGAUACCACUUUAAUCUGUCACGCCCCGAGGGUCCCUUUAGGUUAAAAACACAGCGAAAAUUUUUUUUUUUUUUUUUGCAAACCUGACCCCAGGGUAUGCCAGAUCCACCACAAAUACAGGAAAUCUACUGUUCACAAGGACAGAGUCUCCCCUGUAUUUGCACGGCGUCGCACAAGUACAAGAGUAUAGCCAGGAAACAACCACAACCAAAUGAAUAUAAAGAUAACUAUACAUUCAUACAUUCACCAUUCACAUCACAGUUUUAGAUUCAGUGUUUAAAUAGAAAUUCACGAAAAUUCUUUUGAAAAUUGUUCCCUAUACGGAAACUUUUAUUCUUUAAAAACGCUACCACGAGGGGUAGAAAACCUUUUAUUUCACAAAAUCCAGAAAUCCAUUUAUUACAUUCACGAAAAUCCAUAUUUCCAAAUGUAAUAAAAAUACUGAACCAUAUAACUAUCUAAGCUAUAACAACUGAAAUAAUAAGGGUAAUAACUAUACCGAAAUAACCUGGGUCGGAAGCUCUAUCGACCGCUACACACGUACCUCACGUCUCGUCCCACUAUUCAUCGCCCGCGAUACCUGAAAAAAAUGGUGGGGGAGGUGAGAACAUGUAAACAUGUCUCCCCUCCCAGUGGGUACCGCAAGCCGAAGAAGGCGAGGAGUACUCACCGGAUCAGGAAGAGCUAUACAANNNNNNNNNNNNNNNNNNNNNNNNNNNNNNNNNNNNNNNNNNNNNNNNNNNNNNNNNNNNNNNNNNNNNNNNNNNNNNNNNNNNNNNNNNNNNNNNNNNNNNNNNNNNNNNNNNNNNNNNNNNNNNNNNNNNNNNNNNNNNNNNNNNNNNNNNNNNNNNNNNNNNNNNNNNNNNNNNNNNNNNNNNNNNNNNNNNNNNNNNNNNNNNNNNNNNNNNNNNNNNNNNNNNNNNNNNNNNNNNNNNNNNNNNNNNNNNNNNNNNNNNNNNNNNNNNNNNNNNNNNNNNNNNNNNNNNNNNNNNNNNNNNNNNNNNNNNNNNNNNNNNNNNNNNNNNNNNNNNNNNNNNNNNNNNNNNNNNNNNNNNNNNNNNNNNNNNNNNNNNNNNNNNNNNNNNNNNNNNNNNNNNNNNNNNNNNNNNNNNNNNNNNNNNNNNNNNNNNNNNNNNNNNNNNNNNNNNNNNNNNNNNNNNNNNNNNNNNNNNNNNNNNNNNNNNNNNNNNNNNNNNNNNNNNNNNNNNNNNNNNNNNNNNNNNNNNNNNNNNNNNNNNNNNNNNNNNNNNNNNNNNNNNNNNNNNNNNNNNNNNNNNNNNNNNNNNNNNNNNNNNNNNNNNNNNNNNNNNNNNNNNNNNNNNNNNNNNNNNNNNNNNNNNNNNNNNNNNNNNNNNNNNNNNNNNNNNNNNNNNNNNNNNNNNNNNNNNNNNNNNNNNNNNNNNNNNNNNNNNNNNNNNNNNNNNNNNNNNNNNNNNNNNNNNNNNNNNNNNNNNNNNNNNNNNNNNNNNNNNNNNNNNNNNNNNNNNNNNNNNNNNNNNNNNNNNNNNNNNNNNNNNNNNNNNNNNNNNNNNNNNNNNNNNNNNNNNNNNNNNNNNNNNNNNNNNNNNNNNNNNNNNNNNNNNNNNNNNNNNNNNNNNNNNNNNNNNNNNNNNNNNNNNNNNNNNNNNNNNNNNNNNNNNNNNNNNNNNNNNNNNNNNNNNNNNNNNNNNNNNNNNNNNNNNNNNNNNNNNNNNNNNNNNNNNNNNNNNNNNNNNNNNNNNNNNNNNNNNNNNNNNNNNNNNNNNNNNNNNNNNNNNNNNNNNNNNNNNNNNNNNNNNNNNNNNNNNNNNNNNNNNNNNNNNNNNNNNNNNNNNNNNNNNNNNNNNNNNNNNNNNNNNNUUUCAUCAUUUUUAAUCAUUGGAUUAAAUACUAUAACCUAGUGGGGACCACUCAACCCUAGGGGGACCAAUCAACUCUAACUAACCAAUAUUAUCCUAAUCCUACAAUUUCUUAUCCAAGUGUUACAAAUUUGAUGGCAAAAAGAGCGUUUUGCUAUAUAUCAAUAGUAUUCCGGCCUAAUUCUCUCUCUCUCUCUCUCUCUCUCUCUCUCUCUCUCUCUCUAUAUAUAUAUAUAUAUAUAUAGCAGGGCUGCUGUGCUCUCAGGAGCACGGAGCCCUCCGUGCUCCUGAGUCGUUUUCGAUGAUGGAAUUUCCGAAUCGACGAUCGGCUCCGUUAGACUUGAUCUAGCGUAUUUGAAGUUUUUAGAAAAUAAUUUUUGCAAUUUUUCGAUAUCAUUUACCUAGCAAUUGAAAGGAUUCGAAAUCAAUAAUUUUUAACGGCUGAAAAUAAAAAUCAUAUAAAAAGUGGUGAUAUAGCACUAAAAUUUUCGAUCAGAAAUAUUGAUCUUGUUGUAGAUAUAAUAAAAAAUUUUGUAUCAAAAUUUCAUCUGAUUUGAAUACUUCUNUGCAGGUAGAUGUUUUGUUUCGAAUUUAUGUACAUAGUUGACUUAACUCGCCAGUGCGAGUAGCUCUGUAUUUUGGAUCUGAACUAUGUAUAUGAAACUCUAUUUUAUUUAGCUUCAGUUUUCUCUAGCAGCUCUCUACUACUGUUCGUAGUAGUGUUUGAUUUACAGGUACAGCUAUUGCUUCGUAUACAGGAAAAAUUUCUUUGUAUACGGCGGAUCUGUCGGCGUGCCCGGGGAACGUGUAAUCCGGGGCGUGACAAUUUAACCUAUAGUUAACUAAAAUUUUCUAAUCGAUUCUAACGACAGAAGCAUAUUUGAAAAUAUCAGGAUUUUUAAAAAAACAACAUAUAAAAAUUAAAUUUUAUAAAAAUAUAUCUAUAAUUUACUAUAUUUGUAUGGAUCUGUAUGCAAUUAACCUUAUAUGCAAUUGGCACUUUGUUUUAUAUCACGGUGCUGUGUUGUGCUGGAAAAGUGACAAAAUCGGCGCACCGCUAGCGAGUCAAGCGACCGCUUCGACUCGCGAGUCACAACCCGGCGCGGGCCACGUCCACUCAGUGGCAUUUUCGUAAUAAAACCCAACAGUUACGGGUCAAAGAAGCCUAACGUGUCGGAUCGUUCACGACCAUGUGGGGCGGGUCCGCUUUCUCCGGCCCAAACAAAUCCAAUAAUUUAUCAUCUUUUAUGCAAAACCCCUCGAACAAAUCCGGUAUUUUAACUCCCCGGACAAAAUACCCAACAGUGAACAACUAAUACCACCAUUUAUUUUUAUUACAUAAUAAUAGUGUUUUUACUCUCUCAGGUGUCGGAGAGUGAUUUUUUCCGUUUUAUUCGGCGAAAAUGCGUGGAUACACCCUCAACUAUGGGAAUCCGUGAAAUGAGGGCCUCAACUUUAUUUCUUUUAAUUAAAUUCUCCUUAAUUUUUAGACUAAAUUACAUAAAAUCUCCUGUAAAAAUUCGAUUUUUUACUUUUCCUUCUGUCAUUUAAAAACCUACACUUUGUCUCCUUAGAAAAUAAAAAAUUUUCACAGGAGGGUAUGGUGUGUAAAAUGACCAUUUUGUCCCUCAUCAUUUUGAUCUCCUCCAUCAUCUUCCUCAACCGCCACCUCCAUCGGCCACGAUUCACACCUCGAUCGGCCGCGAUUUCUUUUCAUUUUCUUCUCCACCCGCUCCCAUUCUCCUGCUGCACCCUCGUCGCCCCUCGAUUUCGGCAACAGUAGAGAGGAAAUCGAGGUGGGCGUUGAUGGAGAGGUAGGUAAGGGCAACGAGGGAGAAGGCGAGGCGUCGGAGAAGGGCGAAGGAGAUGUGGGCGAGGGUGAGGCAGUGGAGGCGGCAAGGCAGCGAGGCGGCGAGCAGGAGGAAGGCGAAGCAACAGGGAAGAGGGCGGAGGGAUAUUUUUGACAUAAAAAAAUAUUUUAUAAGGAAACCCUAACGGUAGAGUGUGAAGUGCACAUUUUUUAUUUUACAAGGGGGCAAAAUGUAGGUUUUUAAAUGACAGGGGGAAGUAAAAAAUCGAAUUUUAACAGGAGAGUUUUCUGUAAUUUAGCCUAAUUUUUAAUAUUUUGAAAUUGUGUAAAUUAACUUACUUAUAUAAAUUAAAAUUUUAUCAAACUUAAUAUCUUUAAUAUUUUUUACAAAUAGAAUUAGCUCAGUGAGUAUGUCUUGUUUGCUACUAGGAGCACGGAGGCUUCCGUGCUCCUAAGAAGUUUUCGAUGAUGGAGCUUUCGAAUUGACAAUCGACUCCGUUAGACUUGAUCUAACAUAUUUGAAGUAUCUAGAAAAUAAAUUUUACAAUUUUUCGAUACAUUUACCUAGAGAUCGAAAGGAUUUAAAAUCAAUAAUUUUUAAUGGUUGAUAUAUACCGUUUGCAAGUUUAACGGUGUAGAAGUAUUCAAAUCAGAUGAAAUUUUUCUAGAAAAUUCUUUAUACUAUUUACAGCAAGAUAAAUAUCUCUGAUAAAAAAUUUUAGUGUUAUAUCACUACUUUUUGUGAGAUUUUUAUUCUCAGCCGUUGAUUUUGAACCCUUUCGAUCGCUAGGUAAAUGAUAUCGAAAAUUCGCAAAAUUUAUUUUCUAGAUAUUUCAAAUACUUUAGAUCAAGUUAAACGGAGCCGAUCGUCGAUUCGAAAGCUCCAUCAUCGAAAACGGCUUAGGAGCACGGAGGCCUCCGUGCUCUUGAUAGCACACAAGACCUACUCUUAGCUGUUAAAUAUUAAUAACUAAUAAAGUAUUGAACUCUAUGUACUUUUAUUUAUUUCUAAUGACGGAACAUCAACUUCAUUUAAUAUAACUUAUAUUAUUAAAAUACUCGAGUAUCUCAACUUUACCAAUUUUUAUUUAUAUUAUUUGUCGAGUGAUUUGAAAAUUUUAAAAAUUAACAAAUUUAAUAUUCAAUGUAAUGCAUCUAUAAAUUUAAUGAUGUAAAAUAAUACAAAUUCUAUAAAAUUUUAUUUUAUCUAAAAUUAUAAUCUUUUAUUAUUUUAUAAGAUUUUUAUUAUUAGUCGUUUAUUUUGAGACAAGUUGAUCAUUCAGUGAGUGAUAUUAAAAAAUUAUAUAAUUUAAUUUCUAAAUACUCUAACAAUAUCGAUAAAGCCUAAUGCAGCUAAUUAUCAAUUUAGAAGUUCUACAAUAUUAAAAAAAUAGAAGUGGUCCAACUCAACUCAUAAUAAAAUUAUUAUAUUUGAUAAAAUAAAUAGUUAGGGGUCUUAAUAAUAAAAGAAGGAAAUAAUAGUUAGGAGCGUAUUUAAAAUUGCUGUAGUUGGGGGGGUCACCGUACAUUUUUACAGUUUUAUUUUAACCCGCUACGGUCUCUUUCAUGUCGCUACGAAGCCGAAGACGAAGAGAAGAAAGAGAGGGGGGGAGAGAAGAAGAAGAGGAAGAGGAAGAGGAAGGAGAAGGAGAAAGAGAAGCUCAAACCCUAGCUCUUCCGAAACCCCAACCACCUUGGCCGCGUUCUCGAUUCUCCGGCGACUUAUCCGGCCACCGGAGUCCAUUCAAAGGUCCCUCAUCUCCUCCAUCGCGUCGUCCUCGCCGGGAUCUUCGAUUCGAGCUCAGAUGCGUGGGUUGUGGUUAGGGUUAGGGCUUUUGCGGGUGGUAUUGGUGUAAUGGGGUCGACAAUGGGAGCUGAAUAGUAUAUUCGGGAUACUCUUGCAUCCGAGGCUUCUUACCACGGGGGAAAAGGGGGUCCUUUUUUGGGGAGGCGCCUUUUUUGAAGUGCAUUGCUGGGAAUCUCUAAAGGAUCUCGGCGUGCGCCUUAUAAAAGCGAAGGGGAUUGGGAAAGGAGAAGGAGAGAGAGAGGAGGUUGGAGGAGGAGGGAAGCUUCGGAACGGCUCCAAUGAAGGCUCCGGCAGCGAAUGGUCUUGCUCCGAACGGAGUGGAAGGUAAAUCCUUUCUACGUGUGCUAUAUUUUUGAAUUUGAGAUUUUGAGUGAUUCAACAACAAUAUGCCCUGUUUCUACAAUCUAAUACGCCCCUCGAUUUGGUUUAAGUAAUGUUGAUUUUGGAUUAUUGGGUAUCCUAAGCAAAGAUCGUGAAGUUAGAUUAUGGUUUUGUGAUUCCUUUUAAGAUACAUUAGGUAAUUAAUUUCGAUGAUUAUUAUGAGGAUUUAUGGAGCCCUGGGCCUGUAUUCCUUUCAUUAGCUUCUGAUUGCAGGGUAAAAACUGUGACUUUAGGUAAUUUUAGGUAUUGGGUUCUUUGGAUUUGCUAUUUCAGGGAAAAAUAUGAAUUGUAUCUGGUCUUGGUCAUUUUAAUGUUACAGUUUGUCUUAUUUGUCUUUGGGUACAGGUAUAUGAUUCAAUAGUUCUUCCUGUUUAAGUCAAACUACUAUGCUACUUGUUAGCUUCAAUUUCUAAACAUAUCAUGCACCCAGUGAUUAGUCUGAUCCACAGAGACUGAAUUGUUUAAUCUCACCAUUCCUUUCUGAUGGAAAUACACAAACCCCUGCAUUUCGAUGUAAUAUGACUUAACGUUGAUGAUCUGAGUUGGGUAUUCAUAAAUACUUGGAUCUUUCUUGUUAAAGUUUUGGUACCUUGCACCAUUCUUAAUGUUGCUAACUGAAAAGGGUGUUUGCAAAAGCAGGAGAGAGAAAAAACAUGAACUCAGAGUUAUGGCAUGCUUGUGCUGGACCGCUUGUUUCGAUGCCACCGGUUGGCAGCCUGGUGGUCUACUUUCCUCAAGGCCAUAGUGAGCAGGUGGUAUUCUCUUUUCCUCUAACUGUUUUGAGAUUCUAUUUGAUAUUCUCUUCCCUUUUUUCCUUUUUUUUCCCUGAAAUUUGUCCUUUUGUAUGGAUGAAUAUCAGGUAGCAGCCUCAAUGCAUAAGGAGAUGGAUAGUACUCCAAGUUAUCCCUCACUGCCAUCUAAGCUAAUCUGCAUGCUUCAUGAUGUAACCUUGCAUGUAUGGCUCUUUAAGAGUGACCCUUUCCAUUAUCUAGUACUUACUGCAUGUUUGGCUCGACGCCUAUACUUGCUUCUCUACUCUGAAACAGGCAGCUAGGCAUUGAAAUGUGCUUUGAAUGUGGCAAGAAGUUGAAAUGUGCUUUGAAUGUGGCAAGACGUUGAAAUGUGCUUUAAGCCUCAAAAAUAGAAGCUCCAAUUUAAAGUUUCUGUUUUUUCUUUUUCCUUUGAAAUUAGAGCGAAGCUGUUGGGGAGGUUUUCAAUGAAGAAUUUUUUUGUUUCCAAACAACUUUACCUCAAUACCACUUCUGCAAAAGCUCUAGCUAGGUCAAACAAGCUCCUAAUGUGAUGUACUAAUGGGUGUUCUUUUAAUUAGGCUGAUUCGGAAACUGAUGAAGUUUAUGCUCAGAUGACUCUUCAGCCUGUUAAUAAAGUAGGUCAGCAAAUCACAUUUCCUUAUCUUUUCCUUCAUUGAAGUUCUAUUCUUGAUACAAGUCUAAUGUAGUAUGAUAGGGAAGCAAUGCUGGCAUCUGAAAUGGGCCUCAAACAAAACAAGCAACCGACCGAGUUUUUCUGUAAAACACUUACAGCGAGUGAUACGAGCACUCAUGGUGGAUUUUCAGUACCCCGUCGUGCAGCUGAAAAGAUAUUUCCACCAUUAGUAUGUCCAGUUUUUUGCUUGAUUUUGAGUAUUGUAUACUUUUUCUGUUUACCAAUUUACUAGGAUAAUAUGUCCUACAGGACUUUACAAUGCAACCGCCAGCUCAAGAAUUGGUUGCCAAGGAUUUGCAUGAUGUUUCAUGGACGUUUCGACAUAUCUAUCGAGGUAUGUUAUUAUUAUCUCCAUAUGUCUUAAUUGUAAUGAAUUUUCCGAGUGUGUAAUUUUUAUUAUAUGAACUUCUCGUUAAUAUGCUUAUCUAACUUGUUUUAGGGGUAAUAUGUAGUUUCCCACUUCUCUUGUAAACAGUAAAUUUUAUCUCUACAAUCAGAUGACUGUUUGAGAGCAUUUUUUUGUCUCUCUCUUUGCUUACAUUUUAUCUACAAGUAAAUCCUUUAUGAUGUUUGCUUGUGCUGUUAGAUAAAUGCUUACUUAAGGUAGUAACAAAUAAUUAUAGAAUACUUUUGAGGAUCAGUAUUGGUUUGCGAGUUUGAAGUUACAAGUGUCUGGUAUAACUCUGCUUACAUUUUAAAUACUUGGUGUUUUUCCCUGAGAAAAAAUGCAGGUCAACCAAAGAGACAUCUUCUCACUACAGGUUGGAGUGUGUUUGUUAGCACAAAACGGCUUUUGGCUGGUGACUCUGUUCUCUUUAUUAGGUUUGUUUACUAUAUUCGAACCUUCAGUGCUUUUGCUCACCCCAUAAAGUUAAAUGUGAGUAAUUCUAUGUUUGUUUCUUUAGAGACGAGAAGUCACAGCUACUGUUAGGUAUAAGGCGUGCCAAUAGACAACAGCCUGCACUAUCUUCUUCAGUCUUAUCAAGUGAUAGCAUGCAUAUUGGGAUCCUUGCUGCUGCAGCACAUGCAGCUGCAAAUAACAGUCCUUUUACUAUAUUCUAUAAUCCAAGGUAAUGUCAUCUUUUACUACUUUUCAAUUUGCAUCUUUAAUGUGAUUAUCUCACUAAAGGAAUAUUUGUUCUUAAUAGGGCGAGCCCUUCAGAAUUUGUCAUCCCGUUAGCCAAAUAUAAUAAGGCCCUGUACACACAGGUGUCUCUUGGCAUGCGAUUUAGGAUGUUAUUCGAGACUGAGGAUUCAGGGGUCCGUAGAUAUAUGGGCACAAUCACGGGAAUAAGUGAUUUAGAUCCGGUGCGGUGGAAGAAUUCACAAUGGCGUAACCUUCAGGUGGAUGAAUGGACUAACCUAAAUUUACUUUCACAGGAGAAUUUGGGAUCUUUCUUUCUUUUUUUAAAAAAAUUCUAUUGAGAAAAAGUUACAAAAUGCAAAACUAGUCCCUGUCACAUGAGUAAUGGUAGUCGUUAAGAGAUGUUUUAUUGUAUCUAUCUAAUAUUCAAGAUUACACAGGUUGGGUGGGAUGAAUCAACAGCGACUGAGCGGCGGACCCGCGUAUCUAUAUGGGAGAUAGAACCUGUUGCAACUCCUUUUUAUAUUUGCUCGCCACCAUUUUUUAGGCCCAAGUUUCCUCAUCAACCAGGGAUACAAGGUACAAUGAGUCUGUAUCUUCUUAAUAUAAAUUACAUGCUAUGUUUUAUCAACUCAAUCAUGUUAUAAUUGUAUGACAACUAAUGAUGAUUUUUUCUUGUUUGUUUACUAUUUCAUUUUUAGCAUUAUUGACUGACGCUGACUCGUUAAUUCGUAGAUGAUGGGGCUGAAGUGGAGAAUGCUUUUAGAAGAGUUAUGCCGUGGCUUGCGGAUGAUUUUGGCUUGAAAGAUCCGAACCCAAUCUUUCCCGGCCUAAGUCUAGUCCAAUGGAUGGCCAUGCAACAAAACUCCCAGCUAGUCCCAUCAGCUACUCAGACACCGUACUUGCCAUCCGUAACUGCAUCGGCUUUGCCAAAUCCUCUCCCCACUGAUGAUCCAACCAAAAUGCUAAAUUUCAAUACGUCCUCCUUAGCUUUGCCCAAUUUACAGUUUGGUCCAAAAUUAAAUCCUCAAACAGAAUCUCAGCAACAGACUCAACCUCUGCAGCAAACUUCUCUUCCUCUACAGGCACCGCCAGUGCAACAUAGCUCUAGCCAAUUAAACCAACAAGAGAAACAACAGAAACAGGAGCAGAUUCAGCCGAUACAAUCGCCACAGAAGCAAUUACUAAAGCCUUUGGGUGGCCAAAUUUCACCUCAAGCUCAGCUAUUGAACCAAAUGUCACAGCCGCCAUCGUCUCUUUUGCCACAGCAAGGGUUAAACCCACAAAGCACUCACCUCCAAGGAGGCUUCCCUCUACCCAAUAUUAGCUCUCUUCAACCUAAUGUUAUCCCUCUUCAACAAUCACCUUUAACUCAAAUUCAGUCUCAACAGCCAAUGGACUAUCAGCAAGCUCUAUUACAGAAGCAGCAGGAGCAGCUUCAGCAGCUGCAGCUACUGCAAAAGCUUCAGCAGCAACAAGUGCUUUCUCAGCUGGGCCCACAGCUACAGUCUCAGUUGCUGCAGCAGUUAACUCAGCAGAACCAGCAGUUUCAGCCGCAGCAGCUUUUGCAACAGCCGUUGAGUAGCACUGAUAUUGUACAAACCCAACUUAAGCAACAGCACCAAGCGUCUUUGAGCAAUAUCAUGAAUUUGCCUAAUCCUCAACUACCUGUUGUUAGGAAUCAACCUAAUCUAUAUGAGAAUAGUGCCCCAUCUUGCUCCAUCCCGCCUUCCACUAACUGUAACAUUUCUCCUUCGAACUUGCUGAGUAGAACCCAGCAAGGGCCUGCGGAGAAUUCUCUUCAAGAGAUUCAGAGUAAGCCAGGUGCUCGAGUUAAGCAUGGGAUGAUGCAUGGAAAGGAAAAAAUCAUGCAGAUGCCAAAUAGGAAUUCUAUUGCCGAUCAGUUAGAUGCUUCUUCAACAACUUCAUUCUGCAUGGAUGGUAGCCAACAUGACUUCUCGCUUCCCCCUCUCCCUAUGGAGGGUGAUAUUCAAGUGGAUAAUAGAGAUAACCUACUUAAUGGGGCAAAUAUGAAUGGGUUCAUGUCCAGUAACCUGAUGUCACGAGGGGUGGGGUCAGGAAAGGAUAUUCAGAAUUUGCAACCUGGAUAUGGGAAUCAAAGAGAGGUUGAGACGGAGGUUUCCACUGCAGACAUGAGUGCACAGUCAUUCGGCAUGGGAGGCAUGUCUUUUAAGUCUGGAUUCUCAGGUGAUGCUGCCGUUGCUGAGGCUGGAAUGUCUAACAGGGGUUUGUGGAGUAAUCAACCACAGCCACAGCGCAUGAGAACGUACACUAAGGUUUGUUUGAUUUCUACAUUUUUAUUGGAACUAAAUAGCAUGUUAUGAAUUGUUGGUAGCUUAAAUUCUAAGAGGGGCACAACAUUUAGAAGAGAUUGGUGAAAACAUUCUUUUUUGGGGUUGCUACAUAAAAUCUAGUUGAUUUUACUAAAUGAUAAGAGUCAGAUGUAGUUAGACAGACGGCAAAUGACAAACUAGAUCUCUAAUUACAUGAUGUGUGCCUUUUAUUUAUGGGAAAAUUCAGAUACUCCCCUUGUCUAGCUCAAUUCAACUUUGUCACCUCAUUCUUUGGACUAUAACAUGAUGCAAGCUGGGAUCAUUUUUCUAGUUACUCUUCGGUGGCAACAUGAGUUGAUGUUACGGUCUUAGUCAAGAGGUGUUUGGAUGGAGUAAGGUUUCCAUUCCUUUACUGUUAAAGUAGUAAAGACAGGGAGAAGGUCAUUUAGCAUGUUACUUGUAUAGUUGUGUGGCGUUCUGCAGGCGAGCAAAGAGAUUAAGCGUAAUUUAGGCAUUUUACUCCGUGAUUUUCCAUUCAUUUACUCUGAUUGUUUGAUACUCUGAUAAUGACUUACGAUUCUUUCGACCUGAAGGUUCAAAAGCGCGGUUCAGUAGGAAGGUCAAUCGACAUGACCCGUUACAGAGGAUACGAUGAGCUCCGACAUGAUCUAGCGUGUAUGUUUGGAAUUCAAGGUCAACUAGAAGAUCCAUACAGGACCGAGUGGAAACUGGUGUACAUGGAUCACGAGAAUGACAUCCUUCUUGUCGGUGACGACCCUUGGGAGUAUGCGCUCUUCUUUCUGCUUCAUCUUAGUCCGAAGUUUUUCACUGUUCCUUAUGCUAAGUUCCUUUUACCUUGUAUCAUUGUUUAGGGAGUUUGUGACUUGUGUACAAAGCAUCAGGAUUUUAUCAUCUGCAGAAGUGCAGCAGAUGAGUUUGGAUGGCGAGUUGGCCAACAUCCCACCGCAAGCCCAAGCAUGUAGCGGGACGGAUAAUGGGAAUAUGUGGUACGAUGAUACCUCGACCGGGUCUUUUCAUCGAUGAUCGCGAAGUAAAUACGAGUAAUAAGAUGGUAACAAUUUGAAAGGCUCUGCACAGAGAGAUAAAAGAGUUGGGUGCAUAUGAAUUUAAGGGGAUUAGACUAGACUACGAGCAAUCUACAUGCUUUUAUAGUGGAAUGAGCAAGCAGACUGCAGGUUUUCUUGUGGGGAAUGGGAAAUCUUCGCAUCUGUAGCUAAAGCAACUUUGAUGUUGGUUUGUGAGCUAGUUUUUUUUUUUUAUCUCUUUUUCCUCUUUUUAAUUGUGAAUGUCCCAUAGCAGAAAUUCCUAUCUGUUGUAAUUUUACCAUACGUUACUGUACAUAUAAAGUGGAGCUUAUUUUUCUAUCUCUGGUGGUUUUUAACAGUAACACGCAAUAAACUAGCUCUUGUUUAGUCUCUUUUGAACUGAGGUUUGUUUGUACACCUUUAUCAUGUGUAUUGAUAGUGCUGCACCACAUUGCUUGAAAAUACAGCUAUUUGAAGAAGUACUUAAUAUUUUCGCAAAAAUCUUUCUAAUAAAAACAUAAGUAGAUUGCAGCUUCUGCUUUUAGUAUUUAGAAACUUAGCAUCCUGAAGACAUUUUAAGAAUUUUUAAAAGCUAAUUCUCAAACCAGUGCUGUUCUCCAAAAAAAAAGAAAAAAAAGGCCUAAACCUGAGAUCCUGCUCUAGGGUCAGUAGAAUCAAGAGACAAAAGAAAGAGCUGAAGAGAAGCUCGAACACAAUUGCGUUCACAUUUUAUUGAUCUAAAAAACUUCAAUUGAGAGGCCUUUGGAAAAAAAAAUGUUAGGAGAAACUCCAAUUAGUCUCACCGUGGUUUAGUGUAUUUUUACUUCAAUAUUUUGUGGUUUGAAAAGUUUUAUUUCACUACCAUAUGUUUUUAUUUUUCUUUCAUUGUAAGAACCAACCGUUGAAUAAGAUAAUGAAGUGAUACACUUUAGGGUAAAAAUGUACAUAACAAGAAAGAGAUUUACAAUAAUGAACUAAAAAAAACUGAAUUAACAAUCAAGAGACUUUAGAGUUUCAAAUAUUAAUCUAUUCAAAUAAACACAAUAAUAUGAAUGAAAUUUUAAAUAACAAAUGAAAGAUCCAAUGCUCGAAAAAGAAGGUUUUCAGAUGUUGAAACAUUAAUUGAUAAUUUACAAUUAGAUGGGAUCAAAAUUAGAAAUAAAAAUAAAGUUCGCUCUCUCUUAGGCGUUUUAUCGAACAUACAACGGGCAUCACAAAAAUGUGUAGAAUGUGCGAAAUUUACACAACUAAAUUUUAUGGAGGUUACAAGAUAUAAAAUUAGACAGUUCAAAAGACAAAAUUAAGAUCAUAAUGAAUUAGAUUUUGAUGGUUUUAAAUUUCAAUCAUCAUGAGAUGAGUAUUCAAAAUAAUAAUAUAAUGAUGAAUAAGAAGGUUGGAUGAUCUCAAGAUUUGGUAUAGAGACGAAAAUGAGAAAAAAAAAAAAUAGAAAACCUUCUCAAAGAUGGUAACAACGACGAUGGGGUGCCAUCGAUGACGAACAAAAAAUGUCGACAGAUGAGAUGUACGGCAGCGGCGGCCACGGAUGACGAUGACGGCGACGUUGAUCAAGCGGCGUCGUGCGCACAUGCGGAGUGAAUGGAAGGCCGUACGGACGUGAGGGGGAGAGGGAGUCGAGCGAGAGAAAAAAAAAGUAGGUUGGUUAGGGUGCUGUUAGGAAUGAAAAUUAAAAUAGAAUUAGGAAUUUAAAUGCACAGUAUACUGUCAAGUCCCUCAAAAAUUAAUAUUUAUAAAAAUGUCCACAAUUUUAAAAAAAAAAUAGAGCAAAAUAAAAGGAAUAAAGUGCAUGGUGUUACAGUUAAAAGGUGAAUGCUCAACUAGGCUGGAGGCCUCUUUGCAAUUUCUUUAAGUUGGCCCCUUUAGAAUAGUUUUAUACACUAGAUCUUUCUAUAUAUACACCAGGUAUUACUUUCUCUUUCUUUUAUACACUUGGUCCCACCUCUCACCUUCUCUCUUUCUUUCCUCUCUCUACCCUCUCUCCUGUCCAAAACCCGCCGACUCUCAUUGCUGCAGCUGCUAUUUCCGUCCUUCGCAUAGUACGAAGGACGAAAAUAGCAGUGCAAAGGAUUCUUUCUCCGUUCCCAAAACCCUAGCUUUCGAAUCCUGCCCCUCCCAUUCGAAACCCUAGCUCCUUGGAUUGGGGAGAAUGUUGGUGGCCAUGGUGCUCUCUACCUUCUCUUUGAGUCGACGACAGGGUAUUCGCUCUUCGAGGCGUACGACCUUGACGAGAUCGGCCAAAACACCUAGGCCGUGUGCACUCCGUCCUCGACCGACUUCACGCACUUCAGCAAGGUCAUCAAAUUCGUCGACUUCCACCCCUUCGACUCCGUCCUCUUUGAAUGCAUUGCAUGAUGCACCUCCAAAAUUAUAACCAGUGCAACGGCAUACAUAUUGGUUUUUUUUUUUUUUUUGUUAUUUCCUCCCUGUUGGAUAAAAUCAAUUAAAUAUUCAAAAAUAUAAAUCGCAAAAAACUCAUAGAUUUUUACAUACCUCUUUAUGAUACGGAAUUAAUGUUGUGACUAUCAGGAUCUGAUCUCGUCUUAUUUUACGAACUUGUUGAUCCGCCAACGUCCUGUCUCAAUUUGUUGCACGUUGUUCUUACUCGUUGCAAUCCGGCUACUAGAGUCGAUCGCCGUACACGGCCCAAAUCCCUAGGGUUUAUGAUGGUGCCCUAGAGCGAACCAAAGAGAGAAUUUUUGUGGAGAGAUGAUUCUUAUUAUUUUUGUUGUCUUGUAUGUGGUCAAUACCUCAUGUAUUUAUAGGCCAUCAGGGAGAUAUUAAUCCUAAUCAUAUUCUAACUAAAUCUCAUAUAGAUAGAGAUUUAAACAGAUUAGGAUUUAUCUGUUAGAUUUAUUUCUUAUUCCAAGUAGACUAGAAAUAUAACAGAUAAUUAUAAAUAUUUAUUUCUUAUCCCAUAUGGAUUAGAAAUAUUUUAAAUAAGUCCCAAUGUGGACGAAUCCUAACACUCCCCAUAUUAGGUUCAUGGUGGGAAACAUAGAAUUCUUAAGGAAAGAAAAAAAAAAAAAAUUAAAGAAAACUUCAAAAAAGAUGUCAGGUUCCGAAAUCUAAUAAAUGACAAAUUUUGAAACCUACGCAAAUGCAAGGAAUGUUAGUGGUUUGCGUUCUGAGGAACUAGGAAGCUAGUUAAGAAACCUAAAAUGUUUUAUUUGCUAGCUAGGAAAUUGGGUUGAAAUGAUUCCUUUCUAAGGACCUGAAAGGACAAUAGGUUGCAUCAGGUUGUGCAUGAUUUGAAUUGGGUUAAACUGGAAUUUUGAUUUGAUUUGGGUCUCAAGUUAGGUCUGGGCAUUGAUUUGGUUAAUAUGGUUUAGGUUUCACAUAAACUUGGGCCAAUUCAGAUUAAAUAAUUGGGUCAGGUUUAUAUUUGGUCUUUGACAUGAACUUGGGCCCAUUCGGAGAUAUAAUUGGCUUGGGUUCAGAUUUAGAUUUUUUUUGUCCAAACUUGGGCCCAUAUAACUCAGGUUUGGGUUGGGCUUAGGUGUGGGGUUUAGUAUGAGCUCUCAUAGUUUAAAAGUAAGAUAUAGAUUGGCUAUUGGAUAUAGGCUUGGGUUGAAAUCAGGCCCAUAUAGUUUGGGUUUAGAAUCAAGCGUGGGUUAGACUUAAACUAUAUUGGGGCUCGGGCUCAAUGUGGGCUAGAAUAGUUCAACUUAAGGUUCGAAUUGACUGUGGAUCUGAGCUUGGGCCAGAUUUCGGCCCAUGUAGUUUGGAUUUAGCUUUGGAUAUGGGUGCAGGCUCGGUUUAGGCCCAUAUGGUGUAGCUAAUGCUUUGAAUUGUGUUCACAUGGCUAAAGUUUAGACUUAUAUUAUAAAGUCAGACUUUUUUGAUGCAUCAAUUUAGGUUUGGGUUCAUAAGGUUAAGAUUAGGCCUGUCCGGAAUUGAUAUUUCGAUCUAUGAACAUUCAAUCUUGAGAUUUAAAUUGAAGACUUCAAAUUUAUGUUUUGAUGUCUUCUUAACAUAAAUUUCAAAACAAUAAUAAUAAUUUUCAACUCUUAAUUUUAAUUAAUAAGUCUAUAUACACCUUUUUAAAGAAGUUCAAAAUAAUUUCAAAUUUUGAUUUUUUUGACCACAAUUAAAUAGAAUGAAAGAACUUACACGGAAUGAGUGUGGAUAUAGCUUAUAUGAAUGUGACAUUCGCCUCCCCAUUGUAAGCAUUAGAUACCACUUAGAAAUAUAACUAUUCUACUUCUCUGUUGAUGCUGAUGAUAUAUUUGAGAAUGGUUGACAUUUUUUGCUUCCGCCAAUAGCUAAGUGCUGGCGGAUAAAACUCUGCCAUUGUUGUCGAUGUAUGAAUAGGUGGAAACCGUUCUUCUCUUCCGCCGACGGCUAAGCGCCAAGCGGAAGAUCGAUGGCUUCACACUGCCGUGAUUGGCAAUGCGUCGUCGCUUUUGCCGACGGCCAAGCACUGAUGGAUCAAACUCUGCCAUUGUUGUUGAUGCAUGGAUGGGUGGAGACCGUUUUUCUCUUUCGCCGACGGCUAAGCGCCAAGCAGAAGAUCAUCGGCUUCUAUUUUUUCUGUCGUGAUUGCCGAUGCGCCGUUACUUCCGCCGACGGCUAAGCACCGACGGAUAAAACUCCGCCAUUGUUGUCAAUGUAUGAAUGGAUGGAGAUCGUUCUUCUCUUUCGCCGAUGGCUAAGCGCCAAACGGAAGAUCAUCGGUUUCGCAUCUCCUCUGUCGUGAUUGCCGAUGCGCUGUUACUUCUGCCAACGGCUAAGCAUUGAUGGAUAAAGCUCCGCCAUUGUUGUUGAUGUAUGGAUGGAUAGAGGCCGUUCUUCUCUUCCGCCGAUGGCUAAACGCCAAGCGGAAGAUCAUCGACUUCUAUCUUCUCCGUCGUGGUUGCUGAUGCGCCGUUAAUUGAUGUAGAUAAGAGAGGACCUAAGUAUUGGGAAGAAAAAAAUUGUAAUUCAUAUUUUUUAAUAAAAUUUUUACCUGUUUUGAACAAACUUUUCUCUCUCUUUCUUUUGUUUUUCUUCUCUAUGCAACAAUGAAAUGCUGUGCUGUAAACCUAACCGGAUGUUCAACUGUUUAAGUGUGCACAUAAUAGGAUCCACUAUCCUGAUCAUAUUACUGUGGUUGCCAAAAUCGCACCCUUNUUUUUUUUUUUUUUUUUUUUUUUUUUUUUUUUUUUUUUUUUUUUUUCUCCAACCGUCUCUAAAAAUUCUCCCUUUUUAUCACGUCUUUCCUUUUAAAUAGAUUUUCUUAUUAGUGGACAUGUGGAAAGCUUUUUUUUUUUUUCUUGUAUGUGGUAGGUGAGUGGGUGAAAAUAUCACCUUUCCUCUCUCUGAAAAGAUUUUUUAAAAAUAAUAAUAAUAAUAAUAAAUAAAUAAAAUAAAAUAAAUAAAAUAUAGGUCCAAUGUAGGGAGAUAUGAUAUGGCUAGUGUGGCCCAUAUCCUUUUAAAAAGAAGAUAGGGUAGGAUCUCAACUAACUUCUUUCUUUUUUUCUUUUUUUCUUUUUUUUGAAUUGUGCCCCCAUUUCUCUUGAAUGUAAGAGAGAGAAAGAGAAAAAAAAAUAUUAUCGAAGCCCACAUCUCUCUUUAAGAUCAAUAUGGAAAUAUAUUUGGCCUGAGUUUAAGUUUGGGCUUAGGCUCGGAAUUGGACUUGAAUGAAUUGAAUUUAAUCCAGCUACAUUUUAAUUCAAAAUUUUAAAGUCAAUAUGUUUCUCUUUUUUUUUUAUUACACUCAAACAAGGCCAUAACUCAGUGCAUCAUAUCCUUAAUUGUAUUUUUUUUUUUUUUUUUUUUUUUUUUUUUUUUUUUGAGAGUGAGAUAGGUAGCACGCUACCCGCUUCGUUUAUUUCAUUUAGAAAUAAACUUAGCUAGAAAUGUGAAUCAACAAGGAUUCGAACUUGGGUCUCGGGUACCAACCAUCAUAUCCUUAAUUGUCACACCCAAUAAUUUCAUAUCGGAUAGAAGUAGGGAUAUGAUUGGGUAUAUAAGAGACUUAGACAAUAGUAAUAAUCACUGGGCUUAAAUGUUUUGCACCGGUGGUUGGGCCUAAUGAUUUAUUGUUGCUAGUCGGUUGAAUCGUUAUAUUUGGUAUCCGAGCCAAUUACCAGUCGGAAGUGUGUGGCACCUCUCGGCUGAGCCAGGGCCNUAAUGAUUUAUUGUUGCUAGUCGGUUGAAUCGUUAUAUUUGGUAUCCGAGCCAAUUACCAGUCGGAAGUGUGUGGCACCUCUCGGCUGAGCCAGGGCCGAAAGACAAGGUGAUAGGCUAUGCCGGAGUCUGUAUGACAAUGUAACCGGCUAUGCCAGGGUCUGGAUGAUAAGGCUAGCGAGACGAGUCUCACAUCGCCUAGUGAUUUUGGGCCGUAUGUGUGAUUGGACAGACGAGGACGUCAGGGCCUUAACGGGGGGAGUCUGUCACACCCUAAUAAUUCCAUAUCGGAUAGAAUUGAGGAUGUGAUUGGAUAUAUAAGAGACUNUGUAUGACAAUGUAACCGGCUAUGCCAGGGUCUGGAUGAUAAGGCUAGCGAGACGAGUCUCACAUCGCCUAGUGAUUUUGGGCCGUAUGUGUGAUUGGACAGACGAGGACGUCAGGGCCUUAACGGGGGGAGUCUGUCACACCCUAAUAAUUCCAUAUCGGAUAGAAUUGAGGAUGUGAUUGGAUAUAUAAGAGACUUAAACACUAGUAAUAAUAACUAGGCUUAAGCAUUUUGGGCCGGUAAUUGGACCCAACGAAUUAUUAUUGCUAAUAGACUGAAUCAUUACAUCAAUUCUCUAUUCAGUAUACAUCAUACACACGUACCCACGUCCACCAUCCAAGGAGAACCACAAUCUGUUGUUUAUUUAUCAAGAUAAUCACAAUAAUAUGUCAACACAUCCAACCAAACGUGGCUCAUACUCUUAGGUAUCGUUUGGUUCGGGGAUAAGCAAAAAGUGGGUAUUCUAGGCCGGAUAGGUAUAAAUUGAGAUAUAAGCGGAGAUUAGAUCAAUUUUGCGUUUGGAUGAAAAUUGGGUUAUUUCUGGAAAUAAGAAAAAUAACGUUUAGUUAGGUAAGAUGAAAUAAGAAUUAAAGUGGGUAGUUAUAAAUAAAAAAUAACAAUAUUAUCCCUUUCUUUAUAUUAGAAUUAGAAUUUUUAAUCUCAAAUUUUAAAUUCAAAAUUUUAAAUUUUAAAUUUCAAACUUUAAAUUUAAGAUCAAAUUUAAAUUUUUAAAAAAUAAAAUAUCAAAUUUAAAAUUUCAAAAAUUUUAAAUAUCAAAAUUAAAUUUUAAAUUUAUUUAAUUUUUAAAUUUUAAUUUAUUAUAAUAUUUAAAUAUAAUUUAUUAUAAAAUUUAUUACAAUAUUUAAAUAUAAAUAAUAUGUAUUAAUAUAGUACAAUUAAUAAUUUUAUAAUAAAAAUAAUGUAUUAUAAUAUAUAAUAUAUUAUAUUUAUAUAAUUUAGUUUUAAUUUAUUUUAUAAUUUUAAUUAAGUUUAAAAUUAAGCAUUGGAAUAGCACUAUUCCACCAAAAUGGUGGAAUGGUAAAAAGCUUGCUAUUCCGGGAUAAUCGGGAAUAGCAAGCUUUGACUGGGAUAAAAUAUUCUGGUAAAAAAUGAUCCCGUUUGGCGGAUAAGCGGGGAUAACUUUCAUUAUUCCCGCUUAUCCCCCGAACCAAACGGGGCCUUAAGGAAUACUAAAUGCACACAUCGCAUUCGCACCCAACACAAUACCCAAUCCAGCUUGUGCCGCACAAGUAAGGUAAGGUACGACUCGACAAUGUUAAUGCAAUACUGAUAUACUGCAUAAAAUGUGUGACUCAGCACUGUCAAUAACACGUAUACAAAACUAUUAUAUUUUAAUCCAACAGGGUUCAAAUAGCAAAUAUGAUUAUGGAAGGAAGAUAGACAAUGUUGAUGAAAAAAUUCAAAAUCCUCUAUUUUAUUAUUAUUAUUAUUAUUUUAACAUAUUAAUUUACUUUAUUUUUUUUAAUAUUAUUAUAUUAUUAACGUCCUUUUAGAAUGAACUUCUGUGAACAUUUGCGAAUGUUGCACACGUUCGCAUUCCAUACAAUGCAGGCCUCGCUCUUUCAUUCGAAUGUUUCACCAUGCACUAAUUACAUAGGCUAAGGCCCCGAUUGGAUGCCUCUAAAAACAUAGCAUCGUUAAACUAUACUACGCUGGUAGGAAAAUAAUCCUAUAAAGCGUUUGGAAGAAAAAAAAAAUGACGUAAUUUUUGGAGUAUAGUUAUACUAUACUCCAAAAAAUGGAAUAAAUUUACAAUCCACUUUAACCAAAGGAAAAGAAUUCCACCAUUUUGGGCUCCCAAAGAUGUAUCAAUUUUUAAAUUUUAAAUUUCAACAUAAAAUUUUAGAUUUCAAAUUUUAAAAUUUUAAAAUUCAAAUUUAAUUUUGAUUUUAAAUUUCAAAUUUUAAAUUUCAAAUUUCAAAUUUCAAAAACUUCAAAUUUUAAAUUUUAAAUUUCAAAUUUCAAAAANAUUUAAACUUAAAUUUAAAAUUUUAAAUUUAUAAAUAUGUAAAUUUAUAAAUUAUUAAAUUUGAAAUUUAAAAUUUUAAUUAUAGAUUUUUUAAAUUUCAAAAUUUAAAGUUUAAAUGGUAUACUUUAAGUUUUAAAUUUUAAAGUUUCAAAUUUCAAAUUUGAAAUUUCAAAUUCCAAAUUUCAAAUUUCAAAUUUAAAACAUAAAAUCUAAUUUACUUUUUAAAUUUUAAAUUUUAAAUUUUAAUUUUAUAUUUUGAAUUUUUAUUUUUAAUUUUUAAAAUUUUAUUUUUAAAUUUUGAAUUUUGAAUUUUGAAUUUUGAGUUUUGAAUUUUGAAUUUUAAAAUUUUAGAAAUUUAAUUGUUAUAAAUACUAUGAAAUUGUAUGAUAUGUAUCCAAACAGCUUAAAAAUGAAGCUGUGGAAUUUUUUUGUAGUUACAGGAUUCCGUAUUUCAUUUAGAUCAAAACUAUAGAAUAAAAAUUUCAUGGAGUUUUUUAACUAUGCAUCCAAACAGGGCCUAUAACAUUUGGAUGGCCUACCCAGCAGGCAACCAUUUACAAAUUUUUAAGUUAAAAAAAAAAUUUCAUGUAAGACUCAAACUCGGCAACUGUACAUCAUGUGAACUCACUAAACACUGGAGCAGUAUCGAGAGGCUGCAUUGAUUGCCCUAAGGCAAUUCGUAUAAAGCUCAGGCUUGGUAAAAAUAAUGAUAAUAGCAAUUGAAUAAAGAUUAAACUUUAAAACAACAGUAAGAGUGAGUAGAAAAUUUUACAAACAUCAACCUUCUUAUUAUGCUUGCUGUUAUUCAAAAUUACACCAAUUUACUGGGAUUUUUUUGUGGUCAUAAAAUUUCAAAUUUUAUUUAGACCAAAAUUACAGAAUAAAAACUCCAUAGAAUUUUUUAACUACGCAUCCAAACAGGACCUAAGUAUAGAAAGCUUAGGUGACACAUAAUCUAUAUGCACAAAGGAAAGUGAGAAGGAAAUUUUGUUUUGAGAUAUUUUUAUAUUUUUAUUAUUUCUUUCUACUUGUUUGAUAUUUUUAUCACCGGGUGUUGAAAGAGUCUCCGUCAAUCUCUUUCGCAUUUGUGCUAGUAGGAGGAAUUCCGGUCGUACCUUAGAGCGGUGUUUUCAGUUAAUCCUGCACAAAGAACGGGAAUACAUUUUAGUGCAGUAUCUCGCACGCUUUCGGAUCAAAUCGUUUAAUUCUUCUUCUUCCACUAUUUUGGAUUUUAGCGCUCAACUCUAAGUUGAUUUAUUUAUUUUCAUCACAAACUAGUUAGAUUUGAAUCACAAUCGGAUUUUUAGUGCGGUAUAUCCCCAGCAGACAAUGCAAUCAGAAAAUUUGCAAAUUUGUUAAUUCAAUGAGAUAAUAUAUAUCCUACUCACAUUUUGUACGUGCGUAGGGGUCGGUAGAAAUCAUGAAGAUGUUGUCGAUAGUUUCUAUCUAUCCCUCAUUCAACCUAGGGUUCAAGCUCGGUCGACCACCCUGUUGAGUUGACUGUCAAAACUUGAAGCCAGUCCACGGUACCUAUGACGGUGGACGUAGUCUAUUGACAACUACGUCUAGCAAUUUUUUUUAAGUUACAGUACGGCCCAACAGACAUACCAAUAAGAAUCAAUCCAAUGAGCUUGUUGGGCUGAAUCAAGUCCAAAUGAGAUCUAAGGAUCAUAAAAACUAAAAUAUAUCAAACUUACCUAUAUUGGUGCAGUAUGUAUAAGCUUUCUACACUUAAGUCCUAUUUGGAUGCAUAAUUAAAAAAUUCUAUGGAGUUUUUAUUCUGUAGUUUUGGUCUAAAUAAAAUUUGAAAUUCUGUGACCACAAAAAAAUCCCAGUAAAUUGGUGUAAUUUUGAAUAACAGCAAGCAUAGUAAGAAGGUUGAUGUUUGUAAAAUUUUCUACUCACUCUUACUGUUGUUUUAAAGUUUAAUCUUUAUUCAAUUGCUAUUAUCAUUAUUUUUACCAAGCCUAAGCUUUAUACGAAUUGCCUUAGGGCAAUCAAUGCAGCCUCUCGAUACUGCUCCAGUGUUUAGUUAGUUCACAUGAUGUACAGUUGCCGAGUUUGAGUCUUACAUGAUUUUUUUUUUUAUACGAUUACUAUUAUUUAGAGGUUUGAUCUUUAGACAAUGAUUUAUUAUUAUUAUUAUUUUGAGGUUUGGUCUUUACACAACUGCUUUAUUGUUGUUGUUAUUCCCAUGAAAUUUUUUUUUUGAAAUUUUCUAAACUUUCUAAUAAUUUAUUUCGGUAAGUUGAGAAAAAUUCCAGACACUUUUGAUGUUGCUCUCAUUUUCUUUGUUCUAAUUACCUAUAAUUUAUUUCGGUAAGUUGAGAAAAAUUCUGUUCAAAAUUUGUGCAAAUACAGCUAUUAUAACUGAUUUUCUACAAUACAUUGCUUCUUUGUUUUCCUCUACAUAUUGCAUGCAUUUAUUUUUUUUCUUUUUUUUCCAACCUUCUUAUUAUGCUUGCUGUUAUUCAACAUUUUUACAGUAUGCACUUUGUUGAUGCAAUGUGAUUAACAUAUGGACAACUAUUUUGACAUAUAUGUCUCGAUAUGAUUAACAUAUGAAUAACUGUUUUGUUAUGCCUUACACCUUAAAUUAAUAUUUAAUAUUUGAAAAUGCUUAUGUAAAAAUUGUAUGUGGGCCCCACAACCAUCCAAAAUAAGGGGAGGCAUUCUUUAGGGACUUUUAACAAUGUCAUUUAUCGUGAUGAAAUAAACGGAUUUGAAAAUUUAAUUUAAAAAAAUAUAGGGAUCAAAAUAAAAAUAGCGAAAAGGUUGGGAAUGAAUAUGCAAUUAGUUUUUUAAACUAUUUUAUGUGGGCACCACACCCCCCUCCCAAAUUAAGGGGAGGGCUUCAAAAGGUUGUCCUUCCACGUAUUUAAUAGUUAAGGGAUCCGCACGAUGCGGCAGAAAAAUAUUUUUACAGCAUAUAAAGAACAACAAUAUUUUUUUUUUUGUAAAAAACAUACAAAAAAUAUAUAAAAUAUAUAUUUGAUUUUAGUAUUAAUAGGUUUAUAGCAGUAUCGAUUAUUUAACCAAUUUUUUUUAAUACAAAACAGCCUAUGCUACUAAUAAGAUAAGUGUCGUGGUCCAUGAAUUUGAUAAAAAAAAUAAUUAAUGUACCGUACGGGAAAAAUAAUCAGCAAGAAUAAAUAAUAACAAAGAUAACAAAAAAAAAACAAUUCAGUAAGCAUAUGUAAUUACACAUUGAAAAUAAAAUAUAAAAAAUUCAAUCUGUCUAGCAUUUAUAAUUGAUUUAGUUUUGCCCAAAAUAUAAUGAUAAAGAAAUUUGUAAAUGGUUGCCUGCUGGGUAGGCCAUUCAAAUAUUAUAAAUUAUUUACAGAUCUUACAAAAUCAAUAAGGCCUUUUUUCACAAUGAGAGAAAAAAAGAUAAAACUACAUUAUUUAAGGGGUAAGUCAUUGUAGCCUUAAAAAGGGACAAAAAUUUCGUGGACAUCCGUGCCCAAACUAUUUGUUUGGGCACGGAUGCGGAUGGGACCGUCCGAAAAAAAAAAAAAAAAAAUAAAAUAUCAGGGGCCUCCCUUUUUUAGAAAGAGAGUGAGAAAGGGGAAGGGGCGGUGGUGAUGGGCGCCGCACACCACGCGGCGCCCAUCCGCAUCCAUGCCCAAACAAAUAGUUUGGGCACGUAUGUCCACGAAAUUUUUGUCCCCUUAAAAAGAGCUCAUAAAUAAAUUAAAGCCAUAUUUGUUUGGCCUCAUUUUUAUUCAGGAUUAGCACCGGAAUGAAUGAAUCUGUUUGUUAGUUUUUGAUAUGCAGGAGUCACUUUCCAAUUCUAAUUUUCAGGUGGCCUAGGAAGCCGGAUUAAAGGCAUGAAUCUAGAUAAAAAUAAUGCACUUUAUAAAAAUAUCUCAAUGAUAUUUUAUAUUUUUAUUUAAAAUUUAAUUUAAUUUUAACUUUAAUUUUGUAUUUUAAUUUUAUUUUAAUUAUUGAAUGAGAGAGGGGAAAAGAGUGAGGGUGAGAUAGAACCAUAGAGGAAGGGGGAGAACGUACCAUGGUAUGGGUGACAGAUAAAGGAUUGGAUAAAAAGCGAGGAAGUAACAGUGGGUUGAAAUGAUGGGAUAGAGAUGGGAUAAAAGAAAACAUAAAGUGGGUAGAAAAAAACAAAGAAUAGGAUGUGUGCUGGCUCACUCAUCCAAAGAAUAGGAUGUGUGCUGGCAUCAUUCCGGUUCACAAUUCAUGUAUUCUUAUAUAGAAGAUAGAUAGAUAGAUGAUUGAGUAGGGGUUCGGAGAACGUCACUAGCCAUGUAUAGUUUUCCCCGCCUAUCUCAUUUUCCACGGAUUUUUCAUGGUUUUUCUUUUUUUUCUCUCUCUCUCUCUCUUGUUGGAGGAAUUCUAUACUACCACACUUACACCACAUCAUUAAUAACAAGUCAAUUACAUUUCUUUUUUUCAAACAAAAGUACAAUAAGAAUACUUUUUUAUAAUCAUGAUGGGACAUAUAUCUUUAAAAGUAGACUUUUGAUUGGUUUGUUACACCACGUCACCAAUAUACCCGUUGCAUUCUAGAAUUUUUCCUCUUGUGGAGGCCAAAGUUUUGUUUUUUUUUUAAAAAAAAAAUAUUUGGUAUUCUUUUUUGUGGAUUCUGAUAUAUUUUUUUGAUUUUAGAGACUUCAAAAUUAGAAUUAGCUAAAACCUACUUCUUAAAAUCAGAUUCUGAUUUUAAAUAUAAAUUUUAUAUUUUAAAUUUUAAAAUUAUAAAUUUUAUAUUUAAAUUUAUAUUUAAANUGAUAUUUAAAAUUUAAAAUUUUAAAAUUAUAAAAUUUAGCAAAAAAUUUAUUAUUUACAAUGAGAAAAAAAAACUUCGGCAAAUAACUUUACAAGAUUAUUUUUUUAAAAAUUAUUUUUUUACUUAAUUCAGCCAAAUACUAUACAGUUUUUAAUCAAAAUUAAUUAGACAUCCCUCCAAGGAAAAUGUUCCUCUUUCCCAUUAAUAGAGGAGAUGGAAAAGGGAAAAUGUCCAUCACAGUGGUAGCAUGUGUCAUUUGCCUAGUUUAAUUAGCUUUCUAAACUUGCCAAAAAUGAUGCCAAUUUUUUUUUUUCUUUUUGAGAAAAAAAGUAACACGCUACUUGCUUUAUUUAUUCAGACAAUAAAUUUAGCUGUAUAAAGUGAGACAGUAAAUGCAUCACGAGGAUAAAAAAUGAUGCCAAUUGUUUCUCUAUGAUGGGAAAGAGGAACCUUUUCCUUCGUGAGGAUUCAGGUCAUGGUUUUCUUUAUUAGGUGGAUGGUGGAGAUAGCCUGUGAGCCAAUCAUUACUCAUUAGUAGUUCAUCUCAUGUAUGUAAGAUAAUUAUUAGUGAAUGGGAAUUGAUAUAUAGUUCUAGAACUAAUUUAAAUAUUAUCAGAGCCAAAAAACAAAAAAAAAGAGUAAAUUGUGCAUGGUUAAAUGUAAUGGAGUCCGGCUAGUAUACUAUCUAUAGCAUGGAAGUCGUCGUGCUAUUAAGUUGUUUUCGAUAAUGCGGCUUCCAAAUCGACGAUCGAUUCUAUUAGACAACUUGAUCUAUACUAUUAAAAGUACUAGAAAACUAAAUUUCAUAACUUUUCGGCAUCAUUUUACUUAUCAAACGAGUAGUCUAAAAAUAAACGACUAAAAAUAAAAAUCUCAUAAAAAAUGAUGAAAAAGAUUUGAUUGUAAGACCAGAGAUACUGAUCUUAUAUAAAUAGUGAAGAAAUUUUUUUAUAAAAAUUUUAUCAGAUUUAAUUUGUUUUAUAUUGUUAAAUUCACAAACGCAUCACAUCGACCAGUAAAAUUGUCAAUUUGAGACCUUUUAAUCAUUAGUCAAAUAAUGUCAAAAAUUAUAAAAUUUAGUUUCUAAAUAUUUUCAAUAGCGUAGAUUAUGUCUAACGGAACCGAUCGUCGCUUCAGAAACCGCAUCAUCGAAAACAACUUGAUAGUACAGAAACUUUAAUGCUACCGAUAGUAUAGCAAUCUAGCUCCACGUAAUGUAUCCUUGCUGAUAAUAUUAAAUUUAGUUUCGAAAAUUUAGUAAAACUCAAAAGAGAUAAUUAAUGUAAACAUGGAGAAAACUGUCAGUAAAAUAUGCUAUUUAUCAUAUCCUAGAUAGUUGUUGCCUUUAAAAGCUGAAUCUAUAAACAGACCUCCUAAUAUAUCAUGCCGUCAGAUAUCACUUUUUAUUAAGUUGGUGUUCCAUUCGAUAUUUUUCAGCACCUCACUCAUAUUCUGUGGUUACUCAACCUCCUAAUAUAUCAUGCCGUCAGACAUCAUGAUUCAUGCAUGCAUAUUCGUGUCCGACAUAGACGGGUAGACAAGUACGGACGUGCGUUCGACCCAUAUUCCAUAUAUAUAUAUGAUAAUAUACUAUAUAUAUAUAUAUAUAUAUAAUAUAUAAUAGAGUUGAUCUAGAGAUAACUUUUACAAGUAUUACCCCCUAUUGCUAUUCACUUUUUUAGUCCGUUGGAUCUACUUUUGUAUUACAAUAGCCUUGGAUCAAACACUAUUCCACCUACACCACCUACACCACCUAACCCCGCAUCCAUCUCAACCUCACAUCUCUCCAUCGCAAGGCCUAAGAAACACACAAGUAUCCACUUGGUGAUACUUGUAAAAGUUUCUACUACUAUAAUACUUAUAUAUAUAUAUAUAUAAUAUAUAAUAUAUAUAUUAUAACUAUAUAUUAUAUAUAGAGUGAGGCUAUAGUAUCUGGAAGUCGGAGCCGUUCCGUGCUUCCAGCUUAGUUUCGAUUGUGCGACUAAUUCGAAAUCGUCGAUCGGUCUCCGUUAAACAUGAUCUAAGUAUUUGGAGUACCGAUAGAAAUAAAUUUUAUUAUUUUUCGAUAUUCUUAAUUUGCCUAGUGAUCGAAUGGGCUCAAACAAUCACAAAUAUUUAAUUGGCCGUAGUGAGCCGUUUACAAGUUUAACGUGUGUAAAAUAUCCAAUCAGUCACACGUGAAGAUUUGAUAGAAAUUUUUUAUACGAUAUAAAACAAGAUCAAUAUCUUUUGAUUUAAAAUUUUAAUAUCAUACUUAUUACAUUUGUGUAAGAUGUUUAUUUUCAAGCCGUUGGAUUUUGAGCCCCUUCGUCCAGGCAAAGAAUCGUAAAACAUAUAAAUUUAUUUUCUAGCUACAUUCAAAUACUCUAGAUCAGUUUUAACGGAGCCGAUCGACGAUUCGAAAGUCAAAUCGAAACGAGCGGAAAGCACGGAAAGCUCCGUGUUCGAUAGCAUAAUGCCUCACCUUAUAUAUAUAUAAUAUAGAUAUAUAGGGUCAGGCUACUAUACUAUUAUGAGUACGAUCACACCUCCGCGUUUUACUCAUAUGUUGUUUUUGCAUGAUAGAGCCUUCGAAUCGACGACACACCGUUAAACGUUAUUUACAGCAUUUUAAAACUUCUAGAAAUCAAAUUUUAUAAUUUUCACAUUCAUUUACCUUUUACAUCAAGAGGUCAAAAUUUGACAAUUUUAACGGCCGGUAUGGAAUACUUUAGUUUUAACGGUUAAAAGAAUCAAAAAUUUGUUGAAUUUUUUGAUAGAAUUCAUAUCACUACAUAGAUAAGAUCAAUAACCCCUCCGAUCUUGAAUUGAAUGAUCCGAUAAAUACAUUUUUAGGACGUAACUGUCGAUUUGGACCGUUUAUUUUAUUGCACACUUGAUGGACUUUAUUUAUAUGAUUUCGAAAAUUAUACGAAAUUUAUUUCUAGAAUUUCAAAUACUUAGAUCAUUAUUUAAGUAGGAUCGUCGAUUCGGAAGCUCCAUCCAUUAAAACAACUUAUGAAAGUACGGAGGCGCUCCAAUUACUAUAAUAGUAUAGUAGCCAUGGCCUAUAUAUAUAUAUAUAUGUAUAUAUAUAUAUAUAUAUAUAUAUAUAUAUAUAUACCGGUUAACUAUACCUUUUAUGAGUACAAUUGUCUUCGUACUUAUUAAGUUGUUUCGAUGAAGAGCUUCGAUUUCGACGAUCCUACCUUUAAACUAUUUUAUGUAGAGUAUUAAAUCUCUUUUAGAAUCAAAUUUCAUAAUUUCGAUAUUAUUUACCUUACGAUAAAAAACUUCAAAAAUGGAAUUUUUAACGGCCGGUAUGGGAUACUUGCUAGUUUAACGGUGCAAAAGAAUUGGAAUAGAUUGAAUUUUUAAUAGAAAAUUCUAUUCACUACCUAGAUAAAGACCAAUAACUCCGAUCUUAAAUUGAAGGAUCUGAUCAUAUAUUUUUAGGAUGUCAUUCGAUUUCGACCGUUCAUUUUAUGCCCGUUUGAUGGACUUUAUUAUUAUUUCGAAAAAUUACGAAAUUUAUUUUUUAGAAGUUUCAAAUACUCUAGAUCAUAUUUAACGCAGUGGAUCGUCAAUUCGGAAGCCCCAUCAUCGAAAACAACUUAUGAGUACAAAGAGCCCAAUACUCAUAAGAGUAUAGUAGCCCUACUAUAUAUAUAUAUAUAUAUAGAAUUAUGCUACUAUACUAUGAAUAGUACCAAGCCCUUGGUACUAUUGAGUUUUCGGCCGUUGGAUGAAUAGAUGUGCGGUUAGGAUGAUAGUGGUCUCCGGUUAAAUUGCUAGUGGUUCCCUAGGGUUGAGUGGGUGGUUGGUUUAAUAGUAUAAUCUAAUAGGUAGAAAUGAUCAAAUGGUAGAUCUAACGGUAGAAAACUCAAUAGUAUAAAGGGCUUGAUACUAUCGAUAGUAUAGUAGCCGGACUCUAUAUAUAUAUAUAUAUAUAUAUAUAUAUANAGAGAGAGAGAGAGAGAGAGAGAGAGAGAGAGAGAGAGAACUAGGCUCCUAUACUUUUGAAAGUACGGAAGCUUCCGUGCUUGUAAGUUGUUUUCGAUGAUGGAGCAUCCGAUUCGGCGAUCAGCUCCGUUAGAUAUGAUCUACGCUAUUGGAACUAUUUAAAAAUUAAUUUUCAUAAUUUUUUGACUUUAUUUGCUUAGUGAACGAUUAGGCUCAAAAUGAACGGCUGAAAAUAAAAAUCUCAUAAAAAAUAGUGAUAAAAGACUCAAAUUUCAAAUCGGAAGUAUUGUUCUUGCUCUUGAUGUUAAGUAAAAUUUUCUAUUAAAAUUUUAUGUAAUUUGAAUUUUUCUACACUGUUAAACUUUCAAACGUGCCACAAUAGCCUUUAAAAUAGUCAUUUUUCAGAUUCUUUGAUCACUUGGUAAAUGAUGUCGAAAAAUUAUGAAAUUUGGUUUUUAAAUAAUUCUAAUAGCGUAGAUCAUGCAUAACGGAGCCGAUCGUCGAAUUGGAUACUCCAUCACAAAAAACAACUUUAUGCUUUUAAAAGUACCAAGUUAUUGGUGCUUGUAGAUUUUUAACCAUUGGAUUACGAGAUAUGCGGUUAGGAUGAUGUGGGCCCCCUAGGGUUGAGUGGGUAGUUGGUUGAAUAGUAUAAUCUAAUAGUUGAAAAUGAUCCGAGGAGUAGAUCUAACGGUAAAAAACUUACAAGCACCAAGUACUUGGUGCUUUUACAAGCACCAUAGCUGGACUCUCUCUCUCUCUCUCUCUCUCUCUAUAUAUAUAUAUAUCAUAUGAAGUCUCUUGUGAUAUUCUCUAUAUUUCAUUUUCGAAAAAAAAAAGACUAAAUGAGUUCCUUUUAUUAUUAUUAUUAUUAUUAUUAUUAUUAUUAUUAUUGUUAUUGUUAUUUCGAAGUAGGGAGGGAAUCANUUUAUUUAGUUUGUACAAUUAAAAUAUGAUAAAAAUUGAUUAAUUAAGUAUUAAUAUUUUUUUACUUUAUAAUUUUAUUAUUGUAUUACUAUAAUUUAUGUAUAAAAAAAUAAUUUAGUUGUUUUAAAUUAAAUUUUAAUUAUAUAAAAAUAUAAUUAUAUUAUUUUUAUUUAUUAAAUUAUUUAUUAUUUAUAUAUAAAUUAUAGUUUUAUAUUAUAUAUUUCCUACCAAACAAACAACAGAACUGAUGGAACUUCACUUUCAUAACUAUAAAACAAAUAAUCGGGAAGAAGUAGUUUUUACCAAACUCCCGUUCAACCCAAUGUCCACUUCAAUCUAAAGUCUAGUUUCGAUGAAACAAACAUGCCCCUAAUGGCGAAAAACUUAUGAGUGCAAAAGGGACUAUACUCAUAAGAGUAUAGUAGCCGGACUCCAUAUAUAUAUAUAUAUAUAUAGAGAGAGAGAGAGAGAGAGAGAGAGAGAGAGAGAGAGAGAGAGAAUUCUGCUACUAUGCUAUUAAUAUAAAUAAUUUAUUUUUUAAUGUAUGUACAGGCUAUUAAUAUAAAUAAUUUAUUUUUUAAUGUAUGUACAGUGUAAAAUGGUAAUAUUUUAGGUUUUCGAUGAAUGCAUACAAAUUUAUUUUGGACAUGCAAUAUACACAAAUUACAUAUUGUUGAGAAUUUUUUUAAAAAAUAUAUGAACUAUUAAUUAGAAGUUUAUUAACUUCAUUUGUCGUAGUGAGCCGUUUGCAAGUUUAACGGUGUAGAAAUAUCCAAAUCACGUGAAAUUUUGAUAGAAAAUUCUUUAUACUGUAUAAAACAAGAUCAAUAUCUUUGAUUUAAAAUUUUAAUGUCAUAUUAUUACAUUUUAUAAGAUUUUUAUUUUCAACCGUUGAUUUUGUACCCCUUCGUUCACUAGGCAAAUGAUAUCAUAAAGUCAUAAAAUUUAUUUUCUAGGUACUUCAAAUACUCUAGAUCAAGUUUAACGGAGCCGAUCGACGAUNNNNNNNNNNNNNNNNNNNNNNNNNNNNNNNNNNNNNNNNNNNNNNNNNNNNNNNNNNNNNNNNNNNNNNNNNNNNNNNNNNNNNNNNNNNNNNNNNNNNNNNNNNNNNNNNNNNNNNNNNNNNNNNNNNNNNNNNNNNNNNNNNNNNNNNNNNNNNNNNNNNNNNNNNNNNNNNNNNNNNNNNNNNNNNNNNNNNNNNNNNNNNNNNNNNNNNNNNNNNNNNNNNNNNNNNNNNNNNNNNNNNNNNNNNNNNNNNNNNNNNNNNNNNNNNNNNNNNNNNNNNNNNNNNNNNNNNNNNNNNNNNNNNNNNNNNNNNNNNNNNNNNNNNNNNNNNNNNNNNNNNNNNNNNNNNNNNNNNNNNNNNNNNNNNNNNNNNNNNNNNNNNNNNNNNNNNNNNNNNNNNNNNNNNNNNNNNNNNNNNNNNNNNNNNNNNNNNNNNNNNNNNNNNNNNNNNNNNNNNNNNNNNNNNNNNNNNNNNNNNNNNNNNNNNNNNNNNNNNNNNNNNNNNNNNNNNNNNNNNNNNNNNNNNNNNNNNNNNNNNNNNNNNNNNNNNNNNNNNNNNNNNNNNNNNNNNNNNNNNNNNNNNNNNNNNNNNNNNNNNNNNNNNNNNNNNNNNNNNNNNNNNNNNNNNNNNNNNNNNNNNNNNNNNNNNNNNNNNNNNUACCCUAAUUUCAUAUUAAUUUUGGUGUUGGAAUUCGUUUUUAAUUUAACGCCUAAAUCGAAGAACAACACUAUAGUACAAGAAGCUCGGUAACUAUUAAUUAGUAUUGAGUAACCAAAAUUAAUUAUAUAUUAUAUAUAUAUAUAAUAUAUAUAUAUAUAUAUAUAUAAGUAUUCCAAAUUAAGGUCAUAAAACAUAUUUCUUGAAUUAUUAUAUAUUGAUUUUGAGAUCUCUGAUGUAGGAUUUUAGGGGUACAGUGUAUAAAAUAUGCUUGCAGGUUAUGCUUAGAUAUGUGAAUUAUAUCUUAUUUCGUAUAUUAUUUUGAUUUAUUUUAAAAAAUAACUCGCGUUUAGAUGAUGUGUAAUGCCAUCAAAUGCCUAAGAUAAAUAUUAUAUUCGGCAUUCAAGUUGUUUUUUCAAAAUAAAAUAAAUUAUCUUGUGAAUGAAAUAUAUUAUUCUAUCAAACUAUGAAUACCAAAAUUUUUUAAAAAACAAAAACCAUAGCUUUCAAAUGCAAUUAUCAUUCCGAAUUAGUAUUCGUUGUAUAUACACAUUCUAACAUCCAAAUAAGGUCGUAAUGUACAGACGGUGCUGGUAAUAUCUUUUUCAGUACAUUAUUUUGAUUUAUUUUAAAAAAAUAACUAGCAUUUAGAUGAUGCGUAGUGCCAUCAAAUGUCUAGGAUAAAUAUUAUACUCGGCAUUCAAGUUGUUUUUUUGAAAUAAAAUAAAUUAUCUCGUGAGUAAAAUAUAUUAUUCUAUCAAAUUAUGAACACCAAAAUUUUUUAAGAAACAAAAAUCAUGCCUACGAGACGCACAAGAGAAUCGUCAUUCUGAAUUAAUAUUCAUUGUAUAUCAUAUUCUGACAUCCAAAUAAGGCCAUAAUGUACGUACGGUGUUGGCAAUAAUUUGAUUUCUCAAGUACGGGGAGUCAAAAGAAAUCAUAAAAAUUAUGUUGCAUUUAAUACCACUUAAAAUUUAAAAAAAAAACCUUAAACUUCAUACCUUUUGUAGGGUCUAAUGACUUUUUAUCGAAAAGCCCGCGCGGCGCUCGUCUGUCACCUGCACAAAUGAGCCAACCAAACCGUCCCGAGGCACAACUUUGUAAAUUGGCAACGACUGAGAAUUGAAAGCAAGCACGUAAAGCAUCCUGCAAAUUGGCACAAACAACGAGUAUUUUAUUGAUAAUGAAAGGUUGGACUACAAGCGAAAGGCACACGACUCGACUUGGUCGGGCAUGGCCGGUGAGGGCAAAAUUAUCACCAAGACACUACGCAUUUAGCGAAGUGGGCUCACUUAAUACGUCUCACCCAACCUUCCCGUACUACCCCAUAUUAGCAUCCACCAAUUUGGCACCCCGGGGUACAAAGGUGCUCACCGAGGGGUACGUUUUCCCACUCAGCACACCCAUGGAAAAAUAGGCCGCCGACUCAUGUCCGACAUGCGUCCGGCUCAAUCCGUCGCCUAAGAGGCCAUCGUUAGCGAAAUAUCUAUGUCCCCUUGGAUGCGUAGCACAAGUGAACCCACGGGUAGCCAACCGGAUGCCAAUUUACAAGCAAUGCCCAUCCCAAAGAAGAAAAAUUCUAUGUCGACGUCGUGCCCGACACAACAUUUACAGACUGUUUACAAACUCAAUGUUAUUGACAAAGUCAAGACCGUUGACAACUAAAAAGGACCCUGAUAGACUCCCCCACUUGAUUUCUCGACGCCCUCGUCGAGGUCUUCAGCUUGUACCUCCAUGCGUGCUUUGUUCAUCUCGACGUAUCCGCCGAGGUCUUCUGCUGGUACUCCCUGAUCCGGUCUUCUUCAUGCCGAAGUGCAUCUUCAUGCUCCCAACUGGCUUCAGCCUUUGGCAGCUUCUUCCACUGGACGAGGAACUCUCUUUCAGCUGCUCCACUAGCUAGGUAGCUUCCGCACUCUGUCCGCCAAAAUUUUGUCAACUCGCCUCUCGACUGAAAAAAUUGUGGGUGUAACGUAUUGAAACCUAGAUAGAAAAUGACGAACUUUAGGCAAACUGACUAAAGUGCGCGAAUGGAUUAAUUGGGCGAGUUCCAAUUAACCUACCAACACUGUUGGGAGGGUUAAAAAUGAGUUCUAGAAGUAUUAGAAGGGUUUUGGCAUCGAUCGGUGCAAAAUAGAGUUGAAACGGAACCAAAAUCAGGUCUGGAGCAAUGUGUACCGGUACAGCAAGCGACCUGUCACCGGUUACACAUGCUGAAACCAGUGACACGAAAAAGUGUACCGGUACACUUUGGGCGAAACCGACAGAUUUGCUCUCGGGUUUGCCUCUGCGUAGUUGUGUAACCGGUGACACGAAAAAGUGUACCGGUACACUUUGGGCGAAACUGACAGAUCUGCUCUCGGGUUUGCCUAUGNUAAAUUUAGUCAUAUUACUUGUAUACUGAAUGGUUAAUUCUUUCACCUUGGCUAUUGUUUGUCCUCGUGCAAGCCAUUGUGUAUACUUCCGCUUAUGCAAAUUUAUACUCUAUUGAUACUAGUGUUGAGCCUUGGGCGGACAGGGGAAGCUCUGUCCGUUCGGCGUCUGUUUGACGCUCUCGAACCGGCCAAAAAGGAUCGGGCUCGGGGCGUGACAGUGGGGGUGGGGCGAGUUGAGAUGUUCCUUGAGGGAUCUUCGCGGUCGGCAUGGUAGGAAAUUUUGUAGGUGAUAAUUACGUCGGCAAUAUAUGUAACUAAAUAUUUUGUCUAACAACAAAAGUAAAACCAAUGUAACAAUUUUUAUUUAUUUCUUAUUUUAUUUAAAUGAUGUUUCAUAUUUAAUCAGGAUAUGCUGUAUUAAUUGCUGUAACCCAACAAAUAAAUAUAUGAAUGAGAAAAAUUAUUCAUUAGAAUAUUUAAUAAUAUAGGUUUUUCUUAAAAAAAAAAGUUGAAAUUUACACCAAACGAGGUCAGCAUACUAUAUAUCCUCAAAAUUUAAAUUUUGCUUAAGUGAAUUAAUUUUAUUAAUUAAACUGACACAAAGUUUAUUAUAAUAUAAUAAAACGGAAAAAAAAAAAAGUUUAGGGCGAUUCCCUCAACUGUAGCCGUCAUAAAAUAGGCCCCUGAUUUAUAAUCUUUUUUAUUCAGAUCUCUCAAAUCUUUUAAUAUUUUUGGAAUUGAGUUAUUUUAGCUAAAUAAAUUAGAUAUAUUACCAUUAAUUGGUAGUAUAAAAUUUAUAAUUUAAACCACUCUAUACCGAAUACUAAUAAAUUAAUUAACCGCUAAUAACAACUUGAGCGCAGUAGUUAGUAGCGGCGGAUAUAUAGAUAAAAUUUUAACCAGUUAAGAUAUAUAGUUAUUAAAAAAUAUUCAAAUAAUUUAUUAUAACAUCGAAAUUUUAUUUUUGCUGCAUAUUUUAAAGUAGAUUUAUGAUGCAAUGAGCACAUCUAAAAUAUUAAUAAGUAUGUGGCAAUUCACCAUUGGUUAAUAGGUGUACUUCUAAAAAAAAAAGAGGACUAUUUGCUUUCACUUGGUACAUACUAUUUUUUUCAUACACUGCAUAUAAGAUUAUAUAGUUAAUAGAGCAUUUGAUGAGUAAUAUUAUAAAAUAAAAUAUGAGAUAAUAAAAAAUAUUUAAAUAAUUUAUUACACUUAGAUAUGUGAAUUAUAUCUUAUUUGGUAUAUUAUUUUGAUUUAUUUUAAAAAAUAUCUAGCAUUUUGGUGGAAAUAUUUGUUUGUACAUGGUGAGCACAACUUUUUCGUACAUAGCAUAGAAUAUCAUAUAUUGAUUGAGUAUUUUGUCAUUAAUACUGUAAAGUAAAAUAUGAUAUAAUAUAAAAUAAUUUAUUAUAUAACCAAAAUUUUAUCUUUAAUGUAUAUUUUAGAGUCGGUUUACGAUGAACCGGGUGCGUCCAACAUUUUCAAUAGGUAGGUGGCACUACCCUGUUGGUUGAGUGCUCAAUGGAUUAUGAUGGCUUCAUGAGAGCUCAAUAUAGUGAUAUAUAAAUAUAAUAUAUAAUAUACUGUAGAUAGAUAACUUCCACAAGCUGAGAGUGGAAGCUUCUAGGACCUUUUCAUUGAAAUUUCAGUUUAACUAUUCAAGCACAUUUCUUCUAUUCUUUUUCCAGAAUCAAACAAUUUUCUCAAUUACGCAUGCGCGUGCACGCGGAGACAAACUUGACUCCCACAAGAAGCCAAAAAUAGAGUAAAUGACUGUCUAAAAUUUUAAGCUGUUGAAGAACCGUGUUUAAAUAUUUUUAUAUUAACAUUUUUCAUGUUUUGCAUCUGCGUACAAUUUGCUGCUCUGAUAAUGGAGCUGGCACUCUUUAAUGACUUUUGUUGUGGACCUGCACUAUCCCAUGCAUAUUGUGUGUUAUAUUUCCCUCUUGAGAAAGGAAAAUAUUAUUGUGUAUAUAUAUCAAUUUAAGAGUGUGACAUUUAAAUAUUACACAUGCAUCAAUCUCAUUGAUGUGAUGCUUUACCCACGAGACAACACUAUCUUUUGCUAAGAUUUGUGGGCGUUAGAAGAAGGCAAAACCAACAAAGUCAACUUGUUAAUAGAACCAAAGUUUGAAUUUGAGAUUACAACAACAAGAGCAUCUUUAAUUACCAUACAGAAAAACAAAAAAUAUAUUUAUUUAAAUAAUAAAUUAGAGAAUCCUUUUUCGCAUCAGCAUUAGCACAUUUUGUUACUACGGUUUACUAAUAUGCUGAUACAAGAAAAAAAAAGAAAAAAUCGUAAAUCAUUAGUAUAGUUAGAAAUAGAAAUGUUAAUGAGACCAACUGUUCUUAGAGCAAGUGGCAAAGAGUUUGGUGGUUGGCACCUGAGACCCAAAUUCGAAUCCUAGUUGAUUCAUAUUUCCAGCUAAGUUUAUUUCUAAAUAAAAUAAACGUAGCGGGUAGCAUGCUACCUAUCUCUCUCUAAAAAAAAAAGGGUAAAAAAAGAAGAAAUGUCAACGAGUCGAACACGACCGAGCUGGGGCCAACUUGUUUCAUUAACGAGUUGAUUUCGAGCUGGCUCAUUAAAGUCUUAAGCCGAAAAAAAUACGAGCUGCCUCACGAACAAUAAGUUAAAAAAUUGAAAAGAAAAAAAAUAUAUAUAGUAAAUAAGUUUAUAAAAUUUCAUCCAUUAGACUUUGAUGUAAUGGUUGAAACUUUUCACAUAAACCAAUCUUUUUUUAUAAUUGAGUUAGCUUUUAUAUUUAGGUUGGGCUAAAACUAAAAGAAUAAAAAUUUGUAUAACAUAUAUAUAAUUAUUUAUUUAUAUAUAAAUAAAUAUAAAAUAUAUGUAUUUGAACUGUUAUCGAGCCGAACACGAGUAAGCUGACCCCAGCUCGUGUUCGGCUCAAUUUAUUAGACCAGCAAUUCGAUUGCGAGCUUAUUUCGAGCUGACUCACGAACGGCGAGCUGAAUGGAGGACGAGAAUAAUUAAGUUAAAAUAAAAUUUAAUGAAAAAUAAAGGGAUUAAUGACAAUAGCAGUGGAGUGAUCGAUCUCAUCCUUGACGAAAUGCUUUGUCUGAAAUUGAUUGGAGAGUCGGAGACGAAAUAGAUGGAAAUGACUACAGUUGACAGUUGACCUGGAUUCUUUUUUUGUCUCUUCCUUCUUUGCACUUUGAUUCCGAGGUUUGAUUACACACUAAAUUUGACCUUUUUUUUGGAAUUGGCCCCCUGAACUUUUUCUUUAUUUGACUUAUACCCGUCAACGAUAUUAGGUCCUCUUGUGUUAAUUAAUUAGCAAAUUUAGAGAUUUUCGUUCUUCGGUUUGCUCACGAGAGUUGCACGUGAUAAAAUUGAAACUGCUUUAGUCAAAAAAAAAAAAAAAAAAUCAGAAUUGUUCUGCUGUUACUUAAUUUUGUCUUUUCUUCUUUUUUUUUUUUGAAUCAUAGGAUUCAUACUAUCUUUGAUUUUUUUCUUUUUUUUCAUUUUGUUAAGAAUUGCUUCCCUCCGUUUUGAUUGAAGCAAUUUUUGAUCACUUUUUCCCCCAAAUUAGAAAAAAAAAUAUAAAUAAAAAAUUAAAAUAAGUUGAAGAAUAAAUGUUUUUAAUAAAGAGAAAAUUAAAAAAAUGUAAUACUAGAAAGAAGUGCACAUAUAAGAAGCUAGCUUAUAGUAUAUAUAUAUAUAUUAUAUAUAUAUAUAUAUUAUAUUAUAUAUAUUAUUUAUAUUAUAUAUAUAUAUAUAUAUAUAUAUAUUAUAUAUAUAUUAUAUACUAUUAUAAUAGUAUAUAUAUAUAUAUAUAUUACUAUAUAUAUAUAUAUAUAUAUUUUAGAAGAUAGAAGUUAAAAACAAAAUUAAAAAAAAUUAUAGUUUAUCGGUUCGCUUUUAAUUGAAGAAUAAAACUUAAAAACAGCCGCUAAAAAUGUAGGGUUUAAUUGCAACUCAAAAGAAAAAAAAUUAAUUAAUUAUUUUGAGAAAAUUUAAGAUGCAGUGCAUCUUUCAUCGGCGUUUGAUUUUAACAAAAUUUUUAAACUUGCCAAUGGAAGGGUGUAAAUCAGUGUGCUUGUAAGUAGAGGGGUGUGAAUCAAAUAAAAAAGCUCAGGGAAUCAAUAUCAAAAUAGGUUAAAGUUCGGGGGUUGUCUUUACAUUUUACCCAAAAGAAAACAACAAGCAAUUAACAAUCCAACUGUUUCCACCUGUCCAAGCGAAACAACGUACAAAUUGUUUAUUAAGUGUUUCCACAUUUUGACAACAACCCGUUGACUACGAGAAAGUCUACAGUAUCGGUCUUAUUAUCAGUAACAAGUCAAUAAUAUCUCUCUGUUUAAAAAAAUAAUAAUAAAAAUAUUUUUCUAUUAACCAUAAUGAGACAGAUAAAUUUAAGAAAAAUAAUCUCAUUUAUUAAGAACAUCAUGUCAGUAAUAUAACUAAUGCAUUUAGAACUUUUCGUUGACUACACCCUUUAUUGAAGUACUCCUCUCUCUCUCUCUCUCUCUCUCUAGAUCUUUUAUGAUUGUUUUAGAUGGUAUAAGAGUUACAAGUAGGAGUAAAAGAAAUUUGGAUAAAUUUUGAUUUAAUCCGACAACGGAUUCGAUAGAAUGACAAUAUAUAUAGGGAGAAACUUCAAAAACCCCCCUGGGUUUCGUAGUUUUUUACUUUGACCCCCUGUGGUUUAAAAUGUAUCAAAUUGCUUCCUGUGGUUUCGUUUUUAUCUUUUCGAGCUUUUUCGUUAAUAUUUCAUUAAAUUAUUUACAAAAAACUUCAGAUACCCAUCUAGAUUUAUCAAAUAUUCACUUUAGUACCCUUUAAUUUUAACUUUAUCACUGAUUUAAGAAAAAAAAAUAAUAAAAUUGAUAAUAAAAAGAGAAAAAAGAAACCAUAUGGGGGCAAAUUGAUACAUUUUAAACAACAGGGGGGCAAAGUGAGAAACUACGAAAUUACGGAAAAGUUUUUCCUAUUUAUAGAUAUCAAAAUUUAGUAUUCAACAUAUAUUAGUAUCCGAAUUCGCAAGGACGGAACCAUUGUGAGGCUCAUAGUGGCCAUGGCAUCCCUCAACUUUUAAAAAGUUAUAUAUAAGUCCUUUAUAGCAAAUAUUAAAAUAUUACAAAUUUUAGUUUUAGCAGGGCCAAAUUGAAUUUUUUUUUCGUAAAACUUGUGUUCCAAUUUUUAUUCCAAACCUCUUGACCAUUUUUCUUCUACUCCUAUAGUAUUGUUCAUUCUUGAGCACAUUAUCACUAUUAUUGCUAGUAAUGAAUGACCAAUGAUCCUAACAAACUCUUUCUCUUACUAUCCGAGAUUUUUUUUUUAUACCGAAUCUAAAUCUUAGACCCCUUGAACCUUAAUUCCUGGCUUUGGCCUCCCCCGAAUCUUAAUUCCUAGUUUCGUCCCUGUGAAUUUGUAUUAUAAAACAAUAAAAAGAAAACGAAUAUAAUCUCUUAAAAUUUCUGAUCAUCUUCGACCAUUUUCACCCCUUAACUUAAAAGUGAUGUUUAUAUAUAUUGUAGGGAGAUAAAGUGAUUUUUUAUCGUGUUUUUCAUUUAGUUUAUUAUUAAUUUCACAUUAAAAUUGUAUUUAUUUUUGUUAAAAUAUGAUUUGUCAAAAAUCCAACCGUAUUCCACGGUUUUGACCUCUAAUCGGAUCGAGCUAUUGACUUCAUAAUUCACUAGUUUAAUUUCACGUGUAAUUUAAGUCCAUGUAUAAUUUGAUAUAUCAAUUGAAUAUAUCAAUUAAAUGUACACAUAGUAAAAACAUUAUUCUUCUAUAGAUUAAGAUUUUAUUUGAAUAUAUGGGUUUCUUAUUUUUUAUAUCUCUUCAUUAACUUAAGUUGUUUGUACCUGAGAGUAAUCAAACAUAUAGAAUGGAACUAUAUUUCAUAUUUAAGUUAUUUUUUUGAAAAAAGAUCGAUGAAUCAUCUUAUAACUGAAAUUUGCUAUUUAAUCAAAUUAGGAAUGUCGAACAAUGAUCAAAGCAUGGACCGAACUUUAAUGCUUCAUUUCCAUGGAGAGAAUAGAAGAGCAAUGAAAUUAAAGAAAAGAAAGUAAUUUUUUCUCAUUCUAUUCAGACGAAGGGAAGAGAAAAUGGAAUUUUCUUCUUCCAAAAGUGACCAUUUUGGAAGAUUAAUUUCUCUUCAUUUCUCUUUCUUUCUCUCCUUAAGUUUUGAUCCACGAUAUAUAGUGACUACUUUUCUCUUCUAUUUAACUUUAGGGCUUGUUUGAUUCAUGCGUAAAAAUGAAAAAUAAAAUUUAACUGCUUUGGAACGGAAAAUAAAACAACGAAUCAUUCAAAAAUAUUUGGCUCAUUAAUUACUAGAAUGAAAUUGGAAUAAAAAUCAAGAAUUUUGAAAGAGGGUUUUGAUUAAGAGAGAAGAGAGUAAUGAACGGAAAAAAAGGAAAGGUGUUUGUGAGAGAGGAUUUUGAGUAGUUUACUUUGAAAUUCGCUAAUCCGAAAUUCAAAGUCAGAUUGAGUGAUAAAUGGAUCUAGCCAUUUUCAUUUCAAGGUGAAAUAGGAAUCGAAAUUUGAUUUCUAUAAAACAAAUAACAACUAUCGAAAUGAAAACCGAACACUUAUUUGAUAGAAUCUCUCUCUCUCUCUCUCUCAAAGAAGAUCACUUAUUGCAGUUGAAGUGGUUACUUAGUCAUGCACGUGGUAAAAUGCGUAGGUGUAGCGCAUCACUAUGUCAAAGAGCCUCUCCUUCUCCAUCCUCCUAGUCGUAGCUUAUGCCGCCCCAUGCUUAUCACAUGCUAAAGAUUAUUUGGGGGCGCCUAUUUAUGGAUAAAAUUAGACCUUUUAAAAGUAUUCUCAGCUUAAUUAUUUGGCGUGGGCAAUAACCAGUGCUUGGGAUCUUUAAUUAAUUAAUUUAUGUGCUUGCAUGUGCACAUAUACAUUACAAGUAAAUUCCAUGUGAUUGCAUGUGCACAUAUACAUUACAAGUACCAACGUGCUCGUAUGUAAUAGUGCGUUUGAUUAUUUAGAGACAUACAAGCUAAUGAAAUGAAAUGCGUCUUCAAAUGGUUAUAGAUACAAUAAUAAGCAACAACAUGCAGUGAAAGUAACAAUUAAUUCCAAAAGUUAUUUUCUAACAAGUUCAUUAAUAAGUUUUUAUUUAUUGGUCGAUCUAGGAUCAGGCAUGCAUGUAAAGUACGUACCACGUACAACAAGUUGCACCAUAAUGCAUGGCUCCACCCAACCUCAUGUAAAUAUCCAAUAUUUUAUUUUAUUUUUUUUUUGAUUUUCAAAAACUUAUAUUUUGUCCUCUUAAAAUUUUAAAAAUAUUUUUAGAGGAGUGGUCAAUAUUUGCAUACACUUAAGGGGAUGUUGAGUUGUCAUAUCCCAGUUGACUUAAGUGGUUGAUACUCGUGUUCCCUUACAGUUCGAUGACCUAUUGCUCAGUGUGGCCCAAGGGGCGGAGAUUGUCGGCCAUUUGCCGAUGGUUGGCUAUUAAUCAUAGUCGCAUCGAUCGCCACAGCUGACAGCAUUUCACGAGCACUAGCGGUCUGAUCCCCUGCGGGAGAGUGUUCUUUUCCGAAAAAGUGGUUAGUUGCCAACCUGUGAGCCCAGAAGUUUAUGCUAGGGUUAUAUGCCAAUUAGAGCGAUGUGGCAUUUGCAUGAGAUUCUUAGAUUGAUACGGCGGCAUAAAUUGGGUACAUUUGGACUUUUCGUCCGGUUGCUACUGUAGACUCUUCUUUACCUAUACUUGGUUACCAGUGAGUAUACUUGUCUUUGUCGACUUGUGGUACCCACUGGGAAGGAGAGAUGUGUUUACAUAUUCUCAUCCCCUACUAUUUUUUAGGUGACACAGAUGAGGUUGGUCGGGACGCAGCGUGAGGCCGUAGCUAGUGCACGGUCAUAGAGGUCUCAAUCUAUGGUAUAUGUUUUAAAUUACUUCAUAUAUAAUAUUGGACAUAUUUGUGAUAGUAUAGUUCACCCCUACACCUGUUAGUAGAUGAUAUAUGUGGUUCAGUUGAUACGUUAUACUUGCGAAUUUUUGGAUGAUGUAUUUAUGAGUUUUGGAUAUUGAUGAUUUUGAAAUUUUUGUAGCUUAGGUGCGUCGAUUGAGCAGGCGUUGUGGGUGGAGAGAGGAGAUGUAUCGGUCCAUGAGCGGGCUCAGGUGCCGGGUCAGAGUUAGGAUAGGAAGCGCCCGGUUCCAAACGAUGGAGGGCAGUCGAGCAGCAAGCGUCCGCCGGGGCCUCCACGAUCACGCACUCAGGGACAUGGGUUUUCGGGGCGACAACGUUCUGGGGGAUCUCGUCAGCCGAGACAGUCACAGGGGACUCCGCAGUGCGUGAUUUGUUGGGGACCACAUUGGCCUCGGACGUGUGAGCAGCGAGAGGACCGAUGCUUCAGUUGUGGACAGCCUGGACAUAUGAGAGCAGCUUGUUCCCGAGCAGCAUCAUCAGCACCUUCGGCGAUGUCAGCACAGCCGGCACCCCAGCAGUCCUUUGGAGCACAGCAGGACUCGAGUGGCAGAGUGUACGCAGCUCAGGUGGACUACAGCAGCCGAUCGGGUGGUGGCAGAUAUAAUUUUGAUUUCUGGUAUUAGAACUCAUACCUUAUUUGAUACUGGUACAUCACAUUCUUUUGUUAACCGAGCAUUUGCAUCAUUGUAUGGUCUAGAGUUAGGGCCGCUGUUAUAUGCACGAGAGGUGCAGAUUCCUGAUCAUGUGUUGCAUGUGGCGGAGUGUUGUUGGGCUUGUCCAGUGCAGUUGGGCCCUUGGAUUAUGCUUGCAGAUUUGUUGGUCUUAGGGCAGCUACAGGACUUCGAUGUUGUGCUUGGCAUGGAUUGGCUGGCGCGGUACUAUGCGACGAUUGACUAUGGAGCGAGGACAGUGACGUUCCACGAGCCAGGCCAGGAGGAGUUCACGUACAAAGGCUGUAGAAGUACGUUUAUUUUGAAAAUUUUUUGUAUUUGUGGCGGGUCUGUUACGUUCCUGAGUUAAGGUUUAUAAAAAAGAAAAGAUAAUUUUUUACUAACUCUAAUUUAUAAAAAUAACCCGAUGUUAAUUGGAUUUUAAAAAGGGCUCUCAGGACGUGACACCUCCAACGAGCCAUAGUUGGAGAUCUCCUGCUAAAGUCUUAUCCCAGAUUUAAGUAGAUGAUAAAACUUUACAAGGGCAUUUUAAAAUGUAAAUUGAUUGACACUAUCUACUGGCAAUUAGAUAAAAUGCAAAGGUUACAAAUUAAUUUAUUAAAUUAUUUUAAAAAUAAGACUUUGAAAUUUACGCGGUUUAGUGAUAGAUUACCAAAUUUAUAGUUGAGAUUGCUUCGAGUGGAGUGGCACUGAAUUUUAAGAAAAUGUGCAAUUUUGGAAUCAAUUUUCAACAAAACUCUCUCUUCUAUAAGCGGUAUAUAUAUAGAUAAUAUAUAAUAUCAGUUGAGUUAGAAUACUAUCGGUAGCAAAUAGGUUUUGCUGCUAUCGAUUUAUUUUCAAGAAUAAAAUCUCUAAAUUGACAAUCGGCACCGUGCAAUAUGAUCUACCCCAUUUAAAGUAUCUAGCAAUCAAAUUUUAAAUUGUUUCCUCAUCAGUUGACUCAAUUAUCAAAAUGUCGCGAAAUUUAUACUUUUACUAGUUGAUACGAGACAUUUUCUCGUUUAACGAUAUAAAGCAAUUCAAAUCAGAUAAAUUUUUGUUAGAAAAUUCUUCAAAUUAUUUAAAAUAGAAUCUACACUCUUGAUCUUGAUUGCAAUAAUUCUAUUAUUGUUUUUUGAAGGAUAUAUAUUUUCAACAGUUUAUUUUUGUGUCCAUUUGAUGCACAAAAAAAUAAUAUCAGAAAAAAUAAAAUUUAAUCUCUAGAUACUUUAAGUUGUUUAAAUGUAAUACACGGAAUUUUUGCAAUUGCGAAAUUCGAGUGUGAGCAAUGAAGUGUGGAGCUAUUCUACAUGUUCUAAAUGACUUGGACAAGUUUUUGAAUAAGUUAGAGAGUGCUUGGAAGGCUAGAAGCAUGAAAGUGCUUUACUCAGGCGAAAACCAGCUUUUUCUACUUGUUGUACCGGUACAGCCAUUAGCUUGUACCGGUACACAAUGCAGAAACGUGGCAGCUUAGGUAUUUUGGUAAUUUCACACUUGAUCUCUAUCCUUAAGGCCCCAGCUCGACCAGGGAUACUCAGUGGAGCCUGCUGGAGUUCAGAGGAGCUUUCUCCACCUUUUUUUUCUCUCUCUCUCUAGGGUUUUUCUCUCUCUACUUAGAAUUCGUCGUUUUGCGCCGUUUCCGCGCCGCGCUUGUUGCUCGCUGGUUUGGCGACUUAAAGGAGGCUUCCAGCACGUGGGAAAGAGGAGCUUUGCUGUGUUUCUAUGAGGUUACUGCUAGGGGAAGCUGAAUUUCAGUUUUAGAGAGGUAAUCAACUCGAUUUCUCUCUAGUUUCCGGUUUUAUAUUGAAUUUGGACAUCUUUUCGUGUUGGUGCUUCGAACUGGAUUAGGAGGUGUUUACAGCAGUAAAGAGGAGCUUUGUUGGCUGCUAGUUAUCCAUUUAAACUCUGUGGAACUUGCUUUAAAGCUUCAAAUGGCUAAUUAGUAAACUAUACCUCAAUUUCGGAACUAUAUGACGUUUACUUAGUCGAAUUGAUGCAAUUUGGAAUUUUUCUUCGCAGCAGGUCUUCGAGUCUCGUUGAGCUGAACUUGUACUCUUAGAAGCUGGUUUGGAAGGUAUUCUAACCUGAGGUAAGCAGGGAUUUCAGUUAGAAAACUGAAUUCGCAAGAUUUCGACUAUAUUUGCUAAUAUAUGAUGAUUUUGAUGUCGUGUUGGUGUUGAUCGCAGCGGGAGUUCGACCGACCUUUGCGUCAUCCUUGAUUGGCUUUGGGAAGCCUUUAGAGACUUAAUUGGAGGUACUAAAGUGAACCAAAACAGCGAUUUAUGUUACUACUUGAUACGAGAUGUGAAUUGAGCCGAAAUCGGACAUUUCGGCCGUAGAUUUAAUCCAAUCUUGACGUUUGUUUUUCAGCAGCAUUGGAGCUUCGUUGAGCCGAUUGUGGGACUUCUUGUGAAUAGUUGGAGCCUAGUACUAGGUGGGUUUGACCUAACCAGAGCAAGUGGAGCUCCCCUAUGUUCUAUAUGUAUCUACAGAAUAGAAUAAUCGCAUAGGUGCAUUGAGUGCAUAUGUGAUUGAUAGAGAAUUGGAAACAUAUCAUUGUGAUAUUUGAUGCUUAAGUAGAAUGAAAUCUCUAUAAAGUAGAGAACAUAUAUGCAUGAAAGUAUUUAUAUUCAUAUUCAAUUCAGUUGAAUGACUUAUGAACAAUAGAGAACAAUGACAUGCUCUUGACUCUAAAGUAGAGAACUAUGACUAUGUUGAUAGUGUCAUAAUAGUGGAAAGAUUAUAAUGCCAUGUGAUUUAGCAUUACCCUUACAUGUUUACAAUCUAGUGGAUACUAGUUCUUGUUACUAUUUGUGUAUUGAAAUUCCGAUCUGAGGAUCGAAGGUAAGAAUUGGCAAAUGAAAAUAUGAAAAUUGAGACACGUGGAUAAUGGACUUUGCUUGCUUGCCAUCGUGCUCAUUCGCACACGCUUGUGAGGGUAGCUCCCUACAAGCCGGCACUCCGGAGUUGGCCUACGCGACAGUUGCUCGCCCGUGCGGGAUUGGGUGCCGAAGUGGAUUGCCGUGGGGAGUGUAUACUACCACGGGGCCAUUAGGCGCGGCGCAAGCUGGACUACCUUGGGUAGGUCCCUGUGAAUGGAAGGAAAGUGCUUAGAAAUUUGGACAGUGAUGAAUGAUUACCAGUUACAGUGUACAGUAGUUACUUACACAUUUAUGCUUAUGUGCAUGCUUAUCAUAGUUGCUUUGCUUCUAUUAUUCAGUUGAUUCAUUACUGUUGAAGCCAUGAUUACAUGUUGCUUACAUGCUCAUUACCUGUUAGCAUUGCAUAAUUAUAUAUCUUGCAAUUACUGCUUUCGCUUUCAUUUAAUACAUCAUGAGCCUAGUGGUGUAAUUCGCCGAGGCUAGCGGCUUACCCACUGGGAACUAUUGUUUAUAGUUCUCACGCCCUUUUGGUGGUUGUUUUUACAGAGCCAUCUGCAGGAAAGGUUAGGGAUCGUGGCAAGGGAGUCACGUCUAGCUAGACUUUGCUAGGAGCGUGCUAGUCUAUCACCUUGCUACUCGGGCUACGGCCGAGGGUGAUGUCCAUUGUAUAGAGUGACUACCUUUGUACAGAUAUUUUUGUGUACCCUGUGUUGUAUAUGAGUUGUAGAUCCAGAUGUUUUAGUUCAUACUUCUUCUCCUUUUGCUGAGAUUUUGGAUUGUAUAAUCUUUGUUCAUUUACUGACAGUAUAUCGUCUUAUACAUUUCUCUGAUAUCAGGAUAGGACUCUCUUUGUUUUACUUCCUAUCGACUUGCUUUCUUGUAGACGCCUUAUAUACUGCAGGUGUAUGGCGGGUCUGUGCACGUGCCGGAUAUGCUUCCGCUGGUACCCGGGCGUGACAGAUUAUAGUGGUAUCAGAGCCUAGGGUUGAGUCUUCGUAGACCUAGCAAACCUUAGGCUGGUUGGACUAUAAGGAUAGGCUCGCGAGAGACGAUGUCUAGUUGAGGUUGUCGUUAGCGAAAGUACUUUGAUUGGGUACUUAUGAACUCCGAAUAGUAGGAGUUUGAUCGGGAUGUGCAAUUACUAACUUUGCAGAGGGUCACGUUGGCGGCCGACAACGUGACAUCGGAAGUUAGUACGCGUUACAUUUCAUUACUUUCGCUUGAUUAGNNNNNNNNNNNNNNNNNNNNNNNNNNNNNNNNNNNNNNNNNNNNNNNNNNNNNNNNNNNNNNNNNNNNNNNNNNNNNNNNNNNNNNNNNNNNNNNNNNNNNNNNNNNNNNNNNNNNNNNNNNNNNNNNNNNNNNNNNNNNNNNNNNNNNNNNNNNNNNNNNNNNNNNNNNNNNNNNNNNNNNNNNNNNNNNNNNNNNNNNNNNNNNNNNNNNNNNNNNNNNNNNNNNNNNNNNNNNNNNNNNNNNNNNNNNNNNNNNNNNNNNNNNNNNNNNNNNNNNNNNNNNNNNNNNNNNNNNNNNNNNNNNNNNNNNNNNNNNNNNNNNNNNNNNNNNNNNNNNNNNNNNNNNNNNNNNNNNNNNNNNNNNNNNNNNNNNNNNNNNNNNNNNNNNNNNNNNNNNNNNNNNNNNNNNNNNNNNNNNNNNNNNNNNNNNNNNNNNNNNNNNNNNNNNNNNNNNNNNNNNNNNNNNNNNNNNNNNNNNNNNNNNNNNNNNNNNNNNNNNNNNNNNNNNNNNNNNNNNNNNNNNNNNNNNNNNNNNNNNNNNNNNNNNNNNNNNNNNNNNNNNNNNNNNNNNNNNNNNNNNNNNNNNNNNNNNNNNNNNNNNNNNNNNNNNNNNNNNNNNNNNNNNNNNNNNNNNNNNNNNNNNNNNNNNNNNNNNNNNNNNNNNNNNNNNNNNNNNNNNNNNNNNNNNNNNNNNNNNNAUAUACAUGAAAGUAUUUAUAUUUAUAUUCAAUUCAGUUGAAUGAUUUAUGAACAAGUGUAGGAUGCACUUAUAAAGUAGAGAACAAUGACAUUCUCUUGACUCGACUCUAAAGUAGAGAACUAUGACAUGCUUAUGACUAUGUUGCUAGUGCCACAAUAGUGGAAAGAUUAUAAUGCCAUGUGAUUUAGCAUUACCCUUACAUGUUUACAAUCUAGUGGAUACUAGUUCUUGUUACUAUUUGUGUAUUGAAAUUCCGAUCUGAGGAUCGAAGGUAAGAAUUGGCAAAUGAAAAUAUGAAAAUUGAGACACGUGGAUAAUGGACUUUGCUUGCUUGCCAUCGUGCUCAUUCGCACACGCUUGUGAGGGUAGCUCCCUACAAGCCGGCACUCCGGAGUUGGCCUACGCGACAGUUGCUCGCCCGUGCGGGAUUGGGUGCCGAAGUGGAUUGCCGUGGGGAGUGUAUACUACCACGGGGCCAUUAGGCGAGGCACAAGCUGGACUACCUUGGGUAGGUCCCUGUGAAUGGAAGGAAAGUGCUUAGAAAUUUGGACAGUGAUAAAUGAUUACCAGUUACAGUGUACAGUAGUUACUUACACAUUUAUGCUUAUGUGCAUGCUUAUCAUAAUUGCUUUGCUUCUAUUAUUCAGUUGAUUCAUUACUGUUGAAGCCAUGAUUACAUGUUGCUUACAUGCUCAUUACCUGUUAGCAUUGUAUAAUUAUAUAUCUUGCAAUUACUGCUUUCACUUUCAUUUAAUACAUCAUGAGCCUAGUGGUGUAAUUCGCCGAGGCUGGCGGCUUAUCCACUGGGAACUAUUGUUUAUAGUUCUAACGCCCUUUUGGUGGUUGUUUUUAUAGAGCCAUCUGCAGGAAAGGCUAGGGAUCGUGGCAAGGGAGUCGCGUCUAGCUAGACUUUGCUAGGAGCGUGCUAGUCUAUCACCUUGCUACUCGGGCUACGGCCGAGGGUGAUGUCCAUUGUAUAGAGUGACUACCUUUGUACAGAUAUUUUUGUGUACCUUGUGUUGUAUAUGAGUUGUAGAUCCAGAUGUUUUAGUUCAUACUUCUUCUCCUUUUGCUGAGAUUUUGGAUUGUAUACUCUUUGUUCAUUUACUGACAGUAUUUCGUCUUAUACAUUGCUCUGAUAUCAGGAUAGGACUCUCUUUGUUUUACUUCCUAUCGACUUGCUUUCUUGUAGACGCCUUAUAUACUGCAGGUGUAUGGCGGGUCUGUGCACGUGCCGAAUAUGCUUCCGCUGGUACCCGGGCGUGACAGAUUAUAGUUGUUUAAAUCAUGUUCAACAAUUAAUAUCAAUCAUCAAUUCGGAGACUCUAUCAUCGAUAUAUAUAUUGGAUAAGUUAUCUAUGAUAAGUUAUUCUGGCAUCCAAACAGGGCCUUAGGCUCGAGUUCUAAUAGUUCUUAAUAAUUUUUCAUAGUUAAUAAUUAUUAAAAUUAACAGACAUCAAGAAGGAAUGAUUGAAAUAAUUAGGGAAAUUGCAUAUUACGUUCUCAAUCUUUAAUUUACUGCAAUUAAUUUGUUGCUCGAACUUUUAAAAUUAUUGCAAUCAAAUCCUAUAACUCAAUUUAGUUGACUAAAUAUUAAUAUAUCGUUAAUGUAGAGAUGACAUAAUAAUGUUAAAAAUGAUUAUGCGCAAAUAAUUAAGAUGUCACAUUAUUUUUAAUCAAUGAAGUAUUAAAUUUAGUCAACUAAAUUGAAUUUUAGGACUUGAUUGUAACAAUUUUAAAAAUUCGAACCAGAAAUUACAGCAUAUAAGUUUUAAGACUAUAGUGUUAACAACCUCAUAGUUUGAGUACCAAACGUGCAAUUUACCCAAAUAAUUAUUAAAGUUCAAAUAAUUUAGUUUGAUCUUCGAAUGUAUACUUUUCAAAGAACCAAGUUCUUGAUUAUUGUAUGUCAUUACCAAUAAUAGGGCGUCGAAAUUGACUAUGGAUGCCAUUUAAAAUGAUAUAUGGCAUGCGAAAUUCAUGAAAAUAAAUUUCAUAAUUUUUUAUAUUAUUCAUAUAUUAUGUAAGCAAUUCCAAAAUUAAAAACUUUCAUCAACAAUUGUAAGGUAAGGUAUAUUUAAAAUUAUUUGAUUACUAAAUAAACAAUAUCAUAAAAUGGUAAAAUUUUAGAAUUUAAGUUUAAAAACUUUACAUUUAAGUUUUUUUAAAAUUUAAAAUUUUUUAUUCUUUAAAAUUUAAAUUUAAAUUUAAAAUAUAAACUUUUGAAGUUUAAAAUUUAAAUCUUAAAAUUUGAAAUUGAAAUUUUAAUAUUUGAAAUUUAAUAUUUGAAUUUUUUAAUUUAAUUUAUAAUUUAAUAUUUAAAAUAUUAAAAUUUGAAAUUUAAAAGUUAAAACUUAAAAUUUAAAAAUUUUAUAUUUUAUCUUAAUUACUAAAACCAAAUUUUAAAAUAUUCAAAAUUUAAGAUUUAAAAUUUUUAAAUUCAAGUUAUAAAUUUAAUAUUUAAAAUAUUGUAAUUUGAAAUUUAAAAUUUAAAACUUACAAUAUAAAAAUUUUAUAUUUUAUCUUAAUUACUAAAACUAAAAUUUUUAAUUUUACAUAUUUUAACUUUAAAUUUUAGUUCCUAAAUUUUAAAAUUUUCAUUCUAUAUUCAAAUUUUGAAUUUUAAAAUUUAAAAUAUAAAAUCUAAUAUUUGAAACCUAAAAUUUUAAAUUUGAUAUUUGAUAUUUAAAAGUUAAAAAUAAUAUUUAAAAUCUAUGUCUGAAAUAUGUUUAUUUGAAAUUCAUUAAUUUAGAAUUUUAAAUCUGAAUGAUAGUUUAAAAUUCUACUAUAAAAGAAAAUUUUAAAUUUAAAUUUUAAAUCGAAAAUCAAACUGAGAUUUUAGGUUGCCGAUGUUGAUCCGCCGCGAAGCGCGGGCCCUAAACUAGUUUAACAUGAUAUGGAGGUAGUUCUCUUCUCCUCCUAUUUAAUUAUUCUACAUUUUGGGCCUCCUUUCAUUAAACUAUUUAAAAAUUUCUCUAGAUUAGGCACAUGUGAAACAAAGUGUUAAAUAUAAGUAUUAAAAAUAUCAUUCUCUCUGUUACGAUAAACACACAAACAAAAACGAAUAUGACGAAUAUGAAAUAAACAAACCACAGAAAUAAAAGAGAACACACAGAUUUACGUGAAAAACUCUUUGCAGGAAAAAACUACGGGCGAGAAAGGAGAGGACUUCACUAUCGAAAAAAAAGAAUAUAAUGUUCGAAGUACAACCAGCAUUAAUCUGUCGCCUCUAGGGCAAAAAUGAAAAAAAAAAAUUCUUAACGGGUUUUGGAUCCGAUCCGUAUAGUAGGGGGCUCUCCCCCUUCCCCCGGGGAAUGUCAAUGGUGGGUUACGGACUCGGGCCCGUAGCUACCCACCACAGGCAUUCAUUUUUUCCUUCACAAUUUUAUUUCAAAAGUCGCACCGCAACUACCGGCAAGUUGAAGUCCCGAACUAAAGUCGAUUAUCAAUUUCGACUCACAUCUAACACUCCCUUUAAUCUUUCAAUGGUUGUUUCAUAGUAAAUAAUGUUUAAAUGUGUCGAUUAUUUAUUCUGAUGAUCCUUCAUCGAAAUGCCUUGAAAGCUGAACUUAGUAUAAAGUAUUUUUAAUUCCUUUUUUCUUGCUCCAUAUAAAAUUUUCUCCUAAACGACAACCACUACUACAGUUUUAGUUUUUUAAGUAUGACAAUUCUAAAGCUGUCCAAAAUAUCCGAUAUACCAUACUCAACUCAGACCCUAUCCGGACCCGAUAAAAAAUGGAUAGUACACGGGUAAAAAAAAUUACCCAUUAAAAUUUUGGGUAUGAGUCUGGACUCAAUACCCAAGUUGGACCCAACCCGAACCCAACUAGAUAGAGGCUAGAAUCGUUUUCAAAUCCUGAUCUAGAUCCAAACCUAGACCCGAUAAAAUAUUCCAUAGUAAAGAAGAAAAAAAUUAAACUUUUGAAAUUGAAGGAUCAAUUUUAAUAGGAUUUACAGAUGAGGGGUCUCUAAGUAUUUUCAUCCUAGUGAAACACUGAAACCCUAAUCGCUCUUUUACUCUGUUCUUUUUAAUAAUCUUUUCUCUUUAUUUUUCACUCUUUAUUAUUUUAUUUUAUUUCUGCCUAAAAGUUUUUUAUAAAACAAUAUUUUCAUUGUCGUCAUCAUCAGCAAUAUUAAUUCUCUACGGGCAUGGAACAGGUGAGUUUUUCCUAAAUCCCUUUUCAAAUCAUAGUCGACAAACUAAUUUUUUUAAUAAAUAUUCUACGGCUAAUUUGCAUAAAAAAUCUAUUAGUUUUGAGUUUUUGCAAAAGUAAGUCGACUUUUUGAAUUUUGCAGAUACGGGCCGAAUUUUCAGAAAGAUGACCAAACUAUCCCUCUUUCAAAAUAUAUAAAAAUUAUAUGCUUUAAAUGCCUAGAAAAAUACAACUGCUAAGCCAUUAAGUGUGAAAUUUCUAGAAAAUGACAACUGCCAAGCCAUAAUAACAUAUAUAUAUAUCUUUCUCGUGAAACGAGAAUUAUCAUUCAAGAUAAAAUAAAAAGAAUAAAACAUAAUUAAUAAGAUGAAAGAAUACAACAUCCUCUCAAAUAGUACAACAUGCUCUUCCAAAUAGUGCAAUAUUUGUAUAAAUAGUGCAACAUAUGCAUUGCUAAUACAUUUUGUACAAUUUAGUAUAUUACGUGAAAAUAAUAUAAUAUAUUACAACAUACUAUAAAAAUUAUAGAAUAUAUGUACAAACGGUAUAUAUUUUAUACUAUUUGUACAUAUAUUUAUAAUAUUUGUGUAAACGUUGCACUAUUAUGAGAGGAUAUUGCACCAUUUAGAUGUGUGUUGUACUCUUUCUUUUUGAAAAUUAAAUUUCAUUGCAUAUUAAAUAAAGUGUCAAAUUUCUUGAAAGUGACAACUGCUAAGCCAUAGUUACAUAUACCUUUCUCGUGAAACGGAAAACCUGAUUCAAGACAAAAUAAAAAAAAUAAUGAAUAAUUAAGAUAAAAGAGUGCAACAUUCUCUCAAAUAGUGCAACAUGCUCUUCCAAAGAGUGCAAUAUAUGUAUAAGUAGUGCAACAUAUGCAUUAUUAAUACACAUUUUACAUGAUUUUUACACAAAAUUACAUACAGUUUAGUAUAUUACGCGAAAAUAAUAUAAUAUAUUAAUGUACAGUUUAGUAUAUUACGUGAUUUUUACAUGAUUUUUACACUAAAUUAUGUACAGUUUAGUAUAUUUUGCAUGAGUGGAUGUUGCACUCUUUCAUCUUAUUAAUUAUACUUUAUUCUUUUUAUUUUGUCUUAAAUGAGUUUCUUGUUUCACGAGAAAGGUACAUGUAAUUAUGGCUUAACAGUUGUCAUUUUUAAAAAAUUUUACACUUUAUUUAAUAUGCAAUGAAAUUUAAUUUUCAAAAAGAAAAAAUGCAACACACAUUUAAAUGGUGUAAUAUCCUCUCAUAAUAGUGCAAUGUUUAGACAAAUGGUAUAAAUAUUUAUACAAAUAAUAUAAAAUAUGUACCGUUUGUAUAUAUAUUAUAUAAUUUUUAUAGUAUGUUGUAAUAUAUUAUAUUAUUUUCGCGUAAUAUACUAAACUGUAGAUAAUUUAGUAUAAAAAUUAUGCAAAAUGUGUAUUAACAAUGCAUAUGUUGCACUAUUUAUACAGAUAUUGCACUAUUUAGAAGAGCAUAUUGCACUAUUUGAGUGAAUGUUGCACUCUUUCAUCUUAUUAAUUAUAUUUUAUUUUUUUUAUUUUGUCUUGAAUGAGAAUUCUCGUUUCACGAGAAAGUUAUUUGUAAUUAUGGCUUGACAGUUGUCAUUUUCGAGAAAUUUUACACUUAAUGAUUAGCAGUUGUAUUUUUUUAGGCAUUUAAAGUAUAUAAUUUUUGAAAGAUGGGUAGUUUGGUCAUCUUUCUGAAAAUUCGGUCCGAUUCUACAAAAUCUAAAAAGACGGUAUAGUUUUACAAAAGCUCAAAACUAAUAGAUUUUUUAUGCAAAUUGGCCAUAUUCUAUUUUUUAAAUUUUCUAAUUUCUUUUUUUUUAAUGUUAGUAUAUAAUAUUAGUAAUUACUGCAUCUUAUUCUCUUUAUCUACGAUAUGGUAUCACAAUUUUCUUGUUUUGUGCAUUUGCAUAUGAAAUUGUUUUGAAUUUUCGAUUUUUAAUUGGCCAAUAUAAUUGCCUAAACAAGCUCUUCCCAUACAAUUUAAUAAAAUGUAUAAAUAUAUAUAUAUAUAUAUACAAGCAUCCGUACCUGAUUUAGACUCCACCCGUAUCCGAUCUUGAAUGAGUAGUACACGGGUAGUCACUAUCCAGACCUACUCAAAUAGACCCGAUGGGUAUAUAAAUAAUUUAAGUACCCAGAUCCGGACCCAACCCGAGAUUGAAUGUGUAGAGUUUUUUUUUCUAACUAUUUUUUUAAAGUAUAGAUACAGUAUAUCAACUAUCCAAAUCCGAUCCAAUUCACGAAAACCUUUAGACAAUUCUUUUUAUGAACUUGAAUCCCUAGAGAUAUGCCUUAAUGGUGCGGGGAUGGGGAGGAUUGUCCCACGAAGACCGCAACAGGGGAGAUAUUCCCGAUUUACGAGAACAGGGCCGGGAUGGAAACAUUAUUAUAUAGUUAUUAAUGUAUUUAUAAAUAUAAAAUGCUAACUUCGAUGCAUGCAAUAGAUAUUAAAUUUAAUUAGAUAUACUUAAUAAUCUAACUGUACAUAAAAAGUAAACGUAAUAGUUAAAUAAAAUUUUGCCUUUUUGCAUAAAAAUACACCAAUUUUACAUUUUUGCGAAAUCGGGCUAAUAUUUUAAAUUUUACAAAUUCGGUUCAAAUUUUUAAUAAACUGAUUAAAAUGCCUUUAUUUUUUUUCUCUUUUUCUUAACGGAUAUAGCAUAUAAUCACAGAGGUUAACUUGCGGCGGAAUGCAUGACCGUGAAUGGUAACUACGAUGAGGGUACUGAUGGAUUUAAAAAUGAUGAGAAGUGAGAGUGCAUCAGGCUGGAGCAAAGGCUGCAGCAAAGGGCGAGGGAGGGAGGACAAUAGCGAAAAAGAUGCAAAGGGUGAAAAAAAGAAUAAAAAAAAAGAAUAAAAAAAAAAUUUUUUUCUCCUGAGAAUACUAUUAUGUGUAGUUGCUGCUACAGAAAAGGCCACAAUCAGUGAGAAAAAAGGAAAAAGAUAAAGUUGUACUAUACAGUUUGAGACGAAUGUUGCACUCAAAGUUGUACUCAUUAAAAAAAAAAAUUAUAUUGUUUGAGACAAAAGUUACACUCUUUGAGACAAAAAUCAUACUGCUUGAACGAAAAUUGCACUGUUUGAGAAAAAAUUAUACUAUUUGCAAAAAGUUGCACUCUUUAGGUAGAAAUUAUGCUUUUUGAACGAAAGUUGUACUUUUUGAAAAAAUUAUAUUAUUUAAAACUAUUUGAGACUAAAUUACAUCAUAGAAUGUAAAAGUUGUACUUUUUUAGACUAAAUAAAAGUGUCCGUGGAGCUUGUGGGAUCUCGGUAGUUGAUAUAUAGAAGUUAUACUUUUUUAGACUAAAUAAAUAUAUGCGUGAAUUGGGUCGGGUUUGAGUAGUUGAUAUAUUAUACUAGCACCCUAAAAAGAAAUGGGUAGGAAGGCAAAUUUAUGUCAUACCUAUUUAACUUGGGGUCUAAUUCGAGUCUAGAUAUUUAAGAUACUAAUACCCAUCGGUCUAGUUGAGUAGUUCUGGAUAGUGACUAUCCACAUACUAUUCACUUAAGAUUGGGUACAGGUCGCAUCUAGAUUGGGUAUGAAUACCCGUAUGCACAUGUUUUUUAUAGACUAUUAACCAUGUGACGCCCCAACUUCCCAAUAGGUCACCCAUUUUAGAAUUACUUCCAUCCUAGCACACUCAACUCUUUUAACUUCUUAGACCUAGCUAUCGUUCAAAAUGCUUAAAUCAGGUUAAAAAAUUAUUAUUAUUAUAUCUUAUAUAUAGAACUAUCUUGAGUCUCACAUUCUCCCUCUCUCAAGCCCUGAAGUUCUCGUUAAACUCAAACUCACAAGUAUUAGGCCGUUAAGCUCACAUUCACAAGUAUUAGGUGAUGUAAGACUCGUCUCGCUAGUCUAAACCGACCUUAUGGUGAGUUGCGCUCCACCCACACCAGUCAACUGUAUAAGAGUCUCGCUCUCCCCGCUGUAUAAUUCUGGCUCGGCCUAGACUCAUCUUAAACUUCCGACUAGUAAUUAGCUUUGAUACCAAUUGUGAUGCCCUAACUUAAUUCCCAGGGGGUCACACAUCCAAUGACUACUCCCGUCCUAACACGCUUAACUUUCUUAACCUCUUGGACCUAGCCACAGCUCAAAAUGUUUAAGCCGGAUUAAAAGUUUAGCCAUAUUAUAUCUUAUUUAUAGGAUUAUUUGGAGUCUCACAAAAUAAUCUUUGGAUAAACCAUAAAUCUCUCACUAUAGAAAUUAACCUCGUGUUCUAAUGAGUUACACCUAGUCAGAGGGAUCAAAAAGGCAAAAAGAGUGGCUAGGGUUUGAUUUUAUUUAUUUAUUUAUUUAUUCUACUCCUUUCCUUAACUCCAGCAAUAAACAAGGAUCUAUUUAGAGUGGAAUAUUCAAGCAAUAAACAGAGCGGCUGGGGUUAAAAGAAAUAAAGAGUAAAAAAAAAAAUAAAUAAAUAAACAUAGCAGCUAGUUUCACUAGAAUGAAAAUACAUAGAGACCCCUUAUCUAUAAAUCCUAUUGAAAUUGAUUCACCAACUUUAAAUUUUUUUUAUUUAUUAUUGAAUAUUUUACUAGGUCCGGAUCCGGAUUCGGAUUUGAAAACUAUUCUAAACCUACCUAUUAAAUGAUCAGUUUCGGAUGAGGUCCAAGUCAGGUAUGGUUUCAGAUCCAUACUCAAAACUUUAAUGAAUUCUUUUUACCCGUAUACUAUCUAUUUUUUAUCAAAUCUAUUUUUUUUUUAUACAAGAAGUAACGGUGAUUUGGUGAUUUUGUCCUCUCGAUUAGUACCGUAUUUCUCCGAAAAUAUUUCUGAAAUAUUUAUGAAAUUUUAAAUAGCAAAAUAUAAGUUUCUAAAAGUUAUCAAAAAAAAUUAAAAAGUUAAAUAUUUAUAGAAAAAAUUUCUAUAAUUUUAGUAAAAAAUAUAUUUAAUUUAUUUUUAAAAAUGUGUAGAACUUUCGUAGGAUGGUGAUCUUAAAAACCCGCGAAAAAGGGCGUCAGCCAAGGGGCCCCGCUCUGUUGCAAUCCUUAUAUUUUCUACUCCUUCUGACGUGGCAGACUGGCACACUAGGCCGCCACAGUCAGUCAGUCUAGGGCCUUUCGGGCUUUCAAACCGUACGCUUCGAGAAGGCCCGAACCCGCAUAGAUGCUUCAUUCCCGACAAGGACACAUUGAUUAAGAAUCAAUAGAAAACUAAAUCAACCGCAUCAGUGCUUAAGCCUACCCCAAAUUGUACCCCUGCAUGUGUCCCCUGCUUCAAUUCAUUCUAAUUCGGAGAAAAGCAAAGAGAUUCGAUACCAUCUCAAUUACUUUGACGCCGAUUCAAUUCACCGCUCAAUCACUUGUCGUGAACUUCUAUUUUAGUCUAUUGAACAGAGUUGGUAAGCUAUUAUUAAUUUGUGACGAGAAAAAUAGAAAAAAAUAAUUGAUUAUUUAAACUUUAGACUGAAUUUAUAUAACAUCUUGAACUUUGAACUUCGGUGUUUAUAAAAACGUGAGAAAUAUAUUUUUAUUAUAAUAGAAUAAAGAGUUCAAAGUGGGUGGUCAAUUAUGACAAAAAUAAGAAGAUCAAAAAACAUCUGAUGUAUAUAGUAUUACCGUUUAAAAAUAAAAAAUAAAAAAAUGCAGGCGCAAACGCCAAACAAGGCUCGAAUUUUUUUUUUUUUUUUUUUGAACUUCGAGCACUGAACCGUGAGCAGGCGAAAGCUCACAUGCAUGGUGUGGUGAGCUUCCACUCUUGAAAUAAGAGUAUUUGGUGAGCUUCCACUCUUGAAAUAAGUAUUUAACCAGAUAACUGCUGUACCUUGGGUAUGCUAUUUGGUGCGCCUAACACUAGCUACUAAUUUUGCCAACGCGCACAAUUUUGCGUUUGAAGUCGUAGAGAUUCACGUGGGGUCGCGCACAUUUCUGUGUUUGAAGUCGUAGAGAAUUACGUGGGGUCACAAUUAUACAUACGUGUGUGUAUAUAUAUAUAUAUACAUUUCUGUGUUUGAAGUCUUAGAGAAUUACGUGGGGUCACAAUUAUACUUAUGUGUGUGUGUAUAUAUAUAUACAUUUCUGUGUUUGAAGUCGUAGAGAAUUACGUGGGGUCACAAUUAUACAUACGUGUGUGUAUAUAUAUAUACAUUUCUGUGUUUGAAGUCGUAGAGAAUUACGUGGGGUCACAAUUAUACAUAUGUGUGUGUGUAUAUAUAUNCAAUUGUGAUGCCCUAACUUAAUUCCCAGGGGGUCACACAUCCAAUGACUACUCCCAUCCUAACACGCUUAACUCUCUUAACCUCUUGGACCUAGCCACAGCUUAAAAUGUUUAAGCCGGAUUAAAAGUUUAGCCAUAUUAUAUCUUAUUUAUAGGAUUAUUUGGAGUCUCACAAAAUAAUCUAUGGAUAAACCAUAAAUCUCUCACUAUAGAAAUUAACCUCGUGUUCUAAUGAGUUACACCUAGUCAGAGGGAUCAGAAAGGCAAAAAGAGUGGCUAGGGUUUGAUUUUAUUUAUUUAUUUAUUUAUUUUACUCCUUUCCUUAACUCCAGCAAUAAACAAGGAUCUAUUUAGAGUGGAAUAUUCAAGCAAUAAACAGAGCGGCUGGGGUUAAAAGAAAUAAAGAGUAAAAAAAAGAAAAAAUAAAUAAACAUAGCAGCUAGUUUCACUAGAAUGAAAAUACAUAGAGACUCCUCAUCUAUAAAUCCUAUUGAAAUUGAUUCACCAACUUUAUUUUUUUUUAUUUAUUAUUGGAUAUUUUACCGGGUCGGAAUCCGAGUUCGGAUUUGAAAACUAUUCUAAACCUACCUAUUAAAUGAUCAGUUUCGGAUGAGGUCCAAGUUAGGUAUGGUCUCAGAUCCAUACCCAAAACUUUAAUGAAUUUUUUUUACCCGUAUACUAUCUAUUUUUUAUCAGAUUUAUUUUUUUUUAUACAAGAAGUAAAGGUGAUUUGGUGAUUUUGUCCUCUCGAUUAGUACCGUAUUUCUUCGAAAAUAUUUAUGAAAUUUUAAAUAGCAAAAUAUAAGUUGCUAAAAGUUAUCAAAAAAAAUUAAAAAAUUAAAUAUUUAUAGAAAAAAUUUCUAUAAUUUAACUAAAAAAUAUCUUUAAUUUAUUUUUAAAAAUGUGUAGAACUUUCGUAGGAUGGUGAUCUUAAAAACCCGCGAAAACGGCGUCAGCCAAGGGGCCCCGCUCUGUUGCAAUCCUUAUAUUUUCUACUCCUUCUGACGUGGCAGACUGGCACACUAGGCCGCCACAGUCAGUCAGUCUAGAGCCUUUCGGGCUUUCAAACCGUACGCUUCGAGAAGGCCCGAACCCGCAUGGAUGCUUCAUUCCCGACAAGGACACAUUGAUUAAGAAUCAAUAGAAAACUAAACCAACCGCAUCAGUGCUUAAGCCUACCCCAAAUUGUACCCCUGCAUGUGUCCCCUGCUUCAAUUCAUUCUAAUUCGGAGAAAAGCAAAGAGAUUCGAUACCAUCUCAAUUACUUUGACGCCGAUUCAAUUCACCGCUCAAUCACUUGUCGUGAACUUCUAUUUUAGUUUAUUGAACAGAGUUGGUAAGCUAUUAUUAAUUUGUGACGAGAAAAAUAGAAAAAAAUAAUUGAUUAUUUAAACUUUAUAUAACAUCUUGAACUUUGAACUUCGGUGUUUAUGAAAAACGUGAGAAAUAUAUUUUUAUUAUAAUAGAAUAAAGAGUUCAAAGUGGGUGGUCAAUUACGACAAAAAUAAGAAGAUCAAAAAAACAUCUAAUGUAUAUAGUAUUACCGUUUAAAAAUAAAAAAUAAAAAAAUGCAGGCGCAAACGCCAAACAAGGCUCGAAUUUUUUUUUUUUUUUUUUUUUUGAACUUCGAGCACUGAACCGUGAGCAGGCGAAAGCUCACAUGCAUGAUGUGGUGAGCUUCCACUCUUGAAAUAAGAGUAUUUGGUGAGCUUCCACUCUUGAAAUAAGUAUUUAACCAGAUAACUGCUGUACCUUGGGUACGCUAUUUGGUGCGCCUAACACUAGCUACUAAUUUUGCCAACGCGCACAAUUUUGCGUUUGAAGUCGUAGAGAUUCACGUGGCGUCGCGCACAUUUCUGUGUUUGAAGUCGUAGAGAAAAUUACCUGGUGUCACAAUUAUAUGUGUGUGUGUGUGUGCGCGCGCGCGCGCGCGCGCGUGUGUGUAUACAUGUGUGUGUGUGUUUGUGCGCGCGCGCGCGCGUGUGUGUAUACAUGUGUGUGUGUGUGUGUGUGUGUGUGUGUGUGUACAUUUCUAUGUUUGAAGUCGUAGAGAAUUACCUGGGGUCACAAUUAUACAUACGUGUGUGUGUAUAUAUAUAUACAUACAUAUAUAUAUAUAUAUAUAUAUAUAUAUAUAUUAUAUAUUAAUAUAUAUAUAUAGUCCGGCAUAUGGUGCUUGUAAAAGUACCAAGCAUUUAGUGUUUGUAAGUUUUUUACCGUUAGAUCUACGCCUUUAAUCAUUUUUACCAGUUAGAUUAUACUAUUCAAUCAACUAACCAUUCAACCUAGGACGGUCCACAUCAUCCUAACCGCACAUCCUUAAUCCAAGGGCCGAAACCUUACAAGCAAAAAAAAACUUGACUACUUUAAAAAUAUAGGAGCUCAAUUCUAUUAUAUAUAUUAUAUAUAUAUAUAUAUAUAGAGAGAGAGAGAGAGAGGAGAGAGAGAGAGUAGGCUGCUAGACUAUCAGUAGCACGGACGCUUCGUGCUACCAAGUGUUUCAUGAUGCUACUUCCAAAUCGACGAGGCGGCUCCGUUAGACUUGAUCUACACUAUUGAAAGUAUUCGGAACUAAAUUCUCAUUUUUUCGGUAUAUUAUUAUCAAACGAGUAGUCUAAAUAAAUGGCUAAAAUAAAAUUCAUAAAAAAUGAUGAUAGAAGACUUGAAUUUAAGAUCAGAGAUAGAUCUUACUAUAAAUAGUAAAAGAAAUUUUCUAUAAAAAUUUUAUCUGAUUUGAAUUGGUUUUACAUCUGUAAAUUUAUAAAUAAUCACAUCUACCAUUAAAAUUGUUAAUUUGAGACUUAUCAUUAGCCAAAUGCAUGAUGUCUAAAAAUUCAAAUUUAGUUUCCAAAUACUUCAAUAGUGUAAAUAAGUCUAACGGAACAGACAUCGACUUUGAAGACGCGAAUCAGCGAACAAACUUGUAGCACGGAAGCCUCCGUGCUGACGAUAGUAUAGCAGCCGGACUUAUAUAUAUAUAUAUAGAGUUGAGCUAGAAUUACUCUCGAGAGUAAACGAGCCCCGUUUACUCUCGAGUUGUUUUCGAUGAUAGAGCUUCCAAAUGACAUCGGUCCGGUUGAACAUGAUUUAUACCACUUGAAGUGUUUAGAAAUAAAUUUCAAAUCUUUUCGACAUUAUUUGCCUAAUGGAUCAAAGGGUUUCAAAAUUUGUUAAUUUUAAUGGUGGAUAAGAGACGUUUUCUCGUUUAACGUGUAAAUAUCCAAAUUAAUUGAAUUUGUUUAGAAAAUUCUUUAAACUAUUUAAAACAAGAUCUAUACUCUUGAUCUUGAAUUACAAGAUCCUUAUCAUCAUUUUUUAAAAAUAUUCAUUUCAGCCAUUCAUUUUUUCUGUUCACUAGAUGGAUAUAAAACAUAUCGAAAGUGCGUGAAAUCUGAUUUCUAUGUAGUUUAAAGGUUUAGAUAUAUUAACGAGGCCGACGUCAAUUUUGAAGCUCUAUCAUCGAAAACAACUCGAGAGUAAACGGGCUCGUUUACUCUCGAGAGUAUUCUAGCUCAACUCUCCUCUCUCUCUCUCUCUCUCUCUCUACUAUAAUAUAUAAUAUUAUAAUAUAUAUAUAUAUAUAUAUAUAUAUAUAUAUAUGAAUUGAGCUCCUAUACUUUUAAAAGUACCAAGUUAGUGGUGCUUGUAGAUUUUUAGCCAGAUUAAUGGUUGUACGGUUAGAAUAAAGUGGGCCCCCUAGGAUUGAGUGGUUGGUUGGUUAAAUAGUAUAAUCUAAUUGUUGAAAAUGAUCAAAGGCGUAGAUCUAAUGGGAAAAAAUUUACAAGUACCAAAUGCUUGGUGCUUUUACAAGUACCAUAGCCGGACUCUAUAUAUAUAUAUAUAUAUAUAUAUAUAUAUUCAGGAUUCUAUUGCAAAGUGAAGCAGGAUUUAUUAGUACAUUAAGCGAAAAUAUGAGAAAACAUUUUACUGAUGAUACAANNNNNNNNNAUAUAUAUACUUCUCUUCAUUUUCUUUUUAUUAUUAGUACUACUUGGACCAGGGCCCCCGCAGACCACUCUCCCCCACCACGCGGACAACUGUCACUCUCCCAUGAGCCCAUCUUCUUCCCACGCGUCUUCUCACGAAUCACAUAUAAAUGUCGCUCGAUCUCAUCCUAAUUAGAUUCCAACACUAAUAUCUCUCUCUCUCUCUCUCUCUCUCUCUCUCUCUCUCCACCACCACCACCACCACUCCAUAUAUCAUCCUCUUUUACCCACUCGGAUAUUCGAACUCGGUCGAAAGAAGCGGAAUUUGAUGACGAAAUCAGCGGCGGAGGAGGCGGCGGCGGCGGCGGCGGAGAGAAGGUAUAAGGGGGUGCGGCGGCGCAAGUGGGGGAAGUUCGUGUCGGAGAUCCGGCUGCCCAACAGUCGGAACCGGAUAUGGCUCGGCUCCUACGACACGCCGGAGAAGGCGGCCCGCGCUUUCGACGCCGCCGCCGUCUGCCUCCGCGGGCCCCUAGGCAGCGGCCGGCUCAACUUCCCCGACUCCCCCCCGCAGCUCUCCUCCUCCGCCACCGCCGCCAUGACCCACCAGCAGAUUCGCGAGGCGGCUGCCAGCCACGCCAACCGCGCCGCCCGCGCCACAACUCAACAGCAGCAGACGGCGGCGGCAGAGUCGCCGUCGACGGAGGAGGCGUCGGACGGGAUGACGCCGGAGAGCGAGGAGGCGGUAGACUGGUCGUACAUGGAUUUGAUAUCGCCGGUCGGCGCGAAGGCUGCGGCGAAAACUGCAGCUGCGGCUGCGGCUGCGGCGGCGGCGGCGCUUCGGAUUCCGGGUCGAUUCUUUGGAGCUUCUAAUUAAGAGAGAAGCCACAACAAUUCAUUCGUUAAAAUUUAUUUAUUAUUUAUUCGUUCAUUCGUUCAUUCGUUCAUUCAAUUACAUACUCAAGAGAGAGAGGGCUCGGCAAGUUUUUGUUUGCCCAAUACUUCUCUCCGGCACAUCGCCGGGAUUUUUGAGUUCCUCAGCGACGUUGCCUCUUUUUUUUCUUUUCUUUUCUUUUCUUUUUUUUUUUUUUUUUUUUUUCCAACAUGAUUGGCUAAGAGAUUCAUUAAUUAAUUUGUUCUUUGUAUUAGACACGUGGUAUAAGGACUUUAUAUUUUUUUAUUAAAUAAAUAAAUAGUAAACAUCACGUGGUUGUCAUUUUGUGAGUUUUUGGUCCCUGCAAUAAUUGCUUUUUGUUCACCCCUGUAACAACUGCACGAGUGUGCAGGACACUUGUCAACAAAAUAAUAUUUAAAGAUUCAAUAUAUCGCAAUUUAAUAUUUGGAUCGCUUAACAGAGAUUAGUAGAGAGCGACUUUUAGAAUUAAUUAAUUAUUGACGAGAGAAUUAUGGGGUACGUUUAACCUUAUCGCAUUUGAGUUAAUUACCGUAUUGGUUGGGAUUUUAUCUCUCUUUCUACACAUAAGAUAGAAAUAAGAUGUAAUAUUAUCUUUUUUAUGUUGUUUUCUUCAUACUUGAAUUACUUAUUCCUUCCCAUGUGAUAAGAAUGAGGACUAUUGGUGCAGAAACUCUUAUUAUAUAUUGUCAAACCUCUUAAUAUCUUUUCUUAAUUAUAUUACUAAUGUCGUUAAUUUUCAUAAUUUAUUCUACAUUAUUAUUUAGUUGAAUCUUCAAAAAUAUGUUACCAACUACUGUUACAUCACUUAAGUAAGGUAUAUAUAUAAGAGCAUGGAAGGAUUAAGUAAUUCAAGUUUUGAACAACAAGUAGCAAUCAAUAAGAUGGAAGAUCCAAAAAUUGAAGUCACGAAAAAAUAAAUUACAGGAGUCAAGCUCUCCAACACGAGAAGCUAUGCAUGAGAUGAAGGAUCCAGAGAUAGGAAUGGAGUUUGAAAAUUAAGAUAGAGCAUAUGAAUAUUGCAUGCAAUUGAUAUGUUUGAAAAUAUUAGAUAGAUUGGUCUUCCACAAAUGUUAUACGAGCGAUCGAUAUGGUUCGUAUGGUCACGAGUGGCUUAGAUCUUGCGAGAAGAUCGAAGAGGUGACUUGUGUGGCCAUGACAUAGAGAAAGGGAGCUAGAUGAAAGGGCUUCUAAUAGUCCUAUGUAUGGAGAAAGAGAGAGAUAAAAGUUAGUGGAGGUAGGAUUAAAUCACAUAAUUCUCUCAUCAAUAAUUAAUUAAUUUUCCUAAUUAAUUAUUCUACAUGUCACCCUCCAUUAGUCUAUAUUAAGUGAUCCAUGUGGCAAGUUGUGAUUGGAUCUUCAAAUAUUAUUUUGUUGGGGUGCCUUACACCAAAGCCAAACUCGUAUAGUAUUUCUAAUUAUUUCUAAAUCCGGCUCCUAUAAAUCAAAUUAUUAUUAAUAUUGUAUUACUAUAAGCAAAAUUGUAGUAUGAAGUGAUGGUUGGCACUUCUAUAGAGUGCCGAACUGAGGUGGAGCUAUUUUGACGCGAAAAUGGACCACCCUGGAGACUAAACUCAGUUUAAUCUGUGUUUUUGAGCUUUCCGGAUGCUCAGGUGUGAUCUACGGCCCUCGGAGGUGGCGAGCUAUGGAGCAAGGGAUCCAGAUGGUGAUUCCGAAUGCCCGACAUUACUGCAGAUGGACUCGGGGUGUUGAGGUUGUCAGAUCCUUGACGCUAACCAUUAAUCCCAAAAACUCGAGCUGUUAGAAAUACGCAAUCAAUUCAUUUAAAGCGUAUAGAUGCCGCAUCCACGAGUCUCGAUUCCGGCUUGGUUUAACCAGUCUUACGUCACUUCGAACAUGACUCGGCCCAACAUGGCCUCCCUCCACAGGGUAGAAUGCUGAUUCCUUUAAGCCAACAAUCCCUCCUCCGGUACCUAUACAAAUUCGUAGCAUGCGAGAAUCAAACUCAUAACCUCUGGCUCUAAUACCACUUGUCGGAUCAUUGGUGCUAAUCAUUAAUCCCAAAAGUUCGAGCUGUUAGACAUACACAGCUAAUUCACUUAAAACAUGCAUAAAUAAUGCCCACGGGUCUUGAUGUUGACUCAGCCCAAUUGCCUCACACCACUUUGAAAAUGACUUAGCCCAAUCCAGCCCUUCGCCAUUUCGAACAUAACUCGGCCCAACUCCGCCUCCCGCCGCCACAAGGUAGAAUGCUAGCCCCUCUAAGCCAACAGAGGUCACCACUUACCCAUUCUUACGGUGCCUAGAAAUUGCUGUACGUAGUAGUCUAUCUGGAAGUGUGAUGGUGAUCGAGUCGGUAAGUGGUGAACUGGUGACACAGCAAGUGACUUAGCAGGGGAUAUAUUUGGGCACGGGAUUCUUCGGAUGCCUGAAAGUACUGCGCAGGCGCAACUCCGAUAGUUUCAAGUGGGCCAUUGCAUGUUGUGAGUGCCCAAAUGCCUUCGGCUACGAGGUUACGUACGCACGAAAGUGGUCCUGACUCCUGAGCACUCACUCGAACCUAGUGUUUUUGGCCUAAGGCUAAUUUCUGACAAUUGGAGGGCUUAUCUGCUAUUUUUCUCAGCCUAUAAAUAGUCUAGGGUGCUGUUAUUUUCCCUUUUUAUCCCUGUUGAUCUGAACACUUUUCCUUUUUUACUUCUUUCUCCAUUGAGCUUCAAUAAGCAUUUUGGACACAGCUUGAGGUCAGCCCAGGAGGUGGAUUCCUUUCCAACUGGGGUCUUGUGGAUGGUCUGGGAGGUACGCGUAGCUGAGUGGAGAAGAUCCUGUAGAGUGGGGAAGAGAAGAACUUGAGGGGUAAUUUUUCAAAGCUAAUACUAGAGGUAAGUAGAACAUGAGUUAGUUUAUAGUGUAAAUUGGGAAUUGAUCUGAUUAGGAUUUUGGGCUAUAGCAGUGAUUUUGUCCAUCAUGUUGAGAGCUGCGGAUUUGAGUGUGGAUUUUUUUGGUUGAGUUUUGCUAUUGGUGUUGUAGAGGAUGUCCAUGCUGGAGUGUUUCUUUUCUCUACGUACCCUUUUCGGAGCAAUUCUAGGUGGGUUCCACACCGCCAAAAAUGAUGGACUCAACCCUAUGUCUUCAUUUGGAUAAUAUAUAGGUAUCGAAAUAUCUGGUAGCUUUGCUAUAGUGGCAGGAGGAGGACACUUAAUUGAGCAUGAUCUUGUUAAUUGAACACUCUAUCAGCAUGUUUGAGUAUUUGUAGAUAUUUGAUAUUCCUACUGCUUGAGAUCAUGUUUUAUAUAUAUUAAUUGUGAGCUAUUUUAUAUGAAAAUUGAGAAAAAAACGCCACAGGACAAUGUGGCAGUAUUGGACAGUGGAUAGUCAUAUUCGGUAAUAUACUAGAUUAUUGUGCUAGAGGACAUCUGGAUAAUAUUAUUAUCAUUUUGUUAAUCAUCAUAUUUGACUAUAGCCUGCAUGAGAUACAUUGAGUUCGACAGAAAUAUGUGAUAUGAUACUCAAUCAAGUGCCCCUCCGAAGGCUAGUAUUGACAAAGAUGAGCUAGGUACCCUGCAUGUUGACGGACCACCUAUGGGUGUGGGGACCGAGCAUGAGGAGGGCACAGAAUUGACCCGACUUAUAAGUCAAUCAAUGUGAUUGAGUUAUAUAGCAUUGUUUCAUUCAGUUAUCUAGUUGAUGAAUAUGAUAUUUGAUUUAUAGCUUUCAAUAGUAGCAUUGAGACAUAAUAAUGAUAGUUUAUUUCCAACUUUAUUCUCAUUUUAUUAUUAUUGUUGUGGUGUAGGUCGUUAUCGUCGUCGACUGUACCUAUUAGGAACUGCUAUUUAGUAAUUCUCGCGCCCUCUGUUUAUUCAUUUUUGUUUUAGAACUCUUAAUGCCAACCUUUGAUCGAGAUAAUUAAAGGGAAUGCGAGCAAGAUAGCAUCUUCUAUCUGAAUGUAAAUGUGCCAGAGGAGGACCGCCAAUGUAUAUUUUUGUAUAUAGCAGACUGUACAUGUAUUUUACUUGCGAGGCCAGUUAAUUGGUUGAUGAUUGUAUAGAUACAGUUUGAUUUUGAAAAGUAUGGAUGUGAUAUGUAUUGUUAUUGCUAUACUUUAUAGAUGUUCAUAGACUCUGAUAUAUAGUUAUAUGAUACAUACUCCUAUUACUUGUGUUUGAGACCUGUUGUUUGUGGAUGCUUCAUAUGUAUCAGGUACACAGGUAAGUUCAUUAUAUUUGAUUCGUCUUAUAGAUUUUAGUAAUCCUUAUAGUAAAAUUUAUAUUAUUUUUAAAAUAUCCUUACACUCAUAUGUAAAUUUUAAAUUCAAGCUCAAAUUUAAAUUCAAAAUUUUGAAUUUAAAUUUAAUAUCGGUUCAAAUUUAAAUUAAAGUUAAGAUUUUGAGUUCGAACUUUAAAUUCAAAUUUUGAAUUUGAAUUCAAAUAUCAAAUUCGAAUUCAGAUUUCAAACUAGAAUUUCAAUUCCAAUUAAGAUUUGUAAUUCAGAGUUGAAAUUCAAAUUCUUUAUUUUGAAUUCAAAUUUCAUAUUCAUAUUCUGAUUUUGGACUGGAAACUUAAAUUCAAAUUUAGUUUUUGGAAUUCAAGUUCAAAUUUUUGAAGAAUUAAAAUUUAAAAUUCAAAUUUAUUCAAAUUCCAAAUUCAAAUUUAGAUUUUGAUCUCACAUUUCAAUUCCAGUUUAGAUUUUUAUUCCAAAUUUUAGUUUUAAAUUUACAUUUUGAGUUUAAAUUUUAAAUUCAACUUUAGAAUUUGAAUUUAAAUUUCAAAUUAAAUUCAAGAAAUUUUAUAUUCAAAUUAGAAUCCAAAAUUCAAAUUCCAAUCAAAAUUAAAAUUUUGAGUUCAAACUUAAAUAUUUUAAUUAAAAUUUUGAGUCCUAAUCUGAAAUAAAAAAAAAUUAUAUGAUUCCUAUUGGCCAAUUUGCAUAAAAAAUUCACAAGUUUUGAAUUUUUGCAAAAUUGGGCUGCUUUUUUCUAUUUUGCAGAUUCAGCCCGAAUUUUUAGUAAACUGACCAAAAUACCCUUAUACUUUUUUCUCUCUCCUUUUUUUUUUUUCUCGCGUUCUUUUUUUUUUUCUCGCCGAAGAAGGCGACGGAGGCGAAGGCGGAAACGCCCCCAUCGUCUCUACCCCUCACGCCCUCACUCUCGCCUGCACACCCCUCGCCCUACUUGCCUCCGACCCCGCCGUGGUCGCGCUGCGACUCACUUUUUUUUUUUCUCUCUUCGACCCUCCUCCAUCGCCUCCGCGGCCCUCCACAACGAUAACGAGGACGGUAACGCGUCCUCUUCCUCCGCCUUCGCCCUCUACCUCCACUGCAGUGAAUUUUCUACCUGCUAAACAAACCCGUCGUCCCCACUACCACCACUGACGACGAAGAGGAAAUGCUUUUCGGGGCCGAGAAGCACGCCAGCGAGAGAGAGGGAGAAAAAUAGUUACACUCCGGCGAGAACGAAUUUUGCACCCACCGAACCCACUUUUGUGAACCCGCGUCCUCACCGCUGCCGCCAACGAUAAAGAGAAAGCACUUCUCGGCGCCAAGAAGCUCGCCGGCAAGAGAAGGGCACGUGGCCCACCCGCCUACUCCAGAGGGCGGCGGCAAGCACGGCCUCGAUGGUGUCGGAGGCGAGGAGGGCGAGAAAUGCACGGGAACAUAUCUGAAUUAGCACUUUUAUUUGUUUAAAACAAAAAAAAAAAAAACUAAAAGGCCAAAAAUUAGAGAAUAAUAAAAAAAAUCAGAGAAAGAAAAAGAAAAUGAAAUUGCGCAGCUAAAAUUAAAUUGCACUAUUUUAAAAAAACGUUUUACUAUUAUGGACGUAAGUUGCAUUCUUUGAAAUGUAAACUGCACCAUUUAAGAUAAAAGUUACACUCUUUAAACGAAAGUUGCUGAAUACGAGAUGAAUUUUUCUGCUCGGUAUUUUAACGAGCUAGCUCGUGUUCAGCUUGUUGACACCCCUACUUGAGAAACAUGUUAUUAUAGAGAAUAUAAUAAACUGUUUUGGACGGAAAAAUUAGAAUAGUGCGAAUAAAGAUGAAUUAUAAUAGAAAAUAUAGAUACAAGCUAUUAAUUAAUUAACAUUUGAGUUUGCUAAAAAAAAAAUUGGUAAAUUAUUUAAUUAGUUAGUUAUAUACUUUUCUUAGUUCGGUGAUUAGCUAAUAAAUUAGUUCACUAUUAACAAUUUGCAAAUAAAAAUUGACGAAGAAGGAUAUUAAUUAGUUAGUAAGCAAUUACUUUACUAACUAGUAACUAGCUCUGUAUAUUCUUAUAAUAAUUAAUAAAUGAAUUGACUAUGAAUUAUAUAUAAAAUAUUAAUUAAUAUUUUAAUUUAUUAUUCACGUUGAAUUAGUUAAUUAGUUAGUUAACCAUAAAUAAUAGAUUAGACAGUUAAUUAUUUGGAAAAUUAUUUAAGAAAAAAUACAAAAUUAUUAUAUUAUUUUUGUGAUUUAUUCGAAACGAAAGGGAGACGCGGGGCGUUACGCAAUCGAAAAAUAUGCCCAAAUCGUCACGUGGGCAAAUAUUUCUAAUAGAAAUAGGACAAGGAAAGAUAAAGAACAGCACGGGCAUCUGAAACACGUGAGAAAGUACACAUUUCAGUGGGCAAAUAAAUAAUUUUUGUUGAAAAAAAUGUGGUUGUGUCGCCGAAACCGCUAAAAAAGGGCGGCUGCAACAACCAGCGUUUGAUAGUGCAGUUUGAAGGUACCUUUUUUUUAAGUUCAAAUUUUGUCAGACGUAAAAUUGUGCGCUUGCUUGCAUUAAAAAUUUAAGUCCCUGUCAGCACAAAUUAUAUCGUGCCAUUAAGAUAUUGAUACGAUACAGCUUUCAUAUUGAUGGUACAAUUUAAAACUUUAUAUUCUUUAAAUUAGUAAGUAAUUUUUUUUAAUACAAUUUAAAAAAUUUUAUAAAGAUAUAUAAUAAACAAUCAAAGCAUUUUACUUUAAAAAAAAAUAAACAUUUCAUACAUUAUAUGUCGGCAUAUAUAUAAGGGAGUCAAUACUCAUAAAAGUAUAGUAGCCAGACUAUAUAUAUAUAUAUAUAUAUAUAUAUAUAUAUAUACCGGCACGCGUCGAUACCGCUCGGCACGCAUCUGUUGUGCUGUGUCGGUACGUGCCACGAGUGCUUAAAUUCUUGGUCUGCAUUGUGUCUAAAUGUAUAAGAAUAAAAACAAAAAUAAAAAAAGAACAAUUAUGGAAAGGCUCCUUAUAGUAAGAUGAGAAUCAAUCCUUAAUAAAAGGUAAAGCAACGGGGAUUGCGAUGAAUCGUGUAUUGGAUUUGAAUUAAAAGUUUUGAUUUUAGUGUCUAUCUUUUAUAAUCUUUUAUUUUUAUACCCUGGAUCGUAUGUUCUCUCAAAUACAAUAAAACUAUUCUCUUAAUAAAAGGCUAUUGAAUAUUCUCCCGAGUAACACAAUAGUUUGUGAGAUUGCACAAAUCCUAUGUCAAAAUAUUUUAAAUAGAAUUAAAAUUUGACGGAAAGGAAGCAAAGUUAAAAAUAAUAAAAUUUAGAAGUAAAUUCAGAUAUGAAGCAUCUGCACAUUUUUCAUGUUUCUGCAAUGCACUAAUUGUGGAGAUUACUACAUCAAAUCAUUUGGGCACGUAUGGUAAUGACUAAUAAACUCAAUCAUUAGCACCUUUUUUAUUCUACUAAUCAUGUGAUUUUGAAUAAUUUGCUUCAUUAUUUUGUGAUUUUAUCUCUAUUUCACUUUAAAAUAUCUAUCAUUAAAUAGAGUGACAAGACAAUAAUACAAUUUACAAAUCAUAAAACAUAGGCCAAUGAGAUACUGCAGUUCGCCACCCAAUGAUUUAUAACUUUUAACACUUUAAUACUCUGACAGAUCCUUAACAGUGAUACAACGAAAAGCCAGUAGAAUGAAAAAAUAAAACUUUUAAACUAUCAAAUGGCAAAGUGAAAAUGUGUUAAAUCACAUGGGGAAAAUUGAAAUCACAAGAAUAUGAAAAUCAAGUAAUGUAUGGAUAUGAAGGGGCGGGGCGCAGAAUGUCUAUAGAAGUUCCAGAAUACAAACAACAGUAAAACAAGUAGUGCAUAUUUCGCAGUUCCCGCGAACUCGAUCUUUUCUCCCACAAUUUCUGUUUGUUCAACUCACAGAGAGGAUUUUAUGAGUCGGACGUGAGAAGGGCCAACAUCGCAUCUGCACUCUCGGGGCCAUCGUUGUUCACACUUGGAAUUAUGUGAUCCGGUGAUACGAAUCGCACAAACUCUCGCAGUUCAGUGAAGCUGCAGUGUUCGCUGUAUGGAACUUCAUACCUGAAUAUAAGCAAGGCCAAGGCCAAGAUCUUAUUACAAUGGGAGCUAACCAACUAUUAAAAGCUACCAGCUAAUAUGCAGAACAUAUAAUUUGACUGUAACUCCAUGCAUAGGACUUGUAGAAAUACAUAUCAAAAGCCCAGUCAUCACCUCAAAUUGAGAACUUUGUAAACCAGAAAGUCUGAAUUCUCAAACUGCUGCUAUGAAGAGAAGCUAAAAUAUGUUUCUGAGCACCAAAAGCAAAAGUUUCAACUUUGAACUUCUACUCUCGUUCUUUAAUAGUUUUGAUAAAAACCCAUUGGUGUUUCUCCUAACAUUUAUACUUAAACAUCACUUUUGCACAAGCUCCAGUAGGCUAAAGAAGCAUAAAUCAUCAUCAAAUUAGAGAUAGAGAGAGAAGCGGGAGCCGAUUAACGAAGACCCUUUCUUCAAUCUAGAAAAAGAAAUCAAUACCAUGGUCCUUUCCUAAUUGCAAGAGAGAGAGAGAGAGAAUUAGCUGUACAGAUGGAGAACUGGAUAUCAGAGCGCCUCUAAUUCAUGAAGGAAUUCUUGACGAAACUACUACUAGAGUCAUUUCUAAAUGAAACGAACAUAAAGAUCCCACAAUGUAUAUGUAGGUCCAACUUUAUCUUCAUAUUAAAUAAACAUUCCAGCAGUCCCAAAUACGAUAGACAUAAAUUGUUAAUUUGAAUGAAAUCAUACUUCAUACAGAAAUAUUAACGAGUAGCAUUAAGAGGAACGCUUGAAGUUAUACCUAAUGAUGGUGCCCUGUUGCCACCUUCUCCCAGGAGUUUUCCUUUUGCCUUUCCCAAAUGACCAACCAGUAGGAGAAAACGCAACAAUAAGAUCAAACCGGCCCUAAGCAACAUAAAGAAACAUCAGAUUAUCAUUUAGAACCUUUUCUCUAUGAAGAACUGAUAAAGAAAUGUUAUUUUCUUACAGCAUAUUGGUUGGAGAUAUAUUUCAUCCUCUUGAAGCUAGCAAGAGUCCACAUCGGGACGACAUGGAUGUGGCUCUCCAUUUCAUUCUCUGUGAACCAUUGCAUGUCCUCCUCGCGAAACUCCAAGCACCUCAACAAAUGAAGCUUCGCAGAUCCUACAAAUACUUUCUUUCUAAGCAGACGAGCAACCUCCAGAAAAACUCGCUCUUUUCCUGCAGUCAAGUGGUGAUUACAUGACAUGAUGCAUUGGAGAGAGAGAGAGAGAGAGAGAGAGAGAGAGAGAGAGAGAGGUACCAAUAGUGUAGCUACCAAUGAGAAAGAGAGUUUUUGGGUUGAACGACUCAGCUUGAAUGGCCUCAAUGACAAACUGUAUUACAACCUCUUGUUUUGGAAAGUCAUACUGCAUAGACGUGCCAUUACUAGCAAACACAGAUUCGAAAAUGAACUUGAAUAUAUAAAGAAAAUUAAAUGUAAAAAGCCCUUAAGAAAGGACAUACUUGAGGAUUACAGUAGGUUGUGUCGAGUAUGAGAGUGUGGAUACGACACGAUUGCAAUGCCGAGUAGCUAGCCAUCUCUGAAGAAAAUCUAAAGUCUCCAGUGUGCAGAACAGCCUAUGUAUCCAAACAAAAUCAGAAGCAUUUCAGAGGAUAUAACUGAGUUUCGUAAUAGAAUUAACAAGAUAAAGUUUGAGAAUAAAUGCCAAGAGAAAUUAAUACUAUGCCAUUCAGAAACUCAAAAAUAACUUACCUUACCAUUGGGUGGUUCGAAAAGAAUUAUGAUAGAUCCAGGGCAAUGGUUCGCAUCGAAGCAUGUCAAACUAACACCUGCAACAGUAAUCUUUUGGUUUAGAGGCAAGACUUGCAGCCUAUCCCCUGGCACACCGAUCUUGAGGUUUAUAAGGCGUGCUGUGAUUGAAGAGCAAUAGAUCUUUCCAUGACAGAAGUGUCUCGUCAAACCCUGGUAAUCUACAGGAUAAAGAAGAAAUGAAUUUCUUAUAAAGAAUCAUCCAGCAAUGUAUAGAGAGCAUUUUAAUAUAUGCCUCUCACCUGUCUUCCACUGUAAAGUGAAAAAAGCUUACCAUACCCUAGCACCAUUUCUAAUGUUAAAUUACUGUUUUGAAAUUGAAUGAACCAAUUUUGAAAUAAGAUCAACAAAUAUGAGACCUAAAGUGUGAUAGCAGAUCAAAUGGAGGUCGACUUUUCAAGCUUAAUUAAUGUAUAUCAGUGGCUGUCAUGAAGGAGAAUACUGGACUUACGGUCUAUAUGGAAGUGUGUUAGAAACCAGUGAGAACAGUCUCCUCUUAAAUAACGAAAUGCAUCCUGCAAUCACAAGAUAGUUAAUCAGCAAAGAAUAUGUAGGAUCCGGCAAACUUCAUAAAGAAGGGCCAGGAAUAAGACUGUUUGUCGAAUAGCUUUGUGAACUAUCUUUUAGGUAGACAAUGCAGCAUUAUCAGACAGUACUAUAUUACACUCAUUAUUCUUAGCAAUUAAUGCAAUUUAACAAACAUGCACAAAAAAAAGUAGAUAUCUGAUAACAAAUUGAAGAAAUUAAGACAAUAGGAAAAGAAAGAGAACAAUGUUUCAUUAAAGCAUGAGCUCUGAUCUAGACCUGCUGCUUCAGCAACAAAGAGCAGAAGUGGAGAGGAUCCUAAUAUAAUUUUCUUUCUAGAUGGCACUAUUCAAAGUCUCAAACAGCACUAAGCUGUACAGGAGGAUCAAACAUUCCUAAAUCUUAAUGAAGAUUUACGCAUAAUCUGUAUCAGGAAUGUGUUAAUAGCAAAUAAUCUCCUACAGUGUACCUUGGAGCCAAAAAAAAAAAAAGAAAAAAAAAAUCAUUUAGCAAGAAAGCCCACAAUAAUGAGAACAAUGGUUUAUUAAACAUGUCAUGCAAGUUUGCACAUUGAAGGAAAAGCCCAUUCUAUCAAACACAAUAGCAGAAUCACAAUAAAUGCGUUAAAUGCACUUGCGUACCAAUGCAAGGGUAGGGCAUAGAUAGGUUGUAUAGACUCAAUUCCAUAGUAAAAAACAGAUGACAUGGUCAGUACACGAAAUGAAUUAAAGCAUAAAACAAUUAGUUUAAAUCCUAGUAGGAAAAGAAAAAAAAAAAGAGGAUCAUGGAAAAGCAAAUUAUAAAUGCUUGACUAAAAUAUAAAAUGACUCAAACAUACCACUCGAAAUGGCGUCCCUGGAAUGCAACACCAAGGAGGUAUAUCUCUAACUUUACCUAUAUUUACACAUUUUCUACCUCUCUUUAUAGCUGAAUUCCUCUGGCUCUUCAUACCUGGGGGUUUGCUGACAGUGCAAAUCCUGUUUGUAUCAAUGACAGAACCACGAAAGUAUUCUGUUAUUAAUUUAUUCCCAGAAGAAAAUUUGGUGCACACAUUAGUUAUUUGAUUUGACGAAUUAGUAUCAACAUCUUCGGCAUGACAGUGUCUUUUACGCAACUCGCUGAGUGCAUGGAUAAUCUUCUUUCUAGGACCAAAUGCAUCAAUUCCUAUGUUCAGAAGAUCCUGUAAUAAUUCAGUAAGCCAAGACCAUCAAAUAACCAGCAUGACGAGAUGUAGAACCAUUUACAGAUGACAACUAUUAAUAAAUUGUUUGGUAACGGAUCUUAGAUCCACGGACUUCUUUAACACAAUAUGGCGCAUGAUCAAAAUUAUGGAGAAUAAACGCAGCUGAUGAGUAAUAUAUUGUACCUCUUCGGUUAGCCAUUGCAAAGUUUCCCAAUCAAUCUCUUCCCUCACAAAAACUUGCUCAUAUCUAGAUAAACCCAAGCUCCUCAGGAAUUCAAUAGCCGAGCUGGUGUCAACAUUGCCUUGAGGUAAUGUUGAUUUUGCUCCAGAUACUGAAUGAAUUGCCUACAAGAUACAUAUUAAUGGCCACAAACUGAAAUAUUAUAUUUUGGCUUAUUAUUUUUUGACUUCGCAACAAACUAUAAUGAAGAGGGCAAUACAAAGAAAUAAAUACAAUAUACUCAGAUAUAUCAACUCAGUAUUCAAAGAAAUAAACAACACAAUAUAUUCAAAUACAUCAGCUCAAUAUUCAUUCCAUAAACAAACAGAAACUAACUGAAAGACAUUGACAAACUAGUGCAAAUGCGCAUGCACACACCGCACACCGAGAGAGAGAGAGAGAGAGAGAGAGAGAGAGAGAGCCCAAAUGCCUAAAAUCUUCAACCAGUUGAUAGCUUAGGCUUCCCCCGGCAUAGCGCAUGGCAUUCCCAAAUAGUGCCAAUUUACAUAAUUACAUGAGUGAAAGAAAAAAAAUAGCAUAUAUAGAUUAGAGGCCCAGCGUAUUCAAUUGAGAUGAUUAGUUCUCUCUUUACAGGGCAUUUGGAUUGACGUAAUUGUAGUUCAGUUUUGGAAGCAGUAAAAAUAUUGGUCUUGUCAUCAACUAGCAUAAUACCGAAAAGAUUCACCAUCUAGUCAUAGGCUAGAUUUUUUAGUCUUUCUAUGAAAGAUGACUUAGGCCCAUUUUAAAGGGAAUUUAUUUUUAAGAAUAUAAACCCAUGGCUACCUACAGGAUUUUUUCAGUGCCUCAUGAUGGAUACCGAGACUAAUAUUUGUACUCUUAAUGAACUUGAUUUACGAUCGAAUUGCAACUUCAUCAAUCCAAACGCCCCCCCUUAAUGUAGGACCCAUGUUUCUGCAUAUAAUAUCAAAGCCACACCGAGGGACGUUACCAUGCAGUUCCCCAGUUGCACAUUUAAGUUAUACUCAGCAGAAGUAGGACAUGAAGGAUGAUCGCAACAGCAUAUUAUAGAAUCAUGAUCCUGAAAUCUCAUAUGGAAUCUAUAUUUAAAUUUUAGAAGAACUUGAACAAGUGAAAGCAUGUCGAAAGAGGUUGCAAGAGUAAACUACACAGCAAUUCUCACAAACUGAUUAACUAGGACAGCUCAAACCGAUGCAUUUAUCAAACCAGAUUUAAACUUAGUCUAAAAGUAUAAGCUGCAUUACAUAAUAGUUAAAAAACAAGGUUUUCAAAAACUGAGGAAAUUUCAACUCCAUAAAACAAACCUAGGAAUUAGUUGACACAAAUUGGCACUAAACAUGAUCCCAAAAAAGUCUGAUAUUGAUCACCCACAAAAAUGUAAACAGAAAUAGAUAAACCUGCCCAGAUUUGAACAAAAUCUCCAUAGUCAGACUAAAUAAGUUAAACUAGUAUUUAAUUUAUUCCGGAUAUUUUGGCAACCCCUUAAACUACUAUCCGUAAAACAGAGGGAAAAUAAAAAUCAUGAAUAAGGGCAAUGCCAAAAGUUAUCGGCUCAACAAAUUCUUUCAACUCUAAUUAAAGUUUUCAUGUGUAGCAUGUUUACGAAACGUAGUUGUAAAAAAAAUGCCUAGCCAAACUAACAAAAGAGCUGGUUGAGUUAAUCUACCCCUGAAGUUCCAUCUUUGUCCAGGCAAUCAUUGGUGUGAAUCUGCCGCUGUUCUUCACUCAAAUCUGAGAUAUCGAGUCCACACAACGGACAUUCCACUCGAUCACUCCACAGCAACUCAGAUGCUGCAACAUCCAGAUUACUCCUUUCAAGUACGGAGGCUUCGCGGUUCAUAUCGCCUUGGGCAUCCACCUCAGAGCAUAGAUUCAUCAAUUCAUUUAGCUGCGUGCCCGCCUCGGAAUCCUCGUCAGUAUUGCCUUCUGAGCAAUCACCUCCAUUUCUACAAGAAAUAGAAUUGGCUCUUGGUUCCAACAAUCUUGAUUCAAUAGACAUCAUGUAAUAGCUCCCCUUAGGAAUCUCACACUUACUCCCUUGUUUCUCCUCAUCAUCUGCUAAUUUUGAUGCUGUUGAUGUAAAAAGAAGUGAUUUUUCCUCCUUGUUACCAAUCCCACUCUCUCGUACUCUCCCAUAUCCCUCUAUUCGCGAUUGAAACGAUGCACGAACGACAGUUUCCUCGUCCUUUACACGAUUAUCAGAUGCAAAGCAGAAAAUAUCCCUCCGAUCCGUCGCCUCCCUCAACACUUCUCCAGAAAUCCUAGAAUCGACCUCUAGGGUUUUGGAUACCGCCCGAUUCUCCUUCCCCGGCGCAGGAGCUGGCUUCGCCCGCUUCUUCUUCGGGCGCGUGGCGUUGGACGGCUUCAAUGGCUCAGAUCUAGGGUUUCCGAGGGAGGAUAGCAAGAGACUCUGCGCGAAGGAGAAGGCCUCGCUAGGGUUUUGGAAAUCGUCGCCGUCGUCGCCGUCCUCGGAGAUCGCUAGGGUUACGGCUCGCGCAGGGUUUUGUGCCCUAGGUUUCGUCGAGGGUUUAGGGUUUGAGAGCAUUUUUAAUGGAGAGGAUACGGGGGAAGGGGAAGGAGAUGAGAGCUCACUAUGAGAGCAUUCGUAAAUGCUACCGGAGGGAAGAGGAAGAUGAGGGGUUUUUUACGAAAAUGUCCCUCUCGAUAAUUAUAUUUGUUGCUCAGGACCUGGUUGGUUGUGUGGCAUGCAAAGCUAUUUGCUUAGUAACUUUGGAAAUAUAUAUAUAUAAUAAUAUAUAGGGUAGUGCUACUAUGCUAUCCGAAGUAUCUAAUGCUUCCAAUUUUUUAACCAUUAGAUAAAAAAUUAUACGGUUGGGAUGAUUGCCAUCCCUCAGGGUUGAGUAGUACCCGUAGGGUUAAGUGAUCCCCACAGGUUAAUAGUAUUAAUCCAACAGUUAGAAAUGAUUAAAGGGAUUGAUAUAAGGGCUAAAAAUUCGGAAGCACCAGAUCUUCUAUACUUCCGAUAGCAUAAUUGCAAUACUCAUAUAUAUAUAUAUAUAUAUAAUAUAUAUAUAUAUAUUAUAUAUAUACUAUAUAUAAUAUAUAUAUAUAUAUAUAUAUGAAUUGAGCUUUUUAUGCUUUAAAAAUACCAAGUUAUUGGUGCUUGUAAAUUUUUAGCGCUUGGAUUAAUAGAUUGUGCGGUUAGGAUGAUGUGAGCCCCCUUGGUUUAGUAGGUGGUUGGUUGAAUAGUAUAAUCUAACGGUGAAAAUGAUCAAAAACGUAGAAUCUAACAGUAAAAAAUUCACAAGCACCAAGUGCUUGGUGCUUUUACAAGCCCAUAGCCGGACUCUCUCCCCCUCUAAUAUAUAUAUAUAUAUAUAUAUAUAUAUAUAUAUAUAUAUAUAUAUAUAUAUAUUGUAUUAAAAUUAUUCUUAAUAAUUAUUAAAAAAAAAAAAAAAAAACUGAAAUUUAGCACUUUUGUAAUAUAAUUCAUAACUUUUCGUUUGCAAAUAGGCCCUCCAAAUUUUAUUAAAUAGUUUAAUAGGUACCUAUGCCUGACAAAGUUAUUAAUUAAUAGCCAUUUUAAUCGCAUAUCUUACACAUAAUUUUUAUACUUCAAACCAUAGAGAAAUUUUUUUUUUCUUUAUUUCAAUAAUUAACUAUCAGAAUGAAAAUAUAGUAAAUCUAUCUUGCAAUUUAUUGCUUUUUCUUGUGUUAGAAAAGAAAAAUAUAUAUAUAUUUUUUUGUAUUUAAAGUUGGCCAAUUUGCAUAAAAAUCCACUUAUUUGGGCUUUUGCAAAACCGGCAACCUUUUUUGUUUUUGCAGAUUGGUCCACUUUUUCAGCAAACUGACAAUACCCUUUUUACUUUUCUCUUUCCUCUUUCUUCCUUUCUCCUCUUUCGUUUCUCUCGUCUUUUUUUUUCUCGCCGCAGAGCGGAGGCGAAACGGUCCGUCUCCGCUCUCACCCUCAUUCUCUAGCCCUGCCUCGCCCUCGCCUCCGCCACGCACGCCACCAUUCCUCGCCUCCAACCUCGCUAAGGCGCGCGCACGACUUUUUUUUUUUUGCUUUUUUCUUUUCUUUUCUUCUCCGACUCUUCUCCACCGUCUCCGACGACGAUGCCUCCUCGUCCUUCUCGUCCUUCCCGCCCUUCUCAUCUCUCCCUGUCCUCAUUCUCUGCCGCCUCCGACGACGAUGCAUCUUCGCCGGCGCCGACGUCGACACCCGUGGAGGUCACUACGACGCUACAGGCUCGGAGCGGGGGUCCUUAGCGUGUUGUCGCCGGUACCUCGUGCUGUUGGCAGAGAAGGUGACAAAAAAAAUUAUAGAAAAACAGAAAAAAUAAAGAUAAAAAAUUAUAUAAAAAAAAGGAUAACAUCAAUUGUAUCGUUAACGUGCAAAAAAAAUUAUUAAGUUGCACUAUUUAAGUGUAAACUGCAGCCUUAAGAUGAAAACACACUCUUUAAACGAAAAUUAAACUCUUUGAGAAAUAAUUUACACUGUUUUCUUCUUAUUACACCUUUCAGAUGUAAACUGCAUCCAUUAAGAUGAAAGUUACACUCUUUAAACAAAAGUUGCACUGUUUCUCUUGUUGCACCAUUUUUUCCUCUUGUUAGCUAUUUUUUAUCUUAAACUGCACCAUUUUAAGAGAUAUUUAUACUGUUUCUCCUCUUGUUGCACUAUUUCUGCCGUAAAAUAGAGAAAAUAGUGCAACAAAGGAGAAACAGUGUAAGAAAGAGAAACUGCACUGUUUUAAGAGAUAUAUAUACUGUUUCUCCUCUGUUGCCCAUUUCUGUGUAAAUAAGAGGAGAAAUAGUGCAACAAGAGAGAACUCACUGUUUAAAGAGAUAUAUCUACUGUUUCUUCUCUUGUUGCACUGUUUUUCCUCUUGUUGCACCAUUUCUGUGUAAACAAUAGGAGAAUAGUGCAACAAGAGGAGAAACAAUGCAAUAAGGGAGAAACUGCACCCUUUUAAAAGAUAUUUAUACUGUUUCUCCUCAUGUUGCACUGUUUCUCCUCUUGUUCACCAUUUAUGUGUAAAUAAGAGGAGAAUAUGCAACAACAAGGAGAAACAGUGCAACAAGAGGAGAAACAGUAUAAAUAUCACUUAAAAGGAUGCAUUUAAGAUAAAAAAUAUGUAUAAUUUUUCGUUCAAAGAGUAUAAUUUUUAUCUUAAAGCAGCAGUUUACAUCUUAAAUAGUGCAACUUAUAAUUUUUUUGUAAUUAACGAUGUAAUUUCAUCUCAUCAUUCUUUUUAUAUAAUUUUUAUCUUAAUUUUUUUCUGUUUUUUUCUAUAAUUUUUUUGUCACUUCUCUGCCAACAGCUACCGGCGGCCGUGACGACGCCGCUAAGGACCCCCGCUCGAGGCUGUAGCGCGCAGUGACCUUCUACAUUGCGUACGUCGCGCCGGCGAAGAUAAAUCGUCGUCGGAGCGGCAGAAGAUGAGGAGAGGGAGAGAUGAGAAGGGGGGAAGGGCGAGAGCGUCGUCGUCGAGACGUUGGAGAAAGUCGGGAAAGAAAAGAAAAAGAAAAAAGAAAAAAAAAAAAAGUCGCGGCGCGGCCUUAACGGGGUCGGAGGCGAGGAAGGUGGGGGUGCAUGGACGAGGGCAAGGGCGAGGGCGAGAGCAUGAGGGUGAGAGGCGAGACGGACCGUUUCUGCCUCCGCUCCGCCUCCGCUCUACCGGUGAGAAAAAAAAAAAAGAACGAGAGAAACGAAGAAGAGAGAGAAAGAGGAAAGAGAAAAAGUAAUAAGGGUAUUUUGAUCAGUUUGCUGAAAAAGCGGACUGAAUCUAUAAAAAUGAAAAAGGUGGCCCGAUUUUGCAAAAGCCCAAAAUAAGUAGAUUUUUUAUGCAAAUUGGCCUUUAAAGAUUUGCAAGAUUAUAUGCAAUACAACCAACAAAAACGGCUAUAUAAUAGUAACUUCGGUUAAAAUAGUUGAUAAAGUUUAUAGAGGUUUAAUUGCCAAAGUUAAAAAGUUCAAGUUUACUUGCGAAAGUGGUAAAGAUCAGGGGGUCUUUAUAAAUAGGGUUAACUGCAUAUAAUCUCUCGGCAAACAUAACGAGUUGUAAUAUAUUCUUAUAAAGUUCAACUUUCUUAUGUUAUUCCUGUAAAAAUCCAAUGAUAUUUAUAUUUGUCCUUGUGGUUUGUUUUUUUUAGAGAAUUGUUUAUUUUUUAACAGCAUAUAAGUGAAAUAUCAAUUUUGUCAUCACAAACAUAUCCCUCCAAAAGCCCCAACUGUUGUAAUCGUGUAGAAAUAUGUUCCUAAAAAAUUUUUAAUGAUCAUCUUCUUCCUCUUUAAAAUCCAACCCAAUCCACUAUUAUUACAACCUCUUCUCUUACUCAUUUUCUCCUAAAUCUUUUCUUUUUAGCAAAAUAAGAAAAAUUAUAAAGUAAAUUGAAUAUAGAAACAACAAGCAUUUAACAUGGGCAAAGCAAUAUGCAUCGUGAAUGAAUGGGAUAGAGAAAUUCUAGUUACGGAUUCGAAACUAGCAUGAAGGAGAGAGAGAGAAAGAGAAAGAAAAGCAGAAUUUUUAUUACUAAAGUUUUGAUUGAGAGAAGAAAGUAUAAUAUAAAAGGGUAAAAUGUCAAUUUAUCUUAUUGACUAAUCAAAAUUAAGUAUUUUACAUAUAGUUAACUAAAAUUUUCUAACGGAUCCUAACGACAAGGGCAUAUUUGAAAAUAUUAUAACUUUUAUAGGAAUAAUAUAAAAAAGUUGAACUUUCAUAAAUAUAUUUGCAAUUUGUUAUAUUUACAUAGAGUUAUAUACAAUUAACCCUUGUAAAUAUAUCCUAUUUCUUCUUACAGUGCUCCUAGGUGUGCAAGGCUAAUAGGGUUCUAAUCUUACAACUUAGCCCAUCUAAAGGCUACAAUUAACACACUAGUUUUAUCUUUUUUUUUCUUUUUAUUUUUGCACUAAAAAUAAAUUUAAAAAAAAAGAUUGUUUACACCCUUAAACAGUUGAAUAAGUGGAUUAGGGAUUUUAAAAAUUACAUUUAAAUUGUAGACCUAGCAUACCUCUUUCUAUUAUUAGUAAAGAGCAUUAGAUUAGAGCUUCGGAUUCUUAUUUUCAAUUUCCGCUACAAUAAAAGCACCUAUUUUCAUUUUUUUUGUUUACCAAAUCCUCGACUAAAAUUAGUUUUGAUGAAAAUAGAAGCCGAGCUAAAUAAGCAGUUGCAGCUGCUCAAGAACUAAGCAAAUGCUAUAACCAAUUUUAUUAGAGAGCCUAACAAUCAAAUUGGUAGAAAUUUUGGUUCGCACUAAACCAAGUGAAAAUAUGAAAAGUAUUUAGAAAUCAAGUUAAAUGUCUCCAUGACGAUGAAUACAUCUACAGGUUUGACACAUUUGUCAUGAAUUUCUUUCUUUAAUCUAAUCAAAUUUUGUUGAGAAUCAUAGUUAGUUAAUUCGAAUUCGAUAAAAAUUCGAUAGGUUAUACUACGAAUAAAAUUUGUACCCUAAUUUUUAAAUUCGUUAAAAAAUACGGCUUAAAAAAUGGAUUCGCCAAUUAUUCGAAUACGCAGUUUAUAUAAAAAUUAUACGUUCAUCAAUUAGAAAUUCGGGAUAAAAAAUUCGGCUAUUAAAUUAAACUUUUUUUUUAGAUUUAUGCUACUAGCAUAAAUAGUUAUAAUUUUUAAAAAUAUAAAUUAAAGAGCUACAAAAUAAAAUAGAUUAAUUAUUAUACACCAAGAUAUAUAAAUAAUUAAACAAGAAAAAGAUUAAGAUGGUCCAUAAGUAAACAUAAAAUAUAUAAUUUUUUUUUUUAGGGCGAGAGAAUAGAGAAUUCAUACUUAAACAUAAAUAUAGGAUAGUCCAUACCUAAACAUAAAAAAAAUAUAAAGUUUUUUAUUCGGAUUUUUAAUAAUUUAUGAAUAAUUUGUGAAUAAUUCACGAAUAAUUUGGCUAGCCUAAAAAAUUCUCGUUUUAUUCCCCUUUUUAGGAAAAAUUCGCAUGCGAACUACUUUAUUCAGAUUUUUAAUAAUUCGCAAAUAAUUUGCGAAUUAACUAAGAGAAUUGAGAAUCCAUUAUAAUGUCACUGCAUUCAUCUACUCUGGCAAGUAGGAUUGAUUUCAACGAGUUAUGAUUUACUAAUAACCACCGUCUAAAAUAAUCGAUUGUUAUUUGGAAUGUCUAUUUUUAGGGUGUGCAAGUUCGAACCAUAGUAAUGCAGUUCAGAAAAUAUAAGGAUUAAAAAAAAAAAAAAAGAAAGAAAAGAAAAGAAGAAGAGAAAUUCCGACAGAUUUGAACCUACUGCAUCUGUGAAUAUGCCGUAAGUCCCAAGUGCGGAAAUGUCUGAAUAUGUGACUGUGUUAAAUUGAGAACUAAUAAUUGGUUCUCAAGACCGACUGUCCCUAGAGCAAGUGGCAAAGGACUUGGUGGUUGGUACCCUAGACUCAUGUUCAAAUCCUAGUUGAUUCACUUUUCUAGCUAAGUUUACUUCUAAAUGAAAUAAACGAAACGGAUAGCGUGCUACCUAUCUCUCUCAAAAAAAAAAAAAAAAAAAAAAAAAAAAAGUUCUCAAGAGAAAUGAAUUUUAAAUCUGUCUAGGUUUUGGGUCAAAUUAAAUACGCACUUAGGCCCGGGCCCAUUGUCAAAUUUUUACAUCUAUUAUUAGAUUUGGGCUGGUCUGAAAUGAUCAGAUCACCUGGGCUUGAUUAGGUCUGACUCACUGGCCACCAGUUUCGCAAUUGAGUACAGAUAUGGGUGACUUAAAAGUGAAAAAGCACAUUCAUCACUUAAGUUUCAUACAAGCAGAUGGAGACAAUAAGGGCAUGUUUGGUUCAGCUAUUUUAGACGAUGGAAUCGGAAUGAGAUUAAUUGAUUUUGAUAGUUGUUAUUUAUUUUAUAGGAAUUGGAUUUCGAUUUAUGACUCGUUCAGGCUUUGAAUUUCGAAUUGGCCCCUUCCAAAAUAAACUACUCAACAUUCUCUUUCACCAACACCUUCCCUCCUCUCCCUUCAUCACUUUCCUUCCUCUUAAUUAAAGCCCUUUCUCAAAAAUUCUAGAUUUUCAUUGCAGUAAUGAACCAAACAUUUUUGGAUGAUUUUUCAUUCUAUUUUCCAUUUCAAAGCAAUCUAAUUCUAUUCCUCGUUCCUAUUCCAAUCAUAAACCAAACAUGCCCUUAAGGGUGCGUUUGGUUCGAGUUAUCCUGGCAGGAUUACAGGCAAUCCUGCCAGGAUAACUGUGUUUGGUUAAUCCGCUAUGUAAUCUAGUCGUUAAUGUAGCAUUACAAAUCGAGCAGAAUUACAUCGAAAAUAUUAACGGGAGGGGGGUCGUGUAUCUUGCAUUACUAAAAUCCGUUAAUACUACAUAUUAUGUAAAAUGACAAUUUUACCCUCCAACAACCCAAAUCUAAUUAACAGUAUUAUUUUCAUCUCUCUGUCGCCUUCCCUCCUCUCGCUCUCUCUCUCUCUCUCUCUCUCGCGCGCACGCGUACGAACACCUAUCAUCUUCUAUUGCGUCGUCCUCCCAGGUAAUCAUCAUGAUCUUCUUCCCUCCAUUUGUCAUUUUCGCAAAAAAUAAUAUUCAAAUGACCACAACAAGGAUAAUUUUGAAAAAAACUAUACUUUUAUGUCAGGAUUACUAAAUUUUAAAAACUGAACCAAACGUAUUAAUGCUAUAAACAGUGUAAUCUAGUAUUACAUUACUGCAUUAAACCAAACGCGUUAAUACGGCAUCAGUAGUAAUCUUACGUCGAAAUCCAAGAUGCCUGGAUAUGUCGAGAUACUUUGUAAUAUUACAUAACUCGAACCAAACGGGCCCUAAGUGUGUGCUGCUUGUACUGCUUUGUACAAAAAUGAUCAUAACAUAUUCUUGCCAAGAGAUUAUAGAUUUAAGACAUGUUUGGUUCACCUAUUUUAGAAUAUAGUUGGAAUGAGAUUUAUUGAUUUUAAUAUUUGUUGUUUAUUUUACAAGAAUCGAAUUUUGAUUCCUAUUUCACUCUGAAAUGAAAAUGGCCAAAUCCAUUUAUAACCUAAUUCGGCUUUGAAUCCCAAAUUGAUCCAUUCCAAAGUAAAUUACUUAAAAUUCUCUCUCAUAAACAUCUUCCCCUCCCUUCCCUUCAUCACUCUUCUCUCUCUCUUAAUCAAAACUCUAUUUCAAAAUCCUAAAUUCUCAUUCCGAUUUCCAAUUCAAUAAUAAAAAAAAAAAAUUUAGAUGAUUCAUCAUUCUAUUUUCUAUUCCAAAACGAAUUUUAUUUUCUAUUCCUAUUCCAAUCGUAAACCAAACAUGCCUUUAAUUCCCACUAGAGAUGCUAAUAGAUCGGUUUAGAUGAAUUUUUAAAAAUUUGGAUCCAAAUUCAAAUUCGAUAAUCAAAUCAAAAUUCAAAUUCGAAUCCGAAACCCAUCGGGUUUCGAAAAUUCAUAUGCAGAACUAAACCCGAUUAAAAAUUCGAAACCUAAACUCGAACCACGAACCCAAAAUAGUCAUUUUUCUUUGGCUAAAUUAUAUAAAAUCUCCCUGUCAAAACCCAAAUUUUCACUUUUUUUCAUGUCAUUUAAAAACCUAUAUUUUGUCCCCUUGUAAAAUAAAAAAUAGUCACAGGGGGUACAGUGUAAACUGUGAUGACAAAAUGACCAUUUUGCUCCUCACCAUUUUUGGUAACAGGAGAGAAGGCUGAGGGUAUUUUUGGCAUACAAAAAUAUAAAAUAAUAUUUUAUAAACAGAACCCUAACGGAUCACUAACGGCAGGGGGGUGAAAUAAAUAUUUUUUAUUUUAUAAGGAGGCAAAGUGUAGGUUUUUAAAUAACAGAGAGGGAAAGUGAAAAAUCGGGUUUUGACAGGUAGAUUUUUUAUAAUUUAGCCUUUUUCUUUACCAUAUUUUAAAAUAUAUUUAUUAAAAUUAUAAAUUUAAAUAUUAUAUUAAACAUUCAUAUGUAUAUAUAUAGAGAGUGCAGUUACUAUACUCUUAUGAAUAUAGUAGCUGUUGUACUCAUAAGUUUUUAAUCAUCAAAUUUGCUUCAAUAUCUGUGCAGAUCUGAUAGCUUAUCAAACUAAAUUAACUACCCCCAGUUAACUCCAUUCAACCAAGUUAACUCUUAAUUAAUUUCUCCUCCAACAACCCAACCUUCCCCGACCACACCUACUAGGGUGCGGCACGGCCGACAUUUGCUGUGCCGAUUCGGGGUCUUCGCCUUCCACCCAACAAGCUUGGCUUGGAUUUUGUCCCAUAGGGGCUGGCAGUGUGUGGUGCUGGGCCGGAGCUACCAAGCCUUCGGCCUAGCACAUCCGCGGAAGGCCCGGUGUCGGGCCGGACCAUGCUCGGGGUCGAGCCCCUAAAAGGUUUUAUUUUUUUAGAAAAUAUGUAAAAUUUAAAAUAUAAACAAUAAAUUAUUUCUAUGUAAAUUAAUAUUUUGAUUAAAAAUUUAAAAUUUAUAAAAAUAAUUAUAAUAUAACAAAUAUUUAAUUUUUUCUAAUAUAUAUAUAUAUAUAUAUAAUUUUUUAUUUAAAAAAAAUUAAGAGCGUUUUUUGGUCCAAUCCAUUGGACCAAAAAGCUCCUCCCAAGGUCUGCGGUGAAAGACCUUUGGAGGAGAGCUCCUGGCCCUUUUACCUAGAAGCUCAAACCCUAAGACUGCCUUGAGCCUUGUCGUGUCAGGUCAUCGGGCCCAACAGGAGAGGCCCAACAUGGCCCUGAAGCUCGGGUCGGGCUAGGUCGGCACGGGUGCCACUGCACUCGUGCCGUACUACAGCCUAGCUCGAGGUCAUGCCGGGCCAGGCAAUCCGUACGGCCUCACCACCCAGCCCAUUUUACAUCCCUAGUUGCACUUGCACCACCCUUCUCCUUGGCCUAUGGCAUGGCCGCACUCUUGGUUGAGGGCGCCGGCACAUCAGACCUCCUCCCUCCUGGCCACCCACGCCGACACCACCGUAGAGAGAGAAAGAGAAAGAGAGUCCUACGGUGCUUUUAAAAGCACCGAGUAUUUGGUGCUUGUAAGGUUUUCACACUGUUAGAUUUAUCCCCUUGACUAAUUUCAUCCUUUUGAUCAUACUAUUUCACCAACUACCCACUUAAUCCUAGAGAUUAAUAUCAUUUUAACUCUAUAAAUUUUCGUUCAAAGACAAAAAAAUUAUAAGCAUCAAUAACUUAACACUUUUACAAGGUUUAUUCUUUUUCUUUUUGGAUGUGUAAGGAAGGACAAAAUUGAUUAUUUUACACAUUAAUCAUAAUUAAGUUAUUUGGUUCAACUUUACUUAUGGUUCAACAAAUUUUACUAACAGACUCUAAAAAUACGUAUAAAUAUGAACUUAUAGACACAUUAGGAGGGAGACAUAUUCAAUUACUCAAACUUUGGAGGAAUAUGUCUGUAAUUUGAUAUGUCUGCAAGGAUCGAGCUAAAUGCAAUUAAUUCAAAACGAUAUUUUAUGUUCCCCAAACCUAAUUAAAUUUUGGUUAAUUUCAUACCGGUCCCUGUAAAUAUAGUGAAUUGCAAAUAUAUCUCUGCAAAGUUCAAUUAUAUAUGUUGUCUCUGUAAAAGUUCUAAUAUUUUCAAAUAUAUUCUUUUUUAGAAAACUUUUACUUUUUUCAACUUUCAUUAUCCACAGUUUUCAUUUUCCAAUACAAAACAAAUCGAAUUCCCCUCAAAUAGAUUCUUUUUUAGAGAAAAAUAAUAUCCUAUUCAUUUCACUUAUUUUUUUUUAAAAAAUUUGUUAAAAAUAUAAAAUAAUUAAAUUUUAAAAUUUAAAAUUUGAGAUAUCAAUCAUUAAAUUUUUUACCGUAUGCGUUAACACAAAGGUCGAUACUAAUCAUCAAUAGUUAUUAAAUCUUUUGUUGGGUCUUUGGUCCCUAUUUUUUGUUUUUUUUUAAAAAAAAAAUUUGUGGUGUCAUUUAACUCACGGCUCUUUUUCAAUAGAAGGUUCUAAAGCGACCACCUCUAAAAUAUCUAAAUAAUAAAUUACUAAACCGUGGACAUGGGCUAAAUUGUGAUCGAAGGGGCUCAAAAUCAAUUUUGCGAUUUUUCAAAAAAUUUUGCAAUUUUUCGAUACCAUUUGCUUAGUGAUCGAAGGGGCUCAAAAUCAACAGCGGAAAAUAAAAAUCUUACAAAAUAUGAUGAUAUGAUAUUAAAAUUUUAGAUCAAAGAUAUUGAUAUUAUUUUAUAUAGUAUAAAGAAUUUUCUAUCAAAAUUUUACGUGAUUUGAAUAUUUCUACACCAUUGAACUUGCAAAUGGCUUACCAUAGCCAUUAAAAUUAUUGAUUUUGAGUUCCUUCGAUCACUAGGCAAAUGAUAUUAUAAAUCAAAAAAUUUAUUUUCUAGAUACUUUAAAUACUCUAUAUUAUGUCUAACGGAACCAAUUGUCGAUUCGAAAGCCCCAACGUCGAAAAUGACUUAGAAACAUAAAGAGCUCCGUACUUUUAGAAGUAUAUAAGCCUCUCUCUCUCUCUCUCUCUCUUCUCUCUUAAUUAGUAAGUAUAGAAUAUAAUAUAAGGAAAGAUAGGAGAGGGCGGUGCCGGGACACACGGCAGUAUAGGAACAUUAGUCACGGAAUUUAGUAUAUAGUAAUAAAUAAUAAAUAAUUCUAAACUCAUAGAACGUCGUAUGGGACUUUAUUAUAUUUGGAAAACACUCACGUUUAUAAAUGCACUAUUGAAACUUAACAAAUAAACAAAUAUUAAUCAAAAAUUAUUUAAAUAUGUGAGACUUCUUAUAUUGUUCUAUAUUUAAAAUAUAUAUUUUUGUAUUAUUUUCAGCAGCUAAAUUUUAUUAUGAUAGUUUUGAAAUUUCAGAAGAAACAUACAAAGAUCACAAAUAGAUAGAAUUUGAAACAUUACUUGAUUUAAUUUAUUGAUUAAUAUUAUUUAUGAGGAUUAUGAUUUGUGACAACACUUAGUCUUUCAAUAUCAGCUAAUUUAAUUACUUUAAUUAAUUUUAGUAAAUUAUUUUAGAACGUAAUUUUUGAAUAUUAAUAAUAUUAGUGAUAACUUCAAAUACCAUUCUUGUGUUUCAGACUUUCUCACUUUAUAUUCUGCAAGUUUAAAGAGUAUUCACUUUCGUAUCUAUGAUUUUAUUUUAUUUUUUUUUUUUUGUUAUUUUCUUCAUUAUUUUUUUCGUUAAAUCAGUGACAAAUUUAAAACUAAAGAAUAGUAAAAUAAAUAUUCAAUAAAGUAUAGAUAGUAUAUCUAAUUUUUUUAUAUAAUUUAAUAAAAAAUUAACGGAAGAACCCACGAAUCACAAAAUAUUAAUAUGAGAAAAUAUAAAAUUAUAAAAAUAAUAUUUAAAGUUUAUCUAUAAUAUUAUUACGCCAUUCAUGUCUCUUUCAUGAUUACGGAUCGAGACGAAUUCGUAGCGCGUGACAGGCAUCGCCAAUUGGUCAAUAAAUAAAUAAUUAAUUUAGAGAGUGAAAAGUAGUCAAUACUUCUGUGUCCAAUCAAUUUCGCAGACAAAUGAUCUUUGACUCUGAAGGACGAUCGACGGUGGUGAUUGAUUGAUGAUGAUUGUCGUGACAAGCAUUUAUUACAAACUUUUUUUUUUUUUUGCCUUUUUCUCUUUCGGCGGUAUGGCCGGUGAUAUUUCUCUUUUACAUCAAAUAUUGACCACGUUUUUUACAAUUCUGUGAGGUUUGUAUUGGAAAAAAAAAAAAAAAAAAAAAAAAAAAANNNNNNNNNUGUAUCAAGUUAGUACCCUGUGGUUUUGCACUUUAUCACUUUAGUACACUGUGGUUUUAAUUUUGUAUCAAGUUAAUACCCUGUGAUUUUUUAAACCAUAGAGUACUAAAGUGAUAAAGUGUGAAACCACAGAGUACUAAAGUGAUAAAGUGAAAAACCACAGGAUACUAACUUGAUACACUUUAAACCACAGAGUACUAAAGUGAUAAAGUGAGAAACCACAGGGUACUAACUUGAUACACUUUAAACCACAGGCUAUUAAAAUAAAAAAGUGUGAAACCACGGGGGUUUUUGAAGUUUUCCCAAAAAAAAUCUUCAAAUAUUCUUAUUUUUAAUAAUUUAUAAUUUAAAAUAAAUUAUUUUAGUAUUUUUUUCGUUAUUUUUUUCGUUUAUUUUUUGUUCAAAUAUAUAGAAAUAAAACUUCAGAUAACCCAAUAGUUUACCGAAUAUUCACUUUAUUAUCUCGUAAUUUACGAAAUUUUUUACUUUAGUGCUUUAUAUUUUCAACUUUCUUAUUGAUUUAACAAAAAAUUUAAUGAAUAAGAUAACGAAAAAAAAAAAAAACAAAACCAUAGAGUACUAAAGUGAUACAAUUUAAAUCACAAGAUAUUAAAAUGAGAAAUGCUGAACCAAGGGGUGGUAUUUGAAGUUUUUCCUGUCAAAAACUUUGUUAAUGACUUUUAGUUUUUGUUUGAUUCAAAAUUGAAAUAAAAAUAAAAAAAUUAACUUAAAUUGGAUUGAAAUAAAAAAUUGAAUAGCUAAUCAUUUAAAAAUAUUUUAUUUAUUAUUAAAAUGAAAAUUGAAAUAAAUAUCUAGAAUUUUGAGAUGGGUUUCGAUUAGAAGGAACAUAGUGAUGACUGACGAAGGAAGAGGAGAGCGGGAUAUUUACAAGAGAGGAUUUUAAGUGAUUUACUUUGGAAUAAAUUAAUCUGAAAUCUAAAGCCGGAUUGGAUCAAAAAUGAAUUAGAACAUUCCUUUUCCAAACUGAGAUGAGAUUCAUGAUUUCAUUCCUGUAUAACAAGCAACAACCACAGAAAUCAACAAAUCUCAUUCUGAGUUUACAGUCUAAAAUGAAUAAACCAAACAAGAUGUUAGGAAAAAGCGUACAAUUCUAAACUUUGGACCAUUUUAAUUCAAAUAUUUUUUUUAAUUUUUUUUUUAAAAUUUUAUUAUUUAAUUUUUUUAACUUGUUUAAUUUGAGUCAGUUAAUGUAACUUGAUUUUAGAAAAUGAAUUUAUCGCUUUUAUGUUUAUAGAUUUAGUUAAUAUUUUUCGUGUAAUUUUUAUAAUUAUAAAUUUAUUAAAGUAAUUAGCUUUAAUUUUAAAGCUAAAAUACUAUUAACUAAUUAAAAUAAAAAAAUUAAAAGAUUGCAUCAUAAAUUUAAAAUUUUUAAAUUUUAAAUAGUCAAAUUAAAAUAGUUUAUAAUUCAGGCAAAUUUUAUAUAUUUUUACCAUGACUGUAUAAAUAAUGUAAGACUUUAUCUUAAAUUAAGUACCCUUUUUACAAUUUUCGAAGUAUUUAUAAUACUUCUUUGUUGUUUCGGAUAACAAGGAAGCAUUCAAAUUGACAAUCAAUGUAUGUAAACAUGAUCUACCUAAAAUAUCAUAAUAAUACCUCAGUAUAAAUAUCUUUAAUUUUUAUUCUACAAAAUAAUGGUUCUAUUUAUGUAGUGUUUCUGAGUUUUGGAUAGGAUUGGCUUCAGUGUUAGUGACUGGUCGACACAUUUGGAGAGUGUCAGACUGCGUCGGAGUCGUUUCUGCGUAAAAUGGAUGCAAAAAUAGACUCGGCGCACUCAAAUAAGCAAAACUGGAGUUUUGCCAGAUUCGGGCGCCCAGAACAGAGUUUGGGCCGCCCAGAAGUUGAGUGCAAAACUGAGCAGAACUGGAAGCCAAUUCGGAUCCGUGUUUAUGGCGCCCGGAAGUAGGUCCGAAAACUUUACCUCGUGAAUUUCGAUCGUGCUGACGCGUGGCCGAUGGUAGGUGAGGUCCACCGGAGCCGGAUAUGGGCAUAGCACACCGCGGGCGGAGAGUCCGAUAAGGAAGUUUGUGUAGCCUGGAUGGUUCGGGCGCCCAUAAUGUGGGUUCGAGCGCCCGGAAAUGCCCGUUUCUGCAGAGAUACCAGAUACCAACUGUUCCUCUUGGGGCUUAUCUUACCCUUCUAGCAGCCUAUAAAUAGACGGAGAACAUCUCUAGUAUGCUCUUUUCCUCCCUUCUUCACAGAGAACCCUGAUUUUGCUCUUCAAUCCUCCAAAUCUUCUCAAAUUGCAUCAAAGGUCCACAAAUUCAGCUUGAGGAGUGCUGAUUCUGCAGUUUUCCAGCAACGACCUUCGGUAUUUUAGCUCGUGUGCGACGUAGGAAGGUCGGAUUGCGGUAAAACUUGGUUUGUUGGAUUCUAGAUUUUAAGAGGAAUCCACGAAGUACAAUAUUGCAGAUUUUGGUAAAGGUUAGCUUGGUUGGAGCUUAAGUUCUUCUCUGCUGCUGUUGUUUUGGGCAGAUUUUCAAGUUUAUGAGUUUUCUUUGAUGCUACCUUUGGAGGCAGGGGGAUUUUGGACCUGAGAUUGAUACUCCAUCAUUAUUCACUAGAUUUGAAACUUGUCUCACCUGAAUUGGAGAUUAUUAGGUGAGUUUUGACAUUGGAGUUGAGACAAUUAAGCUUAAGUGCUGAAAUUUGGUGAAUUGAUGGAUUUUGAUGGAUUUUGGGUGUAGAUCCUUCGAGUAGCUUUAUUGCUAGUUGUGGGUGAUCUCGGCUGAGGCUUACAGCAAUUCGUGGCCUUCUUGCUGCCAGGGAAAGAGCAUUUGAGGUGGGUGUUUCAUCGGUUUCGCUCCUAAGUGCUUGUAGUCGACAUGUAUGAUUUCGGUUCUUUUAUAUCAUGUUGUAGCUCAAAUUCAUUGAUUGUAGCAUGUAUAAAGUCUGAAUUGGGAGUAUGACUAUUAAUUAGCUGAAUAUACAUGUUAGACUUGAAAUUUGACUUAGGAGAAAACCAGCGAUUCGACCUGUCAUAUGAUUCUACUACUUGAUUUACCUCUAGGAGUCGUGGUUUGAUUGUAUCACUACUAUUUCAGCGCGGUGGAUAUCCGGGGUAGUUUAAAAAGCAUUUACGCUUGUGCUGGGAUGCGGAGCUUAUUUUUACAGUACAGUUUAGGUUGUUUCAGGUUGUCGGGUGCCGUCGAGGUGGACGGUGGACCCAGAUUUCUGUUUUUAGUCUCAGAUUGUGCCGAGGGCACGUGGGUUUGGUUUCUAGACCUGUUUUGACCCCAGCUUCUUGACUUUGGCUUGUUAGAGCCUGAUUGAGCUCGACAGAGAUACGCUGCAUACUAGGUUGGGUAGCUCCCACGAGUGCCACUCCCGAGACGGGCGCUGUGCUUUUGCCUUGGUGUCGUUCGUGCAGGUUGGACUUGCUCUCCACGGACUGGUUAGUGUGGAGGUAGCUGUAUAGUCGCAACUGCGCAGGACGGGUGUGUUCACAGUCCCAGGGACGGAUAUGAUUACAGUCUUUAUUUGAGAUUGGGUCUGAGUUGACACUAUUCUACAGAUGGUUAGAUUUAGAGCAUGAUAGUAUAGUGGCAUAUAGCUGUAGAUUUGUUCUAACUUUCUUUACUAUUCCUGCUUAUCCUUGUAGACUUGUGGAUAGAUCGAUGAGUUCGAGGACGGUACCCAUUGAGGACUACUUUUUUUUGUAGUAGUUCUCACGCCCAGUUGUUACCACUGUUUUUGCAAAGCCGUGGCCUUUGGCUGCUGUUGCUGAUCUUGAUCGUGGCAAGGGCGUCGCGAGUUAAAGCCCUUCCAGACGAGUUGCAGAGCUAGAGGAGCACCAGCUACAGGUAGUUGUAGUUUUUGGGCCUUUACAUACAGUUGUUGUAUGUCGCCAGAGACAGUAUUUGUAUACCCUGAAUGACAUAUAUGUAUUGAAUUGCAGUUUAUGUUUAUGGUUUAUUUUCCUAACUGCUCUAUACUACUGUUUGUAGUAUUGUAUGAUUACAGGUACUUCUAUUUUUUCGCUUCGUAUACAGGGGAACUACCUAUGCAUACGGCGGGUCUGUUAGCGAGCUCGGGGAAACGAGUAAUCCGGGACGUGACAAUCUGAAGGUGUUCGUGGAUCGGAUCGGCUCUAGCUAGUUGAUAUACUUUAUCCAUAUCCUAAAAAAAAAUGGAUAGAAAGAAAAUAUAUAUACCCUACUCAUUUAACUUCGAAUCAGGUCUAGAUCUGAGUGCUUAAGUUAAUAAUAUACCCAUCGGGUCUAUUUGAGCGGGUCUGAAUAGUGACUAUCAGUAUACUACGCGCUUAAAGCCGGGUAUAGGUUGGAUAUGAGUGCUUAAGUUAAUAAUAUACCCAUCGGGUCUAUUUGAGUGGGUCUGGAUAGUGACUAUCAGUAUACUACGCGCUUAAAGCAGGGUAUAGGUUGGAUAUGAGUCGGGUCUAGAUCAGGUAUGGAUAUUCAUAUGCAUAUAUUUUAUGUAGACUUUAUUAAAUAGUUUAUUAACAAACCUUAAACCUCUAGUUGUACCCAGUCCAAUAAAAUUCAUUCAAAAAUAGAUUCAAGCAGUAAAGAGUUAGAAUUAAAAAAUAAGGAUUAAAAUAAUAAAACGGAAUAAACAAAGCGACUAGGGUUUUUACUAGGAUAAAAAUAUAUAUAAAUUCUUCAUCUAUAAGCCCUAUUGAAAUUGAUCCCUCAACUUCAUUUUUUUUUUUAAUUUACAAUCGGGUAUUUCACGGGAUCCGGGUUCAGGUCUAGUUUCGGCUCCGGAUUUGGAAACUUUUUUGGACCCUACCUAUUAAAAGGUCGGGUUCAGAUCGGGUCCAUGUUGGAUAUGGUUAUAACGUAUCCAGACCAAUACUCAAAAUUUUAAUGGAUAAUUUUUUUUACUCAUAUACUAUCUAUUUUUUAUCGGAUAAGGUUGAGGUCUGGAUAAGGUUCGGAUCGGAUAUGGGAUAUCAGAUAUUUUGGAUAGUUUUAGUUCUACCUCAGUAUAAAUAUCUGUCUCACUAUAUUCAAAAUUAUUUAUCAAUUUUAAUAUUUUUAUUUUAACUUUUAUACCAUUCUACAUUAACUAUAAAUAAUAACCCGGAAAAAAUAAAAUUUUUUUUAUCAGGGCAUAACAGUCCAAAUGGUUAAAAUUUAGCGGCCAACUUAUAGUUGUACACGUAAGGAUACAUUUGAAUAUUUUAAAGCUUUAGAAGAAUAUAUUUGAUAAUUAAAAAAUUGUAAGCAUAAAGCCGUAAUUUUAAAAUCUUGUAGCCAUAGCCAUACGUAUAAAGUUAUAUAUUAUCCCUAUUAUACACCAACAUUAACACUAUAUUUCUACCGACCGUCCCUAGCGCAAGUGGCAAAGGGCUUGGUGAUUGAUACCCGAGGUUCCAAAUUCGAAUUCUAGUUGAUUCACAUUUCUAGCUAAGUUUAUUUUCAAAUGAAAUAAACGAAGCUCUCAUAUCAUUGAUUAUGGAGGAUAACAUGGUCCAGUUAAAGGUUUUCAAAUCGUAAAUAAACUAAUAUAAUACAUAUAUCGGUAGUAAACGGACUCCGUUGUCACUCAUUUGUUUUCAAUAAUAAAGCUUUCAAAUCGACGAUCGGUAUCGUUGAACAUGAUCUAUCCCUCUAGAAAUCAAAUUUUAAAUCUUUUUGACAUCAUGACCUAACGAUCAAAGAGUUUCAAAAUUUAUAAUUUUAAUAGUAGGGGAUAUGAGGCGUUUUCUCGUUUAACAGUAUAAAGCUAUCCAAAUCAAUUAAAUUUUGGUUAGAAAAUUCUUUAAACUAUUUAGGACAAGACCUAGACUCUUGAUCUUGAUUAUAAAAUUUCUAUCAUCAUUUUUUAGAAUAUAUUUAUUUUCAGUCGUUCAUUUUUACGCCCACUUGAUGGACAAGAAAUUAAACAAUAUCGAAAUAGUAUAAAAUUUGAUUUCUAAAUAUUUCAAGUGGUACAGAUUAUGUUCAAUGGUGUCGAUCGUCGAUUUAGAGGCUCCAUCGUCAAAAACAAAUGGAUGGCAAUAGAGCCCGUUUACUAUCGAUAGCAUUCCAGCUCAACUCUCUCUCUCUCUAUAUAUAUAUGAACAUUAUUGUUGUAUAAAGUUACUAUAUUACGUGCCCAUAAACUUAGCUGGAAAUAUGAAUCAACAAGGAUUCGAACUUGGGACCUCAGGUACCAACCAUCAAGCCUUUGCCACUUGCGCUAGGGACGGCUGGUCUAUUUAGUUUAAUUCUUUAUUAUUUCACAAGAUACAAUAUACAAUUGGUUUAGGAUUACUAAAAAGAGAUUUUCAUACAGUGUAGAUUGUAUAUAUCUAGCUUAAGAAAUUAAUAGGAAGUACACCAAAAAAUUUUUGUAUACGGCAUGCAAAUACUCUUAUAGAGUUGGUAUUUACAUGCCCUCUGCCUUAAAAAAAAAUAAUGCUUUGGUCGUCUACGUGUAUUCCCGACCAUAUAAUAUUUACACAAGAUGUUAUUUUGAUCUUGUUAGCUUUGUUAUAUAUAUAUAUAUAUAUAUAUAUAUAUAUAUAUAUAUAUAUAUAUAAGGUGCAUGUGCGGUUUUUCAUGCCAUGGGUAAGAUAAGCGUUUUACGGUGGCUUGUGCCGAUGGCUCCCCGCGGCAGUCACUUUGCUGGGUGUCUGGACUCUGCGGCGGCAAUGUCUUCCGGCGUUCAUUCACUCAACAAACAGAAUUAGGACUACAUGGGGUAAGACAGCCGAGACCUCGAGAGGGGAAGAGAAAAGCCAAAAAAAAAAAAAAAUCGUAAAUGCUGGGAGGUCUACAGCCUGCGAAUAACUCGAUUAGCUGAUAGAAGAUAUUCCCAAAGUUUCAUCAAUUAAAUGUUUCAGGUUUUGGGCAGCUAGUAGGGGGUCUGGCGGGACAUUUCUAAAGAUCAUUCCGUUUCUUAUCUCCCAACUGACCGACCAACAAACUACUAGAUCCAAGAACCUGUUGCUUGUUGGCUGCGGCCCAUUCCUACCCGUCCACCUGUCCCAGGCUGAGGUAACAUCGUCUGUUUUGUAAUUCCUGUGCAUAAUUGUAAUGUUUGAUGUACUUGACUUAAUUUUAUUUUAUUGCAUGCCUAUGAACUUUUCAUCAAGUUUUAGGAGUUGUUCAUUUGCACGUAGUUACAAUAUAAUUGUACGCAAGCUUCUCAAUUACAUACAGAUAAAUAAAUUUAUUUAUAGUUGCAAUGUUUUUAAAUGCAUCUAACCAAACGAAAUAUAUAUAAUUAUAACUGAUAUAUCUCAAACUGCAUGCAUCUCACCUACACUGUAUUUAUAAUUAUAUCGAACCAAAUGGCUCAUAAUAAUUUUCCUAACAUAAAAUAAUUUUUUUUUCCUAUAUAGAGUGUAAUUUUAUCAUUCCAUAUAUAAAAUCCUAAAAUUUUGUAAAUACAUUUGUCAACCACACAUAACCAAAUAACGUAUUUAUAGUUGCUGCAUUUUUUAUUAUGUUUAACGAAAUAAUAUAUAUAUAUAUAGAGAGAGAGAGAGAGAGAGAGAGAGAGAGAGUUGAGCUAGAAUACUAUCGAUAGCAAACGGCCUCCGUUGCCACCCAUUUGUUUUCGAUGAUAGAGCCUCUAAAUCGACGAUCGGCACCGUUGAAUAUAAUCUAUACCACUCGAAGUAUUUAGAUAUUAAAUUUCAAAUCUUUUCGACAUCAUUUGCCUAAUGAUCAAAGGGUUUCAAAAUUUGUAAUUUUAAUGGUCGAUAUGAGGCAUUUUCUCGUUUAACGGCGUAAAGAUAUCCAAAUCAAUUGAAUUUUUGUUAGAAAAUUCUUUAAACUAUUUAAAACACGAUCUAUACUCUUGAUCUUGAUUACAAGACUCUUAUCAUCAUUUUUUAAUGAAUAUUCAUUUUCAGCCGUUCAUUUUUGUGUCCACACGAUGGAUAAGAGAACAAUAUCGAAAAUGUAUGAAAUUUGAUUUCUACUUCAACUGUUAUAGAUCAUGUUCAACGGUGCCAAUUGUCGAUUUGGAGGUUCCAUCAUCGAAAACAAAUGGGUGACGGAGCCCGUUUGCUAUCGAUAGUAUUCUAGCUCAACUCUAUAUAUAUAUAUAUAUAUAGAGUAGGGCUACUAUACUCUUAUGAGUAUGGGGCCCUUCAUACUCAUAAGUUGUUUUCGAUGAUGGAGCUUACGAAUCGACGAUUCACUUCGUUAAAUAUGAUCUAGAAUAUUUGAAACUUUUAGAAAAUAAAUUUCGUAAUUUUUUAAAAUCAUAAUAAAGUCCAUCAAGUGGGUAUAAAAUGAACGGUCGAAAUCGAACGACGUCCUAAAAGUAGAUGAUCGGAUCUUUCAAUUUAAGAUCGGAGUUAUUGAUCUUUAUCUAGAUAGUGAAUACAAUCUUCUAUCAAAAAUUCAACUGAUUCCGAUUCUUUUACAUCAUUAAACAACCAUGUAUCUUAUACCGACCGUUAAAAAUUGUCAAUUUUGUGACCUUUUGAUCGUAAGGUAGAUGAUAUCAAAAAAUUAUAAAAUUUGAUUUCUAAAAGUUUUAAAUGCUCUAGAUAAUGUUUAACGGUAUGGAUCGUCGAUUCGGAAACUCUAUCAUCGAAAACAACUUAUGAGUACGAGGGCGAUCGUACUUAUAAGAGUAUAGUAGCCGAACUCUCUCUCUCUCUCUCUCUCUCUCUCUCUCUCUUUCUCUCUCUCUCUCUCUCUCUAUAUAUAUAUAAUAUAUGAGUUAUUAAGGAUCUUUUUCACAUAAGUAUCAUCCCCAUGUUGCGCUAUCAUGGUUUUUAGGCCAUUGCAUCUACUUUUAUUACAAAUAGCCCUUGGAUCAAACCUAUUCACCUACACACCUACUCACCAUCAAUCUCAACUUCUACAUCCUCUCCAUCCAAGGGCUCAAAACAACACAAGUAUCACUUGGGUGAUACUUAUAAAAGUAUUCUAAGCCCUUACUCUUAUAUAUAUAUAUAUAUGUAACUAUUGUUGAACUAAGAAUACCGCAUCGCGCGAAAUUGGAUUGUUGAUUAAAACUAACUAAUUUUAUGUGAUAACAUAAAUAAAUGAAACGUUACAGAUGACGCAAAUAUUCCAGAUAAGAUUUGAUCAUUAUCCGGAAGUGCGUGGGCACUGCCCUAAGAUAAUUUGUGCGGUGCGUAAUGUGACCUGUUUCCCGUCUUAUGUGCUGGAUUAACUCAGAGAAUAAAUCCCAAGGACAAACCGGAAUUCUCCUCCUGCGAGCAACUGAUUGUGAGGCGGUUGACCGAAAGAUUCUCCAACACCGUUAGCGGAUAAGGGAAUGUUAAUAAAUGAAAGAUAAAAGAUAUAAUGAUUAGAGACUUACAAUGAUCGAAAAUCUCUUUUACUGCCUGCCUAUCUUAACAAGAAUUGUAAGAAGAAAUGACUCUAAAAAGGAAAACAGAUUUUACGUUUUUUUCUCUACGAGAAAGGAGAAGCGGAAACUCGCCAACGUUAAUGGGAAGAACGGCGAAUCGAAAAAUAUCGCGUUGUUCUUUCUCAUUAAGAAAGAUAAUUAAAAUAAUUUUAAAUAACAUAAAAUAAAUACAGUAGUAAAAUAAAUAGCAAUCAUAAAUACAUAAAUAAUAAAUAAUUAAAGUUCAAAUACAAUAAAUUUCAAACUAAAUUUUGAGUUUUUCAUCAACAAUCCCCCACAAAAAUCAAAGUAUGUUAAAAUUCUGUAAUUAAAAUCAACAUUACUGGUUUGUUUAUACUAUGCAAUGGCGUGAGCGUGCCUUUAGAGACUUAACCUCACAUAGUGCUAAAUAGUUCCCAUCAGAAAGAAUCGGAUCAGUGCAACCAGGUCUUGAACUACGUUCUUUUGCCUUGACUUCAACUACUACACACAUCAGUACAGAAUCUCCGUCGCAGGUCUGUGCGUUUACUGGCCAUGCACAUACCUGAUUGUUUCAUAAGAGUUCUAUGGAUAAGCCCAUUACAUAGCCGCGGCCGCACAUACGGAUCACUCUUAUAAGCGUGGUUUCCCAGGGAUGUGAUGUAAAGUCACAUUCGCGAAAAUUAUCGCUUGGAUCCAUUAAAAGCUUCAGCUCAACUAAUCCACUACACAGAGCAUACUCACAUAGGGAUGGGAUUGUGAGCUAAAAGCUCUAUAUAAAAUUAUGUAAAAUUCUUUGGCAACAUGAAGUUAUUUUUACACAUUGACCUUCUUCAAGGAUCUCCUAUCACAAGGUGGGUCCCAGUGACCCCCGGAAACGCCGCCCGCUUUACCUGGGCAAAACCAUCCCCUCGCAUGCAUCUUCAGAGCUAGCUUCCUGUUAAGCUUUCAUUAAAAUGAUCUGUAAAACUUUUAUUCAGAUCUGAUAUAAAUUUUUAAAACAUAACAAUUAUGAUAAAAUUAAUCAUUUGAUAAUUUUAUAUCUAACUUUAUAUGAUGUUUAGUCUUAAAAUAUAUCAUUUUAGUUUAAAAUCGAGCACUAGGAUCAAAAUGAGCUGAAAAAAAAUGAAACGGAUCAUAACACUUAAAUUUGUCACUUAUAAAGAGUCUUCCUCCACCUAAAUCUCUGAGAUACAUCAAAUUUAAAAUAUGAUAUUCGAUCCUAAUUACACUUAGGUUUGAUUUAUCAACAAUAACAGAUGAUUAAAAUAAUUUUAAAAUUUUAAUUAAUAAUUUUGAAUCAAUCAUUGAUGCAAUCAAAACAAGCUAGCUAUACUCCAGCUAUAUAUACAAUUGUUAGAAGGAUAAAUUAACUCAGAACAGAGAAUGCUGCGCCUGCGCACAGUUUGGAGUCGUACUUGAGGGUUGAGUGGCACUCUCCUGUAGGUGUCAAUCCAUUGAACAAAAUCUUUACCUUCUUUUUUUUUUCGAAUUUAUCUAUAUCUUUAAAAUUAGUUUUAUAUAAAUGCCGAACAGCCGAAAGAAAUAUUUGUACAUGUCUCUCCCUUUUUUUUUUUUCGGAAACUACAUUACUGUAGGCAUUUUUUUGUUCUAACAAUCUAAAGGCGUAUUCCGUUCUUACUGCUGGGUUUAACUGGUAAAUAAAACCCAAGGUCACGACCGGAAUUCUCCUCCCUAACCGAGCACGAUCGUGAAGGGGUUGACAGAAGAUUCUCAACACCAGGGGAUAAGGAAAAUUGUCACGGCCGCGCCGGCGGAUUACACGUUCCCGGAGAACCCGACAAAUCCGCCGUAUACAAAGAAAUUUUCCUGUAUACGAUAGCGACAGCUGUACCUGUAAAUAAGUACACUAUACGAACAUAGUAGAGAGCUGCAGAGAAGACACAGAAGCUAAAUAACAAAGUUUCAUAUACAUAGUUCAGAUCUAAAAUACAGUAGUACUCCGCACUGGCGAUUAAGUCAACUAUGACAAUAAACUCAAACAAAACAUCUACUUACAGUAUGCACCUUCCUAGCUAGCACUGGGUAGGGCUAUAACUCUUUGCAACGCCGCUUGCCUCGAUCCUGAUCACGGACGGCUAGCAAACUGCAGCAGCCGGAACGCUGUAGCUUCUGCACAAAGACAUAGGUAACAACGUGGGCGUCGAGAACUACUGUAAAAAACAAGUAGUCCUCAGUGGGCCGCCCAAAACAACAUCGUCACCCACUAAGUCUGACAGAAUGGGACAAGAAUAGUCGGAAAAGCAUGGAAUACACUCCUAACCGUAUCAUCACUACACUUCCUAGCUCUACAUAACACACUGUAGGACUAUGUCAAAUCUGCCAAUCCACGGGACGUGUAAGCAAUCCCGUCCGGGACUGUGAAAUCAACCCGUUCCACUGCCCGUUGCGACCUAUCAAUCCUUCUAUCCACACUAACUUUGUCCGUGAGAGCAAGUCCCAAGCUAGGCAUGAACGUACACCGAACGCGAAACACAAAGCUGACUCGAGAGUGGCACUUCGUGGGGCAGCUACCCACCGAGUAUGCAAGUAUCUCUUCGAGCUCAAAUCAGGCUCCAACUAGCUAAAGUCAAGUAAUCGUACUUCAAAUGGUCUAACAACAACAGUAAUUGCCCUCGCACAAUCUGACGCUAAAAGGCUGAGACGAGUCCACGUCACUCGACGGCGCCCAACAGUCCGAACGACCUGAACGCCUGUAAAAUUCACGUCGGCAACCAGCACGGUGUAUAAUACAUUUUCUAACUAUCGAGUUAGCUCGUUCGAAGAAAACUACGACAGCACAUUUUCCUAACGCUCUAGAGCUAAAUCAGGUAGUUUAAAACUGGUGACAGGUCCAAAAUAGAGGUUUUCUCAUAAUUCAAUUUCAUCACACUGUAUAAUUUACUUAAUUGUAUUAAAACCAUGCUCCAAAUUCGAUUUCACAAUCUACAUAUAAGUCCUCAUGAAUUGAGCUACACAAUUUACUGAAAUCAAAUUAUAUACAGUGUCGACCAAUAAGAACUUAGGAUAAGCGAUUACGCCACCUCGAAAAGCUAUCCGCCUCGAGGCAAACGAAGGCCAUUCGAACCAGGAGCAACCUUGCUGAGUCAACUAGGGACUCAAGUCCGUGUGACGAGCUAACUGCAAGCUAAACAAUAAGGAUCCUUUAAUUCAGUCCAGAAAUUUCACAAGGCAGCUGGUAGAAACGGGAUUCGACCAGCUAACCUUACCAAAAUCUGGCAAAUAAGACUUCGUGAGAUUCCUCUUCGAAGUCCGAAUCCAACGAACCAGCCUCGUUGGAUCCGACGUUCUAUCGCAGAGAACGAUGCUGAAACACGAACAGUCGACGUCGAAUUUCAAGAAAAGAGCUUACUAACCGAUAGAAAUAGUACACUUUCCCAAAUCCAGAAAAGACGCCGAAUACUCACCGUCGACAACACCGGGCACCGCUGCGACAGAAAAACAGGCGAAAACCUCCGCUCGCCCGGCCUUCUCGCAGCAACACGACGACGGAAGUAUGCCCGAACGGCUCCGCGGCGCGACGUCGGCGACGAAUCCGAGCUCCCUCUUGCCUUCAACCGGAUGGGAGAGUGAGAGAGAUGGAGAAUUGCAGCAAGAAGGCCUCUCUCUCUCUCCCUACACGAAACUACAUAGAGGGGAGUGAAGGGAGAUACAAACGAGGGAGAGAAAAUUACUCAUUUAGCCCUCUACCUACCUUCUUGUACCGGUACACGGGCUCCUGUACCGGUACAAGAGCCAACCCGAGAGCAGCUAAAUCUGUGCGCGUAGCUUGUACCGGUACAGAAAACCCUUGUACCGGUACAGCAAGCAUUCCCCGCGCUGGUUGUACCGGUACAGCAUACUCUUGUACCGGUACAGCAAGCAGGAAAAUCUGCUGUUUGCAGAAUUCUUCGCGAUAAGCUGCCCUCGCGUCGCACGGAGUCCGUUUUACGUCUAUUUGACGCCAACGCGACUCGGGCUUGUCCCGACACUCUCCAGAGCUGUCGACAAGCCUCCAGUCAAACACCAGGGAUCUCACAGAAAUGUUCAAAAAUAAAAGAUAAAAGAAUAAAAUGGAUAGAGAUUAACCAAUGAUCGAAAAUCUUUACUGCCUGCUCUAUCUUAAGCAAGAAGUAAAAGAAAAAGACCUAAAAAGGAAAAGAAGAUUUUACGUUUUUUCUCUUACGAGAAAGAAGCGGAACCCGCCCAACGUAAUGCGGAAGAAACGGAACAGAAAAUAUUCCUUUAGUUUCUUUCUCAUUAAGAAAGAUAAUAAAAUAAUUAAAUAACAUAAAAUAAAUAAAAUAGUAAAUAAAUAGAAUCAUAAAUAAUAAAUAAUAAAUAAUUUAAAGUUCAAAUAAAAUAAAUUCAAACUUAAAAUUUUGAGUUUUUCAUCAACAUAUAUUACAUUCAUAACUGCACAUAUUUCGUAACUAUAUUAUAUUUAUAAUUACAUUCAAUCAAAUGACCCUUAAAACAAGAAGGCAUAUGAUCACAUGUAAAAGUUUUUGGCCAAUAUGCACAUUAUAGUACCUUAAACUUUUCCAUUUACAAACUUUUCCUUUUUUAUAAAUGCAUAUCAUUAAGUAGUUAAUGGGUAAUUAAACAAUUUUACAUAUUUAGAAAGCUAUGUACACAAAAUAAUCCUUUUUUCUUUUUCUUUUUCUCUUUUUUUGAAUUUCCUGGGCCUAUGCAAAGCCAAAAUUAAUCUGAAAAGGCACUUCUCAAAGAAGCCAAAAAAAUUGAAAAGCCGUGAAAAGAGUCGUUAGUGUCGGCAAGCAAGCAAACCAACAUUUACAAGUUUGGUACGAUGGGAACAUCAAUAAUAUCAUAAUUACCCUCUAAAUAUAUCAUAAUAUCAUAAUUACCCCUCUAAAUAUAUAGAUUCUUUCAAAUCUACCCUUAUUUGCAAACUCCGCUAAAUUUCACAUAGGAUUAAAAAUUACUUACUGAUUUUGCCUUUCAUCCUUAAAGGGUAUAGUGAGAAAAAAAAAAUUCAACCCCCUCAACUAUAGGCUAUUUUGAAGAAGUUCCCUAAUUAUUUUUUUUUUCCUGUGUAAAGACCCAUUCAAAUUUUAUUUAUUUCGUUUAAAAUAAAUUCAUUAAUUAAAUUAAAUAUUUUGUUCAAAGUCAAGGCACUCCAUUAGCAACUAAUUACUAAAUUUAGAAUUACACUAUUUUUGCAAGCCUAAUAAAAAUUUUAGUUAUUUCAUCAAAUUUAACAGCUUUAACUAUUUUUAUUUAAAGACAUUAUAGAUUUAAUAGUUAGUUGCUGAUGGAGUGUUUUAGUUUUGAACAACGUAUAUAAUUUAAUUCAUAGAGUUAAUUUAAAUUAAAAAAAAUGAUAAUUGAAUGGGUCUUUUAUACAAGGAAAAAAAUUAGGAAUCUUUUUAAAAAUAGUCUAUAGUUGAGGAAGUUGAAUAUAUAUUUUCUCACUGUAACCUCUAACAACUUUCAAGGAUGAAGGAAAAAAUCGGUAAUUAAUUUUUAAUCUCAUAUAAAUUUAACGGAGUUUGCAAAUAAGGGUAGAUUUGAAAGAAUCUAUAUAUUUAAAGCGUAAUUAUGAUAUUAUUGAUUUUAUGAGGGUAUUUACAAUAUUAUCAAUCUUUUGAACGGCACGGGUUCACCUAAUAUUUUUAUCCUCUAAUUUUUAUUUAUUUUCAUUUUUUAAAAUUUUAUAAAUCAUUUUAAUCAAUUUUUAUAAACUAAUUUAUUUGAUUAAAUAUUAACGUGUCGUUGGUGUAGAAAUGAUGUGACAUCUUAAUUAUUGUCGAUUACUAAUUACAAACCUGCUACAUUCUUUUUAUAUUGACAACAUAUUAAUAUAUAUUUAGUGAACUAAAUAUAUUGUGAGAGUUAAUUGUAAUUAUUCAAAAAGUUUGGGUCAUAAAUUAUAAUAAAUUAAAGUUUGAAAACCAAAGUAUGAAGACCUCAUAGUUUGAGGAUUGAAAGUAUAAUCUUAGCCUUUUUUUCUUUUUUUCUUUUUUUUGUCACACUAACCCUCCUACUAUUUGUAAUUUACUUUGCGACUACUUAGUUGUACAAGAUUUUAAGCAAUGUGAAAACCCACUUGGAAUUAACAGGUCUCCAAAUCAAACUCUCCAAACAAGAGUCAAAGGUCAAGUAGUUUAUUAAGCAAAAUUUGGACCUUGUUGCUUCUACAAGAUUUUAAGCAAUGCACAAGAGCAAAAAAAAUUAAAUAAAUAAAAAAAUAAAGGGCUCCCUAUUUAAUUUAUUGGUUCUGUUAGAAUAAUAAUCCAAACUUAAUUAAAAUAAUAAUUAGAAAUGAGCUUAAAUCUUUUAUUUGAUUAUGAUUAAGAUUUGUAGUUAUUCAAAAUAAAAGUUGCAUUUAUCAUCUGUUAUGACUUGAUAACUACAUAUAGUUGUAAUUGACUUUGGUUUUGCGAUAUUAUAGAAAGUUAAAUUCAACCGAAGAUAAAACUAUGGUAAAUUAAAUAAUAAAAAUAAGGGUUAAUUCAUACAACUCUCUGCAAAUAUAUCGAAUAGCAAAUAUAAUCCUAUAGAGUUUAACUUUUCAUAUUUAUCUCUGUAAAAAUUCAAUGAUAUUCAUAUUUGCGUCUCUAAUUUGUUACCGUUAGAGUACUGUUUAUUUUUCAAUAAAAGAUAAGUGAAAUGAUAUUUUUUGUCAUCACAAAUAUGUUUCUCUAAAAGUUCCCGCCGUUAAAAUUAUGCAGAAAUGUUCUUCGAAAAAUUCUCAACGGUAAUUUUUUUUCUUUCUACCGUCACAAAUAAUAUAGAACGGGUAAAAGGUCAAAUUUAAAAAUAUUAGUAUUUUUGUAGGAAUAAAUAUGGAAGAAUUAAACUUUAUAGAAAUAUAUUUAUAGAGAGCUGUAUACGAUUAACCCUAAAAAUAAACUUAGCUGCAAAUGUGAAUCAACUCGAAUUCGAAAUUGGGACGUGGAAUAUCAAUCGCCAAAUUCUUUACCACUUGCUCUGGAGGCUAUCCAUCUUAUUUAUUUUAUUUAAAAAUAAUUUUAAUUAAAAAUAUGAAUUAAUUAGGAUUCGAAUAAGGGUGUGUUUGGAUCCAUGUAAAAUAAGUCCGAAAACUUUUUUUCAGUUAAAAAAUAGUUUUCCAUUGUUUGGUUCUCUGUAAAAAAAUUUUCUCGGAAAUUUUUUUUUACGAAUAGGCGGAAAAAUCGCGUUUUCAUUUUCCGCUCUGUCCAAGUGGAAAACGAAAAGCUACAGUAAAAAAGUCGGAGCUCUCAGGCCCGGCUCCAUCCUUUUGUGCGCGGUUCACGCGGUGUGCUUCACCUCGUGGACCGAGCAGAGCAGAGCAGUGAACCUAGCUCUCUCUCCCUUUUUAAUUAUAUAUAUUUUUUAUUUUUUUUAUUUUAUUUUUUAUAUAAAUAUAUUAUUAUAUAAUAUUUUAUUUAUAAAUAUAUAAUAAUUAUUUUAUAAUAUUAAAUAUAUAUUAUUAUAUAUUAUAUUACAUAUUUAUUAUAUAAUAUAAUAUUUAUUAUAUAAUAUAUAAUAUAUAUAAAUUAUAAUAAUUAAAUAUAUUAUGAUAAUUAUAAUAUACUAAUAAUAUAUAAUAUAUAUAAUUAGAGAAAAUAUAUAUAAUAAUUAUAAUAUACUAAUAAUAUAUAUAAUAAAAAAUAUAUUAAAUAGUUGUUCAUCUAUUUUUUUUUUCUUUCAAUCAAAUAACUGUCAUGAAAAACUAUUUUUCUUUUUCUAUAAACCAAACACAAACAAUAUAAAAUUUGUUUUCACCAAAAAUUUUAUUUUUAUAAUUUUACGUGGAACCAAACACAUCCUAAGUGAGGCCUGCAAAAUUUUGGUCGUCGUUAGCAGGAAGGGAGCAGCUAAGGAGGGGCCCACGCACCUGCUGGGACGGCCACGUUGCCGAUCCUAAAACCGCGUAAAAUUGUCGGGAAAACGAGUUAGAUACCAAGAUCAAGUCAAAAAAAUGAACAGAGAAAAAAAAGAAACACGUGGCUACUAUGCAAUGAUAAUUGAAACAUUCAAACUUUGUAGGGACUAGAGAAAGAGAGAUAGAUAGAGAGAUUGAGUACUUUUUUUUUUCUUAUUUUAUUUUAAUUGAUUUUUGAAAAGCUAUUGAAAACACCAGUUUUCGGUACGGCCCAGUAUCAGAAAAACUGGCCUAACUCCAUCAAUAAAAUUAUUUUAUUUAGAUUCAUCCGUCUUAUCUUUAUUAAUUAAUAAAAAAAUAUUUUUUUAUUAUUUUUUAAGAAGAGAAAUAUGAUUUGCUUGUUACCGAUAAUGUGAUGUAAGUAGGACACUGCAAACUUCCUCCCGUAUUGGCCGAUUUGAUUCGAUUUGAUUUUUUGUAGUUUUUUUUAAAAAGUUAAAUUAAAUUCGAGUAAAAAAUAUGAAUUGAAGAGAAUUGAUUUAUGUGGCUUUAGCAAAAUAUUUUUUGUGUAAUUUAAACUUUUUAAACUGAUAAAAAUAAUAUAUAAUCAGAAUUAAUUUUAUAUUAAGAAUUAUUAAUUUAAGACAGAUAUUAUUGAUUACAUCUUUAAUUAUUUGAUCGGUAUUUAAAAUUAAUACAUAAAAUUUUUAAAAUUUACGACUAAUAUGUAUUAAAUAACAAAAAUUUCGGUUUAUUUGGUUUAUUUAGUUUUUUUGCUUCUUAUUUUUAGAGCCGAACCGAACCGAUUAUAUGUAAAAAUCGAACUGAAUCAGCCAAUUUUGGCAAAUUCAGUUCCGUAUUAAGUACUAUAAUGCUCACUCCUAGUUUUGGGUAGCAUUAAAGUGUUGAUUUUUGAUGCCCCAACUUUCAAGGAGGUCAUCUUUUCUAGGAUUAUUUUCAUUCUAGUACGUUUAACUCUUUUAACCUUUUUGGCCUAGCCAUCACCCAAAAUGUUUAAAGCGUCUUGUCAUUUCGAUACUGGCUCAGCCGAGAUUCAUCUCACACUUUCGGCUAGUAAUUGACUCUAAUACCAACUGUGACGCCCAAAUUUCUCAGGAGGUCACCCAUCCUAGGACUACUUUCGUCUUAACAUACUGAACUUUCUUAAUCUCUUGGGCCUAACUACAACCUAAAAUGCUUCGGCCGGAUUAAGAAUUUAGCUCUAUUAUAUCUUAUAUAUAGGACUAUAGAGGGUCUCACAUGAUUUUUUUCCCUUUUCUUUUUGAAACUUGAAAGAGGUCAGGGUAUAAAUUUUUUAAAUUAUACGCCACAAGAGAUUUUAUAGAAUUAUGCUACUAUACAAUCGAUAGUAUCAAGCGCUCGGUGUUAUCGAAUUUUUGGCCGUUGGAUGAAAGAAUGUGCAGUUAGGAUGAUAGUAGUCCCUUAGAAUUGAAUGGGUAGUUAGUUGAAUAGUAUAAUCUAAUGGGUGGAAAUGAUUAAAAGAUAGAUCUAACGACAGAAAACUUGAUAGUACCAAGAAUUUAGUACUAUCGAUAUUGAUAGUAUAAUAGCCGAACUCUCUGUCUCUGUCUCUCUCUCUCUAUAUAUAUAUAUAUAUAUAUCUAUUAUUUAGUGAUGUGUUAUUAUCUACCGAAUUGAAUUUUAUUUUUGUGAGCCAAAAUUUUAUUUUUAUAUUUUGCUGCAGAAGAAAUUUUAGAUAUUUUUUGGGUUAAAAUGUAUAGAUGCCCAGUAAACUUUACCCUACUUUGAAAUUACUGUAAAUAUAAUAAUAUAUAAGACAUUGGCUUAAAUUUCUCGAAUUAUCACUUGUUAAAAUCACCAAAAUAAAUCACAAAAAUAUUAUGAUGAAUAUGCACUCAUUGCAAUUCAAUAAUAUAUAAUACAUUUAUAUUAUUCCAUCACCAAUAAUGUGUGACAGCCAAAAACAGCUGCUAUAACAUCUGUUAAUAAAAAAUAACAAAUCACAUAAACUAACCAACAAUAAUUAAUAAUUAAUAAUGUCCCCCCUUUUUAGAAGAGUUAAAAAUUAUUCAAAUUUGAAAAUAGUUAGCAACUAAAUUAAUCAAUAUCCUUUUCCUAGCAAGUACAAUUUCUCUAAAGUAGGAGGGUCAUAUUGAAAAUAUUAAUCCGCUUCUCCAAUUAAUCUUGUGAUCUCACAACUUAAAAGUGAGCCAUGACUUGUUAUCUUCUUCGGGCUUAACCACAUUCGUUUGAUAAGGUGCCUUGGAAUUAAUCCUGAAAAAUAAUAAUAAACCAAUGUUAAAUUUAAAUUCAAAUUUAAAUUUAAAAGUAUGCGAGGAUAAUUUGAUUUGAAUUUAUAGGGUAAAAAAAAUAUUACUCACCUAUGCUUUCUUUUUUGGAGAAAUCUAUGAAGGGAAUUUCUCCGCGCAAUUGGCAUAUCUGUUUGUCACAAAUUAAAAAGAAAAUGUUAGAAUUUUAUUUAUAUAUAAAUAAAAAACUUAAAUUGGAGAUCUGAAUUUGUAUAAUUUGUAGCCUUUAAUUGUUUUGUUGAAAAAUGUAUGCAAUGAUCUAAAUUUGUAUAAUUUGUAGCUCUUAUUUUUCGCGCACUAUGACAUGUUAGGAGAUCUACUCAGUGAGCAAAAAAUUUCUGUAUGCAAAUUACAUACAAAUAUUCAAAAAAUAUAUAUUUUUUAAAAAAUAUAUAUAGCACACCAUAUUAAGCUAAAAAUUUAAUUUGAUGCUAGGAUGUAUAAACUAAAAAAAUAGAUAAAAAUAUAUUAUAUAAUUCGACACUAAAUUUUAAACUAAAAAAAUAAUAAAAAAAAAUUAAAACAAACUUUAUGUGAGAGAGAGAGAGAGAGAGAUUAUAAUUUUACCAGAGGCAGUGGUCUGCAUAGUACUCGGCAAAGUGCUCUGGGCGGCUGCCACGUGUCCUCCUCCGGUUGCGAAACCGAAAUUUUCGGCUGAGACCCUGCCCUUUUUCGCCAUUUCAAUCAACUCCUCGUACUUCUCGCCAGAAAUAUUGUCGAAAACCAACACUUCCCCCCCGUAGAAUAUCGUUAAUUGCUCAUUCGUCCCUUCCCUAAAUAAAGUUUUUUUUUAAAAAGAAAAAUUAAUAAUUAGUUAAGAAAAUUAAAGCAUUAAUUGUUAAAGUUUAAACUUGCAAAGAGCUAGGGAGAGGCAAAAAAUACAUAUAUGGAGACCCCUCAUCUCUAAAUUGAGGAGUUGAGGGGUCUCGAUGCAUUUUCUUUUUUUUUUACGAAAUAUAAAUGGGGUUCCCCCCAAAAAAAUAAAAUAAAAUAAAAAUCUUACUUGUUAACAUUUUGGUCCUUGUAAGAAACGUCGACGGUGUGGGAAGUGAAUUCCGGGAAGUGGACUUCGGUCGAUUCGGGGGCAUUUAAGUCAAUUCCGGGCAUCAGGUUCAUGGUGAUUGGUGGGCGAAAUACACCUAAAAUUAAGAAAAAAACAAAAUAUCAAUAUAACUACACAAAAAAAAAGGGGGAUAUAUCUCAUAAAAUAUAAAUUUGUUUUAAUUUUCAAAACUCUGUAUUAGUUAAUAUAAAUUUGUGAAGGGAAAAAAACCAUAUAUAAUUAUUGUUACCUUCUUUUUGUAAAUAUUUUGGGCUUCAAACGUUAUAUAAUCAUCUUCUAAAGAAUACGUGAAACCAAAAACAACCAAUAAAAGAGAGGAAAAGAAAAAACCUAUAUAAAGAUCAUCAAAUUAAAACCACCAAAAAUUUCUUGGUUGUGUUGGAAAAACAUGAAAAAUUAAGCAAAACAAAGGAAAAAAAAAAGAGAAAACAUAUAUAAAAAAAAAAUAUAUGUAUAUAUUUAUUACCUUUUGGUCCUUGAUCAAGAGCCAUCUCAAAAUCCAACCCCCCAAAGCUUUUUUUCUCCUUCAUGUAUUGGCUCAAGAGGCUACAAGUGAGAGAAAAUUUGGUUGUUUUCUCUCUCCUCUCCUCCAUAACCAUGUUCAUGUUCCUCUCCAUGGCUUUCUCUCUCUCUUCUUCUCUUCAAUUCUCUCUCUCUCUAUGUUUCUCUCUCCUCCUCCUCCUUUCUUUUAUAAUAGUCCCUAUGAGAGAGAGAGAGAAAAUGAAUGGGUUUUUGUGGCACGUGCGUUUUUGGGUUGGACAUUGGGAAUAAAUUAAAAAAAAAAACAACUAAAAUAGUUAAAACCAACACGUGGUCACAUUUUCUUUUUUCUUUUUUUUUUCUUUUUUUAGGUAACACACGUAACAUGUUUGACGAAGUCCACAGCAUACACCGCGUUUUUUGUUAUGCGUGCACAUAUUUUAAUCCAUUGUGGCACAUGUGUCACGAAACGGCCCUUUUAAGCGCACAUUACGCGCACAUAAAAAAUGAACACUAAAGAGACCAAAAAUAGGGAUUCCAAAGCGCCCCGGUUGGCGCAACUUCCGCCCCGAUCCCCCCCGCAUGGGACUAUAAGCGGAAACAAAAAUAAUAAAAAAAUAUAAUCCGUUCCGACUUCGUUUCAAUUCGUAAGUAAAUGAAGCGUGAUGCGGGAGACUCUUUUCUUUCUUCAAUCUAUUUCGAUCCGUCAAAAAUCCACCAAAUAUCUACGUAAGCGAGAACAAAAAAUAAAAUAAAAAUUAGCCAGUCCCGAAUCCGUCCUGCUCCGACAAAAAACAAAGCGGGAGGUGGGAGAACCCUCCCACCUCUGGAUCCGCUUUGUUUGCAUCCCUAACCGAAACGUGGGGCUCCAUGCGGGAUUAGUUGGAAAAAUUGCAUCCCUAAAAGAAAACGUGGGGCUCCAUUUGGAUUAGUUGGAAAAAUUAUUAGGCGUGUUAGAUACGGAUCUAUUCACUUUAUUAAACAUAGCCAAAAAUUUUUAAAUGUGUUUUAUUUUUUUUUUAAGAAGCUUCGAAGAAGCGACCAUUCUUGUUUAGCACAAUUGGGCGGGUUCGACGUGCAUUUAAAAUGAGACAACAUGUACGGGCAUGGUAAGAAAACAAUAAAAAAAAAAAGCUUAUAAGAAAAUGUGGUUUGGAAAAAAAAAGGGGUGGGGCUAAAUUAUAAAACGUUUCUUAUACUUUAGCCCUAGUCUUAAUUAUUUUUCUAUAUUAAAAAUUAUAUUGAUUACCAUCAUGCACUUUCUCAUCAUCUCAAAUGGAUCUAAAAAACUUGAAAAUUUGGUAAAUUAGUAAUAUAAAGUUUUACUAAAAGGAGUUGGCAUAUCUUAUUGUUCCACAUCUUAAUAUAUAUUCAAUUUAAGACUCAGAAAAUAUAUAUAUACAAAAUUUAAAUUAAGGGGAUAUUCUAUUUUGCUAGUAUUAGGCUUAGUUUGGUAUUGAGACAUAUCUAACGCUAUUAGAUAGAAUGGAGUCAAGAAAAAGUACAUAGGGAUAUGUUUCUGCGUUCUCCGAUGGGACCGCAGAAAAUAUAUUGUAACCGACUCAUCGCGAUAUGCGGAACGCAAUAUUAGGUACGGAAACAAACGGGGUAUUUUUCCAAACGUAACGCAAUCUCUCCGCAAUCCCAAACGAAGCCUUAGUCAAGUUGAUAGUUUAUUGAGCAAUUUAUUCAAUUUAUGUGAUUUUAUUGUAUUAAUUACUUAUGAAUAACUUUAUCUGUAAAUUUAUCUUUAUAAAGUUUUAUAGUCGAAUUCAAUAAUUAUUCUAAAUCGCUUGAUUUAUUUAAAAUAAUGAUAAAGUGUAAGAGUGUAACUGAUGCAAAUUUUUAUGCGUGAAAAAAUUGAAACGUGAGCUUAAGUGUAAUUAAGAAAACUUUUUAUAAUUUAGCCUUGAAAAAAAAAUAUGUCUCAAAAUAAAAAAGAUACGACAUUAUUAAAUCGACACCACUUGCAAAAAUCUUACACUCUACCUUUCAAAACCCAUAUUUACUCAUUAAUUUUAUAAACUUUUUCUUUAAUACUAAAAAUCUAAAAAAAAAGAAUUAAGAGGUAUAAAAAUUACAUCCUAUCCUAUGAUAGUGUAAAGAAAUAACAAUUUUUAUGUUGUUAUUAAUUCUUAAAAACACAUGUAAAUCAUGUUCUAUCAAAUUAAGUUUUAGUCAAUUCUAAAUCCUUUGGUUCCCUAAAAUUUUUCUUACAAUGAGUACCAAAAUUAAUUUUACCUUAUCAUAUUAAAAAAUAUCGGUAUUAGAUUAAUAUUUUUGAUAAUAUAUUCUUAAUUGCUUCCUCGAUCUUAAGUUGUUUUCUUACUAUUGAGUGGUAGUACAAGUUGUUUGGACAAAAAUUGGGCCAUAAAAUUUGAGCUUGAAAAAGUGGAACAAGUACUAUUGGGAAUCUUGGACUAAUGCAUACUAAAUACACAUGAGAGUGUUGGACACUGCUUAUUUUAAUUUCCAGUCAAAAUUUCACUCUUUGAGAAUCGAAAGUAUCCUUUUCGAGUUUCAAUUUUUUUUUUCGACCUAAUCCAUCUAAGAAAGUGAUUAACAGCGAAGGUUUGUUUGAAUUGUCAGAUAUGUUAUCCUUUGAUAAUAGCGUGGAACUGAUUAAUUUCCUGCAAAGUGUUCGUAAAAAAUGACUUAGAACGUACCAAACUACUGUUCUCAAUAUCAUGAAUUAUUAUAUAUAUUUGAGUAAAUAAAAAGAUGUAACAAAGAAGAUGUAUAUAUAUGUAUUUAUAUGUAUGCAUUUAUGACAAAAUUUGAAUAGUUUUCACUUUAAUUUUUACCGACUUUCAAAAACCUAUAUUUAACCACCUCAAAAUUUCAAAUUGAUUACACUUAGCUUAACUAUACUUAGUUAAGGUUCCGUCACUCUUCCGUAUUUUUCUUAUAAUUUAUAACCAAAAUACCAUUGAAAAAUUACACAAAUACAUCAAAAAGUACUUUCUUUUCCCUCUUGAAUAAAUAAGAAAAAUCCGGUCAUUUCGCACUCUAUAUUAAUAUCAUAGCCCUCUAAACAUAUUUUUGAAAUUUUGAAUGAAAAAUAUGUAUGUUUCUAAAAUUAUGAACGAAAAGUUAAAAAGCAGAUAUUUACAGAAAUUUUUUCUAAGUAGGGUGUUGAAGUACUUAUGGAUUCAAGAUUUGGAUGGAGGGGCUUCAAGUACAAUUGUAAGGAACGAGUUUUCGAUUAUUUCUUAAAUUAACAAGGCCUAACUUAAAUUUGGCUAAAAGCCUAGUUCAUAAAGCUUAAUAAAAGUUGAAGAUUCAUUAAUACAUGAUAUAUAUAUAGAGUUGAGCUAGAAUACUCUCGAUAGUAAACGAGCCGUUUUACUAUUGAGUUGUUUUCGAUAAUAGAGCUUCCAAAUUGACGAUCGGCUCCGUUGAACAUGAUCUAUACCACUUGAAGUGUUUAGAAAUCAAAUUUCAAAUCUUUUUGACAUCAUUUGCCUAAUGAUCAAAGGGUUUCAAAAUUUGUAAUUUUAAUGGUGGAUAAGGGACGUUUUCUCGUUUAACGGUGUAAAGAUAUCCAAAUCAAUUGAAUUUUUGUUAGAAAAUUCUUUAAAGUAUUUAAAACAAGAUCUAUACUCUUGAUCUUGAUUACAAGACUCCUAUCAUCAUUUUUUAAAGAAUAUUUAUUUUCAGCCAUUCAUUUUUCUGUUCACUAGAUAGAUAAAAAAUAAUAUCGAAAGUGCGUGAAAUUUGAUUUCUAGGUAGUUCAAAUGGUUUAGAUCAUAUUUAACGGAGCCGAUCGUCAAUUUGGAAGCUCUAUCAUCGAAAACAACACGAUAGUAAAACAGCUCGUUUACUAUCGAGAGUAUUCUAGCUCAACUCUCUCUCUCUCUCUCUCUCUCUCUCUCUCUCUCUCUCUCUCUCUAUAUAUAUAUAUAUAUAUAUAUAUAUAUAUAUAGAAUAUAUAUAUAGUUCCGGCUAUGUGCUUGAUAAAGCACAAAGCACUUGUUGGUGGUUUUGUAAUUUUUUACCGUUAGAUUUACACCUUUAUCAAUUUUCACCAUUAGAUUAUACUAUUCAACCAACACCCACUACAACCCUAGGGGCCCACAUCUCCUAACUGCACAUCUUUAAUCCAAGCAGCCGAAAAAAUUACAAGCACCAAUGAUUUGGUACUUUUAAAAGCAUAGGAGCUCAAUUUAUAUAAUAUAUUAUAUAUAUAUAUAUAUAUAUAUUAUAUAUAUAUAUAGUGAUGCUACUAUGCUAUCGGAAGCACGAGCCUUCCGUGCUUCCAGCUCGUUUUCGAUGUGCGGACUUAGAAUAUCGAUCGGCUCCCGUUAAACUUGAUCUAGAGUAUUUGAAGUACCUAGAAAAUAAAUUUUAUGAUUUUACGAUAUCAUUUGCCUAGUGAACGAAGGGGCUCAAAAUCAACGGCUGAAAAUAAAAAUCUUACAAAAUGUAAUAAUAUGACAUUAAAAUUUUAAAUCAAAGAUAUUGAUCUUGUUUUAUAUAGUAUAAAGAAUUUUCUAUCAAAAUUUCACGUGAUUUGGAUAUUUCUACACCGUUAAACUUGCAAACGGCUCACUACGGCCAUUGAAAUUUGUUAAUUUUGAGCCCAUUCGAUCACUAGGUAAAUGAUAUUGAAAAAUAAUAAAAUUUAUUUUCUAGGUACUCCAAAUACUCUAGAUCAAGUUUAACGGAGCCGAUCGACGAUUCCAAAGUCGCAACAUCAAAAACGAGCUGGAAGCACGGAAGGCUCCGUGCUUCCGAUAGCAUAGUAGCCUCACUCUAUAUAUAUAUAUAUAUAUAUAGAAUUAUGCUACUAUACUAUCAAUAGUACCAAGUUUUUGGUACUAUUGAGUUUUUGGCCGUUGGGUGAAUAGAUGUGCGGUUAGGAUGAUAGUGGUCCCCGGUUAAAUUGAUAGUGGUCCCCUAGGGUUGAGUGGGUGGUUGGUUUAAUAGUAUAAUCUAACGGGUGGAAAUGAUCAAAGGGUAGAUUUAACGGUAGAAAACUCAAUAGUACCAAGGGCUUGGUACUAUCGAUAGUAUAGUAGCCGGACUCUAUAUAUAUAUAUAUAUAUAUAUAUAUAUAUAGUAGGACUACUGUGCUAUUAGGAGCACAGCAAGCCUUGUGCUCCUAAGUUCCUAACCGUCUAUCAAUUUUUAUGGGUGGUUAGGGUGAGAGAGAAAAAAAAAAUUGAAGAGAAAUUCAAAGAGAAGAGAAAUUGAGAAACCCAAUUUCUCUUCAAUUUCUCUUCUCUCUUUCAUCCUAACCACCCAUCAAAUUUGAUGGACGAUUAAGAACUUAGAAGCCAAGAGUUGCCGUGCUCCUAAUAGCAGAGUAGCCCUACUCUAUAUAUAUAUAUAUAUAUAUAUAUAUAUAUAAAAUCAUCCCUUUAACCUAACCCUUUUUUUUUUCUCAAAAAAAAAACCUAAUCCUAAUGCUUAUGCUAGUUAUUGCGAGUAUAAAUAUUACUCUUAAUUUCUUUUCCCAUCAAUCCAAAGCACCAAAAAAGAGCCAAGAGUAAUUAGUAAUUUUUUUUUUUUAAGACGUUUGUAUGGGAUUUAGCAUUUUAGAAUUUAUGUAAAUCUUUUAUAAUAAUAUAGUUUCUAGGAUUCAGAUUUUAGUACUCUACAUGAAGUAAAGGCCAAAUUGAGUACAUCAAUGAAGUUUUUUUUUCUAAAAAAAGAAAGAAAGAAAAAAAAGCACAUGCAGUGUACAGUAAAGUACAAUCCUAUAACAGUUUUUCUCCGUAUGAGCCCGCGUGGUUCAACCUAAGAUCGUGAACUAAUUUUUCGUGGAAAAAAAAUUUUGGGUGAAAGUUUUUUUUUUAUAUUUUAAGUAUCUGAUUUGUAGAAAAAAAUAAUUUUUUAUUAAUAUUUAUUCGAUUAAAAAAAAAUAUUUACAUUUAUUUGGUUCGGUGAGAAAGAAUAAAGAAAAAAAAUUUACGCAGCUUGAGUUUUACUUUUUCGUCGAAAAACAGCAAAAAAAAUAAAAAAUUAAUUUUUUUUUCAAACCCGUAUAAAAAUUUUUAUAAAAUAAUAUUUUUAUAAAAAUUUUUAUAAAAUAAUAUUUUAUUUUAUAAAAUAAAAUAUUUUAUAAAAUAAUAUUUUUAUAUAUCAAAUCAAACAAACAAAAAAAUAUUUUUUUAUAUGAAAAAUAAUUUUUCGAUUGGUUUUACGCCGGAAUCAAAUGCUCCUUAGCAUUUCACCAGACACAAUUAGAUUGUAUCAAGUACUGAUAUUUAAAAACUACUGCUUUUACGGAUUAUUGAUGAUUUAGCGGAUUAAUUUAUUUUAAUUUUUAAACUUUUAAAUAUGGAAUUCAACAAAUUUAAGUAAAGUUUAGGGACUAGUAGACAAGUAGUGCAAUUUCCCCCCAAAAAAUGUUUAGAUCCGAAAUUUUUGCCAAUGUUGAGAUGCGUGUGAUCAACAGUGAAAAUAGAUCGGACAUUAUCCAAAAUUAUUCGUAUAUAUCUGUACCAAUUAUUAUCCGGAUCUGGAUAGAAAAUAUUCGGAUUCGGCCGGAUACGGAUAUGAUUUUUUUUGAGAAAUACGGAUAUGAUUUUAGAGGGGCAAAAAUUCUCGGAUAUCCGACAAAACUGAUACGGAUAUGAUUUCAGAUGGGCAAAAAUUCUCGGAUAUCCGACAAAACUGAAUCCAGAUUUAGAUAUCUGGACUUUUAGUAAUACUAAUAUGCUAAUAUAUUAAUAUUAGUAUUAUUUUUACAUUAAUAUCAUUACCCAAUUCUGAGUCGUUCUCUCGUGCCCGAACCGAAUUCCUCCUUGUCCAAUCUGUAAAAUCGAAGGGCACGCUAAUCCGUUUUAGCGGAUAUGGUAAUAAAAAUUUAACAUCCGACGCAUAGCCAUAUCCAAAAAAAUAUAUGAAUGCAGAUAUGAUUUUGUCGAACAUCCGACUAUAUCCGAUCCGUUUUCACCACCAGUGAUCAUGAUAUUUAAACUCCCUACAAAACAAAUAAAAAAAAGGCACCAAAUAAUCGGAUAUCAAUUAAUCCUCACAAAAUAAGUAAUCUAAGAAUUUUUUUUUAUAUUUUUUGAGUGAUAUAAUUUAGAAAAAUACUGCCGGUAAAAAAUGCCUGUUGUACUCCAAAAUUAAAAAGAUAGAGUCAGAAUUUAUAUUUUAUUUAAUUUUAUUUUUAAUAUUUUUUUAAGAAAUUAUAGUAGAAUAUUUUUUGAAAAUUAAUAAUUUUGGUCAAUCAAGAAUAUGUUACAUAUUUUAAAAUUUUAGAGAGUAUAUUAGAUAUUACUCUUUUAAUUUUAUAUAAUAUUAAAUAGAGUAGCAGAACAUAAUUGAAUAUGACGUAACGAUAAUUUCAUACUGUUCCGUAUAAAGAGGGAUGGCCCUUCAAAUUUAUUUCUAUAAAAAUUCAAUUAUCAGAUUUGUUCAUCUAAAAAAGAAAAUUCCACCAUACGUAAAAAUGCUUCUCUAAUUUGUUGUGUGAAAUGACAAUUUUGUUAUUACAAAUUUAUCGAUGCAAAAAAUCAUUUCUUGUCCUCUGUCAUCUUCAUGCUCGAUCGAGCUCUUCUUCUUUUCUCUUCAAAAAUUCAUGAAUUCACGCCUCUUCUCCUUCUCCUCAAUCUUCUCCAUCCUUCGAAGAGUACCAGACCUGGACCGCUCGACGCAUCUAAUGAUCACCUUCCCCGCUGAUCUGCGGCGCACAUCGGCAAAAAAAGGGAAAAGAGAAAGAUGAGGGGGCUCAACUUUGUAAUAAAAAUUAAAUUUAUAAGGGUAUAAAUUUGUUUCACUUCUAUACUAAUUAUGGUUAAAAUACUUGUAAAAGUAUCAUGGGGAUGAUACUUUGUGUGUUUUUAGCCCUUGGAUGGAGAGAUGUGAGGUUGAGAUGAUGGUGGUAGGUGGUGGUAGGUGGUGGUAGGUGGAAUAGUGUUUAAUCCAAGGGCUAUUAAUAAUGAAAAAGUAGAUCCAAUGGCUUAAAACCUAAUAGCACAGCUCAACUCUAUAUAU
rnacentral:lncRNA from 1 species